AUUGCUAAGCCUGAAACUAAGGUACUACUGUUUCCCAGAUUAAGUACUUCAGAGUUGCAAAAUCACUCUCUGUUUGUUCCAGAUGAAACAUAUAACUAUGUCAUGAUGAGAUGAUAAUUUUUUAUGUUUUCAGGAAAUUUCAAGCUUGAGUGUGGAGCCAUGUGAAGGUGAAUCACUUAUAGUUACUGUUUUCGAAAUCAAAAAGUCAGAGGUAUGUAUUGAAAUAUGUUCUAUCAUUUUUCUUUUGGAACAAGAAUCUAUGAACAAACUCACAAAUUAACCAAUAGAACUCACUCUUAUGGUAAUCAGAUUCCAUCCUUCAUUGAGAGGGAGCAUGAAUUCCGAUUUUUAGCUGUAAGUUACUAUGCAAUUUCUUUUCUUCAUAAGAAUCCAUCCCAAAUUCUCCAGAUUUGUGUUAUUAGUUCUAACAAUGAACGAAUAUGUUGGUUUCAUAGGUCCUCCCUGUAACACUAGAAGGUAGCCAGUAUACUACACCCGCUGUGAGUGACACCCUAUUAACAUAUCUACUAAAGAGUUAAAUGCACAUUUAUGCAACAAUUACUCACCUUUCAUCCAAUUUACACAACACUACCAAUUUAUUCCACAAUAUUUCACAUUUUUAUCGAUUUAUGCAACAAUGUUCUAUUUUUUUCACCAAAUUAUCUAAACCGACACAAAUUAUCAAAACACCUUCUUAUCUACUCAUUGCAUAUUUCAUCUAAAAACUAUUUUUUUUGCAUAAUUUGGGAAAAAAUAUAAACACAGUUCUACAAAUGCACAUUUAACCUUUUACUAAACGAGUAAAUAACAACUUCUUAAGGGAUUUACAUUUUGUUGAUUUUUGGUUAUGAAUGCCAGGUUCUGUGUGCACGUUAUAGCGAUGAGGAAUAUUUACAGAAUAGAUGCAAAGGUAUUUCAAGUAUUUAGUUGAAUCAAAAUAAUUAGAUAAUUAAAAUGUAUCCAACUUUUGUCCUUUUUUUUUCAGGAAGCCAAGAGGUGUACCAUGAGCGAUAUGGACGAUUUGGUAUUGAGAAGAUUUGGAGAGAUGAUGUGCUUCCUUGUCGUGUUUAUUGUCGGCAUUGGUAAGUUUUUGAAAAGUUAAUCACACAACAACAAAAAAUCAUUUAUCUAGAGAAAAAAAAGUUGAUAAAAUGGAUAAAAUCAUUUUGUGUAGCGUAUUGGCAGCAAAGAAUCUUGGGAAUGAAGCGUAUGAGAAUUUUUUAGAUCAUACGUAUCUUGCAGACCGUAUAACAACCCUUGGGAAAUACUUGGUGACAACGGGUUGUGGUAUCAUGGAAGAAGAACCACCCGAGGUUCUUAAGGUUCGAUAUGGUGGUUAGUCUUGAUUUUGCUAUUUUUAGCAGUAUGGUUCCUAAUUUAAAGGGUUUUAAAUUAGGAACCCGAUUGUAGGCCAACAUUUCAAUGUUGGCCAUAACAUUUGCGAGAUGAGAAUUUAUAAUGUCAAUGUGUAUUAGGCUGGGACUCGAGUGAUAUGUGAUUUCUUUUUAUCAUACCCAUGGUGGUGAUAGGACUCGCUUUAUUUUUUGUCUGUGCAAAAAAAGACGUAAAUGCCCUUGUCAUCCUCAUCAACAAAAAUAUCUAUAGAAACCUUGUCUAGUCUAGUUUUGUUGUGUGUAUCAAACACAAGGUAAAUGAGGUUUCAGCGAGACAUUGUGGUUUGGGAGUUGUUUCCGCUUGUGUUUUUGAUCCAUCAACAUAAAAACAACAGUUCUGAUUUUUAUACAUUUGUUUUGAUUCUCUCUAUUUUGAUUAAAAUGAGGGUUAUAAAAGUCAAAACAAAUGGAUGAGUCAAAAUCAUAAUUGGAAAGUGAUUUACCUCCAAAUGUAGUUUAUCUGGGGAAAAGAACAUUGGGAGUGCAACCGAGGGGAAUCUUUUGAAUUAUAAGCAAUGCAUUCACUAAGGGGCUAGGGACUGUUUGAUAGUUUCUGAUUGAGUCAAUGUUUGGCUGAGUAAGACGUAACCCCGAAUCUUACCUGUCCAAGUAAAAACAUUUCAGAUGAGUCAGGACCGAAUCCAUUAAAUCAAUUAGAGGUUUCUAAGCGUGAUAUCAAACAGUUUGAAUAUGACCGUCUAGUCAAAUUUAGUUUCUUAGUCGCUUACCAGACUCAGUAAGAGGUAUAUUAUAUCACAAAAUAACUACUUUCUAAGUAACUAUCACAAAACAACGGCAUAUAUUACAAAAUGAGUUUUACAUGUUUUUGGCUUAGUUAAAAUACUUUGUAAUGGUCUCAAAUACAAAAAAGUUUUGUUUUUUUAUUUAGUUUUAAAAAAUAAUAGGCAAAUUUGCUAAUAGCGAAUAAUUUACCAAUAUAUGUAAUGUCCCGAAAAUUUUGUACUAUAAUACAACAAAUGUGUUUGGGGAUUAUGUUUAAGAGGUUUGUACCAUUUUGUAUUACAAGUGAACUAGAUUAUAACCCGCGUUAAACGUGAGGGAACGCAUAAAAAAAGUACAAAUCGUUGAAGGACAUAUUUGUAGACAACUUUUUAUGUUAAAAAGAAUUGGAUGCAUUAAUGGGUUAAAAUGAAUUUAUUCAAUUCGUUAAUACAUAUAUUAAACAAAAUUAAUACCAUAAAACAAAAUAAGAGAUGAGUUGAUGAUUAAAAAAUUAACGCUACCUUUGAUAUCUUUUUCAUCAGCCACUGAUUACCACGGUGAUUCUUACUUACUUUUUUUGACCAGUCAUAACAAUAAAAAGAAUACUAGCCUUCGUCUAAAUCAAAACCGAUGACAGUAGCAAUGAUGGACAAACUAAUUUCCUAUUUCAUAAAUUUUUUUAAAAAUAUAUCAAAAAGUUUAAUAUAUAUAUAUAUAUAUAUANNNNNNNNNNNNNNNNNNNNNNNNNNNNNNNNNNNNNNNNNNNNNNNNNNNNNNNNNNNNNNNNNNNNNNNNNNNNNNNNNNNNNNNNNNNNNNNNNNNNNNNNNNNNNNNNNNNNNNNNNNNNNNNNNNNNNNNNNNNNNNNNNNNNNNNNNNNNNNNNNNNNNNNNNNNNNNNNNNNNNNNNNNNNNNNNNNNNNNNNNNNNNNNNNNNNNNNNNNNNNNNNNNNNNNNNNNNNNNNNNNNNNNNNNNNNNNNNNNNNNNNNNNNNNNNNNNNNNNNNNNNNNNNNNNNNNNNNNNNNNNNNNNNNNNNNNNNNNNNNNNNNNNNNNNNNNNNNNNNNNNNNNNNNNNNNNNNNNNNNNNNNNNNNNNNNNNNNNNNNNNNNNNNNNNNNNNNNNNNNNNNNNNNNNNNNNNNNNNNNNNNNNNNNNNNNNNNNNNNNNNNNNNNNNNNNNNNNNNNNNNNNNNNNNNNNNNNNNNNNNNNNNNNNNNNNNNNNNNNNNNNNNNNNNNNNNNNNNNNNNNNNNNNNNUAUAUAUAUUUCUUAUACUAUAAUAUUCGUAAGUAAUCAUAUAAAAAAAUUUAUUUUUAUUUAAUAAUAUAUAAACACAAUAAUACAAGUAUUUUAUUCGAUACAAAAUAAAAUAUAAAAAACCCAAAAAAUACUACAAAAUUUUAAAGCGUUUUUAUGUCUUCGUAUUCCAUAUUUUCUUUAGUUUAUCAUUUUUCAUCUCUUCAAUGUUUUUCACAAAUGCUUCCAAAUCUACAAGAAAAAAAUGAUUAAUGUAAGAAAACUCACAAAAAUACAUAUGUGCGCAUAUAGACGUAAUUUAUAUGUGGUUCACUUAUGAUUUAUAUGCGAAUCACAUGUAAUUCAUAUGAAAUUUACUUGUGAGUUACAUGUGGUUAACAUCCAAAUUAUAUGUGAAUCACAUGUAAUUCAUAUGUGAUUCACUUGUGAUAUAUUGCUAAAAUGAAACAAAUUAAAAUAAACGAUAUGGUUAGAAAAAAUAAAUAAUUAAGAUGAUUCACAUGUGAAUCACUUGUGAUCCACAUGUGAAUCACUCGUGAUCCACAUGCGAAUCACUUGUGAUCCACAAGUGAUCCACAUGUGAAUCACAAGUGAUUCAUAAAGCUCAAUAUAGAAGCAAUUAAAAAAAAUAUAUGGUUAGAAAAAACAAAUAAUUAACAUGAUUUACAUGUGAAUUACAUGUGAUUCACAUGUAAAUCACAAAUGAUUCACAUGUGUCACAAGUGAAUCACAAAUGAUUCACAUGUAAAUCUCUUUAUUCAUCAUCAUUUUUCUAUAUAAAUUUUUUGAUAUUAUAUGAUAAUUACCUAAAAUCCAAUGCAACACCAGUAGUUGAUGAAGGUUUGCUUAUAAAGCACUUGGAGGGUGGUAGAAAACCCUGAAAUGUAUUAUAACAAAGCAAGAACAAGAGAAUGGACUUGAGAGAGAGGUUGGGAGAUCAAAAUCGGCUAGCCACCACUAUAUUGUGAAUUAGUCUGAUUUUUGGGGUUAGGGACUUCUUUUAUAGCUUAGGAUUACAACCAUGCAAACCCUAAUGACUCUUUUUACUUCUUAGUCUUUUGGGAUAAACCUUCUUGGACUUUCACAUAGGUUUAGUCCAACUCUAAUCAACAUGAGUCAUGAGCCCAACUAGAAGUAUUACUGAUUUACUUAAUUAGUUCAUGUAUCCUUAAUUAGUUUCUUUUGAUCACUAAAUUAAUACCAAAUUAAUUCUUGAUAAAUACUAAUUAAAUAAUGUGAUUCCUCAAUUAAUAUAUUAUACUCAUACUAUAUUAAUAAACCACAAUAACCUCUUCUUCAAGUAUCCAUCCUAUCAAAUUGUUCCAGAGUGUUACAACCCAAAUGGACCAUGCUAUUAUCGGGUCAAGUACAUACUAAUUAUAGCUAUGGGCUUAGAAACCUAAUCCAACAGUCUCCCACUUGGAUAAGUCUAAUAACUAUAAUUUCCAAUGUUCUUCAAAACCCGAGUAGCAAUCGUAGCUCUCUAAAAGCCAAUGUCGAAUCCUGACGCGCCAUUUAGAUAAGGGAUCAUAUAAUCCUCUGUUCUUCAAGAUAUCAUGCAGACAAAUACAUGGAACAUAGUCAUACUUAUUGUCCAGUUGUUUGUUUCUCGAUUUAUGAUUUGUUUGACAUAGAAUUUAAUUGAACACAUCAAUUUAGGUCUGACUGGGCUCGACACAUAAGUCAAAACAAAAUCAUCGAGGGGCCCAUAUAUUGCUUUUAAUCCUCUUAGGAUAAAAGGAACAUAUAAACUUCAACUUAUAUGCUUGUACUAACUAUCGGUUAAAUCAUAAACAACAACAUUUUUUAUAACAUCGAGUUACUGAUGCGUUUUCGCACUAUCAAUGUAUAACCAACUGAUAAUUAUAUCUUUGUUUGAAGAUUAUAUGAUAUUAUCAUCUCACAAUCACUCAUGAUAAAUUCCAUCAAGUGAUUGAUGUAUGUGUGGGUUGAUCCAAUACUCAAAUCUUAUUUUAAGAUUACUCAUGAAUGUUGAAGCAAACUUUUGCAAUGUCUAACUCCUUAGACAAUCAUACAAAACACAUUCAUGACAGUCUACUUACAAAUCUACUUCGAAAGUAUGAUCCACUGUGGAUAGUUUAAAUAAUCUUAUUAUUCUGGAAGUCAAAAAAUACAAAAUGAAACAAUAGUAAAUAAAUGACACAAGAUAGUAACUUUACUUAUAAAUAAAAUUCCUUUUAUUCAGUCAUCAAAUGUCAAUUACAUUUUAGCUAUUACAAGUUUCUAAAUAUCUAUUUAAUCAUUAAAACUAAUAUCGUCCUUCAACCCAAUGCUCCUUGCAUGUAGCAAGUGCUUAUCCCUACUGAGUCCCUUUGUAAGGGGAUCUGCUGGAUUCUUCUCUGACGAUAUCCUCUUCACUACGAGUAGUCCUUCUUCUACUUGAUGUCUUAUAAAGUGAUAUUUUCUAUCAAUAUGCCUGGAUCUUCUAUGAUCCCUUGGUUCCUUGGCUAAGACAAUUGCACUUUCAUUGUCACAGAAAAUAUCCAUAGGCUCUUCUACAGUUGGUACAACUCCAAGGUAUCUAAUGAAGUUCUUCGGCCAUAUUGCCUCCUUUGCUGCUUUGCUUGCUGCUAUGUACUCUCAUUCACACGUUGAAUCAACCAUAGUUUCCUGUUUGGAACUUUUCCAUGUUAUUGCUCCUCCAUUAAGGGUAAAUACCCAGCUCAACUGAGAGCGGAAAUUAUCUCUGUCGGUCUGAAAGCUGGCGUCACUGUACCCUGUCACUCUCAAGUCAUCUCUCCCACCGAGGGUAAGGACCCAGUCCUCGGUCCUCCAGAGGUACUUAAGAAUGUUCUUUACCGCAGUCCAGUGAGCUUUACCAGGGUUCCCUUGAUAUCUGCUGACCAUGCUUAGAGCAAAGGCCACUUCAGGGCGAGUACAUGUCAUAUCAUACAUGAUCGAGCCAAUUGCGGAAGCAUAUGGUACUCGACUCAUCUCUGCUAUCUUAGCCUCUGUACUCGAACUCUGAGUCUUACUCAUUUUGGUAUUGUUUUAGAUUGGCAAGUCUCCUCUCUUGGAAUUCUCCAUGCAAAAACGCUUCAACACCUUGUCCAAGUAGGUACUUUGGCUAAUUCCUAUUGUCUUUUACUCUUGUCUCUCAAUAUCCUUAUCCCUAGAAUGUAAGCAGCUUCUCCGAGGUCCUUCAUAUAGAAACACUUCCCAAGCCAGGAAUUAACCUCCUGCAAAGUUGGAAUGUCGUAUCCUACGAGCAUUAUAUCAUCCACAUACAACAUGAGAAAGCUAACUAUACUCUCACUAGCUUUGACAUAUACGUAGGACUCAUCCUCGCUUCUAGAAAAUCCAAACUCUUUGACUUUCUCAUCGAAACAAAGAUUCCAUCUGUGAGAUGCUUGUUUCAAUCCAUAAAUGGAUUUCUCAAGCUUACACACCCUAUUAGGGCACUUUGCAUUAACAAAAUCCUCUGGCUGAUUCAUGAAACAUCUUUAGCCAACUUCCCAUUAAGGAAAACGGUUUUGACAUCCAUUUGCCAUAUUUCAUAAUCAUGAAAUGCAGCAAUGGCUAGCAUAACCCUUACAGAUUUAAUCUUAGCCACUGGUGAGAAGGUCUCAUCAUAUUCAACUCCAGGAGUUUGAGUAAAGCCCUUCACAACCAAUCGGGCCUUAUAAGUGUGUACUUUCCAAUCUAUGUCGGUCUUCUUCUUGAAGAUCCAUUUGCACCCGACUGUAUUACGGCCCAGUACAUUGUCAACCAAGUUCCAAAGUUGAUUGUCAUACAUUGAUUGAAUCUCGCGGUCCAUUGCCUCUUUCCAUUUAGCAGACUCAGGGCCUGCCAUGACUUCCUUGUAGCUGUUAGGCUCAUCCAAAUUUACCACUGUACUAUCAUUGAUAAAUGUGUCACCUUCAGUAGUAAUAUGGAAACCAUAAAACUCAGGUGCCUGUCUAACUCUACUGGAAUGCCUCAGAGGUAAGGAAUCGUCAAUCGGUUCAACUGGAGUUUCCUCCUCAGGUUGAGCGCUAGUGUUUGAGGUUCCUUUAUCACUUAACUCUUGAAGCUCUUCAAGGUCAAUUUGCCUCCCACUGUCCUCUUGGCAUAUGAGUUCUCUCUCUCUCUCUCUCUCAAGACUCCUCUCCUCGCAACAAAGACAACAUUGUCACUCGGUCUAUAGAAGAGAUAUCUAAAGGAUUUUUGUGGGUAGCCAACGAAAAUACAACGCUCACUAUGAGGUUCGAGCUUGUCGUGAUUUUCCUUUCUCACGGAAGCCUCGCAACCCCAAACCUUGAUAUGGUCUAAAGAGGGAACCUUCCUUAUCCACAACCCGUGAGGUCUUUUGGUAACCUUUUUAGUUGGGACUAGAUUAAGGAUAUGGGCGACAAUCUUUAAGGAAUACCCCCAGAAUGAGAUAGGUAACGAAGCUCGACUCAUCAUGGAAUGAACCAUGCCCAACAAGGUUCUAUUGCGCCUCUCAGCGACACCAUUAAGCUGUGGUGUCCUAGGUGGUGUCAAUUGUGAAACAAUUCCACAUUCCUUAAGAUAGUUGUGGAACUCGAUACUAAGAUACUCUCCUCCAUGAUCGGAUCGAAGCAUCUUUAUCUUCCUGCCUAAUUGAUUCUCCACUUCUUGCUUAAACUCUUUGAACUUUUCAAAGGUUUCUGACUUAUGCUUGAUUAAGUAGACAUACCCAUAUCUACUAUAAUCAUCAGUAAAAGUCACAUAGAAGCGGUUAACAUCCCUUGUGGCGGUUCUGAAGGGUCCACACACGUCGGUGUGUAUGAGAUCUAACAGACCCUUACUCCUUGCACAAGAACCAGUGAAGGGUGAUUUGGUCAUCUUUCCAAGCAGACAAGAUUUACAAGUGUCAUCUGACUUUAAGUCAAAUGACUCCAAAACUCCAUCCUUUUGGAGUUAGGGUAUAUGCUUCUUGUUGACAUGUCCAAGACAACAAUGCCAUAAGGAUGUUUUUUCCAAACCAUUGGAUGAAUCGAUAUGCAACACAUUAUUUCCUAAGUUAUCUACAACCAUCACAAUUUCAUAUAUACCAUUACAAGAAAAUGCUUCAAAAUAAAGUACAUCAUUAAAAUAAGCAUUAAAACCACCAAUUUUAUUAUUAAAAGAAAAGGUAAAACCUUGUUCAUACAAACUAUGAAAGGAAAUAAUAUUCCUAGCCAUAUCAGAUAAGUAGCAACAAUUAUUGAAGUCUAAUUUUAAACCAUUACUAAGCAAUAAAAAAUAAACUCCAAUCUUGGUGACAUACGACUUUUUCCUAUUCCACAUGAUCAAGUUCAUCUUCGCGUGCUCCACAUCCCUACUUUCUUUUAGACCCUACAAAUCAGAACAAAUGUGAAAACCACAUCAUGUAUCAAGGAUCCAAGAGUUAGCAUAUGAUGAGUUAUUAGACAUAAUAGUAUAAAUACCUGCAAAGGAGGGUUUGAUCUCCCCAUACUUUAUGUCCUGCAAGUAUUUGGGGUAGCUUCGCUUCCAAUGCGCUUUUUCAUGACAAUGGAAACACUCUGCUUCCUUUGGGUUUUAGUAGGUUGUAGCAGGACCACCUUUGGACCCACUAGAAUAGGAUCCAACAUUGGACUUUCCCUUGUGGCUCUUUGAGGAAGAUUUCUUCUUCUUUCCCUUCCCAUGUCCAAUUGCCAAGACAGGGGCAGUAGCAGUAGGAGUAGAAACAACAAAUUUUCCUUUAAGACUACUUUCGGCAGUCCUUAAAAAGCCUUAAAGCUUGCUUAGAGUGACCUACUCCUUGUUCAUGUGAUAGGUUAUACUAAACUGAUCAUAACAAGGACGUAAAGAGUGUAGAAUAAUAUCUAUGGUCAACUCUUCAUCGAAGUUGACAUUCAACUUCAGCAAGUGGUCCACAAACCUUUGCAUCUUUUGCAAGUGGGCCGUGAUGGACUCUCCAUCCUUCAUCUUGGUUGUAAUCAUGAAGGCUAUGAUUUCAUACCUUUACUGCCUUGCACUUUGAUGGUACCUUUCCAUCAAAUCUUGGCACAUUUCAUUAGGCCAGAAGUCCUUAUAGGACUUCUGAAGCUCAACAGUCAUGGUAGCAAUCAUAAUACACGACACUUUGGUCGCGUCCCUCUCAUGGGCCUUGUAUUUAACAAUCUAUUCGGGAGUAGCGGUAGAUUCAUCAAUAUCCUUAAGCUCUUUAUCUAGGAUAUAUUCUUUGUCCUCGUAGCGAAUGGACAUUCGGAUGUUUCGAAUCCAAUCAUUGAAUUUCGAUCCAUAAAAUAUGACCCUCCCACAUAGGUUCAUGAGGGAGAAAGAGCCUGAAGGGUUUGGGUUUGAAGUAGUGUUGGAAGACAUCUGAAAAGAAAGACAAAGUUCAAAUUAGAUAAUGAUCCUUAAUAUAGCACCCAAAUAAAAUAUUAAGGCUAGGAACCAACACAAUACUUUACAAUUUGGAGAGGGAUGCCGUAAUCCAAUUGUAAAAUAUUUGAAGGUAGGUAAAUGACGAUUUACCAAUUUCCACCAUGAAAAACAAAAUUGAUUAUUAAGUUUUAAUUGGAUUGAAAUUCCUAGAUUCUUUUGAGAUUCAUUGAAAUCUUCAAUGUCAUGUUUUAAUCUCUAUUAUGCCCUUCAAGUUUGUGAUUGGGAUGCCGAGGAUCAAGAACAAGGUGUGAAUAACCAUGCAAAUUAGCUUGGUACACCUAAUGUCACACCCCCAAACCAGAACGGCAGAAAUGUUCGAGGGUGGAGGAAGUCAUUUGUAGUAUCACAACAAUUGCAUCAUAGUAAUCGAAGUAAACAUAACCAUUACAUUAUAAUAUGAAUAUUUACAUUUGCUUGAAAACAUAGUUUGUAUACACCAAAAAUAUAACAAAAGAUAAAGACGAGACUCCAAAAAAAUGCCCCGUCUUCUCCAUAAGCUAACAAGAGUACCUGUCUACUAUUGUCCUGAGAAUACAAACGAUUUUGAAAACAUAUCAACAUAAAGCUGAUGAGUUCAUAAGCAUGUUUUUAUAAUGGAAACUAGUCACUGAAUUUGUAUAAAAAUUGUUUUCUAUUGUAUGUAAAGUAUGAUUCAUUUUGACAUCCCUGGUUACUACCAGUAUGUAGAAUACGUUCUUGUUUGAUGACACUGGUUACUACUAGUAUGUAAAGUACAAAAGUUCGACUGGGAAAAUCCCUUAUUUUCCCUUGUGAGUUGUUGCUUUAAUGGUUCCGAAACGGUGAGGCAUAAGUAUAUUCCAUAUUUAUGUGAUUAAAGCAAUUUUUCAUGAGCAAUGUAUUAUUACGUAAAAGUGUCUUACUAUUGACGAGUUUUAUGACCAUACUUAAACUUGAUAUGAUGUGAAACUGACGUCGAUAUCCUUUAUGACAUUUGUCACCCGUAGACCUGUCGGUCCGACUGUAGCUAGCAACAAGGUGCAGGAUAGUCAGUCCCAUAUAGAUCUAUACACAAAAGCCACACUUUCCCUCCAGGAAACUCAGGUUCAUAUGGGUAGUCCUCCACUUAUUUAAUGUUGUAAGCGGCCAAGGACUUGUCUCCCAAUUAUGUUAACGACUUUACAAGUAAUAAUAUAGAAAGCGUAAAGUUCUUUCAUACAUGAAUUCAAUGUAUGUUUUGUAGAGUAAAAAUAAUUAUACUUAAAUAAUUAUUAAUUGUUGUACUCUUGUAAUGUGUGUCAUAAACUAAAUCUGUCAUAGUUUAUUUGUUCAAUCGUGUAAGUAGUUUGCAUCUGUAAAACUGGUAAUGAAAUUUCCCAAACUAUACUUAUUAUAGUUUGACUGUUAUGUUCGUGAAACUAUUUUGAAAACUAUGCAAUUAAAUUUAGAAAACAUCCCUUAUGCUCUACAUAAUACAAAAGGGAUAAAGUAUCUAACUGUUUUAUGAAAACCAUUGAUUUGUAUAAAUUGCAUAAGUUUUGAUCCAUUGAAAACCUUUAAGUUUGGCUUGUGUCCCCCCUGAAAAACGUUUAAAAAACAUAAAUGCGUAGGGGUAUGAACUCACAGUUUGUUGUGAGAUUCGAAUGUAAGUUGAUAGGAAUUUUGAGUGUCAAAUGAAACCUCGGACACAAACGAAUCCUAUUUAACAUAUAGUAGUACAUAUAUGUAUUAGAUAAGGAUAUAACACCAUUAGUUAUGGAAGGAAACCACCUUAGGGACUAGGAAACACUUGAAACUAAGUGUUAGAAUCACACGUGAUUAAAAGAGGGGAGUUUGCGGUCACAACAAAGGGUGUACGAUCAUGGGUUUGCGGCCUAAUGAGGUUCUCGGACCAAGAGUUUGUGGCCAGGUGUUUGCGGUCCAUGGGUUUACGGCCCAUGAGUUUGUGGCCGUAAACACUCGAUGAAAGGUGCGAUUUGCGGUUUUUCAAGGUCCUUUCUAGCCUCAUGGAAGUGUUCUAGGUCACAUGCAUGGCUUAAGGAAGAUUUUAAGGCCAAUAAUCGACCAAAAACUAGGGUUUGCGGCUAAUGAGGGGUGUACGGCCGUAAACCCUCCAUGAUCAUGUCUUUUGGGUCGAUUUUAAGGUGAAUAACAAGCAUUUCUAGAAGAUAACAAGCAUAAGAAGCAGUUACUUACUAUAAGGAUGCUUGGAAUGAGGUUUUUAGCCACCAGGAACUAGUGUGUGUUCUUGGUGAGAGAGGAGAUCUAGACAAAGAUGAGUUAAAUGAGGUAGGAACAUGGAUUCAUCACUAGAUAAGAGAUUAAAACACAUUCAAGAUGGAGGAUCACUUACAUUUUUAGGAUCUUUGAGCAAAAUCGAUGGAUGUAGAGAGAGAGAUAGAGUAGAGAGAGAAAGACUUUGAAGUGAGUAAAGUGUGAAAUAAAGGCCAAGCAUCCCUUAUAUAGGGUUGAGUUUUCGGCCAAGGGGUGGGUGGGGGUAUACGGCCGUAAACUCGAGUUUGCGGCCGUACACUCCUCUCGAAGGGGUGUUCGGCCCGGAUGCUACGAUAUGACUUAGAAAAACUCGUUCUUAGACCCAAAUAUUGAUUGCAAUGAGCUUAGAAUAUUCAAUUAGACCCAAAAUAAUGCUAAUGAGAGCAGAAAUAAAUCUGAAUUGAUUGAUUUUUAAACGGUUCGAACAUAAAGAAGUUUCGGGUUGUAACACCUAAUGUUACAAAUCACACAAUCAAUGUGCCAGUUAACCACACAUGCUCCAUUGAUCAAUGAUUAACGUCAAGCUACCCUUUGCCACACAUUGUUAGUCCCAAAUUAGUGUGCCGGUUAACCACACACGCUCCACUAACGACUUAACAAGGUGCAAAGUGCAAUUUCAUGGAAUAACACCAUUUUCAAAUUUUUCCUAAAGUAACUAAGAUUGGGAAUUAGUGUCCUAUCCUACCCAUUCGGCUAAUGACCCUCCACCAGUCAAGGAAGCGAUGGGUGAGAGUGGACACCCAUUAAACCAACAUUUUAUAGGCAAUAACCUUUUACCCCCCUUAUAGAUUGACUUCAUGAAUGAGGCCUACUAACGGUAAGUCUUACUUGUCUUAUACAUAUAUAAGUAUUAAACUUUAAUAUUAUAAUAGUAUAAGGGUUGGAUUUUAAACUUUUAAAAUUCUAGGGUUUGGAAUUAAAGUUUCAUAAAUGCGACUCUUCAAGUUCCAAAACAUAAGGGCAAGUUUUGUAACUUGUCAAAACUUUUGAUUUCCAUAAAUCAUGGAUUUUAAAGUUCCAUGAAUGAGACCUUUCAAAUUCCAAACUUGAGGGCAAGUUAUGAAACCUUUCAUGAGUCUUGAAUUCUAUAACUUACAUGAGUUUAUAGUUUCAUAAAUUAUGACUUUUCAUUUUCCAUAACUUGAGGACAAGUUAUGAAACUUUUCAAGAACCACAUAAAGAUCAAAUGAACUAAUCCAAUUAUCAUAUAAUUAAUCAUUUACCAAUUUGACCUAAUUUUAUUCAUGCCACAUGAUAACUUCAAAUUUUACAAAUAACUAGUUUUUCACUAAAUCAAGUAAUUAUCUUAAAAUUGGACAAACUUCAUGUUUUGGAUGAGAAUAAAAAUUACCAUAUUAGUAAAAUUAAAUUUUAUCAACCAAAACAGUUUGUGGUAAUGAUCCUAAUCCAAAACAGGCCAAAAACUUGAAAAAUUUGCCACCAGAUGAGCCAACUCGUUGAGCCAAGCUUUGGACUUGUCGAGUUCAUGGGAAAACUCAUCCAACUCAUCGAGUCCAUAUAUGGACUCGUCGAGUCCUUCAGACAGUGGCCAGAAAAGUCAUUUUUCCAACUUUAAAAAUCACACAUUUGCAUCAAUAUAAUAGAAAGCACCCUUGGCUCUGAUACUUCUGAUGGGUUUUAUGUACUCUAACAUUCCUAUGGUGCACAUACAACCCUAAUGAUUUGGAUCAAAGUUUUCUCUAAUUAUACAUGCAACAUUGUUUUUCCGAAGCAUAAAGCCUAAACUAGCUUGCAAGGCAACAUUUGAAUCAUAAAAAUAGUUAGAAGAUUACCUUGUGUAGUAGCUUGCUUGUCUUUGACCUUUAGGAGCCUAGCACCUCAAGUGUGAUGCCUAAAAUGUGUUAUAAAAAACCAAGAACAAGAGAAUGGACUUGAGCGAGAGGUUGGGAGAUCAAAAUUGGCUAGUCACCACUAUAAUGUACAUUUGUCCGAUUUUAGGGGUUAGGGACUUCUUUUAUAGCUUAGGAUUACAACCAUGUAAACCCUAAUGACUCUUCAUAUUUCUUAGUCUUUUGGGCGGAAACUUCUUGGAGUUUCAUAUAGGUUUAGUCCAACUCUAAUCAACAUGAUUCAUGAGCCCAACUAGAAGUAUUACUGAUUUACUUAAUUAGUCCCUGUAUUUUUAAUUAGUUUCUUUUGAUCACUAAAUUAAUAUCAAAUUAAUUCUUGAUCAAUACUACUUAAAUAAUGUGAUUCCUCAAUUAAUAUAUUAUACUUAUAAUAUAUUAACAAACCACAAUAACAUCUUCUUUAAGUAUCCAUCCUAUCAAAUUGUUCCAGAGUGUUACAACCCAAAUGGACCAUGCUAUUAUCGGAUCAAGUACUUACCAAUUAUAGUUAUUGGCUUAGACACCUAAUCUAACACUUUACACGUCCAAAAGUUCUUAAUACAAGGUCUUAAUCCAUUAACACCCUUCUACCAAAUGCAUGGGACACUUCUAGCCAUUGGAACCUCAUUUUUUAUGAUUAAGGACCCCUGCAUGGGUCUGAAAGGAUGACUCAAAACAUUCAGAACAUGCCAUGCUCAGAUGGAGCAUUUGGGACCAAAAAGAAGCAUAAAAAGAACCCAACAAGAGAUCUAUCAAUGAAACCAUAAAGGUAUGGACUUUAUACCUUUAGAUGAUGGAGAAGGAAUCCAAACUCCCAGAUCCAAACCUUGCUUCAAGUUUCCAAGCUUCUUGAUGCACUUACUUUGCCUCUAAAUCACCAAGAAUUCACUUUAAGGCUCUCACUCUUGCACAAGGGGGACAAGGUUUUGCAAGAAUGAAUCAAGGACUUGGAGGCUGAAAGCAUAAGGGAAAAUGGUCAAUAAUGAUGUUUAAAUACUCCCCGAACACUAAACAUUAGGUUUCACCCGAACAUUAGUACGCCCAAUGUACAUAUGUGUACACCCAGCGUACUAGGGUGUGCCCUAGUAUGCUUAGUGUACUCACAUGUAUGCCCAACAUACUACUCCUGCUCCCAAAAUUACCAUAUUGCCACUACGACUCCCUAGGGCUACAUCUUUAUAAUCUAAGGACCCAAAAAUGAAAUACUUAAAACCAAAGGAAGGAUUUGAAAAUACUUGAAACCUGGGAUGUUACAAUUCUCCCCCACUUGAUCUAGACAUCGUCCUUGAAUUCUGUUGCAACAAAAAUUUUUGGGUAAUGCUCCCGCAUCCCAUACUCUAGCUCGCAGGUCCACCCGGAGCCCCUCCGAUGCUGCCAUUGUACCUUUACCAAAGGUACUUCCUUGUUACGCAAAACCUUAACCAUUCUCUCCAGAAUAGCUACUGGCCUCUCAACAUAGUUUAGGCGUUCAUCAACCUGAAUGUCAUCCAAGGAGACUACCACGUCCUCAUCUAAUAUGCACUUUUGUAACUACAAAACGUGGAAAGUGCUGUAAAUCCGACUGAGCUCCUCAGGAAGAUCCAAUCUGUAAGCAACCUUGCCAAUCCUAGCAAUAACCCGAAAAUGACCAAUAUAUCGGGGACCCAACUUCCCCCUCCUCCUGAAGAGGAUGUCAAUUUCAUCUAAGGAAUAACCCUAGGCCAUCAGGCAUCAUAUGGUCAAACAAAUCUAUCAUGCAGUUCCUGAAGAUCCCUAGCUUAUCAGUAGCAUGCUGUUCUUACAUAUCACAAAAUCAAAUAACAAAGUGGUAAUUUGGGGUGUACUUGUUGGCUCCGACUGAUCAUACAUAUCGUAUCCUCUUUAGUUUAAAAUCGACUUUGAAAGUUAUUUUUAAAACCUUUACUUUGAAAAUUAUUUUUUUAAAACCCCUUUUCCUUAGUUUGAGACAGGAUUCACACGAGUGUUCCUCCAAUUCACUCAAACCAAGGCUCUGAUACCAACUUGUAACGUCACAAAAAUUACAACAAAUUUAAACCUUUCAAAACAACCCGUUUGUUAAGCAAAGUGUUUACAAAAACAUUGUCUCCAAAACAUAAUUUAAAGUCAGAGUUUCCCGAGAUCCAAUCCGUCAUAUAACCGAGGAUGUGUACGGUCACGCCUUCGUCUUGCCACAAAUCAUCCGAAGAACCUGAAACCAUAAACAAACUGUAGGCAUGAAGCUUAGUCAGUUCUGUUGGAUUAGGUGUCUAAGCCCAUAACUAUAAUUGGUAUGUACUUGAAUUGAUAGUAGCAAUGUCCUUUUGGGUUGCCUUCAAACCUGACAAUUGAAUAGGAUAACUAUUGGAGAGAAAAGAAUGAUUUAUUAAUUUAUUACUUGGUUAAUAAAUUAAUUUGAAAUAAAGAUAAAUGAUUUAUUAAUGUAUUAUAGAUAUAAUAUAUUAAUUAGAAAUCAUAUUGUUUGAUUAAUAUUUAAUCAGAAAUGGAAUUAAUAUUGGGAUUAAAGGAAUUAAUAGAAACUAUAGGGACUAAAUGUGACAAUGCUCUAAAGUUGAGCAUUGAAGUAUUAUAGAACCUCCCUUAGAGGUGGGGAACGAAAUCUAGAGUGUCCUAGGGUUUCAUUGGGCUCUAAGGGUGCCUUGGAAGCCUUAGGGAGGAAGUUAAGGGAUUAGAGUUAUUUAAGAUACACCUGCCUUAUCCUAAACCUUCCUUAUCACCUAUAUAAACCCCUAUAGGGUUAGAUUUCGUCCCAUGCACUCUAAGAAAGGCUUAGAUCCGAAUUUUCACUUCCCUUAUCUCUCUCCGUAGUAAUCCUUGGUUUCUAGGUUUGUUUGUAAGCCAUUAGAGGCGCGACACUUGUGGCGCUUGCUACCAAAGUUCACGAUCUUCAAGGAUUUGAUUGUUAUUACAAUAUUAAAAUAAAGGUAUGUAUUCUAACCCUAACUAUAUGUUAAUUUUGAAAAUUACAUGUGCGUCUAAGGGUUUCUAGUUUUUGUGUUCAAUGCUUGUAUGUCUAAUAGUGAAAACAAAGAUCCUCAAAUUAGGGUUACAUGCACACAUAUGAUUGUUUGCUAUGUAUAAAACCCAUCAAUGGUAUUAGAGCUUUUAGUUGUUGUUUUCAAUUAGAUUUGAUACAAAAGUAUGAAUUUGAUAAAUUAGGGUUUAUGGAAAAUAAACCCUAGGGCUUGGAUUUUUGAAAUUAGGUUUUCAAAACCCUGGUUUUCGAAAUUUGUUCGGGUUUCUUGAAUCCUUUUCCUUUGGCCCCAUAUUUUCGAUUUUAGGGUUGGUAAACCCUAGGUUUUUCGAAAAUACCUUCCUCCCCAAGAUUAGAUUUCAAAAUUUUAGGGAUUAGGAUAAUAUUAUCUUUGGUAAUUAUCUUAUUAAUUGUUUAAAUGGAUAAUUAAAGAUUUUGAAAUAUCCCUUCCCAAAUUUUCCAAAUCCAGGGGAUAAAAGGAUUAGGUUAAAUUAAUUAUUUAAUUUAAUGGAUAAUCCUUUAAGAUUUAAUAAUAUAAAUUAAUUGUUUAAUUUCGGAUAAUUAUUAAAUCAAAGUUUUAAUAUUUAAGAUUUUAUAAUUAAAAGGUAUUAAUUUUUCGAAAAUUUUAAAUUUGAUUAAAAACCCUAGUAUUUUGAAAGUGUAAAAUACAUCCUUAUACUAUAUAAAAUCACNAAGAUUAAUCAAAUUAAAAAGUCUAAUUUAUUAAUAGUUUAAACCAAAUAGUAUUUUAAAAGUGUAAAAUACAUCCUUAUACUAUAAAAAUUAAAAGUCUAAUAUAUUAUAUAUGUAUACGUAAAGAGUCAGUCUUACCGUUAGUAGGCCUCAUUCACGAAGCUGGUCUAUAAGGGGUGUUUAAGGAAGCGGCCUGUAAAAUGACCGACAUUGGGUAUCCACUUUUACCCACCGCACUCUUGGCUAGUGGAGGGCCAUUAGCCGAACGGGUAGGAUAGGACACAACCUUCCAUUAUAAGUAUAAUUAAAUAAGAAGUAACUAAACACUUUUAAAAAUUCCCAAAUCUUAGUUACUUUAGGAAAAAUGUGGAAUUGGUGCUAAUCCAUGAAAUUGCACAUCGCACCUUGUUGGUCGAUAGUGGAGCGUGCGUGGUUAACCGGCACACUAAUAUGGGACCAAUGAAGGAUGGCAAUGGGUUUCUCGUAAAAUUAUCAUCGAUCAAUGGAGUAUGUAUGGUUAACUGGCACAUUGAUUGGGUGGUGAUCGACAUCGAGAGUACCAAGCUAAUUUGCAUGGUUAUCCACACCUUAUUUAUGAUCCUCGGCAUCCCAGUCACAAACUUGAAGGACAUAAUCGACAUUAAACAUGCCAUUGAAAUGUUCAAUGAAUCUUAAAAGAUCUAGGAGUUUCAAAACAUUUAAAACCCAAUUUUCUUUUCGUUUUUCAUGGUGGAAAUUGGUAAAUCGUCAUUUACCUACCUUCAAAUAUUUUGCAAUUGGGUUACAACAUCCCUCUUCCUAAUUGCUGAAUAUUGUGUUGGAUCCUAGCCUUGAUAUUUCAUUUGGGUGUUAUAUCAAGGAUUCUUAUCAACUAACUUGAAAUUUAUUCUGUUUUGUAGAUGUCAAAUGACUAUGGUCUUCCCGAAUCCUUUGGAAAAAGCUUUCCACUUGAAGGUGAUGUUCUACGAUUGGAUCGUGGAAAUGUAAAUCAUGCUUCACUUCCUACACCUCCUGCAAUAGUUCUCUCUGACCCACGUGUUCUAAGACUUGAAAAUUUCAAGGUCACUCAAGCCCUAUUGGCAAGUAAAGUCACACAUUGACAAGUUGGGAAUGUUGGGUGUCAUUGUCUCAAGGAAGUUGGCUGUUGACUUAGUUCCUCAAUCACUUCCCAAAUCAUAUAGUGAGUUCAUUAGAGAGUACUAUAUGAUGGACCAUUACGUGACCCUCAUUGAUCUUACCUAUUUGCUUAUUGCUGCUGAAUCAACAACGAUUUGGCACACUAGUCAAGCAAAUUUGUUGGGAAGAUCAACCUCCCAAACUUCAUGGACAUUGACAAUGGCAACAUUGGAAGUCAAGAAAAGUCUUCUCUUCCUAAUGGAAAGGGAUUGGAUAAGGUCAAACCGUUUAACCAAAUGGUAAAGAGAAAGGCUGAAUCUGAAAUUGUCCCAUGUGCUGUUCCAAAAGAGUCCGUUUGUUUCUACUGCCAAGAGAAGGGGCAUUGGAUGCGAAGAUGCCAUAUGUACCUGAAAGAUCGCAAGGAUGGGAGAGUCAAGAUGUAUGAGUCUGCUUCAGGUAAAUCCACUAUCUAACUCUAUUAUGGUCUUAUUUGUAGAUUCUUAAUAAAUGAUGUGAUAAGAUUACAUUUUGAUAUUUUGUAGGAUUGAAGAAAAGAAAGGAAGCUUAAAAAGGAUGAGUGAGCUGAGUCUGAUCACAAAGGAAUGGAUUUCGAUCGCAUGGUUCGAAGAUCGGAUUUUUGAGCUGCUACUUAGAAGAGUUAGGAUAGAUUGCUUAGGAAUAUUUACAUAGUUUUCAUUUGUAAUUACGAUUGUAAGGACAAGUUUUUCUGCUUUUUUAUAAAGAAAAUAAAUUUUGAUUUUUGUCUUAUCCUUUCAAUGACUUUUGUGAAAAUUGAUGUUUGUACGUUUCUAUUGUUAGCAAUAUUGAAAAUGGAUGUGAUUCUUAGUUAUGUUAUUCAUGGAAGCGUCAAAGAUUUACCAAAUAGAGAAUGAUUCUUAUCACCCAAGUUUCAACUGGACAAAAACUUGGAAUUGCGCGACUUGUGUUGUGUGAUGAAUGAGAACCUUCGUAUUUGGGAAAUUGAGACUAAUUCCUUGUUCACACAAGUAUGUGAGUAAAGUGAAGGACUAGGGGAUCUAGUAUACAUUUUUGUGCACUAGGUCAAGUCCGCCACAAAGAAUGAUAAUAAUAUUUGUCAUGAUUUGCUAAAGGUUUAGUAAAUAUGGUUAUGCUUACAAGAUUAAGUGUAAUUCUGAAUCGUUAAAAAGGUAUCAAUGUAAAGCAGAACAAAUAGGAAGAAUCAAUUAGGAAGAAAGAUAAAAGUUUCUCCAAUCUAAAAAGAAGGGAGAGUACUUAAUUAUCGUGUUCUAUGAUUAACCAAGUGAUUAUGAAACCGUGUCGCAAUUGAUCCUCUAAGGACACCUUAGUGCAUUUGUAUGGCUAAGAAGAGAAAUCGACAAUUUUUGAAAUGGUUAAAUCGAUUAAGGAGAAUCAUACUUCGUUCCAAAAACAAGCCUUAGAGUCGUACUCCAAGAUUGUGUACUGAGUGAUAUGUUGUAAGUAGGUUUAUAACACAUCAUCAAAUGCGGAGCAGAAAUGUUUCUCACUCCUGCACGUUUGAAAUUGGUAAGUUGUGAUGUCUUGGAUAAGACAAAGACCAACUAAGACCAAUCGUGUGUUGUGGUUUUGUCUUGAUAGGAACCCGCACUAACUCGUGAGUAUUUGUUUGUCAAGGAAUGUUUUUUGACAAGAGAAUCUUAUAUGUCAAGAGGUCAGUGGGAGUCUUAAUGAUCUUGAAAAGUUUCAAGAAAAAAUAAAGAAUAAACCUAGUUGUUCAUCACUAGCACACGACUUGAGGUUUAUAACCUAUCGUGUUGACAUAGUUUUGUUUCUGUGCCAUUCCAAUAAAGUUGACUAUGCAUGUGAGUUCUAAGAGUUCUCAAUUGAUUGCAUAAACCAAAACACCUUGAUUGCUGAAAGUUCAUUGAUCUGUAUGGGUGAGCUGCUUGACUACUUGGUAGACAUGGUAGGCCCUUGUGCUGCCAGGUGGCAAGAAAUAAAGAUUGAACAUGUUCAGUCCAUAUGAGUUUAGAUUUGUCACAAACCUUGUCUUAAGAUUAUGGUUAUGAAAAAUUCACAUGGAUAGAAACACAUACACCAUAAAAUCUAAGUGACAAGGUUUCUCUCCAUUUCAUGAAAAUGAUUGUGAGGAAACGCUUUCACUAGGAAGAUUUUAAGGAGAUAGGGAUUGUGAAAAUUGCGGUCUCAAACCCAAUCAUGAUUACGACAUCCCUCUUCAUGGUUCGAAUUGUGAGAUUUGGAAAUUAGUCUGAACAUUUGGAACUUAUUAAUAUAAGUUCUGAAAUAGUUUAGACAUACCUAUGGGAUUUUUAAUAAAAGGGGUAUGAAAUUAGAUAAAGUCUUAUUAAAGCAUCAUGUAUCAGAAAUAUGAACUUUGAUAAGAAAGUCAAUAAGUAUUGAUUUCUAGAAGUCCAGCUGUUUUCUGAAUACAUGUCAAAGCUAGUGGGAGCAUAAGUGUUAUGCAGGUAAAGAUAUAAUUAUCAUGUUAGUGGGAGCAUGAUUAUUAUGUUGCAAGUUAGCAAUAUUAAUUAUAACAAAAGUUUCAAUUCGCAAAGUUGCAAAAGUUGAAAAGUCGUUUUGCUAUAAUUAAGGGAGAGGAACUUAUACUUCAUUUCAAAUCUAAAAGCUUAGAUCAAGAAAUUUUAAUCAAUUUAGUCAAAGGACAUAUAUGAAUGUUAUGUUGAAAAGAUUCAACAUAUUGGAAUUCUAUAUAUAACAAUAUUGUAGCAGGAGUCUGGUAAAAUAUAACUUCUUUAUGCAAGACAUUAUGUAUCGUAUCCCAUACGCUUUGGGUAUAGUAUCGAUUGCAUAUGCUGUAAUAUUCAACUGUUCUAAUUUUCCAAAUGUCUAGGGCAUUAAGAGGGAAAAGGACAAGAAUCAGAUAUGACUAAAGUAAGUUAAAAAUCUGUCAAGUACAAUCUAAGGUUCGCCAAGGAUUCUUCACUUGUGGGCAGUUGGAAGUAUAGAAAUGGAUGGACCAAAUUGACAUUAUCAUGAAAAGAUAGGAUUCUAUUUAGAAUGUGUUGUCAUAUGGAAAAUAUGGAAAAUUUUCGAUAAUGGGAGUUGGAUAUUAAGAAUUUAUGUAGAUUAGAAACUUUUAUGCAAGAAGGAUGUGAAGGGUUUUGAGCAUUCUAACACUCCUAAGGUGUACAUGCAACCCUAAAUACCUUGGAUCUAUGUUUUAUCUAUUAUACAUGCAAAUAUCAAUUUUCCAAGGUAUUAUCCUAACUAUCAUAUUAUGAAGUACAAGUAAUAUAAAAUCUAGUAGAAUAACAUACCUCUUUGUUGUAGUUUGAUUCCAUGUAGCUUAAGAGCCUAGUGCCUCAAGUGUGAAAUGGUUCACACAACAUACGAUCCAUAGACCUCUUUAUAUAGUGUGGAGGAUUAGGGUUAUAUUCAUGUAAACCCUAAUACCCAUGACCUUUCAUUUCCAUAGGAUCCAUGGUUUAAACACUCCAUGGACUAUCCAUGAAAGAUUAGCCCAAUCUAAAUGAACUUGGCCCACAACAUAUAUAUAAGAGUCCAUAUUUAACUAGUUCCUUUUGAUAACUAAAUUAAUUCUAAAUUAAUUAUUGAUCAAUACUAAUUAAAUAAUAUGGUUUCAUAUUAAUAUAUUAGAACUUAUAAUAUAUUAAUAUAAAUCACUAGUAUCCUUUUUUUUUCUCAUUUUGUCUAUCCAAUUGUUCCGAUGCCAUGCAACCCAAAUGGACCAUGCCAAGUCGGGUCGAAUACAUAUCGAUAAUAAUUUGGGCUUAGACAUCUAACCCAACAGGAUGUUCAAAGGAAUGCACUUUGAAUGUGAGACUUCAUAUCUGUGGAGUUAUCUUGUAACAAUCUCUAAUAAAGCACUUUGUAAUUUCAUUAGCAAAGUCUUUGUGACUUUGGUGCUAUGUCAUUAUAAAAGGAUCAUUGCAUAAAAAGUUAGAAGCUAACACAUAGCAAGAAUUUGGUAUUCUUACACUUGUGAUAAGGAUUGGGAAUUGUGAAAUGAGAAUCAUUGGAAAUGUGUUCAAUUGAUCUAUUUCACAAAGUAAGGACCAUAGGUAAACAUAGUAUGCAUGCUUGGAUUCGAUUAUUCUUGUGUUUCACUUCGCAUGUUUUGACUUCACGAAUAACUAGGUUAUUCAAACAUCCACAGUCAAUCAUACUUUGGAAGUAGGUAAUGAGGUAAAACUGUAAUGAAUCCGACUGUAGAUUGUCUGAAGUGUUUAGACAUAGCAAAAGUCUGUUGCAGUGUUCAUGAGUGCUCCUGAAAUAAGAUUUGAGUAUUGGAAUAACCCACGCUCACGUGAAUCACUUCAUGGAUUUUAUCACGAGUGGUUGUGAGACGAAAAUAUAUUAUAUUCUUGAAACGAAGAGAUAUAGUUGCAGUUUACAAGUCGGUUGCUCAUUGGCAAUAUGUAAACGCACUAGUAACUUGGUGUUAUAAAACAUAUUGUUGUGUGUGAUUUGAUGAGUAAAUAGGGCAAGCAUAUGAGUCGAUGUUUAUCCGUUCCUUUUAUCCAAAGUGGGAUAAAAGCGAUAUCUGUGGGCCCCUCGAUGAUUUAGUGAUGACACCCUAAGCGCUUGGCAAUGCUUGGGCUAAGUUGAUGUGUUCAACUAAAGUCUAUUGUCAGCCGUCUUAAAUCGGAAAUCGGGAAACAACUAUUGGACAAAGAUAAAUUAUAAUACAUGUCUCAUGUCCAUACUAUAUCUUGUAGAACGGAGUAAUAUUUGAUCUUUUAUCUAAGGACACGUCACUGACUAGGUCAGAGUUCGACAACGACUUUUGGUAGCUAAAACUUGCUAGUCAAUUUUUGAAGUUAUACUUGAACCUAUAGUUAUUAGACUUAUCCAAGUAGGAGAAUGUUGGAUUAGGUGUCUAAGCCUAUAACUAUAAUUGGUAUGUACUUGAAUUGAUAGUAACAAUGUCCUGUUGGGUUGCCUUCAAACCUGGCAAUUGAAUAGGAUAACUGUUGGAGAGAGAAGAAUGAUUUAUUAAUUUAUUACUUGGUUAAUAAAUUAAUUUGAAAUAAAGAUAAAUAAUUUAUUAAUGUAUUAUGGAUAUAAUAUAUUAAUUAGAAAUCAUAUGGUUUGAUUAAUAUUUAAUCAUAAAUUAAUUUGGAAUUAAUAUUGGGAUUAAAUGAAUUAAUUGAAACCGCAGGGACUAAAGGUGAAAAUGUUCAAAAUUUGAGCAUUGAAGUAUUAUAGAACCUCCCUUAGAGGUGUGGAAUGAAAACUAGAGUGUCCUAGGGUUUUCUUGGGCUCUAAGGGUGCCUUGGAAGCCUUAGGGAGGAAGUUAAGGGAUUAGGGUUAUUUAAGACACACCUGCCUUAUCCUAAACCUUCCUUAUCAUUUAUAUAAACCCCUAUAGGGUUGGAUUUCGUCCCAUGCACUCUAAGAAAGGCUUAGAGCCGAAUUUUCACUUCCCUUAUCUCUCUCCAUAGUAAUCCUUGGUUUCUAGGUUUGUUUGUAAGCUAUUAGAGGCGCGACACUUGUGGUGCUUGCUACCAAAGUUCAAGAUCUUCAAGGAUUUGAUUGUUAUUACAAUAUUACAAUAAAUGUAUGUAUCCUAAACCUAAUCAUAUGUUAAUUUCGAAAAUUACAUGUGCCUUCUAGGGUUUCUAGUUUUUGUGUUCAAUGCUUGUAUAUCUAAUAGUGAAAACAUAGAUCCUCAAAUUAGGGUUGAAUGCACACAUAAGAUUGUUUGCUAUGUAUAAAACCCAUCAGUGGUAUCAGAGUUUUUGGUUGUUUCUUUCAAUUAGAUUUGAUACAAAAGUAUGAAUUUGAAAAAUUAGGGUUUAUGGAAAAUAAACCCUAGGGCUUGGAUUUUUGAAAUUAGGGUUUCAAAACCCUAGUUUUCAAAAUUUGUUAGGGUUUCUUGAACCCUUUUCCUUUGGCCCCAUAUUUUCGAUUUUAGGGUUGGUAAACCCUAGGUUUUUCGAAAAUACCUUCUUCCCUAAGAUUAGAUUUCAAAAUUUUAUGGAUCAGGAUAAUAUUAUCUUUGGUAAUUAUCUUAUUAAUUGUUCAAAUGGAUAAUCAAAGAUUUUGAAAUAUCCCUUCCCAGAUUUUUGAAAUCUGACCUGAAGCGAUCUCGGCUCAAAAAGGACAAUCUCCUCCUCCAUAAUCUCCAUGAUCCCCUCCUUGAUGGUACUGAAAAUCACCGGGGGUAGCGUCAAGGAUGCCUCGAGUUACCUCGACUGCGAUAAGCUCACGCAACCUCUCAUCAAUCGGCUCUGCCCUGGAUCCUGAACCCGAACCCGAUCCCGAACCUGAACCUCCUUGAGUAGCCAUCAACAUACUUAACUGAAAAUACAACAUAGAAAGCAAUUGAUAAGGAAGUUCAAAGGUAUUUCUCCCCACCAGACUCUUUAGAGCUUCCAGGUUUGUCCUCGUCUUGGGUACAGGUCCUGUGCUUUUAGUUGUACGGGCCCAAUACUACCUUCCACACCUACCUGUACCUUCCCCCAACGCCAUACCUGAUACCUCUAAUUUACCAAACCAUAGAUAAAACAUGACCUACGAAACACAACACAUAUGCAUAUCCUAGAAUCUUCAGGGAUUUAUCAAUCCUCAUAGAACCAGAAACCUCAAUCAAAACCGCAAGUUGCCUUAUGCAUGCAAGUUAUACAUAAAUAGAAUCACAUAGACUGUCAAAUAAAGUUUCUACCCUAAGACCACAAUGAAACAAGGAACAAGAAGUAAGGUAGAAUCCAUCAUUCUAGGGCUAUGCAAUCCUAAACCAUAUACAACUUUGAAAGCAUACACUUAGCAAAUAACAAAGUCAACAUCGAUUCCAAGCAUUAUAUUCAUAGCAUUGAAUUCUCCUAGGCUAUAAGGCAUCACACAAAUCAGACAAUUCUCAUAAAUCCUGAAGGUAUCCUUAGCCCUAUUCUAGCAUGCAUUUUACAUAUUAACAUACUAGUUGCAAUUCAUAAGCAUGGUUAAAUUUUUGGAAUCACUUACUUGAGCUUGGCCAAUUACGCGCAUUGAACUCUCCCUUUUUAUUUAAGAAAACGAUUUCAGAAAAACUUGACUUUUGUUUCUUUUUUAAAAAGGGUUACCAUUUCCUAUAAUGACCUAAAAAUACAAGGUAAAAAUUUCAUUUUUAAUUUAGUAAAAAACACUUUAAUAACUUUGUUCCAGACAUUGAAAGCAUUUCAAACAAACAAUUAUCAGAGUCUAAUCCUAAAGAUCACAUUCUGCGGAAAUCAUGGGUGUAUGCGCUGUGAUCGUCUUGGGCCCCCUUUUAUUUGAAACCUGCAGUACCUGAAACAAAAAUGAAAACCGUAAGCACAAAGCUUAGCAAGUUCCCCAAAUACCGCAUACCAUAUAAUAAACAUAUUGCCAAACAUAUCUGGGUGCUGGCCUCCCAUUCGGUCUAUUCCAACUGGAGCCAAGCAUGUCUGGGUGCUGCCCCCCNAUACCACCGAGCAUAUAUGGGUGCCGGCCUCCCCUUCGGUCUAUUCCAACCGGAUACCGGGUCUAUUUCACUCUCUACCACUACCAUAUAAUAACAUAAGCACAUAAUCACAGAAACAUCAACAAAUACUGGCAACCCAGACAAUUAUCACAUAGACAAUCAUCUUACUAUAAACAUCAACUAGUGGACCGACAUUGGUGCCUUUGACCCACGAAUUCUACGAUGGGAGACUCACCUCGAAUGCAGAAGCUCACAUAACUAGAUCCUUAGCUGCUGCCCUGAAGACUUCCCGAGCUCCAAUAGAUUGCAAAAGAUGUGAACUUUUUGGAUCUACAAGCUCCCUACAGGAAAUGAGUCAUCAAAUUUCUUCUUCUCUUACACAAAUCACCAUAAACACUCUUCUCCAAGCUCCAAAAGCUCAAUCAAGGCACUCUAGGCUUUCUAUGAUGUUAAAAGGGGUGGAGGUUGACCUAAAAUGACCCAAGGAAGGAUAUAAUGUUGCUUAUAUAGGGUGUAAGUCGAGAAAUUAGGGUUUGGUGCUGAAAGGAGUACGCCCCACGUACGCCUUUGUACGCCUGGCGUACUCAAGAAACACUCGUGAUCUUCUCACACUGUACGCUCUGCGUACUCGAUGCCUCUCAAAAUCCUAGAAUUUCUUGCAGCCAUAACUCCUUCGUUCUAGGUCCGUUUCCGACAAAAUUUUUAUCUACAAGAAGGCGACGAGAAGCCCUACGCUUCUAACAUCUAAGCAUAAAAAAAACCACCCGAAAAAAAUCCAAAAUGCAUAAAAUAUCAAAAUAUCAAAUUACGAUUAUACCCUUGGCCUCUGAGGACACAAUCGAACACUUGGAUCACUUAUACCAUGACACCCGCAUCUGAAAUGGGCCAAAUCCUUCCCUUCCCAAGGCCAUAAGCCUCAUGACCACUGAAGAUUGGGCCACGGUCCCUAACAAAGAAGAAAAUCCAAAAUCAAGUGUUACAACUGUCCCCCACUUGAAUUAGAUUUGGUCCUCGAAAUCACUCCUUACUAACACUCCUAACAAAACAACCAUCCUGAGGUAUGUAAUCAAAAAAUUAUGCGCAUAAGACAACCUUCCAAAGACAACCGAAACCCAAACCCAAACUUCCAUCCUGAAGAAAAACAAACCCUAUGCCCCCAAAGGAAACCACUUUUACUUCUUUGAAGCCUGAAAUCCGCAUUGGUCUGACUACCCGGCAGACCGCCCAUGCUGUAACAUUACCAAACCAAGCCUUUAUUAAAUAACAGACCAAACAUAAACUUCUAACCCUGAUCAUCUUGAUGCUACCGAUAGAACAAAGUCGCUAACCCUAAAUAGUUGCGGUGCACUUACACUUGACGGAAGGCUCAUAUAAUCCUUCGAGUAAAAGAUUCAUCCUUGCAACGGUUAGACUCAAAUGAGAGCUACGCAAUAAGGUCAAAUCAAUUACCCCAAGAUUAUUUAAUCCCGCUAUAAGUAACUUAGUACUUUUGAUCAACAAGCUACCCCAGACACAUGAAUCCCCAACUCUCCACUUUUUCUCGAGGCUUCACGCUGCCUUCUAUCUGCUUUCCAAAAGUAAUUGAGACCUCCUGGGUCCCAACUUAUCUGCCAAUUAUCUGUAAUACAAGAUUCCCGUCCGGUUUCUGAGCCAACAAACAAUCACACAGUUGCCCCACGCGACUUCCGAAAGAAAACUUCGACCGACAAUAACUACCCGAACCAUCUCGACACCAAACCCGAUGCUAAGCUGAAUGCUACAGGACCAAAUGUAGUCUUACUUCAUAUCUGGUCUCCCCCGACCUACCAAUUUCUUGAUUCCAAACAUGUUGUGGCCUUCCUACAACCUUGCGAACAGACCCACUUUGGACUAAACCAUCUGGAGAUAUCCGUGAGCAAUCACAGAUUGUCACAAUCUCCCUAAUGAACAGGGACGACUGAUAAAUGUUACGGGAUACCCCGUGGUCUUACAAUACUCCCCACUAACUACUAGUGAAUGCUAUGUGUCACCCCACAGUCUUACAACACUUCCACGCUACCUCAACCACCGCUAAAUGCCUUACCGCUAAUCUGUCUAUCCGGACACCAUCCAGAGUCGAGCAUGCAGUCGACCAAACACCCAAGCCAAACUCGGGUUACGACUGGAACCUCAACCUAGGUCCUCUAAAGCCCGCUAUCUGCCCCACAAGAUACGGACCCAAUGUUGGGAGGUUUCCCGAACUCCCAACUCACCCAAUCCUCAAUCCAGACAGCCACUUGGACCGCUUUCCUCCCCAACGGGGAUGCAAAACUUGUCCUAGCUUCACAACUGUUCUUGUUCCUGAAUACCUGAAUGAUUCUCCCCCACUUUGGUUCGACUAAGUCUUCACGGAACUUGAGAAUUGAAGGAUUCCUAAUCCUUGUUACCCUUUAUUAAUCAAACUACUGACAACCUGUGCUUACCAGUGCUAGUACUUAAUCACUAGCCAAACACAAAGACCACACAACCUCUAAAGACCAGAUGAACACUUCCCGAAUCUUAUCAAAACUGACAACUCCAGAUGCCUUUAAAUGAUACCACACUCAACUUGCGAAGUCCAAAUAACAGAUGCUCAGACCAAAAGCUCGAUGAUAGACCAUUUCCCUUGGCGCUUCCAAAAGCAAAUCCAAGCACAAUGGCUGAAAUCAUUGAAUCUUAACGAUGCUGGAUAACACUAGUGUUCCAUUGCUAGCCAAGCUCAAUGAUCACCCCAAUUCUCGAAAUUAUGAAGGAUGCUCUUGAACUCUUAACCAAUUAGAUAGUCCAAACCACCUCCCAUAUUACCAUACUAAUUCCUAGAGUUCUUAUGUUGGCGAUGAAAAACCAUAACACUUGCCCCGACUGACGAAUCUUCAUCCCAACACCCAUUCUUGAAGAAUCCCUGAAUCCUAAUCGACUGCAACCUAAGAAAAUAUGAAAAUACUCUGACGUUUCUGAUGACCAAAUCAACUCAUGCAACUGUCACUACCAUCUUCCCGCUACCCCUCUCCUUCUACCAAUCCGCAAAACUUGAACCCACGGUUCUCUUAGAGGCACCUGCCGCUCUUACCGGAACCAUUAUUUAAACAGUUGAACCCUAAUGAUUACUAGAGAACCAACUUGCCGAAUCUUGAACAUAGACCUUCAACACAGUGCCCCUGAACCGAUCUCGACCAUAAACCAAGAUAACACUGAACACUCCAAACCCGCUAAAAGGGAAACAACCUUUCACUAACCACUGCUAAUUCAUGGCAUGCAAUUGGCAUAUAACAUUUCUUGAAGAUAUAACCCAAACAUAAGCAUAUCAUUAAACCCAAAGAUACACUUACCCAAACUGAUGCAAGAUUCCAACAACAAAUACAUAUAAAACCGAAAAGAAAGCAAAAGAUAAUAUACCCGCAACCUCGUCUGAAGAAACCUCGAAUCCCCCUUCUUGCCAAAGUACCUACGAUAAAAACUGAGUUGCCCCAACCACUGAGCAGGGGCAAUUCGCCCUUAUAUGACUAGGCUGAUGACAAUGAUUCCAUAAAUCUACUUCCAAUGUGAAUUCUUGGCGAUUGUGACCCUUCCAUCCGCACCUACCGCACUUAGACCUACUGCACACAUCCUCCCAUGUCCCCUCAUCCUGCAUGCACUCAUCUCGACCCCUCGGGUAUCUAACACCAGCUAUAGCAGCGUCCAACUGCCCUGAUCGUCCAACCAUGCCAGGAGUCUGUUUCCUCUUCCUUAGCUGACUAUCUAAACUAAUCUCCUGCUCCUGGGUUAACCCGACCACCUCAUCGACUGCCUGAAUAGCUGAGGCCUGACCCUAGAUCCCGAUGGCCAAUCUAUUAGUGACAUGCCAAAAGAUGUCAGGUAACUCCUCGUGGAGAGCUCACAAAACCGCUGCGGCAAUCCAAUCUUGUGGUUGAAUCUCCUAAAGACAUGGUGCACAACUCACCUCCGAUCCCAAACGACAAAAACUAACAAUAUGAUCCUCCUUUAUGAAGGGUCUUGGGGAUCCACAAGCUUCGGGCUCCAGAUGAGCUCCCAACUGCCCUGCUGUAAUCUCAGCCUGAGAGGUCCCAAGUUGACUGUCCAAUACCUCCAAAAUCCCAUCCUUGACUGAACCAAAGAUCACAAAAUUCUGCUCCAACAUACCGCAUGUAAUCCCCGAUGAGAUGAACUCCUGCAUCUGCUCGCUAAUCGGCUCAGCACCUGCACCUGAGCCGGAACCCAAACCAAAACCAGAACUAGAACUUAAUCCACCUCCUUGAGUGCUCAUCUCCAAAGUGAAAUACAUCAUGCCAAAUAUCGAAACAUCCUUAAGAACUCUCAUCCCAUAAGCUUCUUAGAUUCUCCAAGACUCUCACUAAUUCGAGUAUGGAUCCCGUGCUUCCAGUAGUACGGGUCCAAUACUACCUUCCACACCUAUCCAUACUUUCCUCAGCAAUCAUCCCGAAUCCCUUAAUUCACUUUCUCAACAAAAGCACCAAAACUCACUAAACCGCACCACUAAACUUACUGAUGUAUAUCCUAGGCUCUCCUAGGUUCCCGACCCCACCCAGUCCUCAGCUACUGAAGGACUCCCACCAAAGUCAAUCAAUUUCCUCAUGAAUACAGUCACAUGCAACAAAGAUCAGAUAAUCCUUCGAGUAAAAGACUCAACCCUAGAAUGGUUGGACUCAAACGAGAGCUAUGCAAUAAGGUCAAAUCCAUCACUCUAAGAUUAUUUAACUUGUGGUACAUGUAACUUAGCAUAUUUACUUAGCAGUCAAUUCACAUUACUAAGAGUCCUACAAAGCACAAAGCAAGCAACAUUUAGACAAUGGAAAAAUCUAACCAACAUACUCUAAUCAAGCCAUUCUAUCCACUUAUCCGGAAACAAUUCUAGCAUGAAAUUCUAAAGCUCAUACAAUCAGGCAUAUAAAGGCAUCUCUCCUAUCACAUAAUACUGAGCAGAUCCUUAUCCCUAAUCUAGCAUGCAAUUCUCAUAAUCAUAGCAUAUAUAAUAAUAAACACGUAUUGGUAUUUUGGGAACCACUUACUUGAGCUCGACCGAUUGCACGCAUCACACCCCUUUCUUGUUUAAAAAUUCCCUUUUUAAUUAGAUGUUCCUUUUAUAAAUUAUUUCACCAAACCCUCAGUUUGAGUUCAAGCACAUCCGAGAGUAUGCUUGAAUCCAUUAAACCAAAGCUCUAAUACCAACUUCUAACGACCCAAAAAUCAUAGGUAAAAAUUUCAUUUUAAUAUAGUAAAAACACUUUAAUAACUUUGUUCCAGACAUUGAAAGCAUUCCAAAGAAACAAUUAUCAGAGUCUAAUCCCAAAGAUCACAUUCUGUGGAAAUCACGGGUGUAUGCGCUGCGAUCGCCCCGAGCCCCAUUUUAUUUGAAAACUAGAGUACCUGAAACAAUACUGAAAACAUAAGCACAAAGCUUAGUGAGUUCCCCAAAUACCGCAUACCAUUCAACAAAACUAUUGCCAAACAUAUCUGGGUGCUGGCCUCCCCUUCAGUCUAUUUCAACCGGAUACCGCCGGGCAUAUCUGGGUGCUAGCCUCCCCUUCGGUCUAUUCCAACCGGAUACUGCCGAACAUAUCUGGGUGUUGGCCUCCCCUUCGGUCUAGUCCAACCGAAUAUCGCCGAGCAUAUUUGGGUGCUGGCCUCCCCUUCGGUUUAUUCCAACCGAAUACUAGGUCUAUUUCACCCCUAUCAGUACCACAACAUUACAUAAAAAUAUAAUCAGGGAGACAUCAACAAAUACUGGCAAACCAGACAAUUAUCAUAAAGAUAAUCAUCUUACUAUAAACAUCAACUAGUGGGCUGACAUUAGUGCUUUCAACCCACGAAUUCUGCGAAGGGAGACUCACAUCGAAUGUAGAAGCUUACAUAACGUAGAAGCUAAGAUAACUAGAUCCUUAACUGCUGUCCUGACGACUUUCCGAGCUCCAAUAAAUUUCAAAAGAUGUGAAAUUUCUGGAUCUACAAGCUUCCUCCAGGAAAUGAGUCAUCAACUUUCUUCUUCUCUUACAAAAACAACCAUAAACACUCUUCUCCAAGCUCCAAAUGCUCACUCAAGGCACUCUGGGGUUUCUAUGAUGUUAAAAGGGGUGGAGGCUGACCUAAAAUGGCCUCAGGAAGGAUAUAAUGUUGCUUAUAUAGGGUAUAAGUCGAGAAAUUAGGGUUUGGUGCUGAAAGGAGUACGCCCCGCGUACCCCUUUGUAUGCCCUGAGUACUCAAGAAACACCCGCGAUCUUCUCGCCUUGUACGCCCUGCGUACAUGACCGGUACGUCCUGCAUACUCGAUGCCUCAUAAAACCCUAGAAUUUCUUCCGGCCAUAACUCCUUCGUUCUAAGCCUGUUUCCAACGAACUUUAUAUCCACAAAAAGGUGGCGAUAAGCCUUAUGCUUCUAACAACAUGCCUAAGCCUAAGAAAAACCUCCCGAACAAAAUCCAAAAUCCAUUAAAGAUCGAGAUAUCAAAUUACGAUUAUACCCUUGGCCUUCGAAGACACAAUCGAACACUUGGAUCACUUAUACCAUGAUACCCGCAUCCAAAAUGGGCUGCAUCCUUCCCUUCCUAAGGCCCUAAGCCUCCUGAUCACUGAAGAUUGGGCUGUAGUCCCGAACAAAGAAGCAAAUCUGAAACCGAGUGUUACAUUUCCUCAGCUUGAGUUCUGAAACACCUGAGAGUGUGCCCGAAUCCCUUAAACCAAGACUCUGAUACCAACUUGUAACAGCCCAAAAAUACAGAUAAAAAUUUGCUUUUUUUUUUUUUUAAAAUAGAAAGUAUAAUCAUAAUUUGUUUCUAAAAAUCCAUUACGUCAUUUAAUUUCCAAAUAUCAGAGUAUCAAUAUCGAUAAAUGAGGAAAUUGAUGGGAGUGAAUAUUUCGCCAUCAAGCCAGGCCCUUCCCCUCAGUACCGGAAGUAAUUGAAAACACCCAAAUAAUCUGUAAGCAAAAGCUUAGUGAGUUCCCAAAAUACGACAUAACAUAUAACCACAGAAUACCACACCACAUACAUAAGAUUGCCAUGGGCUACCCCCAUGGUCUGAUAUCCAAGUGCCAUGUGCUACCCCCAUGGUCUUUCCCGGGAAUGCCAUGGGCUAGCCCCAUGGUCUAAUAUCCAAGUGCCAUGGGUUACCCCAUGGUCUUCACACAAGUGCCACGGGCUACUCCCGAGGUGUUCAGAUAAUGAAUUGCAUAACAAUUGUCAAUCCACAUGUCAUAUAAUGGGCCGACAUUGGUACCUUCGACCCAUUGAUAUAGUAAGAAGACUCACCUCAAACUGCUGAUAAAAAUAGUGCUCGGCUAUCGGUCCAUAUAUCUCACACUGAAUAUACACAUGUUAACCUAAUAAGAAUUAAGCCACAAACUCAAGGCAUAGGCCAAAACCCUAAGUCCAAACUCCUCUAUUAAGGCCCAAAAGUCUUUCUCUAUUAAUGGGCCUAACAUCCAAGAUCAAAAAAAAAUUUAUGGGCUACAAUGCCUAAAAGGCCCAACCAUGCCACCUAUGGUCCAACAAUAAGUUCAAAGGCCCAAAUUGUAACAUCCUGGAUAGUGUGACAUCCCCAAAAUCACGGCCAGAAAAGACCGGUUUAAUUUAUGCUUUAAAAAUAAUUUCAGAGUAAUACUUUGAUUAAAAGAGUAGCAGAAUUUGUUCCCAAAACACAAUAUGAUAAAAUAAAGUUUAUCAAAUCAUUUCUUAAAGAAAUAUAUUUUCAUUAUAUAACAAAAGUCGGGAUUUCAUGUUUCGAUACAUACCAAAAGCAUAAACAGUACGACAUAGACCUUAAAACAGUUAUUUACAACUACUGGUCUAUAAACAAAAAUAUCUUCACAAGUUGUCCAACUUAUGCUCUCGCGUCACUACCUAUAAUAUAAAGAAACCGAGUGGGUCAGGCCUGGGAGCCUGGUGAGCAUAUUGGGUUUUCAACCCAUAAUAAAUAAUUAUAUUUAACUUCACCAACCAACAAUAGCCCGAUUACCCAUUCCAGUUAUCCUCACUUUACGCCCCUAAAACAACUAUUACAAGGGACCUAAUCUAGGUUUUUUCAUCGGGAUGGGCAUUACUGCAAAGGGGCUUCCUCAAAAAUAAAUGUCCUAAAGGCAACCAUGAGGGGGAUAGAGUACAUCGGUGAACACAUCGUUCACAACACCUACAGGUUAUGAACUUGCCAGCGUUCCACUGGACUGUCUAGAAAGAGUCCGUGGUCAUCAUCGAUACUCUGCUAGAUGACUAGAUUAACAACAAAAUCGAGACCUCUCAUCAUUUUAUUUCUUCACACAUCCACUAUCUACCUAUGUUCUACCCAACAUAUUUGUAGAUAAAAAUGUGUGUGUGUGUGUGUGUGUGUAUAUAUAUAUAUACACACACACAACAUAAAACAUGUAUAAAACAUUCAAUCAAUACUCAUUUCAAAUAACACAUAACAUAUAAACACAUAGCACAUAUUUUAUGGAAACACUUCGUAUUUAUUUGUUAGAAGAAAGUAACUACACACUCACUUGAUAAGAUGAUUAUCGGACAUCAUUACAGAUCUACAAGUAGCAAUUCUUCAAUGAAACCAGGAGAUCUUCACAAACACUGGGCUUCUUGCGGGCAGAGCUUCUGCUCGAAACUAUUUUCUUCUCAGGAUCUUUAGAGCAUCGGGACUUGCUUCGGGUGUCGGGAUGAUACCGGGGCUUCGAGGGCAUAACUUGCACGUAAAAUGAGGUAAUAUGGGUGAGAGAGAAGAAAUUUGGCAACCAAACUCGGCUGCCUUCAUGUUCUAUUUAUAGGGUGCUGAACCCCUGAUUAUGCUGGGCGGAACCCCAAAGUACGCUGGGCGUACUCUCCUAUCGACAUGUACGCUAGGCGUAUUCCUCGUAUGCUGGGCGUACUGUGUGGAUAAGAUCGGAGGCUUUCGAGGCUGCGAUGUGGCUCAUCCGUGGCCAAGAACACGAGUAUGCUGGGCGUACUCCCUUACACUGGGCGUACUCCGCAUUUUCAAACUUCAAAAAUUUGUAACUUUCGCAUACGAGCUCCAUUUUUGAUGAUCUUUAUAUCCACGUGUAGGUGAGACUAUGCUUUACAAAUGCAUUUAGACUCCGUCGGCUAAUUUUGACUUUAUUUUUAUUAUAUUAUUUUUAGUAGGCCGGGACAGGAAUACUCCGUUAGAAAUUCAUAACUUCUUCAUCUGACGUCCAUUUUCAUUUGUCUUUCUUCCGUUACACUACUAUUGACGAUAUCUUCGAUUCUCGUUUAGAUUGUUUCGGCUAGAAAUCACUCGAUCUCAAAUCCGAACUUCGGAUUGCAUACUGUUAAGCUGAAACUUAGAAAAAUCAUAACUUCCUCAUACGAAGUCAGAUUUGGACGUUCUUUUUAUGCACGCUCUCAGUUUAACGAACUCUACGACUUUUAUUUAGAUCACUAAGGCCAAAUAUCGCUCUAUCGUAAAUUCACUAUUUACUUCAUGCAGUGUCGUACCGGUUUUGUCGCGAAACUUUGACAGGUCAUAACUUCUUCGUUAUAACUCGGAUUUCAGCAUUCUUUAUACAUUCGGAAACCUUGUCACGACUACUGCAACUUCCUUCAUAGCUAUUGGGUUUAUCUAACAUUUUAUUUUAUCGCUUAUUUUUAUCCUUAAUUCAUUUAAGUCACACAAUUAAGCAUAAAACACAUAAUACUCAAAUCAUAUAUUUUUAUUAUUAUUUCAAAAUGGGUUACGAAGGUUAACCUAGACUAUUACAUCAACAUUAAUGCCUAGCCUAGAAACACGGGCGUUACAGAUAGUUUUGUGAUUUAAGGCCAGUGGGCCUUAAUCCGAGUAUGAGAAGGUUUUGAGGCUUUGAAAGAGAAAGGUUUAGACCCUUUUGGGAUGUGGGUAAGGUAGGUUGUGUGAUAAAAGAGGUUGGUUUGUGCUUUAGAGCCCAAAUGUAUUGCUAAAGGUGUUGGUUCGGGCUUUUCAUGAAUUUUGGAUCUGAGUUUAAGUGGGCUUCAGGAGGAAUAAAGUUGAUAGAAGUGUAGGGCUUCUUGUUACCUUUUCUUGGAUAUAAGGAUCGUCAAAAACAGAUUUAUAAAGAAGAAGUUAUGGCCUUCAGAAGUUUUGUGGUUUCAGGCUUAGCCGAGUACGCUGGGCGUACACAAAGCAUACACUGGGCGUACUAGUGAAAAAGGAAGUACGCUGGGCGUACUGACCAAGGGUGGUCGUGAAUGUUCUUUGGAGUAUGCUGGGCGUUUAGUGAUUGAUAUCUUAGAGGAGCUGGUAAAGUAAAGACAGAUCAGACCUGAACCGUAUUUUAGGGUCUUGGACCCUGUUUAAGCUCCUUAUCUCAUAACCUAACCCUAAUACCUUCAGCCUCCAUCCCUCUAAACCCUUGAAAUCGAUCCUAAGCCUCCAUUUGAGUGAUUCUUGAGAAUUUUGAUGAUUUAGUGAGUUUUUGGUGCAUAUUGUGGAAGAAGGAGUUCCUCGAGGAAGCAUUGCUUGGCUUGGAGCUUGUGGAUCCAAGCCCUAAUCAGGUUGAUCUAGCUCUAGAAAGCAUAAAGUUUGAAUCUUGGUGGCUUUCUCAUGCGGAUCUAGUGGGGUGAUGAAUUGUUAUGUUUGGCUUUGGAAAAAGAAGGAGCUUUGAAAGAGAAUAGCUUGAGCAUUUUGCUUUUGGAUCUAUGCUCUUCUCUUGUUGGUCCAUCCAGAGGUAUCAAGCUCUAAACUUGCUUAUUGUUGUGCUAUUUUUUGUUUUGGGUCCAUUUUAGGGUUUUUGGUCUCAAAGCUUGAAGCUUUAUGAGUUGUUGAACUCCAGAACCUAAUAUAUGUCCCUUUAAGUGUUUUUAUUGAAGAGGAUUCAUAAAAAUGAGGCCUUGGACGUUAGAACCACCUCAUGCAUAAGAUAUGAGCAUUUUUCGAAGUAAAGAGUAAGAGUUUUUGUGUUUGGGACUUCAUCUGCCAUGCAAAUGCUUAAAGUCACGAGUUUUAUUGUGUAUGAGCCUUUAUGGAGACCAGAUCUAGAGUAUAGCCAUGGUCUUAACAGAUUAAGACCAAGGGAGUGGAGAUAGCAAUCCUGGACGUACGCUGAGCGUAAUUCUAGUACACCCCAUGUACUGACGAAGUGUCCUCGAUGGCCAAUCUGAAUUCAUGAGUACACUGAGCGUACCCAGGGAGGUAUGCCCCGCGUAACCUCACUGUGGACUUUUGGGCUAAGUCUCAUUUUGGGCCUUGAGUGUUGGGCCUGGAGUUUGGGACUGGUUGCAAUAGAGUUUUAGACCAGAGGAAUAUGUAUAUAUAUAUANNNNNNNNNNNNNNNNNNNNNNNNNNNNNNNNNNNNNNNNNNNNNNNNNNNNNNNNNNNNNNNNNNNNNNNNNNNNNNNNNNNNNNNNNNNNNNNNNNNNNNNNNNNNNNNNNNNNNNNNNNNNNNNNNNNNNNNNNNNNNNNNNNNNNNNNNNNNNNNNNNNNNNNNNNNNNNNNNNNNNNNNNNNNNNNNNNNNNNNNNNNNNNNNNNNNNNNNNNNNNNNNNNNNNNNNNGCUGGUGCGCAACAACAACAUUUUUAGGGGUUGUUCAUCAUCCGAGGUGAGUCUUCUCACUAUACUUUACCAAGAGUGGUAAUUAUGUGUGACCAGAGGGUCUUAUGUGCUUGCUUGAGUUAUGAGAUACAUAGAACGAAUUGGAGGGUCCAACGAACUAUGAGACUGGAUGGUCCUCACUUAGACCGCACCGGAGGGUCCAACGAGCAGUGAGACCCGAGGGUCCUCACUGAGACCAGACCAUAGGGUCCAACGAGUUGUGGGACUAGAGGGUCCCACUGAGACACAUUGACCGUAGGGUCUUACCGACCUAUAGCCUCGAGUGGCUAAUUAUUUGUGCGUGAUAUUUUGGGGAACUCACUAAGCUUCGUGCUUAGCGUGUUAUGUGAUAUGCGUUUCAGGAUUUUUCAGGAUCGUGGGAAGGCACCGACUUGAUUGUACACACCAGAGUAGGAGUUAUAUUUUUAGUAUCCUGGAGUACGAAUCAAACAAUUAUGGAGUUAUGUUUUGUAAAUUAAAUCAAUGAGAUUUUUGUGAAAUGUGUUACGAGAAUUAUAUGAUUUUAAAAUGAAAAUUUUGUUUGAAAAUUUACGCUGUUACACAAAUACUCUAAUAUAUCCAGGCCCUAGGCUAAGUAGGGCCCAAAUGGAUCAAAGGCCUAAUGAAAGCCCAAAACUCACUGAAAGUGUACGCCCAACAUACAUCAUCAAUACACUUAACGUACUGAGUUCUUUGGAGGUACGCACAAUGUAUAAACUAGUACGCUUAACGUAUAAGCUACUUUGCACAAAAAGCCAUUAAGUUCUUAAUUCAUGAAGCCACUUCGUCUGAUUCCAGAUCUUGGUCAUCUUAAAGGUCCUAGGGCAUAAAGUUGGUAACUUUAUGCCUUUGCAUGCCAUAUGGGAACCCAACACCUCAUUUUAUCCAUUAAGACUCCCUUUAAGAUCUUAAACUCAUGCAUGGUGCCAUAACAACCAUCAAGUUAGAAUUUUUAUGCUUUUACCAUGCCAAAGGAACUUAGAUCUAACAUUUCUAACCUCUGGAGUUGCUCAAACUCACAAAAAUGAUCCAUGGACCAAAAAUGGACUUAUUACCAAACCCUAACUCAAACUAGCAAAAGGACAAGCAAGGUCUGGACUUUUUACCUCCAAAAGUUCCGCAAGAUGAAGUAGAUGCAGGAUCUAGAAGCUCAACCAUGUCCAAGACUUGAUCACCACCUUCUCCUUCUUGCAAACACACUAAAAUGGCCACCAAAAUCACUUUUAAGCUCAAGAAUCACACUCACUUGCAAACUAGGGUUUAGGUACGAUAAGAGGCAAUAAAAGCUGUUUAGGUUAGGUCCAAAUGGCAUAAGAGUGUUAAAAUAGGGUUCAUGUGUGACAUCCCCUAAUUUCUCGGCCAGAAAAGACCGAUUUAAUUUAUGCUUUUUAAAAUAAAAUCAGAGAAAUCUUUUUAAAAGAUGUUGCGGAAUUUGUUCCCAAAACAAAACAUGAUAAAAAUCUAUCAAACCUUCUUUAAGAAAUGUAUCGUUUCAUUUCAUAUCAAAACCUCGGGAUGUCAUGUUCCGAUACAGAUCAAAAGCAUAAACAAGACAUUAUAAGCCUUUCAACACUUAUUUAUAACUACUGACCUAUAAUCCAAAAAUCCCUCAUCGUCCUCCGACUAUGCUCGGGGUCCACUACCUGUAACAUAAAAAGCUGAGUGGGUUAGGCUUGGGAGCUUGGUGAGCAUAUAGGGUUUUCAACCCACAAUAAUAAUAAACUUACUAAGUUCAUCAAUCAACAAUAACCCUGAUUACCCGUUCCUGUUAUCCUUACUUUACGUCCCUAAACACUUAUCACAAGGGACCUUGCCUAAAGAAUAUUAUCGGGAUGGACACUACUACUAAGGGGUUUCCUCAGCCAUACAUGUCCUAAAGGCAACUAUGAGGGGGAUGGAGUACAACGAAUGAACACUCUUAGUUCAUUAACACCUACAGGUUGCGGGCCUGCUAAUGUUUCCCACUCGACUGUCUAGAAAGUCCGUGGUUGUCAUCCAAACUCCGCUAGAUGACUGGAUCUCAAAACACAUCGAGGCCUCUCAUCAAUUUUAUUUUAUCACACAUCACAAUCUACCCAUGUUCUACCCAACAUAUUUGUAGAUAAAAAUACUUAUACAGUUUAAAACUUGUAUAAAACAUCAACACAACAAUCACCUCAAAUAAAUAAUUAAUAUAUUUACACAUAGCACGUAUUAUAAGGUAAAUACUUCAUAUCUAUGUGUAAAAUGAAAGUGACUAUACACUCACAUGAUUUGNUGAUUUGAUGAUAAUCGAGCAACAAUUCGUUGCUUAAAACGAUCGUUUCUAAUAAAACCGAGAGUUUUAUUGAGAAACCGGGCUCUACAAUGGUCGGGCUUCGAAACCGACAAGAUAAAUUUUCCGGGCUUCUCGGGCACUUCGUGGAGUAUUCCGGGCUUUGGAAUAAGUACCGGGGCUUCAUGGGAUUCUAAGAUGAAGAAAAUAAGAAGAAAGGGGUGAAAGAUGGCAAAAUCUCAAAAGUAUCCGAAAAGGCUCGCAGGAGGCUUCUAUUUAUAGGAGUCUGAAGUCGGCUCCGGGGGUGGGGUCCGCAGGCGAAGGUGCGCAGAUGGCAGCACGUGCGAGGGCCUCGGUGGCGGUUGCUGAUUGGACCACGCUUCUGAUGCGAGGGGUUGCGACAAGAGGCGGAUUCAGAAGCGAGGCGCGUCAGAUAACUAUUGGAACUCAGCUUCGGUUGAAUCAGAAGAGCACACGGAGCAACACGGGGCAGUCUCGCAUGCGAGGUGACUCAUCAAAAUUUCGGACACGUGGCACAUGCGAGGCGAGGACACGUGGAAAAAGUGUGACUAUGCGAAUUUUCUCGAUUUUUGUGCAAAAACUUCUAAAAUCCAUAACUUUCGCAUAUGAGCUCCAUUUUUGACGUUCUUUAUAUGCACGCGUAGGUAAAAUUACGCUCUACAAUUUUUGUUUAGACUUGGUCGACUAAUUUUGACUUUAAUUUUUAUAUUAUUAUUUUUAACAGACCAGGACAGGAAAUCCGUUAAAAAUUGAUAACUUCUUCAUCCGUCGUCCAUUUUCGUCAGACUUUUUACCGUUGUGCUACUAAUGAAGAGACCUUCAAUUCUCGUUUAGGUUGUGUCGGCUAAAAAUAAUUCGAUCUAAAAUUCGAGUUUUUAGCUGUCUACUGCUAAGCUGAAACUUCGAAAGAUCAUAACUUCCUCAUACGAAGUCAGAGUUGGGCGUUCUUUUUAUCGAACUUCUCGGUUUAACGAAUACUAUGACUUUCGUUUAGAUCACUAAGGCUAAAAAGUAGUUUAUCAAAAACUCACUUUUUAGGACAUUCAGCAAUGUGCCGGUUUUGUCGCGAAACUUCGACAUGCCAUAACUUCUUCGUUACAACUCGGAUUUUGGUAUUCUUUAUAUCCCCAAAAUCCUUGUUUCGACCACUACAACUUUAUGUAAAGAUAUCGAGCUUAUCUCACACUUUAAUUUUGACGCUUAUUUUUAUUCUUAAUUAAUUAAACCCUAAUAAUUAAGCAUAAAACACAUAAUUCACAUAAUAUUCACAUAAUUCCUUUUCAUUUCUUCGAAAUGAGUUAGAAAGGUUAACCUAGACUAUCACCUAAAUAUAAAUUCCUAGGCUAGAAACACGAGUGUUACAAUUCUCUCCCCUUAGGAUGAUUCCGUCCCCGAAAUCAUAUAUCACCAAACAAAUGCGGGUAGCGACUCAUCAUGUCACUCUUCGUUUCCCAAGUGAGAUUUGGCCCACUCGUAUGUUUCCAACGCACAAGCACUAAAUCGACCAUCUUGCGUCGCAACUUCUUAGUCUUACGGUCAACGAUUACCUCAGGUUCUUCAAUCAACCUCUUGUUUUCAUCCAACCUUAACUCAGAAAUCGGAAUUAUGUCGGGCACAUCUCCCGUGAACUUUCUUAAAUAACACACAUGAAAGGUCUUAUGAAUACCCUCCAGUUCUUCCGGUAAUUCUAGCUUGUAAGCUUGAUUCCUGAUCCUCUAAAGAACUUUAAAUGGUCCAAUAAACCUUGGACUCAAUUUUCCCCUUUUACCAAAUCUUAUAAGUCCCUUCCACGGCGAGACUUUAAGAAAAACCGAAUCUCCAACUUCAAAGGUUAUCGAUUGUCUUUUCUUGUUAGCAUAACUCUUUGUCGAUCUUGAGUAGCUAACAUUCUUUCCCUUAUCACUUUCAACUUUUCAGCAGUCUGAUGGACUAUUUCAGGUCCCAUAAACUGCUUUUCCCCAGCUUCCAGCCAACAUGAUGGCGUUCGACACUUUUCCCCAUACAAAGCGUGAUAAGAUGUCAUCUUAAUGCUUGAGUGGAAACUAUUAUUAUAGGAUAAUUCUACUAGAGGUAAGUGUUCAUCCUAGUUACAUUGGAAUUCUAGGGUACAUGCUCUCAACAUAUCCUCCAAUGUUUGAAUCGUUUGUUCGCUCUGACCAUCUGUUUGUGGAUGGUAAGCUGUACUCAAACACAACUUGGUACCCAAUUACUCUUGUAGACUCCUCCAAAAUCUUGAGGUAAAACGGCUGUCACGAUCAGAUACAAUCGUUAAUGGAACACCAUGAAGCCUCACAAUUUCCUUCAUGUAAGAAUUCGCAAGUUUAUCCAUAGACCAUUUCUCGUUGGCUGCUAUGAAAUGUGCACUCUUAGUGAAGCGAUCAACGACCACCCAAAUCAUGUCGUGACCGUUCCUUGUUUUGGACAGUUUAGUCACAAAAUCUAUGGUGAUGUCUUCCCAUUUACCCAUGGGUACGGGUAAAGGUUCUAAACUCCCAUACAGUUUCUGAUGUUGUGCCUUAACCCUAGCACAAGUUACACACUCGGCUACAUACUUAGCAACAUCGAGCUUCAUCAUCGGCCACCAAUAAUAGGGCUUUAGAUCCCUAUACAUUUUUGUACUGCUGGGAUGAAUCGAGUAUAUAGUCUUGUGAGCUUCUUCCAUCAGAAGAUCUCUUACUCCACUCGUCUUAGGUACCCAAAUCCUAUCUUGGAAUACCUUCAACCCUUGGUUGUUUGUACCGAAUGCUAACGUUUUGCCCAAAUGUUCUUCCUUCCGGUCAUUUUUCUCUGAAGCUUCCUCUUGAGAUUUCUUUAUACUUUCCACAAUUGUCGAGACAAAUUCAAUUUUCAACACUCGUGGCCUUUUGUUUUCAAGGUUUACCUUCCGACUGAGAGCAUCAGCAACAACAUUUGCUUUACCAGGGUGGUAAAGUAUCUCACAGUCAUAGUCCUUGAGUAACUCUAGCUAGUGUCGUUGCCUCAUGUUUAAUUCCUUCUGAUUAAAGAGAUAUUGAAGACUCUUAUGAUCAGUGAAAAGUUUACACUUAGUACCAUAAAGAUGAUGCCUUCAUAUAUUUAAGGCGAAUACUACAGCUGCCAACUCCAGAUCAUGAGUGGGGUAGUUCUUUUCAUGCUCUUUCAAUUGCCUCAAUGCACACACUAUCACUUUAUCUCUUUGGGUCAGAACAAAACCUAACCCAACUCCAGAGGCAUCACUUUAAACUGUGAAGUCAUCAACCCCGUCAGGUGACAAAAGAGUCGGUGCUUCACACGACGUCUUCUUUAACUUCUCAAAGCUUCCUAUGUUUCUCAUUCAAAGUAUAGACAACUCCUUUGUGGGUCAAAGCUGUCAAUGGAGUCGCGAUUGAAGAAAAGCCUUGGAUAAAUCAGCGAUAAUAUCUAGCUAAUCCUAAAAAGCUUCAUAUCUUCAUAGGACCUUCAAUUGUAACCUUCGAGUUACAAAAUAAAUCCUUAUUGAGGACUCCUUCUUCUUCUUGGAAUAAGUACUUUCCUUCAUUUAUUGUAAUAGACCGAUGGGUCAUGUUCUAAUGAUCUCUCAUUGCAUACUGCACUAAUUAGACUCAGAUCUCCUAGGGACAAAUUUCAAAACAAAUUAUACCUUCCUUCAUGUUCUAAUGUGAUACAAUCACAGUUCGACAUAUAGCAUUUCUAACUACCAACUUCUUUAACAAUGAGUGCGAUACUUCUAUUGAUCACUUUGAUCAUCUUUCACUUCAAUCUUCUAGCUUAAGUCAAAUGUUACAUCAAAAUUGGUUCUCUAAACCACAUAAUAAACUCAUCGUAGUCGGACUCGAUUCGAUAUGACCUCUAAGGUCGGAAUAACAAUCAUCUUCUUAGUCAUUACCGAAAUGAUGGUAACGACAGACUAGAACAAGACGGAAUCAAAUAAUAGCUCCUUGGUAACCUUGUGACUUUCCCUGAUCCAAGCGUGAGUCCUAUGCUUCCAGUAGUAUAGAUCUCUACUACUAUUCACACCUACUCAUACUCGUCCCAAGUACUGUCUUGCAGUCCCCAAGUCCUAAAAGCACAAAACAAUUUAACACAUACGAAUGUGUCCAAUUAAUCAUAAAAUUUUCCUAGACUCUACUAGGACUUCUUCCAUGCAUAUCUUCAAUGAUCAACUCUACUUCAACUUGGUUGGUGAUGGAAAUUCCGGACGAUGGGACAACUUUAAGAAUUACACCAAUCGUUCCAUUCAUCAAAUGACAAAACAAGGGUUUAUUUUAUUUCCUUGAAAUGAUUACACAAAGGUUCAAGUUUACCCUAUACUAUGCCUCUCAUAGGCUAAACCACUUGUUACUAUUCACAUUACUACUUCGUAACUUGAUCUUCGGGUAUCAAGUCUUUACUUCUACUUCCUAGCGUUAAUAAUCGCUUCGUCAAGGAUAUCCUGAAAUUCCUUUGGCGUUGGUGGUGCACCUGGCCUUGUUACUUCAUUGUUCUUCGGAUAGUUCUUAGAAAUAUGGCCUUCUUCUUUACAUACAUAAUACACCUCCUUGGGAAUCAUACACUUAUUAGCGUAAUGCCCUAUUUCUCCACACCUAAAGCACUUCACCUUCCAGUCACAAUUCCCAGAGUAUUUAUUUUUGCACUUUUCGCACCAUUUUCCUUUACCUUUUCUUUUGCUAGACUUUGAGGAUAUGUUGCUCUUGUUGGGCCUUGAAGACCCCUCAAAUUUCCUCUUCUUGCCAACUUCAACUUUGUUGGCGGUUCUGUCAUUGAUCAUUUCUUCAAUAGACUUAGCAACCCUAAUAGUUGCCUCAAGAACAGAUGCCUGACAUACUGGCACAGUAAGUUCAUCCUUACUUUGUUGAAGUAAACGUUUUGUUUCUUCCAUUUGUUCACCUAACAUCUUACGCACCAUUGCCUGCACCCCAGUCAUUGCGAUUGGCUCAGGCUGUGGAUUAUCACUUUCGAACCCACUUUGAGUACUCGCCAUUUCGAUCUAUACACCAAUCGUAGGUGAAUUUAGAUCUUCACUUUCGUUAGACGUUAAGUCUUUGUUAUCACUCCGAAACGUUUAUAUGUUAGUUCCAAUAUCGUAGUCAUACAUUUAGAAUCCUACACACAUAAGGUUUCCAGAUCCAGUCGGCAACAGACCAUAGAUCCGAACAAAUAAUAGCAUCAUUAUAGCUAUAACACAAAACAUUUAGCACAUAAAAGCAUUUUAGGCAUCCUUCCUAAAAUAAACUAGUGCUAGUGUCUAAAUUAUGGCCGGGAAAUUAGGGGAUGGACACUACUGCUAAGGGGUUUCCUCAGCCAUACAUGUCCUAAAGGCAACCAUGAGGGGGAUGGAGUAUAGUGAAUGAACACUCUUAGUUCAUUAACACCUACAGGUUGCGGGCUGCUAAUGUUUCCCACUGGACUGUCUAGAAAGUCCGUGGUUGUCAUCCAAACUCCGCUAGAUUACUGGAUCUCAAAACACAUCGAGGCCUCUCAUCACUUUUAUUUUAUCACACAUCACUAUCUACCCAUGUUUUACCCAACAUAUUUGUAGAUAAAAAUACAUAUACAGUUUAAAACUUGUAUAAAACGUCAAUUCAACAGUCACCUAAGUUAAACAAUUAAUAUAAUUACACGUAGCACGUAUAUCAUGUAAAAUACUUCAUAUCUAGGUGUAAGAUGAAGGUGACUAUACACUCACAUGAUUUGAUGAUAAUCGGGAAACAAUUCGUUGAUUAAAACGACCGUUUCUAAUAAAACCGAGAGUUUUAUUGAGAAACCGGGCUCUGCAAAGGUCGAGCUUCGAAACCAGAAAGAUAAAUUUUCCGGGCUUCUCGGGCACUUCAUGGAGUAUUCCGGUCUUUGGAAUAAGUACCGGGGCUUCGGGGGAUUCUAAGAUGAAGAAAAUAUGAAGAAAGGGGUGAAAGAUGGCAAAAUCUCAAAAGUAUCCGAGAAGGCUCGCAUGAGGCUUCUAUUUAUAGGAGUCUGAAGUCAGCUACGGUGGUGGGGUCCACAGGCGAAGGUGCGAAGAUGGCAGCAUGUGCGAGGGCCUCGGUGGCGGUUGCUAAUUGGACCGUGCUUCUGAUGCGAGGGGUUGUGACAAGAGGCAAAUUCAGAAUCGAGGCGCGUCAGAUAGCUAUUGGACCUCAACUUCGGUCGAAUCAGAAGAGGACAUGGAGCGACACGGGGCAGUCUCACAUGCGAGGUGACUCAUCAGAAUUUCGGACACGUGGCACAUGCGAGGCGAGGACACGUGGCAAAAGCGUGACUAUGCGAAUUUUCUCGAUUUUUGGCAAAAACUUCUAAAAUCCAUAACUUUCGCAUACGAGCUCCAUUUUUGACAUUCUUUAUAUGCACGCGUAGGUAAAAUUACACUCUACAAUUUUCGUUUAGACUUCGUCGGCUAAUUUUGACUUUAAUUUUUAUAUUAUUAUUUUUAAUAGACCGGGACAGGAAAUCCGUUAAAAAUUCAUAACUUCUUCAUCCGACGUUCGUUUUCAUCAGACUUUUUACCGUUGUGCUACUAAUGACGAGACCUUCAAUUCUCGUUUAGGUUGUGUCGGCUAAAAAUAAAUCGAUCUAAAAUUCGAGUUUUUAGCUGUCUACUGCUAAGCUGAAACUUCGAAAGAUAAUAACUUCCUCAUACGAAGUCAGAUUUGGGCGUUCUUUUUAUCGAACUUGUCGGUUUAACGAAUACUAUGACUUUCGUUUAGAUCACUAAGGCUAAAAAGUAGUUUAUCAAAAACUCACUUUUUACGACAUUCAGCACCGUGCCUGUUUUGUCGCGAAACUUCCACAUGUCAUAACUUCUUCGUUAUAACUUCGAUUUUGGUAUUCUUUAUAUCCCCGAAAUCCUUGUUUCGACCACUACAACUUUAUGUAAAGCUAUCGGGCUUAUCUCACACUUUAAUUUUGACACUUAUUUUUAUUCAUAAUUAAUUAAACCCUAAUAAUUAAGAAUAAAACACAUAAUUCACAUAAUAUUCACAUAAUUCCUUUUCAUUUCUUCAAAAUGAGUUACAAAGGUUAACCCAUACUAUCACCUAAAUAUAAAUGCCUAGGCUAGAAACACGAGUGUUACAUCAUGCCCUAAAGUUAGGGUUUUUGUCUUAGGCCACGUAUGCCCUGUGAUCGCCUUAGUACGCCCCGCGUACAUGGUGCAUGUCCGUGUCCAAACCACCCUAGUAUGCUAAGCGUACACAAUUGUACGCUUAACAUACGUAUGGACCUCCUUUGUAAAUAAGUUUCUGAUGAGAUUAAAACUUUUAAAUCUAAGAAGAUCGAUUAGAUCUCAAACAGGCAAAUAAUAUAAAACUGUAAGAACACGAAAAUAUAAACGAGACAAGUGUGAAUCAAACGAGUCGAAUGAUUAAAACAAAAUCCUCAGAAGAGCUCGAUUAAGAACAUCAACUGUAGAGGAUUGGAAGGUUACAAGAACGAUUAAAGAAACCUGUAAUGCUAUCGUUAAGCUCUAGAAUAAUUGCUAAAAUCGUUAUCAAUCCUUAACCUAAUAUGCAUGCAAGCAUAUACUUAUAUAUAAAACAUAAAAGGCUCUCGGUUGGACAGGCCCAAACCAGAGUACAAAAUAACUAUACUAUCGAGCCCAAAAGACGCAAUCUUCAAAAUAAUCUUCAGCCCAACAAUCUCCCCCUUUGCGUCAAUUUGGAGCGAGACCUUCACUUGUUACUUGGGCCAGCAGCUGAAGCAGGUACCUUCUUCUUCACGAUGCUAAACAUACAUUUGGUGAUGGAGAGAAUGGUCUGUCAAAACCGGAUGUACCAAUUGAUCAUGUCGUUGAAGUACUUGAUGUCAUCAGCCGAGUUCUCUUUACACCGUUUGAUAAUCGAUAACACAUGCUCCAAACAAGCUGUGGUGUAAAGGUGUUUGUCAGCUAAAGCGAAGAGACAUUUCUGUCCUUCCGCUCUAGUGAACAUAACCGAGUUGCGUCUCGGGUCGAUCUUGCCCAUUUGCAUUUUGUUGAGAUCACUGGCCGAUCCCACAGGAGCUAUCUUCGGUUUCUUCUUGAAGACUGUGGCGACCUCCUGAUCCAUUAGGGCAACCUCCAUGAUGUAGCAGGCUAACAUCCUUUUGACAUGGUCUAUAAUGGGACCAUAUUUGGCUUCAUCAGUCAAAAGGAUAUUAUACAGGACACUCCAAUCAUGAGGAUUUAAAUUCGGUAGAUCUGCCAGGGAGAUAAGAUGAGCAGUUCUUGCAGAUCCCCGAAUAAGCUUGAACCGAACGUUUGUGAACCUCCCUUUGGCGUAAGCCUUUAGCACCCGGACGUUCACAAUCUUCUGGGCGCUCCAAGUAAGGUAUUAAGGACGAGCAACCGCCAGAUAGAAGUCAAUGAGCUCCCUGUCAAGCUCAGCAUUCGGAUGAGGGACUUCAAAGAUGUUAGAGAAGGCGUGGAAGAUGAACGCCUUUCGAGUCAACGGCAUGUCGAACUGCGAGUCGACAGUAUUGUUGCAGUCGAACAAGAUAACCGGCUCGAGCCAUAAUAUGAUGGGAGUUUCUAUGGCCUCUUUAAUCAUACGCUCCCUGGUCCAGGCAGGGAAGAGAGUCUUCCGGCUCUCAAGGAGAUCGUGGGCUUCCUUUUGCUUGCGUUCGGCUUCUUCAGCCUCUCGCGCCACACGACUGGCAUCAUCGUCAGCAUUGCGACUGUUCUUUCGUUUUAACAUGUCAGCAAUGGUCUCCCUGUCUUCAUCUUCAUCUUCAUCUUCUUCCUCAACUAUGUUUUUGCCUUUGUUCUUCACACCCGAACCCGAAGCUUGACCAGUCUGAGGUGGUUCGGUUGUGUGAGUAGCUUUGGAGGAAGGAGGUGGUUUCGAUCCUUUCUUCUCAUCUCCCCCUUGUUUCGGAAUGGACANNNNNNNNNNNNNNNNNNNNNNNNNNNNNNNNNNNNNNNNNNNNNNNNNNNNNNNNNNNNNNNNNNNNNNNNNNNNNNNNNNNNNNNNNNNNNNNNNNNNNNNNNNNNNNNNNNNNNNNNNNNNNNNNNNNNNNNNNNNNNNNNNNNNNNNNNNNNNNNNNNNNNNNNNNNNNNNNNNNNNNNNNNNNNNNNNNNNNNNNNNNNNNNNNNNNNNNNNNNNNNNNNNNNNNNNNNNNNNNNNNNNNNNNNNNNNNNNNNNNNNNNNNNNNNNNNNNNNNNNNNNNNNNNNNNNNNNNNNNNNNNNNNNNNNNNNNNNNNNNNNNNNNNNNNNNNNNNNNNNNNNNNNNNNNNNNNNNNNNNNNNNNNNNNNNNNNNNNNNNNNNNNNNNNNNNNNNNNNNNNNNNNNNNNNNNNNNNNNNNNNNNNNNNNNNNNNNNNNNNNNNNNNNNNNNNNNNNNNNNNNNNNNNNNNNNNNNNNNNNNNNNNNNNNNNNNNNNNNNNNNNNNNNNNNNNNNNNNNNNNAGCUCCUCUCUUUGCCGUUGCUACAGCCGCUGUAACUGUCGCGGCAGCCGUCUCUGCGAGAGCCGCAUAUCGCUCAUCAAAAUACUCAACCAUGGCGGUCCUGAUCGACCCAAACAAUUCUGGCGACUCAGCCCGUAACAAUGCAGCAACCUCAUCGGCGUCGAGUCCAGUCGCGAGAAGUAGAUCAACCUUCUCAUGAAGCUCUUUGAGAUUCUUCUUUGUCACUGGAGCAUCAUCCUCCUCGUCACUCUGAACUUGAAACGGACUAUAGUAGACCGAAUCAAAGUUCAUGUGUUCACCACCAAGGUAAGGGUUUUCGCCAUCGGAGGCAUUUUCUGGAGAUGGAGGGGGUGGUGAAGCUGGGGGUGUUGUGGUUGGGGUAUGGUUAGGUUGAGUAUUGGGUGGUGGUUGAGUGUGGGUAGGUUCGAAAAUUUCGAUGCAUCGGAGACGAUGAUCUUCUUGGUAUGAAACGUACCAACAGAAGACAUCGAUGCACCGUCGGCAGUGGGGAUGUCGAACUUGUCCAUCGCCCAUUUUGUAAUUAAGAUCCAGAACCGGGCCAACGACACCUCAGAGUGUCGGGAUGAUGAAGAAAGGCUCUGGAUGAGCUGUUGCCAUAGGACCAACCCAUAGUCCAGGUUAAUCCCGUUGUAGACCCCGUACAUUAUUGACAGGAAGAGACGACUNUAAGCCGUUCCACUGAGGCGGCAGGCAGGACUUUUUGAAUUUAGCGACAGAGGUGAGGACCUCUGUGUACCCCAUGUUGUAAAACAUGCUAAAUAGAUGCCCAACCGGAAUCGUCUCCGGAUUUAUUCUCGAUGGGUCAACAGCCAACCCAAGCAUGGUGCAGAAACGCUGUCGAGAAACAGAUAUCUUGUGUUCAGCAAUCUCGAAGAACACCCGGUCAACUGCCUUGUCAAAAUAAGCAGUCGCGUAAACCUGCGAUAGGGCCACCAUGGGCACAGACUCGAUCCUGGAGAGAGCGGUGGCGAUUUGGGAGUACUUCAGGCACUCGAUGAUCGGCGACAUGUAGGAGUCGUACGCCAGAGGAUUGAGAUCGAUCACCAGGCAUUGUUGCGGACGAAUGGGAAGGAUUUGUGAUGUAGCAUGGACGGAAGAAGAUUCUGCCAUUGUUGAAGGUAGUCGAAGAAGAAGAUGAACAGUGAAGCUUUUGGGAGGUUUUUGCUCUCUAGAAAAUCCGGAAGCAGUAAAAAGGUAAAUGGUGUUGUAGACUGCCUUUUAUAGUGAGGGAUUGGAGAGAGAAAAAUCGUUUCAUAUCUUCUAUGCGAUGAUCACGUAGGAGAGAUAGUGUCAGAUUCCUAGGAUCACGCUACCCAACAAGCGCCGUUUCAGAAGAAAAACGGUUCAAAUCCACACGCGCCUUUAAAUGCCAGAAGGAUGUCGCUUGGAAUUCGCACACGCGUCCUUAAUGUCAGUAAAAGUAAGGCCGUUUCAAAUUCACACUCGCCCACUUUUUACCGUCGUUUGAAUUUUAAUCCUUUUAACUCCCGCCGAGUCAGCAACCUUUUUGUCUUAUCUUUUUAAAUGACAACUUUUGAAUUAAAUACCCACGUGGAUUGUUUUUGACCACAACUUUAUAAUUAACCACCAAGUAAUCAUACAGCCUGUAAAAAUUAGUAACGGAUGUUCGGAAAAUCAAGGAUUUUCAUGCAAAGAGUGUAAAAGAAAAAGAAAUAAAGCAACUCUUUUAAGGAUUUUCUGUGAUGUCAAUAAUGACACGAAACUGAUGAUCCCGGGCACGAGUCUCUUCCUUCAAGGUCAAAAGAGACCUUAAAGUGUUAGUGUGGAAUCCCGUUGAAUUACGAUCAAACAUUUAUUAAGAAAUGUUGAAAGGCUUCUUUUAAUUAUGUUAAAUAAGGGUGGCUUUCGCUUUGAUUCAUCAAUUCUAUUCUUGAAAUAAGAAAGAAAGUGAACAAAGUACUUGUGAGACCGGUGUAGCCUGUUGAACAAGUAGGUAGGAAUUUAUUUUAAAUUGGCUUGGAAAAAUAUAAAAUCUCAAAAAAAAAAAAAUGAAAACCUGGAUCCCAAGGGAAGAAAUGUUAUGGUGUUUUAACAAUUUCAUAGGAAUCACACAAAAGAAAAAUUGAGAUUUCAUGAGGGUACAUUCGUCAAUACUUUGGUGAAAACUUGAGCAAAUUAAUUGUUCACCGUCAAUUCAUUAGGUGUUGAAUUUUGGGUUUCACUCAGCUCGUAGUGACAUGAAACUAAGAUCAUAAACACAGAUGUUGUGUAACCAUAAACCUCAGUGGUAAUUUCUGAGAGUCUCAAGGGUUACGUUGAUGAAACGAAUGUAAUGGAGAAAUGUAAUGGAGAUGGUGUAAGAAAUUAAAGUACCUCUGCUGCGAAAAUAAGGACCAAGCAGAAAACUCUUAUCUCAUGUGAGAAGAGAGUGAGGUAGCUCACGAUUAGAAUAAAUGUGAUAGCCUAAUUGGGAAGACAAGGUUUGUUUAUACCAAGUCAUUAAGGCUAUUAUUCAGAAUCUUAUGAGGCUUGGGACACAUACAGCAGCAUGCUUCUAGGGACACUUAAGUAAUCCAACAAUUAUAUCCCCAUAAACGAACGAACACAUAAAUAAAAUAAGAAAAUAUUUUUGGAGUUUUUGAUAUAUAUAAAAAAAUUAAAAGAAAAGAAAAUAAUAAAAAAAAAAUUAAGCAAGAGAAAAAAUAAGACUUAGAAAGAGUAAAAAAAAACUUUGGAAAAAUUUGGUAACCGAACCCGAACGUUCGGUUGGUUUCGGUUGAGAAAAAUUUGAAAAACCGAACCCGAGCGUUCGGUUGGUUUCGGUUCGGGAAAAUUUUGAAAAACCGAACCCGAGCGUUCGGUUGGUUUCGGUUCAAGAAAAUUUUGAAAAACCGAACCCGAGCGUUCGGUUGGUUUCGGUUCAAGAAAAUUUUGAAAAACCGAACCCGAGCGUUCGGUUGGUUUCGGUUCCAGAAAAUUUUGAAAAACCGAACCCGAGCGUUCGGUUGGUUUCGGUUCAGGAAAAUUUUGAAAAACCGAACCCGAGCGUUCGGUUGGUUUCGGUUCAAGAAAAUUUUGAAAAACCGAACCCGAGCGUUCGGUUGGUUUCGGUUCAAGAAAAUUUUGAAAAACCGAACCCGAGCGUUCGGUUGGUUUCGGUUCAAGAAAAUUUUGAAAAACCGAACCCGAGCGUUCGGUUGGUUUCGGUUCAAGAAAAUUUUGAAAAACCGAACCCGAGCGUUCGGUUGGUUUCGGUUCAAGAAAAUUUUGAAAAACCGAACCCGAACCUUCGGUAGGUUUCGGUUUUGGAAAAUUUUGAGAAACCGAACCCGAACCUUCGGUAGGUUUCGGUUUUGGAAAAUUUUAAGAAACCAAGGAUUUUAGACAUGCAAUUGGAAAAUAUUUUCAACACUAAGAAAAACAAUUUUGUACAAGAAAUAUACAACCAAGAAAAACUACCUUUGAAGUGAUGAGCGAGUCAGAUGGUUUAACCGAACCCGAACGUUCGGUUAGUUUCGCUUCUUACGUUUGAGGUUGAGAGGUAGUGUGAGGUACUGACUCUGAUUCCAUCAUACCUAGCCCUUGCAAUAUUCUGUUGAAUGAUGCUUCAGGAAGAGCUUUGGUAAAGACGUCAGCCAGUUGAUCAGUGGUUCUUACGAAGUGAACUUCGACGUUUCCAUCUUCCACGUGAUCUUUGAUGAAGUGAUACCUCAGUGCUAUGUGUUUGGUUUUAGAGUGUUGCACUGGGUUAUGACAGAUCCUAAUUGCACUUUCAGAGUCACAAUAUAGUGGGAUCUUCUUCAUAUUGAGUCCAUAGUCUCGAAGUUGACUCUGGAUCCAAAUCACUUGAGAGGUGCAGGAUGCAGCGGCUAUGUAUUCCGCUUCGGCAGUAGACAACGACACGCACGUUUGUUUCUUGGAUUGCCAGCUGACCAACUUCCCGUCAAGGAAUUGACAGCCACCAGUGGUGCUUUUUCUGUCGAGUCCACAUCCUCCAAGGUCAGCAUCUGAAUAGGCUUGAACGAAGAAGCCUGAGUUGGAAGGAUACCAUAGACCUAAGGAGGUGGUUCGCUUGAGAUAGCGUAAAAUGUUCUUCACUGCAAGCAUGUGAGGUUCGCGUGGGUUUGCCUGAAAUCGAGCACAAUAACACACAGAAAACAUGAUGUCAGGCCUGCUAGCAGUAAGAUACAUUAGUGAGCCUAUCAUUUGACGAUAGAGCGUGAUAUCAACAGCCGGUUUGUCUAGGGAUGGAGUUAGCUUGGUGCCGAAUGCCAUUGGGACUUUGACUUUGGAGUCUCCCAUCAUACCAAACUUUGCUAGGAGAGUCUUCGUGUAAGCUUCCUGAUUGAUAAAGAUGCCUUCGGGUCCCUGUCUAAUAUUUAAACCAAGGAAAAAGUUAAUAGGACCCAUUGAGCUCAUUUCAAAUUUAGUCUCCAUCAACUUUCUGAAUUCAGCUGUUAAGCUGGGAUUCGUAGAGCCAAAGAUGAUGUCAUCGACAUAAAUUUGAACUAUCAUAAGGUGGUUACCUUCCUUUUUGCGAAAGAAGGUUGGGUCAACCGAACCUUGUUUGAAUUUAGACAUCUUUAAGAAUUUAGUUAGCGUUUCAUACCAGGCUCUCGGAGCUUGUUUAAGGCCAUACACAGCUUUAUCCAGAAUAUAGCAAUGAUUUGGAUACUUUUCGUUCACGAACCCAGGAGGUUGCUCCACAUACACGGUUUCUUCGAGUUCUCCAUUAAGAAAUGCACACUUGACGUCCAUUUGGAAAACUUCAAAGUUUUUGUGGGCAGCAUAAGCAAGAAAUAUUCUUACAGAUUCCAGCCUAGCUACAGGAGCGAAAGUCUCUUCAUAAUCAAUCCCUUCCUCCUGACAGUAUCCCUUUACUACCAGACGAGCUUUGUUCCUUAUAACAUUCCCUUCCUUGUCCAUUUUGUUCCUAAAGACCCAUUUGAGACCAACAACCGAAGCAUCUGGAGGAGUUGGAAUGAGGCGCCAGACUUUGUUCCUUUCAAAUUCGUUCAGUUCGUCUUGCAUUGCUUGAACCCAAUCAGAGUGAUCGAGGGCAGUGUUAACUGUCUUCGGUUCAACUUUUGAUACGAAUGAGUUAAACAUACAAAACUCAACCUUUGAAAAUAAGGAUGUCUGUUUUGCCUUCAGUUGUGAUCGGGUCAGAACCUUUUCAGAGACAUCACCAACCACUUGAGAGAUAGGAUGAUCUCUGGUCCAUUUGGUAAGAGGAGGAUAAUUUGGAUCAAAGGUUGGGUCUAGUUCAGCAUUGAUCAUUUCUUCUGGCUCAGAUUGGCUAUCGUAAUCAAGCGUCAUAUCAUCAUGCUCCCCCUCGAUUGAUGAGCUUUGAGAAACUUGAGGUUCAGAGGUUUCUUGUGGUGCUGGACUUUCAGGCGUUGAAGCACCUUCGGUUGGAGAAGCACUUUCGGUUGCAGUUGUAGAGCUUGGCUCCCCCUCGACAUGUGAGCUUGGCUCCCCCUCGACUGAAGCAUCGUUGGAUGGAGGUUCAUCAGAAGUCGAUCCUCCUUCAUUCAUUCUCCUUGCAGCUUCUUCGACAAUCUGCUUCAUGUGGUCAACCUUGUUGUCUGCUGCACCUGCUUCUGAGAGAGAAGCUUUCUCUGGUUCGUCAAAGAGCUCCAGAAAUUUCUCGAAUAGAUUAGCGAUCGAGACUGUGACUUGGCCAGUUUGAGGAAAGAUUUCCCCAGCGGUGUCUUCUUUGGCCUGUAGCUUUUUGACAUAGCUAUCGUCAAAAGUCACGUAAUAGGUCUCUUCGAUUUUUCUCGAACGCUUGUUUAGGACUCUGUAUGCUUUGGAUGUGAGAGAGUAGCCCAGAAAGAUUCCCUCGUCGGCUUUGACAUCAAACUUGUUGCGGUGUUCUUUAGAGUUAAAGAUGAAACACCGUGAGCCGAACACGUGGAAAAAUUUCACAUUGGGCUUUCUGUUGUUUAGUAUCUCAUAAGGUGUGAGCGUGAAUCGCUUGUUGAGAUAAGACCUGUUCUGUGUAAAACAAGCAGCAGAAAUAGCGUCAGCCCAAAAAUAAAGAGGUAAGGAAGCGAAACUUAGCAUAGUUCGGGCAGCUUCACACAAAGAUCGGUUUCGUCUUUCGACUAUUCCGUUCUGUUGUGGUGUGUAGGGAGCUGAGAAAUUGUGACUAAUUCCCUUUUCUGCAAGAAACUCUUCAAACUCCCUGUUCUUGAAUUCAAGACCAUUGUCGCUUCUGAUGUUGCGAACGACCUUCUUGAUCUGCACUUCAAUCUGCUUAAUGAAUAAUUUCAGCUUAUGAGUCGCUUCAGAUUUAAGCUUUAGAAAGAACACCCAUGUAAAUCGUGAAAAGUCAUCAAUAAUAACAAGAAUAAACUUGCUACCACCGAUGCUUUCAACAGAUGAAGGACCACACAAAUCGAUAUGAAGUAAUUCGAGUGGUUCAACAACUUUUGUGUUGAUUACAGAUGGGUGACUUUGACGACUCUGCUUCCCCAUUUCGCAUGCAGCACACAAAUGCUCUCUGUCGAACUUGAGCAAUGGAAGACCCCUAACAUGACCUCCAGUGACAAGUCGGUUGAUAUCUUUAAAGUUGAGAUGAGAGAGUCUUCGGUGCCACAACCAGCUUUCGUCGGAUUGAGCUUUUGAUAACAGGCAUAUGGCUGGGUUUCCUUUGAUGGGUUUCAUGUUUAGAGGAAACAUUUCACCCUUUCGCUCUGACUUGAGAAUCACUUUCUUUGUCUUUUUCUCUAUGAUUUCAGAACCUUCAUCAUCGAAUGAGACUUUGAGACCUGUACCUCCAACAAGCUGAGAUACACUGAUGAGGUUGUGUUGGAGUCCUUCCACAUAAGCUACCUUCCUUAUAGUAAAGUCCCCAUUUGUUAUCAUCCCGUAUCCCUUUAUGGUGCCGAAAGAAUUAUUUCCAAACUUGACAUUGCCACCAUUUGCAAGAGAUCUGUAUUCCCUGAGCUCCUCUUUGCUCCCUGUCAUGUGACGUGAGCAGCCACUAUCGAUGUACCAUUCUUCGUCAAACUGCUCGUCACUUAUAACCUGCAAAAAUUAAGCAGAUUUAGGAACCCAAAGUUUCUUGGGUCCAUGUGAGCUUUUCAUGGGAACAGGAAUAGUAAGAGAGAUGUCAACUAGAUAUGUUCGUUUUAUUAGAGUUGUUUCAUCUUUCUUUUUAAUGGUAAAAACUUUUAUCUUAUUAGGAUUGGGUGCGUUCGGUUUGGACUCUGGUUUGGAUUCAUUGACCUUCUGUUUGCCCUUUUGUUCAGCUGACGAAUAAGACUUUUGAGAGCGAACAGAAUUAGCUUUAGAGCAAGAUGGAAAUGAAUUGGUGGAAGUAGAAGAAUUAGAAGAACUAGAAGAGGUGGGUUUGGAAUGAGAGGACUUCCUGGCUGGAGACUCUAGGUGACCCUUUUGCUUUUGAUCAUUGGAGGGACUUACCUUAGAGUUUUGUUCUCUUUUGACUUCAGAACCGAACCUUUGCUUUCGGUUGGAAUCGUUCUUUGAACCGAACCUUUGCUUUCGGUUGAAGUCAUUCUCAGAACCGAACCUUUGCUUUCGGUUGGUAUUCUCUUGUGAACCGAACCUUGGCUUUCGGUUGUUGUGGCUCUCAGGCUUUCCGACAGGAUUGUUUUCAUACUUCAGAUUCUUGUCUUGAUGUGAGAAGUAUGCAUUCUGGGAUUGCCAGAAUUGCCUCCUUUCAGAGAGAUUCUUCCUGUAUCUUUGGUUCCUUUCACGUUUCUUAUUCCUCAUCUGCUUCGGUUGAUGAUGAAUAUUAGCUUUCAUUUUCGGUUUCUCCUUGGCUGGUUCAUUUUGAACUGUAGGAGUUUCACUUUGAACUGAGGAAGUAGAGGGAACGUCUUCUUUUGCCGAACUUUCAUCCUCCUGAGGAAUGUCUUUCGUACCACUGGUGCUUGGCUCAUCGAAAUUAUCUGGCUUAUUCAAGGGUUCAGGUAUGUAUCUACCUUUACUCAUCCAGGAGGUUCUUUCAGAUAAGCCUACCGUUUCGUUUGCAUUAUCUAUUGGAGCUGACCAGAAGUACUCAUCACAGCCAUCAGCAUUGUCUUCGUUUACAAUAGCUGUGAGUUCAGCCGUCUGAUGUUCGGUUACUCCAGUGACCUUGUAUACUUGAUUUGGAGUGGUCCUGACCUUUUGAUACACAACUGCUUUCUCUGCUAAGAUCGGGGACUUUUGUUGGGACAAUCGAGCGAACUCCACUGAAUUUUCAGAAAUAAGAUUCUUGUGGUUUUCAGGUUCGCUUUUAACAAAUUCUGAGCAGUCAACCGUGUCCUCUACAGAAAUUUCACUCAUGUUGUCGUCCUCGUUAAGCUCAGAUGCAUUUUCAACAUCAAUUUUGUUUUCUGAGCUUACGUUGGCGUUUAAAGAGUCAAAUUUUUGUAUGGUUUCGGUUCUCAGUUUAAGUCUAUCAUUUUCAUCCAAAAGAUUUUUAAGCAUGUCCUUGUGGUCCUUGGAUUUAAUGAAGGACUCAAUUUUGUCCAGUCCAUACAUGUAGGUCGGAUUGACAUCAUCAGACGAUAUCACACUCUCACAAUUAUAGGCUUCAGCAUCGAUUUCAUCCUCCUUAAACUCAAGGAAGGGCAAAAUCAUGCGAUGGAUCUUUUGGCCUAUUUCACAGUCCAAGUGAAGCUGAGUAAUAUUAGAAUAUAAACGUUUUGCAAUUAAACAAAAAACAUUCCGCUGUUUUAACAAUUUUAAAUUGUCUCUUUGCAAAUAAAUGUUUUCGUCUUUAACUUUAACUAAUUCCGACUCCUUUAACUCGAUCCACAUUCGCCGCUCCUCACUCUUCGACGCCACCCUGCUUAAUUGAUCAGUUAGGUUAGAAUUGGUGACUCGAGUUUGAGUUAAGCUACUAUCUAGAUGAGAAAUUCUUGUAUUAACAUUUUUUAGUUCUUUCUCAUAUGAGGAUUGUGGUACUUUAAAUGAAAUGAAAACCGAUUGUACCUUCUUUAUCAGUUCAUCAAGCUCAUUGAACUGCUGGCUGAGUGGUUUGGCCGUAAAGCACAUGUCCUCCUGCCCCUUCGGUUCAUCGCUUCCACCAUCAGUGUUGUAUCCCCUCAUCUGAGAUACAUCAGACACCAUGAAGCAUCUUCCUCCACUGCUCUCCUCCUUUGCCACAUAAGCCUUUCCAUGGGUAGGCUUCCUUACUUCAUCGUCUUCUGAGUCGGUAGACCAAACUUCCGUGCUACCGAACUCGUCAUCAUUAACCGAACCCUGCACAAUAAGAGCAUUAAUAGAAGGGUUAGCGGUAGACUUCUUCUUUCUCAAUUCAUCCAGCCUUUUCUGCAACACAGCUUCCUCAUCCUUUUCAUCAUCCUUUUCAGCCAUCUUCUUAAGCACACAGUCUUUAGCAUAGUGGUUUUUCCCACCACAGUAGUAACAGCUUACUCCGGAAUCGCCAUCCACCUUCGGUUCCUUCUUGGGCUCCUCAACCUUCGGUUCAUUGUUCACCUUUUCUGAGCUGUAACUCCCCUGCCAGUUUCGGUUUUUAUUGCUGGGGAAUCUCUUCUUUAUGAACCUCUUGGGAUUGGACACCAUCAUGGCAUAAUCCUCAGACGUGAGGUCAUACUCCUCCAAGUUGAGGUCUUCAUCCUCCAUCACAGCUUUACUUUUUGAUAGGAGGGCCAACGAACCAAGGCUUGAAACGACGUUCUUCUCUUGCAGCACAAUCUUCUCUUGGGACUUGAGAAUGCCCACUAGUUUCGCCAGAGAAUAUGAUUUAAACUGUUCAUGUGCUUUGACUGUAGAAACCACUGCUCUUCAUUCGGACCUUAGUCCAUUUAAGAAAGUAACCUUCUGCUCGAUAAGAUUCCUUUCAAUAUCGUGUUUGAUCAUCUUGCUGAGAAGAUGAUUGAAGCGAUCGAACGUCUGGGUCACUGUUUCUUCGGCUCCUUGCCUGAAUUCUCCAAACUCAGAUAGAAGCAAGGUUUGGAUAGAAUGUUCAAGAUCCUCGUCUGUAGAGUACAGUUCGCGAAGUCUAUCCCAAACUUCCUUUGCCGUCGUGCAUGAGCUGACCAACCUGAAUGUGUCGGACUGAAGGGCGAAUCUGAUCAACCUUAACGCCUUGAUAUUGCACUGGAAUUUGUCCUUUUCAUCUUGUGCAAUAUAUUUCACAUCCUUCAGCAGAUCGUUGUACUCCUUUUGAGUUUUAACUAUUCUGGACGUUGCAGAAUGAGAAAAUGGUCCAUUGAUGAUAGCUUCCCAUAUGAGGUACCCAUUAUCCUCAGAUCCAAUCACGUAGUCUUCGAAGUGAUGCACCCAUACUUCAUAGUCAUGGGUGUAUAAGAUUGGAAUUUUUGUCGUCGAACCGAUGCUGUUGGAAAUAUUAAUAGGGUUCGAUUGCGUCUCGUCCAUUAUGAUCGAAAAAACCUGUUAAAAGAUCAGACUUGUAAUAACUCAGAUUAGGGCAAAACAAUAAAUAUCAAAAUACGUCAAUAAUGAGAUGACGGCUCAAUAAAUAUCAGUAAUUGCGGAAAAACCCUAAUUGAAACCUUUUCACAGAAAAGAUGUGUAUCGAUUACACAGCCUCCCGCUCUGAUACCAAUUGAUGAGAUUAAAACUUUUAAAUCUAAGAAGAUCGAUUAGAUCUCAAACAGGCAAAUAAUAUAAAACUGUAAGAACACAAAAAUAUAAACGAGACAAGUGUGAAUCAAACGAUUCGAAUGAUUAAAACAAAAUCCUCAUAAGAGCUCGAUUAAGAACAUCAACUGUAGAGGAUUGGAAGGUUACAAGAACGAUUAAAGAAAUCUGUAAUGCUAUCGUUAAGCUCUAGAAUAAUUGCUAAUAUCGUUAUCAAUCCUUAACCUAAUAUGCAUGCAAGCAUAUUCUUAUAUAUAAAACAUAAAAGGCUCUCGGUUGGACAGGCCCAAACCGGAGUACAAAAUAACUAUACUAUCGAGCCCAAAAGACGCAAUCUUCAAAAUAAUCUUCAGCCCAACAGUUUCAUUACAAGGGUUAAAAGGGUAAAUACGCGCAUUCCGAAUGUUAUAUACAGACAGUCAACUACUUGAUUAUACCAUAAGCCCUUCAUCAAAUAAGAACAUGAAAUAAUGCUCAACCAAAAAUAUUUAGGCUAUAGAAUCUUAGUUAUGUACAACUAUGAUGCAUACACUAAGAAACUACAAUAAUGAUGUCAAAUCUGUAUAAGAAGUAAUCCUAGGGUAUCAAGCAUCAUAUAUCAGAGAAUCCCAUCACAUAAUUCCUGAAGAUACCUAGCCUACCACUAGCAUGCUGUUCUAUCAUGAAAAACAUAUCAAAUAACAGUGUGCAUAACUUGGUGUAUACUUUCUAGCUUCGGCUGAUCGUACACAUCACAUCAUUCCAUGGUUACUUUUGAAAACAUUUUUUGAAAACCAUUAAAAAAAACUUUUACAGCUCCCUAUAUUGAGUUUAGAUUCACACGAAUGUUCAUCCAGUUCUCUCAAACCAUGGCUCUGAUACCAACUUGUAACACUCUAUAUAUCAUAGAAAAUUAAAAAAAUUAAAUUUCAACCAUUAACCAACAUUGUUUACAAAAAGAGUCAUUGCUUCAAAAGUAUUAUUCAAAAUCAUAGUUUUUCCCAAGACCCACUAACACAAAACAUGAAUAUGUGCACGAUCACACCUUCUCCUUCCCGCGAUCAUUAGAAGUACCUGAAACAAUAAACUGAAACUAUAACCCAAAGCUUAUCGAGUUCCCCCAAAGUACCAUCAUGCAACAUAUAAAAUACAUAGAUUAACAUGCUGGGUCCACAACCUCCCGGUUGGAUUACCUUCGUCCACACCCUCCCUGUUGGAUUGCCCUGUAUACCAUAUACUAGGUCCAAAACCUCCCGACUGGGUUGACUUGGCUAGUUUGUGGAUUUUGACCUAUUUUGACCCAAGGAUAUCUUGGAUAAAUUGGUAGUAAUUUAAGUCGGGCAAUAUUUUGGGAUAAUAGCUGUCGACUAGAGCCGGUUUUUGGGGAAGGGAUUUAUUCAGCUUGUGUUCAGACUUUCCUCACUGAACUUACGAGUCGAAGGCACCAAGUCCGACCCAAUGGAUUGAUAUCCUGUUAGAUACUGAUUGAAGAUAUGUUGAGUAUGUGAUAGAUCUGUAUGAUUAUAUGAUAGUUAUUGAUAUAGGUUAAACUGGUAGAUCUGUAGGACUACAUGUGAUUAUUAGCUGUAUAAUCACAUAUCUCCUGUAUGUAUAUUAUAUGAUAUAUGUUGACAUGUUAUGUUAGGGUUGAGAUUACUGCUUUGUGCUAUCAGUCAACAGACCGUGACAAUCCAACCGGGAUGUUGUGGGCUAGGGUAAUCCAACCGGGAGGUUGUGGACACAACAUGCUAAUCUAUGUAUUUUAUAUGUUGCAUGAUGGUACUUUGGGGGAACUCACUAAGCUUUGACUUACAGUUUCAGUUUAUUGUUUUAGGUACAUUUGAUGAUCACGGUACGACGAAGGUGUGAUCAUGCACAUCUUCUUGUUUUUUGUUACUGGGUCUUGGGAAAAACUCUGAUUUUGAAUAAUACUUUUGAAGGAAUGUCUCUUUUUUUAAAUAAUGUUGGUUAAUGUUUGAAAUUUAAUUUUUGUAAAUUUCUAUGAUUUUUGGAGUCUUAUAUUGGUUUUGGCUUAUAACCGAUCCAAGCCCCCACACACCCUUGUUAAUCAUCAAAGAAGAAUCCAAUCAGAACUAACUAUGUUCAACAAUAACAACCAUAGGGUGUUAUAAAUCCAUUACCUCAAAUGUAGGGAUCUUUUGAUGUCGAAGAACAUUAAUCAAGAUAAACUAAUAAUGAUAUUCAAUUAAACCAAAGGUCUUUUGGCCUAGCACUAUCAUAUGUUGGAAAAGUGACCCUUCCUAAUGUUAGAAAAACGGGUUAUUUCGAUUGCUUGGAUUCCACUAAAAGUCAUGAUACACUUUCAAAUUGAAUUAUUUCGAUGGUACAAUCAAAAUCUCAAAUGGAUAAAAUUCAAUGACAACAACAAAGAAUGAAAAGGUUAUGAUUCUUGUGUGUACAUGAUUUAAAUAACCAGAAAGGUAUAUAACUCCUUCUCCGAAAACUAUCAUAUUGGCAUUUACAAACUGCUACAAAACUGUCACUAAACUGACUUAGUCAGCUUGACAAACAAGAACUACAUAUUUAACAUACAAAGCGAAGCUAAAAAGUUUCCUGAUACUUGUAAAAAUCAAACGAUGUCAAAAAAUUAGAUGUUACAAAAUCUAGUAUUAACUUAGAUUUAAUAAAACUUAUAGAUUACCUGUUUAUAUAUCAUGAAAAUUUAUUCCCAAGGUCAUCCUUAACUCACUAACAGAUUUUAGGAGUAAUGAUAUAACGAUAUCUAUUCGUUACUCCUCUGAUAAAAUUUUGGAUUCUGUGUAGUCGAUAGGUCGUAUUUUUGGAUUGCUAACAGGAGUAGAAAAGCUAAAAUCAUUUGGGUCGAUGGGCUUCGUAAGCCUACUUUAGCUUGCAGUCCUAUGUAAUGUUUUUUUUCCUUGCUUCCUGCUAGUUUUUAUAAAAUUUUAUGCUGUUCCAAAAAAAAUUUUCUUUGAUAUAUUGGUCGGUCGACUUUGAGAUACAAUUAAGAAGGUUCUCUAGCCACAUCACACAUCAUCCUCCCCCAAUGACCACCACACAAUAAUAUCGAUUUGGUAUAGACCAACAACUCUCUUUCCCCAUCUCAUUCUGUCUUCACUUCCUUACUUUUCAGUUUGCUUUAUAAUAUUCAUACAUAGAAACUCAUUUUGAAGCAGUUAACACACAUAAAUGUCCUUAAUAUUGGAAUCCCCAACGAAGUAGCGUCGUUAAGUAAAGAAUGCAAGUGACAAUCUAAGUUCCUCUUAAUAUACAUAUCUUUUAUUAGAGACCGACCGCUGUCAUCCUCAAUAUAAUUCAUGUGUCCCUAAGUCCAUUUUCCAAUUCUUUUUGGAUUUGAUAAACUUGUAUAUACAAUUUCCUCUCUUUAUAGUGUUCAAUCUUCUACACAUCUUUUCAUAUGUCAUAAGCUUUGCUUUAGUUAUUGCUUUCUUCUUCCAACUUCUAUUGUAUAUAUUUCUUUCACCUCUCUUCUUUAUUUUGACCUUGAAUCUUCUUUCUCCACCAUUCCGAUUAUUAGCUUAGCAUUUCCUGCUAGACGGAUAUGACCUCCUGCUAGAAUUACCAUGUAGACCGAGACCCCCUACUUGUAACUAACCUAUUCGGUCCUAAUAGAUACACAUGUAAAAAGCUAAUAACUACUAACUAAGUGUUAAUUAUUUAAUAUAAAAUAGAGAUAGAACAUCAAUGAUAAAUAUUAAAAAUGCACAAAAAGUCAACGUGAGAAAUUAUAUUGCAAUAAAUUUGUUGUCAAUACAAUGCGUAAAUGAUUUACAAAAUCGAAAGUUCCGGACACAAGUUAAAACUUAAAACCCUAAAAGAGCCUACAAAUUUCAAUCGUCGACAUACCCCACCACAAAGGCACAAAUAAUCAAAGAAACAAGUGUAGAUGUAGAGGCCUUUUUCACCACAAUCACCCUUCAUCGGCCAUUUCGAAGGCCACGUGAAAUGUCACUAACGUGGCCCUAUAAAUAUCCACUCCUUUGUCUUUAACCCCUCCCCCUCCCAUAUAAAACCCUCCAUCCUCCUCCUUAACCACCAUCAACAACUACCUUCUCUCCUCCCUCAAAAGUACCACCAUCUUUUCCGACAUGGCAGCUUCUUCAAUCUUCAUGGCAACUCCCAUCACACUCCUCAAAAAAACUCCCACCUUCUCCGUCAAAUGCAUGUCACAAACACCUCAAAGCGGUGAACCGGAGAUUUCAAAACCAGCAACCACCCCAACACCACCAAAGAUCAACAUUCCUCCUCCUCCGCCACCUGCUCCAAAGGUCAGCACGAAGUUCUCUGACGUGUUGGCGUUUAGUGGACCUGCACCGGAGAGGAUCAACGGAAGGUUAGCCAUGAUAGGGUUUGUGUCGGCGAUGGCUGUGGAACUGAGCAGCGGUCAAGACGUGUUCACCCAGAUCGGCAACGGCGGUGUUGCGGUAUUUGUCGGGACAAGUGUGGUGUUGACGUUAGCGUCGUUGGUGCCGUUGUUUAAAGGAGUGAGUGUGCAGUCGAAGUCGAGUGGACUGAUGACAUCAGAUGCAGAGCUUUGGAAUGGGCGGGUUGCGAUGUUGGGUCUGGUGGCUUUGGCUUUUACUGAAUAUGUUAAAGGCAGUGCCCUUGUCUAGAUAAUGUAUCAUAGACUUUUCUAUUACAGAAUUACAUCUAAGAUAGGCAAAUGUAUAUUCUUUUGAAUAUUUAUGUGUAUCGAUUUACCAUACAUAGUUCAAAUCAUGAAAAUCAAUUAAUCAUGUUUUUUUGAUAAUAUAGUAUAAAACAAAUAUGAUCAAUCAAAUUGAACGAUUGUGGUAUCUUUCAAUAUAAAAUUCUUUUUAUAAAAUUAAACAAACAACAUACUAAGAUAAAUUUUAGAGGCAUGAACCUAGAUUAGCAAUAUAAGAGUCAAAGUCUACAAAGAUAUUGAAAUCCUAGUUUCACAACUUCCUCUUUGAAUGUUGAACUGAGGUGAUCUUCAUUAAUUCAGACCAAAUAUGUGCAUAAGUCCAGCCUAGUCAAUUAGCCAAUUUAAGAUGACAAGUAUCCAAAAUUCAAAUACAUUACAUACCUCAAUUUCAAACAAAACUGAAAAAUAUAAUGACUAAUGCUCACAAAAUGAUCACUUUCGGGGAGUGGUCACAGUUAAACUACCGGAAAAGCGCUGCAAACUCAACGUUACAUCUGCUCCAUCACCAAUUCCCUAAACAUUGGAAAUAGUUACCACUCUAUAUCAUUUAUAUUUAUAUUUUAUUUAUUUUUUAAAAUUAGAUUAAAUAAAAAACAUAAUUAUAAACUUAAGUAAUCAUUUUACUAAUUAAAAAAUCAACUAAACAUAUUAUUAAUUUUUAAAAUUAUUAAACAUAUCUAGUUAUAUAUAGUUGAGGGUUUAACUUAAUUCAAAGAAAAAUAAAAGGGUAUAAUAAGAUUAAAAGACACAAUUUUAGAGACCAAAUUUGUAACUUCAAUUAAAGCAAAUUUGAAUCGUCUUCUUCACCUGUCUUCUUCAACCUUUUUCUGAAAAACGGGUCAUUGCUCAAUACCAUUUUUUUUUCUUUUACUUUGAUGGAUACAAAAGAAAAGGAAAAAAGGGUUAAAUACGUGACCUUUGUUGUUGCUACUUUCUUAUUCGUUGUCUUCAUCCGUCUUUGCACCCACGUUACACCCAAACCACUGGCCUUAGGGGCGGUGUGGACAUAUCCUUAGGCCGGACACAUCAGCAAGAUGCGUGGGUUAGUCCUCCCACUCCGGUUAGCCUUAAACACUUAUUAAAAGCUAGUGGACGUCUUUGCACCCACGUUACACUCAAACCACCGGCCUUAGGGGCGGUGUGGACGUAUCCUUAGGCCGAACACAUCAGCAAGAUGCGUGGGUUAGUCCUCCCACUCCAGUUAGCCUUAAACACUUAUUAAAAGCUAGUUUAUUUCUUGUUAGUUUGAAAUCUAAUGUUAUCAUCAAAUCUAUACAAGAUUGAGAUUGAUAUCAGAGUAACAAUCUCCAAAAGAAAAAUAUUUUACUCAAAAGAAUAUAUAUAUAUAUAUAUAAUGAAUUAUAUCCUAAGAAGUACUAUGCAUGAGUAUAAGAUUACUAUUAUCUUGGGAUCUAUUAAUUGGUAACUAAGCAUACUUCCAAGUUACUAUAUGAAAUUUAGUUAAGGAUUAAUGUCAAGUUGGGUGCAUGCACCUCACUCAAAGGCCUUGUAUUUUUAUCGGUCCCAAGUGACAUCUUACAAGGGCCGUUUUGGAGUUUUUUCUUUCCCCAAUGUAUUAACAUUUAUUUUUUUUUGAUAUUUUUGAACUUUUUAUUUUCUUAGAAAAGUAUACAAAAUAAAAUAUAUACAAGUUUACUUGAAGAUAUGAGUGUUUAUCAGGUUAUUCUCUUGAACUAUCUAUUCUUAGAUAUGAAUAAAUGUGUUUGUCUUUAUCAUUUUUCCCCUUUGUCAAUUCUUGACUAAUAAGGUAAUAGUCGUUCUUGGUGAGGGAUUCACCUCUCUAUUGAUUCUUCAUUCUAAUUAAAUGUUUGGAUUCAACAAUGUCCGAUUGAGUAGUUCUUUAAAACCGCAUUCUACCAUUUGCAUCUUUAUAUUAAUCCCAUGAAUUGGGGAUUCCAUAAACUGAAACUCUUGGAGCUCAAUAGUGUAGUUGAAAAACAUUUGUCGAGCCUACCACUUCCAUGAAAUAGGAGAAUUUUUUCAAUAAACUAAGUAGUUCCUUCUUUAUGGAUCAUCUUUUCGUUACUCGACCCCUGCUUACAUGCGAUUCCUACUAGAAAAUAGAAUUGCAGACUAACUGCAGCUGCAGACAACCCUUCGUUUGGCCAGAAGGGGUUUGAUAUUCCUUGGAGAAAAAUCUCAUCCUGAAAAUAACAAUAUCCAUGAACACAAUGGCUACGAAAUACUGAUUUUCUUAACCGACGAACCGAAAUGUUACAGCCAUAAUGCUGAAACCUCAUUACUUGCCCGCCCUUUAAACAGGUAGAACCAUCCCUGAGCAUAGAAACAUAAACUAAAUCCUGAACCCUCCAGCUGAGGUCUUUGAUAUCCAAUUUUCUUGAUCCACAUCUUUCUGAGUAUAGAUGUUGCACUAAUACACUCGCGAUUCCCAAUGCGAGCUUUCACCAAAAACCCACUCGAAUAUGGCCACUCAUAUUCUUCUCGAAGACCCUUCCCUACAUCUAAUGAGCGUCCAAUUAUGAAUCUGCCCGCAAUUCCUGACUGGAGACACUAACAGAAACAUGCAUAACUGAUCCUCGAAACAUACCGACCACGAUCUUCACCCAAAACCAAACCAUAUGAUGUACCAAAACCUUAUUAACCCUUGAUCCUCUUCUAUUCCAUUACUGACCACUGCUUCGCCGAGCAAGAGAUAAAUCCAAGAAUUUCUGCUUUACAUCCAACCCCUUAUAGAAUCAGGUGUACCCCCACCUGGACAACCACUUGAGACAAUCAUAAAGAACUUUAUGACUUGCGACUUUCCAACCAAUCCCAACUUGAAAACCACAACAAUAGCAACAACUUGCGAACAACCAAAAAUAUAAUGUAUACAUCCCAUAAGGACUUUCUGAUUCCUGACAGAUACUCCCAACAACCUUUACUACUUCCUUUAUCCAACCAAUAGAUUUACGACUCGCUCGUCUCCCAUCAGUGUAUCGAUACCGAAAGCACCACAAGCAGAAUAAAUGAACAACCAUGUUCACUAGGCCCUCAAAGUAUGACUGGAAUACCCCUUAUAAUGUCCUCUGAAUAUGUUUGGAUUGCCUCUGAGCCCACAACAUGAAUCUGGAAUGCCCUCCCUGGCCUUCAGCCCAUGUCUGGAAUGCUCUCGAUAUCACAACGACCUUGACGCCAUCGCAUCGCUCGCCCAUCACUCCAGGCCCACAGAUACUCACCUCAUUCCAUUCCCUUGAAGGGACUUAAUCAAUUCCCUCACCACGCCAAUUGUGCAUCACAAAGAUGCCACCAAAGCAAACCUUACAAAACAUGGACGUACGCGACCCGUGAAUAGGAAAAUAGAUGCACCAUUGGCCCGAUUCGAAGGCUAAAAUCCAAAAGAACCAUGCACAUGAUUCGAACCAAGUGCUCCAAUGCUAUCUUUACCAGAUUACAUGAACUACCCCCAUACACAUACUUAAGAAACCUAGAAUAUCAUCCAGAGAGAGAAGGAAUGUCAGAUAUAAUCUAAAAAUACCUCAAUUAAUAACAUAAAACAUCCCCAUGAUCAGUUGAAACAAGAUCCCAUACUUGAUUGAGACUGAACGGAUUCCAUCGCUACACAACUAGGUUGAGAAGACUUCCGCGGAUAUCGAAGGUUGCCUAAACCUGAGUCUGCUAUUAACCAAGUUCCCACUCCACCAUUGAGGGUAAACACACUCGAAGGACCAAAGAACAUAGAUCAUACCGAACUUGAUGACAGAUUGGCCCGACCACUGCAUCUCGGCUGACACAAUUAAACUUCCGAGUGAACUUUUAUUGAAUGAUGAACCCCAAAAUUAGUGGUCGAGGACACAUUGACACUUAAUCCAGAGAAUCAAGACCCACAUGGAACUGAACAUACCCGCUUCUGGAAAGAUCCACUGACUAACGUCUGCCUAACUAAUCUGAAAAUAGCAAUCCAACAACAAACUCGCAUAUCCCUCAAUGGCUAAAAAUACUCAACCUUAGAAUCCCUAUUCUCCCCCACUUUAGGCUCAAACUACCACUUACUGGCGCUAAAACCAAAUCAUAACUCAAACCAUCUUGAGCAUGUACUACCCUUCCUAACCCUGGAAGUUACGAGUCUGCUCACUGCUUCCCCGAACUCGGAAAAACUGAAAGGGCGUAACCCUAUAUCUUAUAUUCUUCAAACCUAGAGAUAUGAGUUGUUACUAUGAGUUGGUUAUACAUUUGAUUGCACGAAAACGCAUUGGUAACUCGAUGAUAUAAAACGUGCCUUUGUGUAUGAUUCAACAAGUAGUAGAACAAGCCAUAUGAGUCGAAGUUUAUCCAUUCCUUUUACCUUCAGGAUAAAAGCGAUAUCCAUGGGCCCCUCGAUGAUUUAUUAAUGAUGACACAUGUGAGUGCUUGGGCAAGCCAUGACUGAUUUGAUCUGUUCAAUCAGUCAGUCAUCAUGAAUCGGAAAUCAGGAAACAAUAAAUGGAUAGAGAUAAUGAUUUAUAAUCCAUGUCUUAGUCCAUAUGAUAUUUAGAAUGGAGGAAUAUAUGAUCCCUUAUCUAAUGGACUAGUCAUUGACAAAGGUCAAAGUUCAUCGACGAGGUCAGAGUUCAACAACGGCUUUUGAGAGUUACGAUUGCCAGUUGGUUUUUGAAGUCAUCCUCAAUAAUAGUUUUAGACUUAUCCAAGUAGGAGACUAUUGGAUUAGUGUCUAAGUCCAUACCUAUAAUUGGUAUGUACUUGACCGUACUCGUCAUUGUCCAUUUGGGUUGCAUGGCAUCGGAACAUUUGGAUAAACUGUUUGUGAGAAAAGGACAUUUGUGACAUAUUAAUAUAUUAUAAGUUCUAAUAUAUUAAUAUUAAAUCAUGUUAUUUAAUUAGUAUUGAUCAAGAAUUAAUUCAGACUUAAUUUAGUGAUCAAAAGAGACUAAUUAAAUAUAUGGGGAUUGAUUGUGUAAAUCAUUCAUUCUUAUAUAUGUGGGGUUAUGAUCCAUUAUUCCUUAUGUUGGGUUUAACCCAUGUGGUGAUCCAUGGAUACUCCAUGGAGGUUAAAACCCAUGAAGCAUAAGGAAUUCGUAAAGUCAUGGGUUACAUAGUGUAACCCUAAUGCGCACACUAUAUAAGGACCCCUUUAGCUCAAGAAACGGCACUAGUGAUACUUAUAUGAGGGCUAGCCGAUUUCAACAUAGGGUUCUUCUUCUCAUGGUUAUUCCAAGUGUUGAUGAUGUUGUGUGNNNNNNNNNNNNNNNNNNNNNNNNNNNNNNNNNNNNNNNNNNNNNNNNNNNNNNNNNNNNNNNNNNNNNNNNNNNNNNNNNNNNNNNNNNNNNNNNNNNNUUUCCAUUGCAGUCAGAGGGGCCACAAGAAGGCCCAGUGUCCGAGAUUGUAUCCAGUAGGGCAGGUGCCAGCUCCUGCCCUUGGGAUUUCGAGUACCGCCAGCAGUUGUCGAGGCCCGGCAAGGGUGCCUACGGCUCAGAGCCGAGUUUUCCGGUAGAUUUCAGCAGGGAUUCGAGCAGCACUGAGUAAUGAAGGUACGUAACUUUUGUUUUUCUGUCAGCUUAUGUCAUGAUUAUAUUGUUAUGGUUCUGCAUCAAAUUGUGGUAUAAGUGUUGUGUUAUAGUGUGGCUUGCUUGUGAUUAUGUUAUAUGCCAUUUGCAUACCUCGGAUAAUUGGUUGGUAGUUAGGGAAUGUGCUCUUAUGGAGAAGGUUUCGGAGGAUGCAGNAUGGUUGGGAGAGAUUUGGUUCGUUUCGCGAGUUCGGAGUGGUUAGUGUUGGGUUGGAUUGGUUAGAUCCCUAGCUAUGGCAGGCUUGGGCUCCUUAGCAGAAUGAUUAUGGAAUGGCAGCAAAGAUCGGGAUCUCUUUUGAGUGUGAAGCAGCAAGGGGUAAGCAGGAUCGAAGUGGGGGAGAACCCUCCGGGUAUACAUGGAUAAGAGUCUCGUAGACUCAGAAUGAGUGCGCGGCCUCUGAGAAGAAAUGGUAGUAGCACAGUGAUGGAUGGAUUGAGAAGUUCAGAAUUGGGAGUUCGAGAACUUUUCCCAGCAGUUAGUUCAUGUAAUCGAGAUGGUUAGAAGCUGGUUGGGAAUCCAGGAUUGGAGGACCACCUGUCGGACGCAUGAGAGUCGGAAUGAAGAUCCUGAGAACGGGUAACAAGAGAUGUUUUCGUAUUAGUAGCCAGUGUCUGAGGCAGCAUGCAGGUUGUGUAGAUUCAGGAGUUGGGAGGUUGGAAACUUCCCAACAAUAGCUUCUUGUAUCCGGAUUAGUAGACGGUUGGUUUGGGAACCAAGCCGAAGGAUUCCUCGACGAAGCGCUAAGUAUAUCAAGGAUAUAAGAUGUCGAGGAUGAUGCAGAAUUCAAAGUCUAAGGACUGUUUUUUUUGAGAAAUCGGGAUGAGGAAUCACUAGCAGGACUAGGGAUAGUCAGGAUGUUCUCGAGAUAGUAGUAGUGUUGUAAGUCUGCGGGGGUAGCCGUAGCAUUCACUAGCAGUCAGAUAGCAGUAGUAGUGUUGUAAGUCUGCGGGGGUAGCCGUAGCAUUCACUAGCAGUCAGAUAGCAGUAGUAGUGUUGUAAGUCUGCGGGGGUAGCCGUAGCAUUCACUAGCAGUCAGAUAGCAGUAGUAGUGUUGUAAGUCUGCGGGGGUAGCCGUAGCAUUCACUAGCAGUCAGAUGGUAGUAGUAGUGGUGUUGUAAGUCUGCGGGGGUAGCCGUAGCAUCCACUAGCAGCCAGAUAGUAUUAGAGAGUUGUAAGUCCGCGAGCGUAGUCGCAGCCUUUUAUCAGAUUGGUAAGUAGCAUGAGCGCGUGUUAGACGCGGGAAAGCAGUUGUACCCACCAGUUCGGGUGUAGCAGUGAGGAUAUGGGAAUCCACGGGUUAGAUUUCGGAUUUCCCAAAGGGAUCAGUUACGGCUAAGUUAGCAAUUUGGGCUUUGGAUCGUCACAUCAGUUAUGAGAUCAGAGUAGCAGUGGACCGUUAGGGUUCAGGUAUGUUGCGGACUACAGUCAGUCUGGGAACCAUCAUGUUGUUAGUCGUGGAAUUGAUGAUGUCAGGAUGUGACGUAUGGACCCGAUCGGUUGGAUCGGAAAGUUGCUAGAGCCUCAGUGACAGGAUAACUAGUGGAAACUAGUCCUAGAGGAAAAUUUCGUUCAGAAGUCGUGGAAGCGACUAAGUGAGGAGUCCCUUGACUCCACAGUUGGGUUGGAGUUCAGUGUUCCAGUCAGUUCAGUGUUUCAGGCAGCUCAGCGUUUCAGGCAGCUCAGUGUUUCAGGCCGUUCAGCGUUUCAGUCGGUUCAGCGUUUCAGGCAGGUUCAGUAUUGCAGCUAGUUCAGUGUUUGGAAGGUUUCAGGGUUUUGGGUUAGUAUUGCAUUUGCGUUGGAAUGCAAGUGCUGACGGUAUAGUUGGUUGAUUUGGAAUUGGCAAGUCCCUCUCAGCAGGAUCAGUUGAGCCUUUUGCCGAGUAUAAGUGAUUGGUAGGGAUGGCUAGGCAGGUAGCUUUUCAUUCAGGAAGAAAGGCUCGAGUAAGUAGGAGAUGAGUAAGCAGGUGGGAUAAAAGCAAGCUGGUUCCAGCAGCAUCGUUUCAGUAUGAACGGCAGGAUGGAUAGAACAGUUAUAGAUAAUCAAAGUAUCUUUAGGAGUCGCUGGAAGAGACUAGGAGUUUGCGAUGGAGUGUAGUGACCGGUGGGAGUCCGGUAACUCAGAUAUAGGGAGAUUGGUUAGACCAGAGUAGUCUCAGUACAUCCGGUAGGCGGAUGGGAGGCAGCAGGAUUUUCAGUCGGAGGAAGUAACGUUGAGGAGAUUAUGGGAAAGAGAAGGAUUUAGUAUGUUCUAUCGGUAGUGAUCGGCACUGUGAGUGGCCGGAGUGAUGGGCAAAAGAGUGAGGGAUUUUCCAGACAAAGAGUUGGAGGCAGUUCGCAGGCAGUUGAUCAUAGCAAACUUCGAGGACGAAGUUUAGUUUAAGUAGGGGAGAGUUGUAACACCCCAAAGAUUGGAAAGUCAAGAAAAGAAAGAAGACCUCAAUUUUAAGAAGAGACUCGGCGAGUCCAAGGAGGGACUCGGCGAGUCCNNNNNNNNNNNNNNNNNNNNNNNNNNNNNNNNNNNNNNNNNNNNNNNNNNNNNNNNNNNNNNNNNNNNNNNNNNNNNNNNNNNNNNNNNNNNNNNNNNNNNNNNNNNNNNNNNNNNNNNNNNNNNNNNNNNNNNNNNNNNNNNNNNNNNNNNNNNNNNNNNNNNNNNNNNNNNNNNNNNNNNNNNNNNNNNNNNNNNNNNNNNNNNNNNNNNNNNNNNNNNNNNNNNNNNNNNNNNNNNNNNNNNNNNNNNNNNNNNNNNNNNNNNNNNNNNNNNNNNNNNNNNNNNNNNNNNNNNNNNNNNNNNNNNNNNNNNNNNNNNNNNNNNNNNNNNNNNNNNNNNNNNNNNNNNNNNNNNNNNNNNNNNNNNNNNNNNNNNNNNNNNNNNNNNNNNNNNNNNNNNNNNNNNNNNNNNNNNNNNNNNNNNNNNNNNNNNNNNNNNNNNNNNNNNNNNNNNNNNNNNNNNNNNNNNNNNNNNNNNNNNNNNNNNNNNNNNNNNNNNNNNNNNNNNNNNNNNNNNNNNNNNNNNNNNNNNNNNNNNNNNNNNNNNNNNNNNNNNNNNNNNNNNNNNNNNNNNNNNNNNNNNNNNNNNNNNNNNNNNNNNNNNNNNNNNNNNNNNNNNNNNNNNNNNNNNNNNNNNNNNNNNNNNNNNNNNNNNNNNNNNNNNNNNNNNNNNNNNNNNNNNNNNNNNNNNNNNNNNNNNNNNNNNNNNNNNNNNNNNNNNNNNNNNNNNNNNNNNNNNNNNNNNNNNNNNNNNNNNNNNNNNNNNNNNNNNNNNNNNNNNNNNNNNNNNNNNNNNNNNNNNNNNNNNNNNNNNNNNNNNNNNNNNNNNNNNNNNNNNNNNNNNNNNNNNNNNNNNNNNNNNNNNNNNNNNNNNNNNNNNNNNNNNNNNNNNNNNNNNNNNNNNNNNNNNNNNNNNNNNNNNNNNNNNNNNNNNNNNNNNNNNNNNNNNNNNNNNNNNNNNNNNNNNNNNNNNNNNNNNNNNNNNNNNNNNNNNNNNNNNNNNNNNNNNNNNNNNNNNNNNNNNNNNNNNNNNNNNNNNNNNNNNNNNNNNNNNNNNNNNNNNNNNNNNNNNNNNNNNNNNNNNNNNNNNNNNNNNNNNNNNNNNNNNNNNNNNNNNNNNNNNNNNNNNNNNNNNNNNNNNNNNNNNNNNNNNNNNNNNNNNNNNNNNNNNNNNNNNNNNNNNNNNNNNNNNNNNNNNNNNNNNNNNNNNNNNNNNNNNNNNNNNNNNNNNNNNNNNNNNNNNNNNNNNNNNNNNNNNNNNNNNNNNNNNNNNNNNNNNNNNNNNNNNNNNNNNNNNNNNNNNNNNNNNNNNNNNNNNNNNNNNNNNNNNNNNNNNNNNNNNNNNNNNNNNNNNNNNNNNNNNNNNNNNNNNNNNNNNNNNNNNNNNNNNNNNNNNNNNNNNNNNNNNNNNNNNNNNNNNNNNNNNNNNNNNNNNNNNNNNNNNNNNNNNNNNNNNNNNNNNNNNNNNNNNNNNNNNNNNNNNNNNNNNNNNNNNNNNNNNNNNNNNNNNNNNNNNNNNNNNNNNNNNNNNNNNNNNNNNNNNNNNNNNNNNNNNNNNNNNNNNNNNNNNNNNNNNNNNNNNNNNNNNNNNNNNNNNNNNNNNNNNNNNNNNNNNNNNNNNNNNNNNNNNNNNNNNNNNNNNNNNNNNNNNNNNNNNNNNNNNNNNNNNNNNNGUCAGCUUCGGACUUCGGUCCGAUGGAGGGGGCAAGGCCCCAGUCAGUUAGCUUCGGACUUCGGUCUGAUGUCAGCUUCGGACUUCGGUCCGAUGGAGGGGACAAGGUCCCAGAUAGUCAGCUUCGGACUUCGGUCCGAUGGAGGGGGCAAGGCCCCAGUCAGUUAGCUUCGGACUUCGGUCCGAUGUCAGCUUCGGACUUCGGUUCGAUGUAGGGGGCAAGGCCCCGUUAGUCCGGACUUCGGUCCGAUGCAGUGGGCAAGGCCCAAUAUGUGCUUUAUAUGUUUUGUAUGAUAUGUGGUAGAUUGGGGGAGCUCACUAAGCUUCGUGCUUACGGUUUUCAGUUUUGUUUUCAGGUACUCGAUUUCCAAAAGAGGAGCUCGGGAAGAUUGCAGAGCACACACCAUAGUCAGUUAGCCUGGGAAUGUUUGACUCUGAUAAUGAUAUUAUGUUUUGAAUUGAAUACUCAAAAGUUAUGUUUGACUUAUGAUACGUUGUUAUAAAUCUAUUUUUAGUAAUGUUUAAAAGAAAUUUUUAGUCAUGAUUUUUGGGUCGUUACAAAUACCUUGGAAUAUUCAUAUUUGCAUGUAUAAUAGAGAAAACGUAGAUCCAAGGUAUUUAGGGUUGCAUGUACACCAUAGGAGUGAUAGAGUGCUCAAAACCCAACAAAUAGGUCCGAGUCCUUCAUUCUAAGAUUAUUUAACCUUCAUAGCAUGUAAUUUAUUGUAUUCACUUGAUGGUUAACUCCCAUCAACAUGGGUUCCACAAAGCUCAAAGCAAGGAACAUUCGGGCAGAGAAGUCGGUUGUCACUAAAACGCAACAAAAUUUGACAGAUCCUCAUACAAAAUCCUCAAUCUCAAACUCCCCGCACCACGGGUGCACCUUUGCCCUGCUCUCACUCUCCCCAGAGUGGCUAAUCAUUCCUCGUGCUGACCAGCUAUACACUGUACCCACUCAUGAAACUUCCACCAACCCUACAACACUCUUGUAUGCUAGCUGUACAUAACACUGGAUCCUAUAGACAGUCGAAUAUCUGAUCCGAACCUAAGUCCUUCAUCAAACAAGAACAGAAAAUAAGGCCGAAUGAAACAUUCUCAGGCUAAAGAAUCUUAGUUAUGUACAACUAUAAUGCAUACUCUAAGCAAUUGUAGUAAUGAUGUCAAUUUCAUCUAAGGAAGAACCCUAGGCUAUCAUGCAUCAUAUAAUCAGGAAACUCUAUCAUGCAAUUCCUAUAGAUCCCUAGCCUAUCACUAACAUGCUAUUUUAACAUAUCACAAGAUCAAUAACAGUGUAGCAAUUUGGGGUCUACUUACUGGCUCCGACUGAUCUUACACAUAGUAUCCUCUUUAGUUUGAAAGCGACUUUGAAAGUUAUUUUUAAAACCUUUACUUUGAAAAUUAUUUUUUAAAAAACCCUUUUUCCUUAGUUUGAUACUGGAUUCACACGAGUGUUCCUCCAAUUCACUCAAACCAAGGCUCUGAUACCAACUUGUAACGUCACAAAAAUUUCAACAAAUUGAAACCUUUCGAAACAACCCAUUUAUUAAGAAAAGUGUUUUGACCCGUAGGCGCUUUGUACGCCUUGAACUCCCGGAAUGAGGGAGUUCGAUUCCUAAUCUGACCCGUAGUGAUCUCAGCUCAGAAAGAACAAUUUGCUCCUCUAUAAUCUCCAUGAUCCCCUCCUUGACGGUAUUGAAAAUCACUGGGGUAGCGUUAAGGAUGUCGCGAGUAACAUCGACUACGAUAAUCUCAUGCAACCUCUCAUCAAUCGGCUUUGCCGCAGAUCCUGAGCCCGAUCCCGAACCUGAACCUCCUCGCGUAGCCAUCACCAUCCUCAACUGAAAAAUACAACGUAGAAAGCAAUUGAUAAGGAAUAUCAAAAGGAUUUCUCCCCACCAGACUGAUGGUUUUUGAGCACUACACCAUUCCUAUGGUGUACAUGCAACCCUAAUGCUUCAGAUCUAUGUUUUUCUCAAGUUAUACAUGCAAAUCAAAUCAUCCAAAGCAUAAACCCUAAAUAGCAUACAAUUUUUGGAAUUUGUAACUUAAAAAAAAAGUUAGAAGAAUACAUUUUCCUUGUAGCUUGUAGAUCUUGACCUUCAAGAGCUUAGUGCCUCAAUUGUUGCACUCUAGUGAGUCACAAACACCAAGUAGCAAUUUGGAAGAAUAUGAGAGAGGUUAGGAGGCUCAAAAUCGGCUAGGGUAUUAUCUUAGAAGCAAUUGACUAAUUUCAAGGUGUCAUGGGGUAUUUAUAUAGUUGUGCAAUUAGGGUAUUUAACUGAAACCCUAAUUCUCUGCUUAGGCCUUAAGCAAUCCAGUAGAUCCUUCCAGAAGGCCUCUUAUGGACGAAAUCUAUGUGGGCUAUACAUAAGAUUUCGUCCAUCCCUUCUUAGGGAUCCACAUGCUCAACUUGGCAACUACCAUAUAAUUGCAAUAUCAGUCCUUGUAAUCUAACCAGUCUCUUUUGAUCACCAAGUUAAUUCCAAAUCAAUUCCUGAUCAAUACUAAUUAGUUAAUCUGAUUUCUCAAUUAAUAUACCAUUCUUAUAAUAUAUUAAUAAAUCAAAAUUAACCUCUUUCUCCAUAAUUCAUCUAGUCAAGUUGCUAUGGUGCAGGCAACCAAAAGCACCAUGCUACUAUCGGGUCAAGUACAUACAAUUUAUAGUUAUGGGCUUAGACACCUAAUCCAACAGUCUCCCUCUUGGAUAAGUCUAAUAACUAUAACUACAAGUAUGACUUCAAAAUCCGAUUAGCAAUCGUAGCUCUCAAAAGCCGCUGUUGGAAUCUGACCUAGUCAAUAUGUAACAUCCAUAAAUUUUACACCAAAUUUAAACUUUUCAAUCAUAAAUAAAAACCAAAUAGCAUUAUGUUUUCAAAUCAUUAUCCAUCAGAGUGUCCCAAAAUCAUAACAUAAGGAUGAGGAGUGGUAGGUCACGCCUACGCGUUGCUAGAUCUCCUGAAGUACCUGGAACAAUAAACCGAAAACUGUAAGCCCGAGGGCUUAGUGGCUACCCCCAAAAUACCUAUACCACAUUGACAAUACCAUAUCAGUAAUAAUCAAUCAAUCAACAUGCAUAUCGGGCCAUCGGCCUGACUGGACCGCCCUAUAGGGCCUACAGUCUAUCUGGAUCUAUCCCGAGCCUUCGGCAUGACUGGUCCGCCACAUGGCCCUACAGUCUCCCCGGACCGAUCAUAGGGUGUGCAUACUUUCAGCACAAAGCAGGACCGCCUCAACCCAACUAACAAUCAAAUAACUAUGUGCGCAUAACUAUCAUAUACUGGCAUAUACAAACAUCAAGCAUAUCUAUCACUGGUCAUCAAUCAUAGAAUUCCCUCGUAACUAGAGUACCGACCUAGCAGGUCACUAACAUACCAAUCCCUACGGAUCAUAAGAGCAUAACAUACUGUCUACCCUGAUUCCGAUCAAACAGAUCAUAACCACAUAUAGCAUACCAUAACAAUAAAAACUAAAGGGUCGACCUUGGUGCUGUAGACCCUAUCGAUAUAGUGAGGAUAACUCACCUCAUAGAUGUCGACUCGGAAGGUAAACUCCAAAUCUCGGAUCAAUUGACACAGGCCCCACCACAUAUCGCAUAACAUACACGUAAGUCCUUAACCUUAUAAGGUACUCCAUAACCUACUAGUCAACCCCUGAUCAAAGUCAAAGUCCUCAGUCAAGGUCAACAGUCCAUGUUGACCUCAACUCGCCGAGUUCCUUGAAGCAUAUUCAAACUCGCCGAGUCAUCGGGGUGACUCGUCAAGUUCCUUUGAUUCUCGAUCAAACUUUAAGGCCACCCGUCGAGUUCCCUCCUUGCAACUCGACGAAUACACAUGCAUACAUAUCCAGGAGAAAACUCAUCCGCCUCGCCGAGUUGUUCUUCAACUCGUCGAGUCUAUGGAAAUCAUCAUCGGACUCGUCGAGUUGUUUAUCCAACUUGUCGAGUUCACGACCAUCUUCAUGUGACUUGCCGAGUCAACCUUGCGACUCGCCGAGUCCAUUCAGUCCGUUUUCCAUACAGAUCUAUUUUGAGUCAUGCAGCGGCUCCAACUCACAGAUCUAAGCUUCUAGGACAUGCUUAUCACGUAAGGAUGCAAACUUUACGUGCAUGCAUGGCUUUAAAGGCUCCAAAUGCCAAAUCUAAGAUCUUAAUGAGGCUUCAUGCUCAAUAGGGACCUCAAUCACGACCAAAAUUGUAACUUUAUGCUUCUAGAAUCCGAAGAGGGUCCAGAUCUGAAGUUACAACUUCAGAUCUAGCCCAUAGCUCAUCAUACCAACUUGAUAUUACAAGAAAACCCUAAAACUCAACCAAUAGAGGAGAUUCAUAAGGAAAAUGAUGGUUUGGGUACGUCUGGAAGAUGAUAUCUGAGAUGAGUGUUGAUUUCCACACUCUAAAUGCUCCAAUCUCCUUCUCCUCCAAGUCUUCUCCUUCCAAAGAUCCUCUUUUCAAGCUUCAAACACACACAAGGCACCCACACACGAAUAAGGGCUCUCAAGGACUCUUUAGAACUGUAAAUAGGUCCAAGGGAGGCUAAGGCCCCUUUAAAUAGGGAUACAAACCCCAAGAUUUAGGGUUUCAUCUGCCAACUCCUACUCACCAAGUCCCAAUAUGGAAUCGUCAAGUAGGUCACUUAACACGGGAUCUCACCCCGCUGCUACUCGACGAGUAGGGCAACCAACUCGUUGAGUAGAGCGUAACUCAAUACAUCUUAUUUAAAACAAUACCUAAGAACCGGGGCGUUACAAAUCUCCCCCACUUGAACUAGACCUCGCCCUCGAAGUCCGCUGGAACAAACAAUGUCGGGUAAUGCUCGCUCAUCUCCGCCUCCGGCUCCCAUGUCCACUCGGAUCCCCUCCGAUGUUCCCACUGUACCUUUACCAAAGGUAGUUCCUUGUUCUGCAGAAUCUUCUUCUUCCUUUCCAAAAUAGCCACAGGCCUCUCCACAUAGUUCAGGUGCUCAUCGACCUGAAUGUCAUCCAACGAUACCACUGCCUCCUGGUCCAUAAUGCAUUUUCGCAAUUGCAAAACAUGAAACGUGCUGUGGAUCCGGCUGUGCUCCUCCGGAAGCUCUAGCCUAUAAGCCAGCCUGCUAACCCUGGCAACAAUCCUGAAUGGCCCAAUGUAACGGGGACCUAAUUUUCCCCUCUUCCUGAAGCGGAUCACACCCUUCCAACGUGAAACCUUCAGGAGGACCAUGUCACCCACCUGAAAUUCCAGUAUAGAUCGGCGUCGGUCGGCAUAACUUUUCUGCCGACUCUGAGGGGUCUGCAAUCGCUGUCUAAUCUGUUGUAUCAUCUCGGUAGUUUGCUGAACUACCUCUGUCCGACCCAUUACCCUGUGGCCAACCUCGCCCCAACAGACUGGGGUCCUACACUUCCGCCCGUACAACAGCUCGAAAGGCGGGGCGGGAAUACUGGAAUGAUAGAUGUUGUUGUAGGCGAACUCUACAAUCGGUAGGUGGGAAUCCCAACUACCAUCGAAAUCAAUGACGCACGCCCUCAAAAUAUCCUCGAGGGUCUAAAUGGUCCGCUCACUCUUGUUGGAUAAGGUGUCUAAGUCCAUAACUAUUUCUGGUCAGUACUUGACCCGACCCGACAUGGUCCAUUUGGGUUGCAUGGCACCAUGCAAUUGGAUAGACUAAAUGAGAGAAAUAACACUUGGAGAUUAUUAAUAUAUUAUAAGUUCUAAUAUAUUAAUAAUAUUAUUUAAUUAGUUUGAUCAAGAAUUAAUUUAGAAUUAAUUAAAUGAUCAAAAGAUAACUAAUUAAAUAUAUGGGUUGAUUAUGUAAAUCAUCCAUAUCUUGUAUAGUGGGCUAAGAGGCUCCAUGGAUUAUCAAGUUGGGUUCUACCCAUAGGAUGCUCCAUGGAUGCUCCAUGGGAGUUACAAACCCAUGGGUCAUGGAAAUGAAGAGUCAUGACACAUUAGGGUUUACAUGGUGUAACCCUAGAUGUGUCAACACUAUAUAAGAAUCCCAUUCUCCACCAAAAUCUGACACACAUAUGAAACAAGAGGGCUAGUCCGAUUUCAAGAAGUGUGUGUUCUCUCAAAAGUCUUUCCAAGAGCAUUUGGUGUUGUGUGAAGCAUUUAAGGCAUCACACUUGGGGUGCUAGGCUCACAAGGUUUCAAGGAACAUAAGCAACAACAAGGUAAGUUAUUCUAUCUUUCAUUCAAGUUAAAAAUUGUUCCCCAUGUAUGCUAGAUAGGAAUAUAACCUUGGAAUUCAACUUUGCAUGAUAAUUAGACAAACAUAGAUCCAAGGUUAUUAGGGUUGCAUGUACACUUAGGAAGUGUUAGAAUGCUCAAAACCCAUCAGUGGUAUCAGAGCCUAGGCUUGUUUGUUUGUUAUUUGUGCUUAAAAGUUGAAGAAAGUCGAAAAUCUUGCUGUCUGACUGAUGGACUCGGCGAGUCCAUGGGGAGGACUCGACGAGUUCAUGUGUAUCUUCAACCUACUCGGCGAGUAGGUUUAUGCACUCGGCGAGUAGGGUCGACAGAGUGCAGAAUUUCGACUUGUGUUGCUGGAAAUGGAUUAGAAUCAUUACCCUAAAAUGUUUUGGUACUUGAAAACUUAUUUUAGAAGGUGUAAUGUCUUUUCUAACUCAUUUACAACAACUAGUUAUCAAAAUUACAAAGAUUAAAUGUGAUUUUGAUUCUUGAAAGUGUUCAUAUUCAUAUUCUUGUUCUUAUGAUGUUUAGAUGAUCAUAGGAAUUAUUUGUAACCUAUGUGGUAGAUUAAUUCAUGAUCAUAAUGUGUUUUAAUGGAGUCCAUAACUUGUCCUCAAGUUAUGGAAAACCAAAAGUCUCUUGGAUUAAAAAACAUUAAAAGAACACAAGAGUUAGGAAAAAUGAAAAGUCCUCAUUUUAUUACUCUAUUAAACUCAUAAGUUACAAGAAAUGAAAAGUUUUGAAAGUUUACAAAACUUGCCCUCAAGUUUUGGAACAAGUAAAGUUAAGUUAAAACUUUAGUUCCAACCCCUAGAAUUUUAAAAGUUAAAAUUCAACCCUUAUACUUAUAUUAUUAUGAUUUAAUAAUUAUAUAUAUAUGUAUAAGAACAAAGUCGUCUUACCGCUAGUACGCCUCAUUCACGAAGCCGGUCUAUAAGGUGGGUAUAAGGUUGUUGCCUAUAAAAUGGUGACUUAAUGGGUGUCCACUCUCACCCACCGCUUGCUUGAUCGGUGGAGGGUCGUUAGCCGAACGGGUAAGACAAGGACUUAUUAAUUCUCAUUCAAAGUAUGAUGAAUAUUAUAAAGUAACUAAAUGUUUUAUUAAAUUCCCAAUCUUAGUUACUUUAGGAAAAAUGUGAAUAAGGUGCUAUUCCAUGAAAUUACACUUUACACUUUGAUUAAGUCGUUGGUGGAGCGUGUGUGGUUAACCGGCACACUAACUUGGACUUAACAAGGUAGGUAAAGGGUGACUUAGGGUUUAUUAUAGUAUCGAUGGAGCGUGUGUGGUUAACCGGCACAUCGAUUGAGUGAUAAACUUUAAGGGUACCAAGUGAUUUGCAUGGUUACUUCACACCUCGUUUUGUGAUCCUCGGUAUCCCAGUCACAAAACUUGGAGGGCACACUCGAGAUUGAAACAUGCCUUUGAAAAGUUCAUUGAAUCUCAAAGAAUCUAGGAAUUUCUAAGAACCAUUCAAAAACCUAAUACUAAAAUAUUGCGGUUUUCGUGGUGGAAAUUGGUGAAUCGUCAUUCACCUACCUUUCAAAUAUGAUAUAGCUUAGAUUACGGCAUACCUCUUCUAAGUUAUAUUAUAUUGUGAUUGGAUCCUAGCCUUAAUAUUACAUUUGGGUGUUUUAUUAAGGACUCUCUUAUAUCUAAACUAAUCUUGUCCUCUUUCCUUCAGAUGUCUUUCAACAAUGCUUCUGGCUCUAAUCCUAAUGGCUCCUUUACCCUUAUGAACUUGUGUGGGAAAGUCACCUUUGAUGGAUCCAACUUCAAUGAGUGGAUCAGAAACAUCAGGAUGAUUACCCGCUACGAGGACAAAGAAUAUGUCCUUGACAAGGAGCUUAAGGAGAUUGAUGAGUCCACUGCAACUCCUCAGGAGAUCGCUGAAUUUCGGGCACAUGAAAGGGAUGCUACGAAAGUGGCUUGCAUCAUGAUGGCCACGAUGACAGCGGAACUCCAAAAGUCUUAUGAGGAUUUCUACCCUUAUGAAAUGCACCAAGAUUUGAUGGAAAGAUACCAUCAAAGUGCAAGACAAGAGAGGUAUGAAAUCAUCUGCUCCAUGAUAACAACCAUGAUGAAGGACGGGGAAUCCGUCACGAGCCACAUGCAGAAAAUGCAAAGGUAUGUGGAUCGUUUGCUGAAGCUUAAUGUGAACUUCCCGGAGGAUCUUGCAAUAGAUAUUAUUUUGCAUUCCUUACCAUCGUGCUAUGAUCAAUUCCGCAUGACAUAUCACAUGAACAAGGAAGAAGUCACCCUCAGCAAACUUCAGGGACUUCUCAAGACCGCAGAAUCAGGUCUUAAGGGGAAGUCGGUUGCUAUCACUCCUACUCAAAACUCUACUCCGGUUUUGGCAAUCGGGAAAAGUCGAGGGAGGAAGAGAAAGAGCUCUUCUAAGGGUACCAAGGUUCGGACCCUUGAUGGCUCUUCUUCAAGUGGAACCAAGAAAGGUUUCAUUACUCCUUCUUCUGACCCAAAAGAGGCUGAAUGCUUCUAUUGCCAUGAAAAAGCUCAUUGGAAGCGGAACUGCCCAAAAUACCAGCAAGAUGUGAAGGAUGGGAAAGUUAAACCCAACCAUGCAGGUAUUUACACUAUCAUUUCUAAUAACUCACCCCAUUCUAAUUCUUGGGUCCUUGAUACCGGGUGUGGUAUUCACAUUUGUUGUGACUUGCAGGGACUAAGAAGAAGUGAGGAUGUGGAGCAAGGAAGGAUAAACUUGAUCAUGGGGAAUAGGAAAGCUAUACCUGUUACCAAGAUUGGAGUUUAUACUUUAUCGCUAAGUAGUGGGUUUAGUUUAGAUUUGAAUAAGUGUUGUUAUUCGCCAGGAAUGGCAAGAAAUAUUAUUUCCUUUCAUGCUUUGUACAAACAAGGGUUUACCUUUUCAUUUAAUAAUGAAGUUGGUUCUAUAGAUGUUUUCUAUAAUAAUGUCUUUUAUUUUAAAGCAUUACCUUGUGAUGGUGUGUAUGAAGCUGUAUCUGUUGUAGAUAACUUGGGAAAUAAUGUUUUGUGUAUUGAUUCUACUAAUAAUAACUUGGAUAAAGCAUCUUUAUGGCAUUGUCGUCUUGGACAUAUAAGCAAGAAACGCAUAGGCCAACUCCAAAAGGAUGGAGUCUUGGAGUCGUUUGACCUAAAGUCAGAUGAUAGUUGCGAAUCAUGCUUACUUGGAAAAAUGACAAAGUCACCCUUCACAGGUUCGUGUGAGAGGGGUGAAGGUUUGUUGGACCUUAUACACACGGAUGUGUGUGGACCAUUCAAACAUGCCACAAGGGAUGCUAAUCGUUAUUAUUUGACUUUUACUGAUGAUUAUAGUAGAUAUGGAUAUGUCUACUUGAUCAAGCAUAAGUCAGAGACUUUCGAGAGGUUUAAGGAAUUUAAACAGGAAGUCGAGAAUCAAUUGGGCAGGAACAUUAAGAUGCUUCGAUCCGAUCGUGGUGGUGAGUAUCUUAGUUCAGAGUUCCUCGACUAUCUAAGGGAAUGUGGGAUAGUCUCACAAUUGACACCUCCCAGGACACCACAGUUGAAUGGUGUGGCUGAGAGGCGUAAUCGAACCUUGUUAGAUAUGGUUCGUUCCAUGAUGAGUCGAGCUACGCUACCAAUCUCAUUCUGGGGGUAUGCCUUAGAGACUGCCGCCCAUAUUCUUAAUCUAGUCCCUACAAAGAAAGUUGCCAAAACUCCUCACGAGAUGUGGACUGGUAAAGUACCUAAACUAGACCACAUCAAGAUUUGGGGUUGCGAGGCUUUCGUGAGACGCGAGACUCAUGAUAAGCUCGAACCUCGAAGCGAGAGGUGUAUUUUCAUCGGUUACCCACAGCGAUCCUUUGGUUACCUCUUCUACAGACCUAGUGACAAUGUGGUCUUUGUAGCAAGAAGAGGAGUCUUUCGAGAAAGAGAGUUUAUAAGCCAAGGAGACAGUGGGAGGCAAAUUGAUCUUGAAGAAAUUCAAGAAUCAAGCGGUGAAGGAACUUCAAACUCUAGCCCUCAACUUGAGGAGGAAACUCCUGUUGAGCCAAUUGACAAAUCUGUACCUCUGAGACGUUCCACGAGAGUUAGGAGUGCACCUGAGCAUUACUAUGGAUUCCAUAUUACUGCAGAAGGUGAGACACUUAUUAGUGAUGAGACACUAGUAAGUCAAGAUGACCCUAACAGCUACGAGGAAGCCAUGGCAGGCCCCGAGUCUGCUAAAUGGAAAGAGGCUAUGGAUAGCGAGAUACAAUCCAUGUAUGACAAUCAAGUUUGGAACUUGGUUGAAAAUGUACCAGGUCGUAAGACAGUAGGGUGCAAAUGGGUCUUCAAGAAGAAGACCGACAUGGAUGGUAAAGUACACACUUAUAAGGCUAGACUGGUUGCAAAGGGCUUCUCUCAAAUUCCUGGAGUGGAUUAUGAUGAGACCUUUUCUCCGGUAGCCAAGAUUAAGUCUAUUCGGGUUCUGUUAGCCAUAGCUGCAUUUCAUGACUAUGAAAUAUGGCAGAUGGAUGUCAAAACCGCUUUCCUUAAUGGAAAGUUGGCUGAAGAUGUUUACAUGAGUCAGCCAGAGGGUUUUGUCAGCAACGAGUACCCUAAUAGAGUGUGUAAGCUUGAGAAAUCCAUUUAUGGAUUGAAGCAAGCACCUCGCAGAUGGAAUCUUUGCUUUGAUGAAAAGGUCAAGGAAUUUGGCUUUUCUAGGAGUGAAGAUGAAUCUUGUGUGUAUGUCAAGGCUAGUGGGAGUAUAGUUAGCUUUUUGGUAUUGUAUGUGGAUGACAUACUACUCAUAGGAAACGACAUUCCAACCCUGCAGGAAGUAAAGUCCUGGCUUGGGAAGUGUUUCGCUAUGAAGGACCUUGGUGAAGCUGCCUAUAUUCUAGGGAUAAGAAUCUUGAGAGAUCGGAGUAAAAGACUAAUUGGACUUAGUCAGAGUACCUACUUGGAUAAGGUGCUGAAGAGAUUCAGCAUGCAGGAUUCCAAGAAAGGAGAGUUACCCAUCCAGAGUAACACCAGAUUGAGUAAGACACAAAGCCCUAGCACUGAGGCUGAGAUAGCAGAAAUGAGUCGAACACCUUACGCUUCGGCUGUAGGAUCGAUCAUGUAUGCUAUGACGUGUACUCGACCCGAUGUAGCUUUUGCCUUGAGCAUGGUUAGCAGGUAUCAGGCGAACCCUGGCAAGGCACACUGGACUGCGGUAAAGAAUAUCCUCAAGUACCUACGGAGGACUAAGGACUGGGUCCUUACCCUCGGUGGGAGUGAUGACUUGAGAGUUGUAGGGUAUAGUGAUGCUAGCUUCCAGACUGAUAGGGAUAAUUUCCGCUCUCAGUCGGGCUGGGUCUUUACCCUAAACGGAGGAGCAAUUUCUUGGAAGAGUUCCAAGCAAGAGACAGUGGCAGAUUCUACUUGUGAAUCAGAGUAUAUUGCAGCUAGCGAAGCAGCAAAGGAGGCGAUAUGGCUGAAGAACUUCAUUGGAGACCUUGGAGUUGUACCAGCUAUUAAAGAGCCAAUGGAAAUUUUCUGUGAUAGUGAAAGUGCUGUUGCCUUAGCCAAGGAACCAAGGGAUCAUGGGAGAUCCAGACACAUCGACAGAAAAUACCAUUUCAUUAGACAUCGGAUCGAAGAAGGACUCCUCGUGGCAAAGAGGGUAUCAUCGGAUGAGAACCCAGCAGAUCCCCUCACGAAGGGACUGAGUAGGGUUAAGCAUCUCCAGCAUGCUCGGAGCAUAGGGCUGAAGGAUGAUAUAAGUUUUAGUAGUUAGAUAACCCAGAAAUUUGUAAAGUGUAAUUGACAUUUGAUGAUGAAUAAAAGGUGUUUUAUUUAUGAGUAAAGUGUUGCUAUCUCUUGUCAAUCGUUUACUAUAUUUCUUUUGCAUGUUUUGACUUCCAGAAUAAUUUUGUUUGGUGUAACAUAUUAUUCAAACCUCCACAGUCGGUCAUAUGUCGGAAGUAGGUAUGAAUCAAGACUGUCAUGAUGGGUUGUAGAGGUCUAAGGUGUUGGACAAGGCUACAACAAUCAUGAGUGCUCAUAAGUUCUGAGCAUUGGACUCAACCCACGCUCACUGGAAUCACUUCAUGGAAUUCUAUCUCGAGUGAUCGUGAGACGGUAAUAUCAUAUAAGUCUUCAAACCUAGAGAUAUGAUUUGUUACUUACAAGUUGGUUAUGCAUUGACUGUACGAAACCGCAUUGGUAACUCGAUGUUAUAAAACGUACUUUUGUGUGUAAUUCAAUGAGUGGUAGAACAAACAUAUGAGUCGAAGUUUAUCUGUUCCUUCUUGGAUUAGAAGCUGAUAUCUGGGCCCCUCGAUGAUUUUGUUUUGACCCAUGUACCGGGCCCGGUCAGAACUAAGUUGAUGUGUUCAAUUAAGUUCUAUGUCAAACAAAUCGGAAAUCGGGAAACAAAUGCUGGACAAUAAGCAAGACAAUGUUCCAUGUAUUUGUCCGGCUGAUAUCUAGAACGGAGGAUUAUAUGAUCACUUAUCUUAAAUGGCGUACCAUCAUCUUCUCAGUUCCGAGAGACCUUGAAAGAGCUACGAUUGCCGGUCGGUUCCUGAAGUACUAGAGAUAUAGUUAUUAGACUUAUCCAAGUGGGAGACUGUUGGAUAAGGUGUCUAAGUCCAUAACUAUUUCGGGCUUGUACUUGACCCGACCCGGCAUGGUCCAUUUGGGUUGCAUGGCACCAUGCAAUUGGAUAGACUAAAUGAGAGAAAUAACACUUGGAGAUUAUUAAUAUAUUAUAAGUUCUAAUAUAUUAAUAAUAUUAUUUGAUUAGUUGAUCAAAGAAUUAAUUUGGAAUUAAUUAAGUGAUCAAAGGAUAACUAAUUAAAUAUAUGGGUUGAUUAUGUAAAUCAUCCAUAUCUUGUAUAGUGGGCUAAGAGGCUCCAUGGAUUAUCAAGUUGGGUUCUACCCAUAGGAUGCUCCAUGGAUGCUCCAUGGGAGUUACAAACCCAUGGGUCAUGGAAAUGAAGAGUCAUGACACAUUAGGGUUUACAUGGUGUAACCCUAGAUGUGUCAACACUAUAUAAGAAUCAUAUUCUCCACCAAAAUCGGCUACACUAAGAAACUAGAGGGCUUGGCCGAUUUUGAGAAGUGUGUGUUAUCUCAAGAGUCUUUCCAAGAGCAUUUGGUGUUGUGUGAAGCAUUUGAGGCAUCACACUUGGGGUGCUAGGCUCACAAGGUUUCAAGGAACACAAGCAACAACAAGGUAAGUUAUUCUAUCUAUGAUUCAAGUUAAAAUUGUUCCCCAUGUAUGCUAGAUAGGAAUAUAACCUUGGAAUUCAACUUUGCAUGAUAAUUAGACAAACAUAGAUCCAAGGUUAUUAGGGUUGCAUGUACACUUAGGAAGUGUUAGAAUGCUCAAAACCCAUCAACUCUGCCCAUCAGUCUGCGGAUGGAACGCCGUGCUAAAAUGUAGUCUCGUGCCCAGUUCCUUGUGGAACUUCUGCCAAAACGGGAAGUAAAUCUGACAUCCCGAUCGGAAACAAUGGAAAAUGGGACCCCAUGGCGAGAGACAAUCUCGCGGACGUACAGGUCGGCCAACUUCUCUGCCGAUGAACUCUCCCAUAUGGCUAGGAAAUGGGCACUCUUGGUCAAUCGAUCCACGAUGACCCAUAUAGCAUCAAACCCCUUUUCCGUCUUCGACAACUUCGUGAUGAAAUCCAUCGCGAUCAGUUCCCACUUCCACAUGGGAAUCUCUAGAGGCUGCAGCUUACCGUGCGGCCUCUGAUGUUCGGCCUUGACCAUCCUACAGGUCAAGCACCUCUCAACAAACCAAGCGAUAUCUCGCUUCAUACCAGGCCACCAAUAACUCGAACUCAAAUCACAGUGCAUCUUGGUGGCUCCCGGGUGAAUACAAAACUGAGACUUAUGAGCCUCCUCCAUCACUGUCUGCCGGACCCCUUCGGACAUCGGAACCCAAACCCGACCGUAACGGGUCAACAAUCCGCGGCUAUCCUGAACAAACCGGGCGCUUUCACCCUUAAUCCUUUCCAACUUCCAGUUCUCCGGCCUCAUACCCUCAAUCUGAGCAUCCCUGACCAAACCCACCAGCGGGGAAUCCACCGUUAUCCUCAUACACUUGGCUGGGGGUAAAGGACCCAACUGAAUUACGGCUCAGAGCAUCCACAACUACGUUCGCUUUACCAGGAUGGUAAAGGAUCUCAUAAUCAUAGUCCUUGACCACAUCCAGCCACCUGCGCUGCCUCAUGUUCAGGUUCGGCUGAUUCAUGAUGUGUCUCAAACUCUUGUGAUCCUUGUAUAUAGUACAACGGACCCCGUACAGAUGGUGCCUCCAAAUCUUGAGAGCGAAGACCACCGCUCCCAACUCAAGAUCUUGCGUGGGGUAUCUCAUCUUGUGCGGCUUCAAAUGACUCGAUGCAUAAGCUAUCACUCAUCCCCUCUGCAUGAGGACUGCCCCCAAAUCUGUGAUGGACGCAUCACAAAAUACCACAAAACCCUCAACUCCCUCGGGGAGUGUCAACACCGGCUGAAUAUACUGUUGAGCCCUAGCUGCCGAACAAAACCCUGAUCCCAACCUGGUGCCCUCACCAUAUGUAGUGACAAAGAACAUGGUUUGGCAUGCGGAAUUAAAGCUUGCACAAUUGAACAUGGUGAUUUGGGUGUUUAAGAGAUAUAUUGAAUGUAUAUGGUGUUACAAAAAGGACUAGAUCUAGACUACAUAAUUAACACACACUUACACACUCACUUCUACAUCUCUCAAGCACACCUCUAUAAGUGGACAAACCCACCUUAUAUAGAGGGGUUUACAUGCCUCUCUCUCACUCUAACAAUCAAAUGGGUCUAAAGGCUAAAGCACCACAUGCAAGUGGGUUUUACAAAAGUCAAACAUUUACAAAGUCAUGAAUGAAGAGCUUUGCACCCCAACAUUCUCCCCCUCAAAGUUAGGAAUGAAUCACCCAUUUCAAAUCUUCCAAAAUCAAGCACUACGCGGUUCGAGCCUCAAAGGUGACACAUGUCGAAACGAACUUCAAUCUUCAAUUCUUCCAUGACUCUUCAAUUUGGGCUCUAGGAUGUGAGACCUUACAAACCGAGCAGCAACGAAUGAUUAAGAGUAUUCCAAACUCCAAAUAAUCACCCAAAAGUUGCGCAUAAAAACACACCCCAAAAAUCUUCAAUAAAACCAAACCCAUUUCGAAUACAUCACUUCCGAACAUCCAAUUACAUCAUCUCGUAGGCUUCAAAACUUCAAGAUCACUUCGGUCUUCAAAUCCGCGUAAUAUGAAAAAUUCAAGUUCGAAUUUCCAUAUAAAACUUCUCCCCCUUUUUAUAAUCGAAAUUUGAUUAUAAAACUCCAAAGGAAAAAGAACGUGCUAUAUUCGGAAUUUUUCAUGUCAAAACUCCCCCUUAACAUGUGGCAUAAACUUUGAGCUUCAAUCCGGAAAACCCAAAAAAUAAUCAAUUUGUUUUUCCAUUGCUGUUCAUUGAUCUUGAAGCCCUUAACAUGUGGAAUUUUUCACGGAUCGCCUUUGACAAAAUUUCUCAAAAAUGGGUAGAAAUUGUCAAUUUCAAAAUUCUGCAGUGACCCGUUGCGCCCAAAACAGCAAAAUAUGCAAAACUCUCCCCCUUUUCCAAAUCUGGGUAGAAAGCGUCAAUUUGCACAAACUGCAGGGGCCUGAAAUGCACAAUCUUCAAAUUUUAGCAAAAAAUAGUCCUUUUUCGAUUUUGGGUGAAAACUGCCAAAAAUUCGAAGUCUGAGGGACCAUUUUCGAAAUUCUGCUCUUUGUUCACAAUUCAUACGAAGAUUCCGCAAAUAUUCGAAGCUCCAAAUUUUUUUUUGAAAUCGGGUGAAAAGUGUCAAAUAUUCAGAAAUUGUGUUAAUGUUCGAAGUGCCAAAAAUUCGAAGGAUCAGGGGCCGUUUUCGAAAACUUGCCAUUUCAUCAAAUCAUACGAAGCCUUUUUCCAUUUGUCAACUAUUCAAAACAAUAAGGGCCAUUUUCAAAAAUUCUAUCUUCCUUCUUUUUAAUUCAUAUGAAGACUUUUUGACAAAACAUAUCAAGCAUACGAAGAGUGACUGUGAACAGUAAUGCACAAUGAUACCCUUCGUAUGUUAACCCAGUUCUUCGUUUUUUUUUUCAUCUAUUACCCUUCGCCUUUUGCAAUCCAUUCAUAUACCCUUCGUUCCAAAAUCAUCAAAAUCAAUAGAUCCUUCGUUCAAACACCCUUCGUAUGAAUCUUUUAACAUCUCUUCGUACAAAUCCAAGUUUUUCCCAAACCAACACCAACUUAGUCUUCGAAAAUUAGUAACCCAAACCAAUUCUUCGCUUUUUGGUGUAAACCAUCUGUUCUUACAGUUCUUCUUCACUUCGUACAUCAAUCACCAAAAACCAAUCCUUCGUUCAUUAACCAUGUAAUGCCCUGUCGUCCAAAUUGAUUUCAUUAAAAUCCAAAUAGGCUUCGCUUUUCCAGUUGAUGCCAAUGAACAAACGUGAUCAACCAUUUGAUUUUACAGUUCACUCUUCGAAUCUUAACCCAAAUCGAUCAUUAACCCUUCGUUUUUUCAGUUUAUCCCAAAACUGAUUCCACUACUUUCAUUCUUCACUUUUCAGUUUAACCCAAAACGAACGAAAUCGUUUCUUUGUUCCUUACAGUUCUUCCCAAACUCAUCGACAUCAAGAACAAACACAUCUAUUCGUUCACUACUUCAAUCGAUAUCAACUUAAUCAACACAAAUCAAGCUUGCAAAAUCACAGAAUGAACGGAAUCAACAAACCAAACUUGAUUAUCAACCAUACGAAAUCAAAAUCAUCAGACUUCUCUAUUUAUGUAAACUCGAUUUUGACUUUUUGGUUGACCCUGACAAACAACAAAACUAUUGAUCUUUAAUCCAAUUUUGGAUCAAACACCCAUUUUUAACAUAAAUCGUAACAUUCUUCAACUGUUCUUCAUCGAGUUCUUGACCGAUUUUAUCAAAAUCAAAAACUAAAUUGUUGACUUCUCAACUACAACUCGAUCAUAAUCGACUGAUAAUUAUCCAAAUCAGAUUCAGUCAAUUCAUAAGUUCAGAAUCGCAAAUCGUUGAUCAACUUUCAUAAGCGAAAAAGAAAACUCAAGAACAUUAUGAUUACAAGUCAAAAUAUGUUUGAGCUGAUUACAAGAACAUUAUGGUACAACCGAUAAAAGCGUACGUACAUAUCAAACAAAGAACAACGAAUUUUAGAAUUAAAUCACAUUGGAUGAAUUUUGGGUUCCAUCAAAGAUAUCGGAUAAAAAAAUAUGUAUGGGCUCAAAUUUAAACAUGAACAGUGACAGAUUCGUACAUUGGAUCAUAAACGAACAAAAUAUUGGGCUGUUGAUAACCACACAUAUCGAAAUUAUCAAAUAAGAGUAUGAAUUGGGCUCCAAGUUCAUUUAUGAACAGUAAGAUGUCAAAAUUUUUGGCUAAAUCAAAAUAAAUGGAUCAUAAUGAAUUUUGAGCUCAAAUCUCGAUUCAAACGAACAACUGUAAAAUCGAGUCGAACAAACAAAUAUGAGAUUGGAUCGGACUUUGAUCAACGAAAAAAUUAUUGGAUCAUAACAAAUGGGUUUUCAAAGAACAUUUGAUCCAAUGAGUCAAACGAUCAAAAAUUAAGAACGCAACGCACGAUUCAAAGAGAUUAAGAGAGAUCAUAGAGAGAGACUCACCAAAAUUGAUCAAAUUACGACAAAAUUUGCCAAACCGGGAAUCAUUCUUCAAAUAUCACCUUGAUCUUGAAGACCCGCUCUGAUACCAAUUGUUGUGACAAAAAUACUACAAGUUCUCCCCCACUUGGGGUUCGAACCCCCACCCGCUAUCCCUCAUAGUCGAUCAUGGCGCCAAAACGGCUAAGCCAAUCCAUCCCUACAAUCCCAUAUACAUCCCCCAUGGGGAUAGGAAUCAAAUCUAUCGGGAAUGACACCCCGAAAAUCUCCAACUCGCAUCCCCGGUAGACCGAAGAAAUAGAAACCCCGUGCUCUUUGGCGAUCGAAACUCGCAACGGGCACUCAAGAUCAUCCAUCGGCACACUAAACCCUCUAGUGAAAGUCUGAGAUACGAAUGACCGACUGGCCCCCGAGUCAAACAAAACCAAAGCAGGCAAAGAAUUUACUAAAAACGUACAUAAUCAUAGGUACAACCAAUAAGUACAACACAAAUACGAUAACUGAGACAGAGAAUAGAAACGUACCAGCAACCAUAUCCGGUGCUGACUUGGCCUCCUUGGUCGUGAGCUGGAAGGCACGACCCUGAGCCUUCGGAGGCUCCAACUUAACUGGCCUCCCGUCUCAAAUCAUUACAGUAGCUGGCACAGAACCCUGCACCGACUUCGCGGCGAGCUGCGGACAACUGGUCUUCACAUGACCAACCUGAUGACAAUGGUAACAAAUCCUCAUAUCUGUGGGAGGGGCGGGCUGAUGGUAGCCCUGGCAUAGUGCCCCUCCUUUCCACAUUUGUGGCACCCACUUCCUGCUCUACAAGUUCCCGAAUGAACCCUGCCACACUUUCCACAAGUGCGGCUCUGCUGACCCACACCGUGUAUCAGCGGUCUUAGCCCGCUUAGGCGCCGGCUGAGACUGUGCCGGUGCCUGACGCUGCUCCUUCAGCUGCUGCUCUAUCUCAACUCACGCUGCCUCGCGGCUUCCUGAAGGUCCCGGAGGGUAUCACAACGCUGUGUAGCCACAAACUGCCAUAUAUCCAUCUUAAGCAUACUCAGAUAACGAGUCAUCUGAGACUGUUCUGACGCAAACUCUGGGCAAAACAUAGCCCUCUCAGUGAACAUCCGGGUGAUCUCCAUCACCGACUCCCCAUCUUGUCUCAAUGUCAAAAACUCCUGAGCAAGCCACUCCCAUUCCACGCGCGGAACGUAGCGGGUGCAAAACAUAUCCCGGAACUGCUCCCAAGUAAUAGCAUCCCACUAAUCAUCAGAAUAUGAACCUGUCUUCAAUCUCCACUAGUCCUUUGCCCCGAGCCUAAGCAGUUUCAGAGCACACCUGACCUUCUGGUCAGCAGGACAUGAGCACGUGAAGAAACAGCCCUCCACGUCAGACAACCACCACAUAGCCCUGAUCGCAUCCUGUGUACCAUCAAAUGUCGGGGGCUUCGUAUUAUCGAAGUCCCGAUACUGGAAAGCCCUGCCGGCUCCUCCUCCAACCCCUGCCGCAGUUACAGCCUAAGUGGCUGCAACGACAGCUAUCUCUGCUAGAGCUGCAUAUCGCUCAACAAAAUACUCAACCAUUGCGGUCUUAAUCGACCCAAACAUCUCUGGCAGCUGUGCUCGGAACAUAGCAACAAUCUUGUCUUGCAUGAUCUCCCGGAUCCUGGCAUCCAACUCCUUGGUCCCUAUUUGUACCACGGGCUUAGGUGCUACCGGCACCUCCAACCCUCAGUCUCCCGACCCCGAUCCUGAUCUUGAUCCAGAAGCAACACGUCUCGUCACCACCAUACUGAAAUAUAUAUACAAGUCAUCAAAUAAAUAACAUAAUGUCGGGAGACCAAAACCCACAAACCCUAGGGGGUGUGAUUUCCUUGCUAAGCAUAUGGGUCCUGUGCUUUAAGUAGUACGGGCCCAUACUACCUUCCACACCUACCCAUAUUUGUCUCAAGUAACACCACAACGCCCUAACAAUAUUAUCAACAUAGAAAUGCGCUCAACCCUCACUUCUAGGGGAAUACCAACUAUCUCGCACCUAGUCUCACCACUUAUCAUGACUCACACAUCCAUGAAACUUCCAUCAUCCCCUGCCGCGCCAGUGCAUGCUAGCUGUACGUAACACUGGAACCAAUAGACUUUCGAAUAUCCAAUCCAACCCAAAGGUCGAAUCAACAUUUUCAGGCUAUAAGGUCUUUAUUAUGAACAACCGUGAUGCAUACACUAAAAAUCUACAGUUAUGAUGUCAAUUCCACAUACAAGAAACCCUAGGCUAAUAGGCAUCAUGUAACUAGGCAAAUCUAUCAUGUGAUUCCUGAAGAUCCCUAGCCUAGCACUAGCAUGCUGUUCUAACAUAUCAUAAUAUCAAAUAACUAUAUGGUAUUUUGGGGUUUACUUACAGGCUCCGGCUGAUCGUACCCUCUACAUCCUCCAUCCUUUAUUUUGAAAACCAUUUCAAAAACUUACUUUCUGAAAAUCUCCUUGAUUUGAGACUGAAUUCACACGAGAGUUCCUCCAAUUCACUCAAACCAAGGCUUUGAUACCAACUUGUAACAUCCAUAAAUUUUACGCCAAAUUUAAACUUUUCAAUCAUAAAUAAAAACCAAAUAGCAUUGUUUACAAAAAUGUUUUCGAAUCAUUAUCCAUCAUAGUGUCACAAAAUCAUAACAUAAGGAUGAGGAGUGGUACGGUCACGCCUUCGCCACUACAAGAAAAAGACCCUUUUACGACGCGCAAGCAACGACACUCGGAGAUUUAUGUUACGCAAAAGAGAGUGACGUUAAAAAAAAUGUUAUCUCUUUAAAAAAUUUAAGAAUUUAGGUUGCACAUUAUUGCGUGCCCUUAAAUUAGUGUCUCAUGUAAAAAAAUUAAAAACACGAAGGGCACUUUAUCUAAAAGGUGCGCCGUCUAUGAAUGUCGUUUUAUAUUUUUUUAAGGAACGCGCUUCUCCUUAGAGGGAAAAUGAAAUCUCCAAAUUUUUUAAACCCCCACCUUCUUCUCCCUCGUCUCCACCCCCUAAUCGAAGCUACCAGUUGAACAACCCCUAAUCCACACCACCACCUUCUCGUCUCUCCUUCUCCACCAGGUUUUCUCUCAUCUCUAUCCUCCACCUUCUGGAUUGUAAAGGCGUCAUUUUAUAAUUCUUUUACCAAACGCACAUCCAUUAUCCUCAAUUACAAAAGGCGUCCAAAUCUAGGGGUUUUUUUUCAAGAAGAAACCAAACGGGAGUGCUCUCUUCAACAUUCGAUACCUCCGCUCGCCCCACCUGCUGGCGACCUUGGUUCUUAUAUCCUCCCAGUUUUUUGCGUUCUUCUUUCAGAAAUUUAAUCGAACAAGAUCUUGUGCCAGGCAGUUAAUCUAACGAUGGCGACAUUUUGAUUUUGAUCUCAAAAUACAUCAAAUACGAGCUUAUGUUGGAACUGAUUACCUAUAUAUCUUUUCCUUUAUGGGAUAAAUACAUCGAAUACGAGUAACAACAACAAUAGUGUUCCAAUCUUGCAUUGAUAUACACACACGGAUAUCGGAGCAUCCUAAUCAGCAAUUGGACCGCUAUUAUAACAGGUGAUAUACAAUUUUUUACGUAGAAGAGCCUCUAGCUUUUGUUAGGUCCAAAAUAAACUAAACAUGGUCAUACUCUUUCCUACAGUUUACAGCUUUAGGGAUUAAUAGCAAGUCGCCCUUUAUCUGAACUAAAAACCGCUGAGGAAGUUGCAGCUGCAACAAAUUCUAAAGACGAAGCCAAUAUUGAAGAAAAUGAAUGGGAAUUUCAUCCGGAUGCAGUGGAAAAACCUUCUAAACCUGUAAGUGAAGGCGUAAUAGAAGCUGAAGAGGUGGAGUCUUAUAUUGCCAUUAGAGAAGAGCUGUACAAGAAGGCUAAAGAAUUUGAUUCAAAGAUUAUUGAUUUUGGGACUGCUAUCAGAAGACCCUACUUGCAUAAGGUUUUUAACAUUUUUUUUGAUAAUGUAUACAGAGGCAACCGGAGAUUCACUUAUUCACUUGAUCUUACUUGUGAACUUUGAAUAUGUGUGGGUCCGAAGGGCUUCAUAUGGACGGAAAAGUGAUAUAGGAUAACGAAAGGAAUAUAACUGUUAACAGUUGAUCAAAAUCAAAAGAUACAAUUGGUAUUCUUUGUUUAGGUUUUGUUACUGCUUAAUAUAUAACUUCUGCAUGUUAAUUGCCACAGAGACGACAACCUUUAGGGUUUGCGUUAAGGUUGAUUGUUACAGAGAUAUGGAAACUUUAAUGAGAAAGCUUAACUGAAGAACUUAUAAAACGACUAGAGUAUAGAGUUUCCUUGGCUGAUGAAUGGAUUAUCUCUAAUUAUGUAGCAGGUACUCCACACUCAAACAAACACUGAUAUAGUUUCGUAGGCUUUCAAGUUUCAAUAUUGUAUUCCUAUUUAACAUACUGAGUCUACUCUUGCAAAAGUUGUGGCGAAUUUUUUUUUCUUCAUGCAACUGUAUCACAAAUAUAGCUAACUGGAAAUAUUAUUAUGAUUAGGUUAUCUAGUUCUUCAUUUAGACCUCUACUUGUAUUGCCUAGUUAAAAUAUAUAACUUUUAGCACUUUUUGUGUUUAUUUGGACUGAUUAGAUGUUACAUGGUUGAGAAUUUGGAACUGCUAUCACCUUUGUAUGGUUACCUUGGUUGUUCACGGUUGUUAUCUUCUAUACAGGUUUAAGAUACAAUCAAUCACCUAUUUACUAUGGGUGAUAGUGAAACAGUUGUUGCUCAAUCAUCAGCUAUCCAAGAGCAUCCAUCAACUACAGUUAAUAGAGAUUUGGCUGCUUCUACAGGUAUCGAUACCAUGGAUGUAGACAAUGUCAUUCCUCAUGAGGAUGAUCGAGCAUCCAUCCAGGUAGUAUCUUACUGCUGCUAUAGCAACCCCCUAUGUUCUUUAGAGUUCUUGGGCAUAAACUUCCUCUUUUUGGUUCAUAUGGUGGCUUUUUUAUAUAUAUUAGUAGAAAACCAUGUUACACAUCACCCAAAAAACAAAAUGAAAAGAAACUGAACAAAAAACUAUGAGUUUUGAUUUAUGUUAUAGAUAAUAACGGGCAUUUGAUUACUUAAUAGUUUUUAGAAUCAGUCGGGAGUCUUUCCAAGAAUUCAGAAAGUUUUCAAGAAUCAAAAGCUACAGAGUCUUCUUUGCACUUUUUGAAUAGCAACUAGCAAAUCCCUUCUAUCUUAAUGUUCUUUAUAUAACUUAUUUGCUGCAUGAAAUCUUUUCUUAAUGCAUAAGAAUUUCAUGCUUUCAGACUUUACUUACAUGGUUGCUUUUUAUAUCAGGCAUCACCCGAACAUUGUUCUAUUGCUUUUUAUCAAGAGGGGUAAGAACUAAGAAUUACUUUCUUAUUUUAUCUUUUUCUGUUAUUUUUUCAAUCUGAUAAUUUAUAUAUAUUUAAAAUGACUUGUGAUAUUAAUUUGUCCAAUAACUUUUGAUGAGCAUGUGCGUAGGGGUAAAACGGGAAGAGGAAAUGCUCGGGAGAUGGGCUUUGAGAGUUUCCUUGACUUUGUUCUAGCCCUGGAAAACAAAGACACUCCAGAGGGAAUUACAUAUCUUUAAUGAUGUUUAGAUCUUAAUGGAAGAGGCUUCUUUACAACAGCUGAUAUUCACACCCUUUUCAGGUAUAACUAAUUAUUAUUAGGAAAUAGGAAAUUGAAAAUUGGAAGUAAAGGAGGGGAGCAUUUAAAGUUUAAAUGUUGCCUGAUAUACCCUUCCUACAACAAAAAAUAAAAAUGAAAAAUCUCUGCUUUUCCUACUUGUUGCACGCGAGACACGUCUGCAAGCCUCUUGACUAUGAGAUACAUAUUUUCACCAUAUAUUAGUAAUAAAAAAAUAAAAAAAUGAUUUGAUAAUUGAUUGGUACACUACACUACAGGGAUGUGCACCAAAAUUAAAUUUAUUUACUAUUAGUGGAAUUCAAGAUAUGUACAGGAGUGUUUGUUGCCUUUAUAAUUGGUACAAUGCUAACAUGGAGGACCUUGGCAUUGACAGGUUUUAAAUUAGUCUAAAUUAUAUUUAUUUACUACUAGUGGCAUUCUUAUGGAUAAAGAAAAUAAAAGGUGAUGAAUUCUAGUGUUCUGUUUGCAGGAUUAAUCCCUUGUGCUGUUCUAUUAGUGGGACUUUUCUUUGUACCAGAAUCUCCUAGAUGGCUGGUAUGUGAAGUAUCAUGAUUCAUGAAGCUGUUUAAUUUAUCUUCAAGAAAUUAUGUUUGACAUCAUGCAUGCAGGCAAAGAUUGGAAGAAAGAAAGAGUUUGAUGCAGCCCUAAGAAAACUUAGAGGGAAGGAUGCUGAUAUAUCUGAGGAGGCGGAUGAAAUCCAGGUGUUCAUUUCAAAGCUCUCAACUUUUUUUCUUAUUUUUGUUAACGAAUAAAAAUUAUAGAAUUCUUUUUAUGUGUUAUCAAUGGGGUCUUGAAUAUGUUGAUAGGAUUAUAUAGAAACACUACAAAAGCUCCCGAAGGCCAAAAUAUUCGAUUUGUUUUAGAGAAGAUAUUUGCGAUCUGUCACUGUAAGUUUAUUUUCUUGAUAACUCUUGUUGGCUACUUUAAAAAAAAGAUUUUUAUAAUUGUAGUCCGAAUCUUGUUUUGACCAUACAUGGUACUUUUUUUUUUUUUCUGUAAUUGUAGUCUGAAUCUUGUUGGCUACUUUAAAAAAAGAUUUUUCUAACUUGCUCCUGGACGUGAUUGUGCUAUUGAGUUUGAUCUUGGAAGUGGAAGCUAUAAUGUAACUUGCUAUUGCUCAUACAACUUUUGUUGGAAUGUGAGUAUCAUAAUUCAUGCAUUUUUAUAAAAGUUUAAAAUAUUAGUUUAUGUUUUUUCUAUAUAAAAGAUAAAAUAUUUUUGUUGCUAUUGUUGUAGUGUACAAAAGAAACUCAUCGCCUUGUGGACUGUGAAACUGUGUCCAAAUGGAUUAUGAAGAAAAGUGCAGAGUCUGAAAAUAUGAAUUGGUAAAGGUCUAAAUUGCCCCUUGGCAGGUAUGCUGAUCGAAUUGCUAAUGCUAAAUGGGAAGUUAAAGAACAUGGAAUGGAACGCAAAGGUGAUUAUUUUUAAUUUUAGCACCAAAUAUUUUAAAAUAUCAUUUUUUUUAUGUUAAAUCAUAACUAUAACUCAAGGUGCUAUAUCUUUUAUCUGUUGUUUGUAAUGUUGAUAUGAUAACAUUAGUUAAUAACAUAUUUAUAUAACAACUCUAUCAGUUAGCUAAAACUGAUUAUGUCAUUAAUAUAUUAAAUUUCAUAAUUAUUAUUUAUUACAUUAAUGCUUUUAAUAUGUUCUUUAGUUGCUUACACCAUCAGUUCUCAAUGGUCGAUUAGUUAAUGCCCACCAACAUCUCCUAGCACUAAGGAUAUCAGAUUAUCUUGGAAUACACCAAGUUCUGUGAUAUUUUCAAUACCAAUCAUAAGGAGGAAUUACAAUAUGGUGUUAUGGAAGGAGUCAAUCUCUUAGGGAAGUAAUGGAGCCAAAAGAAGGUAGUCUACUCUAGGUGCAGUUUGUUAUUAUUCUAUUGGUGAUUUGAAGCAUGGAGUUGAUUCCUCCUGCAAGUGAAGUUACUUAGUUGGAAUUUGAUGUACAUAGUAGAUUAGAUGCAAAUUUAUUUAUUGUAAGAAAUAGAAUUGUAUGACAUUAAAUUUAAGCAAUGGAUUCUAUUUUUUGUAUAUAAUAUUUUAUUUUCAGUUAUGAAACAUUAAAUACAAAUUUAAUUAGAAAAUAAGUAAACCUAUAAAGAUUUUUUUUAAACAUUUAAAAUUAUGAUACGCAAAAAUGUGUGUCAUCUUCAUUUAUGACAUGGCCUUUCUUGACAGGGGCUUUCUUAAUACGCAUUACGUGUCAUUAACACGCGCGGCGUAAGGUUACGACACGCGAAUGCGUGUCAUCUUCCUUUAUGACAGGGUCUUCCUUGAUACGCAUUGCGUGUCGUAAACGCACGUCGUAAUUGCGCGUCGUAAAUGAGCGUCGUAAAUGCGCGUCGUCUAUAAACGACGCGCAAAAGCGCGUCGUCUCUCUUUAUGACAGGGCCUUCCUUGACACGCAUUUGCGCGUCGUCUGAGCCUUUUACGACGCGCAAUGAGCGUCGUAAAAGGCUGUUUUUCUAGUAGUGCGCCCUAGCGGCAUAUCACACACACUCUUGUUUCCGCAGUUAUGAGUUCAUUAUGGGAUUGAUACUUUGAUAUUUUGGUUGUUUACAUGUUGUGGAUUUCAAAUUUGGGUUUUCGAUGUGAAAUGGUUUAAUUGAACAAUGUUUUNGGCCAUCGGCCUGACUGGACCGCCCUGCGGGGCCUACAGUCUAUCUGGAUCUAUCCCGAGCCUUCGGCAUGACUGGUUCGCCACGUGGGCCUACAGUCUCCCCGGACCGCUCAUAGGGUGUGUGGGCCUUCAACACAAAACAGGAUCGCCUCAACCCAACCAAAAACAAAUAACUAUGUGCGCAUAACUAUCAUAUACUGGCAUAUACAAACAUCAAGCAUAUCUAUCACUGGUCAUCAAUCAUAGAAUUCUCUCAUAACUAGAGUACCGUCCUAGCAGGUCACUAACAUACCAAUCCCUACGGAUCAUAAGAGCAUAGCAUACUGUCUACCCUGAUUCCGAUCUAACAGAUCAUAACCACAUAUAGCAUACCAUAACAAUAACAACUAAAGGGUCGGCCUUGGUGCCGUAGACCCUAUCGAUAUAGUGAGGGUAACUCACCUCAGAGAUGUCGACUCGGAAAGUAAACUCCAACUCCCGGAUCACUUGACACAAGCCCCACUACCUAUAGCACAAUAUACUCGUAAGUCCUUAACCUUAUAAGGUACUCCAUAACCUACUAGUCAACCCCUGAUCAAAGUCAAAGUCCUUAGUCAAGGUCAACAAUCCAUGUUGACCUCGACUCGUCGAGUUCCUUGAAACACAUUCCAACUCGCCGAGUCAUCAGGGUGACUCGUCGAGUUCCUUUGAUUCUCGAUGAAACUUUAAGGCCACCCGUCGAGUUCCCUCCUUGCAACUUGACGAAUACACACGCAUACAUAUCCAGGAGAAAACUCAUCCGCCUCGCCGAGUUGUUCUUCAACUCGUCGAGUCUAUGGAAAUCAUCAUCGGACUCUCCGAGUUGUUCAUCCAACUCGUCGAGUUCACAACCAUCUUUAUGUGACUCGCCGAGUCCAUUCAGUCCUUUUCCCAUACAGACCUAUUUUGAGUCAUGCAACGGCUCCAACUCACAGAUCCAAGCUUCUAGGGCAUGCUCAAAAGGGACCUUAAUCACGAGGCGAUCCUGUUUUGUGUUGAAGGCCAAGUUUCUAGGGCAUGCUCAAUAGGGACCUAUUUUGAGUCAUGCAAACUUUACGUGCAUGCAUGGCUUUAUAGGCUCCAAAUGCCAAAUCUAAGCUCUUAAUGGGGCUUCAUGCUCAAUAGGGACCUUAAUCACGAUCAAAACUGUAACUUUAUGUUUCUAGAAUCCAAAGAGGGUCCGAUCUGAAGUUACAACUUCAAAUCUAGCCCAUAGCUCAUCAUACCAACUUGAUAUUCCAAGAAAACCCUAAAACUCAACCAAUAGAGGAAAUUUAUAAGGAAAAUGACGGUUUGGGUACGUCUGGAAGAUUAUAUCUGAGAUAAGUAUUGAUUUCCACACUCUAAAUGCUCCAAUCUCCUUCUCCUCCACGUCUUCUCCUUCCAAAGAUCCUCUUUUCAAGCUUCAAACACACACAAGGCACCACACACGAAUAAGGGAUCUCAAGGACUCUUUAGAACUGUAAAGAGGUCCAAGGGAGGCUAAGGCCCCUUUAAAUAGGGGUACAAACCCCGAGAUUUAGGUUUUCAUCUGCCUGCUCCUACUCGCCGAGUCCCAAUAUGGACUCGUCGAGUAGGUCACUUAACACGGGAUCCCACCCCCGCUGCUACUCGACGAGUAGGGCAACCUACUCGUCGGGUAGAGCUUAACCCAAUACAUCUUAUUUAAAACAAUACCUGAGAAUUGGGGCAUUACACAAUAACGCGUCCUUUAGAUAAGGGAUCAUGUAGUCCUCCAUUCUCAAGAUAUCGUGUGGACAAAGACAUGGAAUAAAGUCAUACUCAUUGUCUAAUAGUUUGUUUCCCGAUUUCUGAUUUGUUUGACAUAGAAAUUAAUUAAACACAUCAAUUUAUUCCUGACCGGGCCCAACACAUAAGUCAACACAAAAUCAUCGAGGGGCCCAAUAUAUCGCUUUUAAUCCUCUUAGGAUAAAAGGAAGAGAUAAUCUUUGACUUAUAUUCUUGUAGUAUUUACUUCUUAAAUCGUACAAAAUAAUACGUUUAAUAACAUCAAGUUAUUGAUGCGUUUACACACUAUCAAUGCACAACCAACUUGUAAACAAUAACUAAUAUAUCUCGGUUUAAAGACUAUGCUAUUAUCGUCUCACAAUCAUUCAUGAUAAAUUCCAUCAAGUGAUUCAUAUGAGCUUGGGUUUAAUCUAAUACUCAAAUAUUAUUUCAGGAGCACUCAUGAACAUUGCAACAAACCUUUGCUAUGUCCAAACACUUAUACAAUCUACAAACCAAUUCAUGAUAGUCUAACCUCAUAGCCUACUUCCAAAGUAUGAUCGACUGCGGAUAAUUCGAAUAAUCCUAUUAUUCUGGAAGUCAAAACAUGAAAAAGUGAAACAAUAGUAAACAAUUUACACAAGAUAGUAACUUUACUCAUAAAAAAAAACCUCUUUAUUUAAUCAUCAAAUGUCAAUUACAUUUUAUCUAUUACAAGUUUCUAAACAAUUAUCUAACCACUGAAACUAAUAUCAUCCUUUAGACCAAUGCUCCUCACAUGCUGUAAGUGCUUAACCCUGCUUAGACCCUUUGUGAGGGGAUCUACUGGAUUCUCCUCUGACGAUACCCUCUUGAACACGAGGAGUCCCUCCUCUACCUGAUGUUUGAAGAAGUGGUAUUUUCUGUCGAUGUGUAUGGAUCUACCAUGAUCCCUUGGUUCCUUGGUUAACGCAACUGCUCCUUCGUUAUCAUAGAAAAUUUCCAUAUGCUCCUUUAUGGCUGAUACAACUCCAAGGUCUCUGAUGAAGUUCUUCAACCAUAUUGCCUCCUUCGAUGCUUCGCUCGCUGCUAUGUACUCUGAUUUGCACAUUGAAUCAUCUACAGUCUCCUGCUUGGAACUUUUCCAAGUCACUGCUCCUCCAUUCAGGGUAAAUACCUAGCCCGACUGAGAGUGGAAGUUAUUUCUGUCGGUCUGAAAACUAGCAUCACUAUACCCUAUCACUCUCAAAUUUUCACUUCCACCAAUUACAAGGACCCAAUCCUUCGUCCUUCGUAGAUACUUAAGAAUGUUCUUUACUGUUAUCCAGUGAGCUCUACCAGGGUUCCUUUGAUAUUGACUAACCAUGCUCAAAGUAAAAGCCACAUCAAAACGAGUAGACGUCAUAGCGUACAUGAUCUAGCCAACGACAAAAGCAUAUGGUACUCGACUAAUUUCCACUAUCUCGGCAUCGGUACUCGAACUUUGAGUCUUACUCAAUUUUGUAUUGCCCUGGAUUGGUAACUCCCUUUCUUGGAAUUCUCCAUGCUAAAACACUUUAUCCAAGUAAGUACUUUGACUAAGUCCUAUUAGUCUCUUACUCGUAUUUCUCAAUAUCCUUAUCCCUAGAAUAUAAGCAACCUCUCUGAGGUCCUUCAUAGCGAAACACUUCCCAAGCCAGGGCUUAACCUCUUGCAAAGUUGGGAUGUCGUUUUCUAUGAGUAGUAUGUCAUCCACAUACAAUACCAAGAAGCUAACUAUACUCCUACUAGCUUUGACAUGCACGCAGGACUCAUCCUCGCUUCUUGAAAAACCAAACUCUUUGACUUUCUCAUCGAAACAAAGAUCCAUCUGCGAGAUGCUUGUUUCAAUCCAUAAAUGGAUUUCUCAAGCUUGCACACUUAGUUUCGGUACUUUGCAUCCACAAAACCCUCUGGCUAAUUCAUGUAAACAUCCUCAGCCAACUUUCCAUUAAGGAAAGCAAUUUUGACGUCCAUCUGCCAAAUUUCAUAAUCAUGAAACACAACUAUGACUAGCAUAACUCUUAUAGAAUUGAUGUUGGUCACUGGUGAGAAGGUGUCGUGAUAGUCAACUCCCGAAGUUUGAGUGAAACCCUUCGUAGCUAGUCGUGCCUUGAAUGUGUCCACUUUCCCAUCCGUGUCGGUCUUUUUCUUGAAGAUCCACUUACACCCGACCGUCUUACUACCUGUUAUAUUGUUAACCAAGUUCCUAACUUGAUUUUCAUACAUGGACUGAAUCUCGUUGUCCAUCGUCUCUUUCCAUUUUGCAUACUCUGGGCCUGCCAUGGCUCUCUUGUAGUUGUUAGGUUCAUCCAUAUUUAUUAGUGUACUAUCACUAAUAAACAUAUCACCUCAGCAGUUAUAUGGAAACCAUAUAACACGGGCGGAUCACUAACUCUAGUGGAACGUCUAAGAGGUAAGGACUCGUCGAGUCCCACUAUGGACUCGUCGAGUUCAUCUGUCAGGGGCCAGAAAUCGAUUAUUUUCAGCUUUGAACAAUUAACCAUGACAUCAAAUACAACAUAAAAACAGCCUAGGCUCUGAUACUACUGAUGGUUUUUGAGCACUACAACAUUCCUAUGGUGUACAUGCAACCCUAAUGCUUCGUAUCUAUGUUUUUUUCAAGUUAUAUAUGCAAAUCAAAUCAUCCAAAGCAUGAACCCUAACUAGCAUAAAAAUUUGGAAAUUUGUAACAUAAAACAUAGUUAGAAGAAUACUUUUUCCUUGUAGCUUGUUGAUCUUGACCUUCAUGAGCUUAGUGCCUUAAUUCUUGCACCUCGAUUGAGUCACAAACACCAAGUAGCAAGUUGGAAGAAUAUGAGAGAGGCUAGGAGGCUCAAAAUCGUCUAGGGUAUUCUCUUAGAAGCAAGUGGUUGAUUCCAAGGUGUCAUCGGGUCUUUAUAUAGAUGUGCAAUUAGGGUAUUUGAUUGAAACCCUCAUUCUCUGCUUAGGCCUUAAGUAAUCUAGUAGAUCCUUCCAGAAGGUCUCUUAUGGACAAAAUCUAUGUGGGCUAUAUAUAGGAUUUCAUCCAUCCCUUCUUAGGGAUCCACAAGCCCAAGUUUGCAACUAGCAUAUAAUUGCAAUAUCAGUCCCCAUAAUUUAAUCAGUCUCUUUUGAUCACAAAAAUAAUUCCAAAUCAAUUCCUGAUCAAUACUAAUUAAAUAAUAUGAUUUCUCAAUCAAUAUAUCAUUCUUAUAAUAUAUUAAUAAAUCAAAAUUAACCUCUUUCUCCAUAAUUCAUCCAGUCAAGUUGCUAUGGUGAAGGCAACCCAAAUGAACCAUGCUACUAUUAGGUCAAGUACAUACCAAUUAUAGUUAUGGGCUUAGACACCUAAUCCAACACGGGCUCCUUAGAGCUUUCAGGUCUCUCCUUGUCUCGGGUACAAGUCUUGUGCUUUUAGUAGUACGGGCCCAAUACUACCUUCCACACCUACCUGUACAUUCCCCCAAGGCCAUACCUGAUACCUCUAAUUCACCAAAACAUAGAUAAAACAUGACAUACGAAACACAACACAUAUCCUAGAAUCCUUGGGGAUUUCUCAAUCCUCAUAGAACCAGAAGUCUCAAUCAACACCGCAGGUUGCCUUAUGCAUGCAAGUUAUACAUACAUAUAAUCACAUAGACUGUCAAGUGAAGUUUCUACCCUAAGACCAAAAUGAAGCAAGGAACAAGAAGUAAGGAAGAAUCCAUCGUUCUAGGGCUAUGAAAUCCUACACGUAUACAACUUUGAAAGAAUACACUUAGCAAAUAACAAAGACAACAUCGAUUUCAAGCAUUAUAUUCAUAGCAUUGAAUUCUAGCUAGUAGGCUACAAGGCAUCACACAAAUCAGACAAUUCUCAUAACUCCUGAAGGUAUCCUUAGCCCUAUUCUAGCAUGCAUUUCACACAUUAACAUACUGGUUGUAAUUCAUAAGCUUGGUUAAAUUUUUGGAAACACUUACUUGAGCUUGGCCGAUUGCGUGCAUUGCACUCUCCCUUUUUACUUAAGAAAACCGGUUUAAGAAAAAAUUUACUUUUGUUUAUUUUUUAAAAAGGGUUACCAUUUCCUUAGUUUGAGUUCUGACACACCUUCGAGUGUGGCCGAAUUUCUCAAACCAAGGCUAUGAUAGCAACUUGUAACAAUCCAAAAAUCUAGAUAAAAAUUUUCAUUUUUUUAAAAAUAGAAAUUACAAUCAUAAUUUGUUUAUGAAAAUCCAUUACAUGAUUUCAUAUCAAAAUAUCAGAGUAUCGCUAUCGAUAAAUGAGGAAAUUCUUGGGAGUGAUGUUGCGCCAUCAAGCUGGUCCAUUCCCAUCAAUACCAGAAGUACCUAAAAACACCCAAAUAAACUAUAAGCAAAAUGUAACAUCCCAAAAAUACAGGCAAAAAAUUUCAUUUUUAAAUACAUUAUUAUAACACCAGCAGUAUAAUAAGACAUCCAUAAUAUCAUGUCAUGUCAAAACUAAAGUAGAAAUAAUCAAAACAUGUUAUAAUAAAACAAUAUCAAGGUGUAAUCUCAAAGAUCUCAUGUGCGGAAAACCAUAGCGUGAUGCACUGUGAUCAAGCCGACUCCUUUCCUUUAAAAACGAGUACCUGAAACCAAAACUGUAAACCGUAAGCAUGAAGCUUAGUGAGUUACCCCAUCAUACCACAUACCAUACAACAUACAUGCUACGAAGCAUAUCUGGGUGUUGACAUACCCCUUUGGUAACUUUAACCGAUAUCCGGGGACUGUUUCACCCCUAUCACUACCACAUAAUAACAUAGCAUAACAUAUAUAAAUAUACUGUCAUGCAUAUAUGGGUGCCCGACCUACCCCUUCGGUAUCUUUCAACCGGUAACCGGGAGCUAACCUCCCCAUCGGUAUCUUUCAACCGGUAACCGGGAGCUAACUACCCCUUCGGUAUCUUUCAACCGGUAACUGGGGACUAUUUCACCCCUACCACUACCACAUAAUAACACAACAUAAUGUACUGCAAGGCAUGCAUGGGUUCUGACGAUCCCUUCGGUAUCUUUCAACCGGUAUCCGGGGACUAAUAUUUCACCCCUAAUACUACUAACUCAUAUAACAUAGCAUCCUAGAACAUAGAGCAUAUCAGAUAGUUGUAAACUAGACAAUUAUCACAAAGACAAUCAUCUCAUACAUAGUCACCUACUAGUGGGUCAGCAUUGGUGCCUUAGACUGUCACACCCCAAAACCGAGAACGGCGGAAAUGUUCUGGGGCGGAGGACGUCAUGUAUAAUAUCAACAACAAUGUAAAGUAGUAAACAAGCAACAACAUCAUCCAUUGCAUUAAUAAAAUAAUUAUUAUACAAUUGUAUUCUGUCAAAUUUUGAUAAACACUAAAGCAUAAAUCAAAAUGAAAGAUAAGUCUUGAACAAGCUCCAUCUUCCUUUCUCCUUGCAUCGGUACCUGUCUAUGAUGACCUGAGGAUACAAGUAAUUUUGAAAGCGAGUAUCAGCUUUAAAGCUGGUGAGUUCAUAAGUAUAUAAGUGUCAUUGCCUUGUUUGUGAAAAGCUGUUAUGAAGGCCAUGAAAACCUUUAAAUGAAAAUGUUGAGGUAAGUAUGAAAUCCCUAGAAAAAACCCUUAUUUUCUAUAAGUAUGAAAUGUAGUCUUCUACUAAGACCCGAAUGUUCUGUACGUAUGAAGUGUAGUCUUCUACCAAGACCCGAAUGUUUUGUAAGUAUGAAGUGUAGUCUUCUACCAAGAACCGAAUGUUCUGUUUGUAAAAUGAUAGUUUUCCCUUUGUAUUGACUAGUACUAAAAGUGCUUAGUCUAACUCAUCGUCUAUGUGAAUGCAUCACAAAAUAAAGUAAACAGGAAAAUGUACUACUGUAAGUGUUGUCACUGGGUACUAGGACCAACACAGCCUAGGUAAAUAUUAUCCCGAGGUACUAGGGUUAACACUACCUAAAAAUAAAGUAAACAGGAAAAUGUACUACUGUAAGUGUUGUCACUGGGUACUAGGACCAACACAGCCUAGGUAAAUAUUAUCCCGAGGUACUAGGGUUAACACUACCUAAAAAUAAAGUAAACAGGAAAAUGUACUACUGUAAGUGUUGUCACUGGGUACUAGGACCAACACAGCCUAGGUAAAUAUUAUCCCGAGGUACUAGGGUUAACACUACCUAAAAAUAAAGUAAACAGGAAAAUGUACUACUGUAAGUGUUGUCACUGGGUACUAGGACCAACACAACAUCGCAUUAAGCGAAAUGUAUAACCUAAUGAACAUCCGAAGAUUGUCCAAUUGUCCUCUGUAGCAGCAGCAGGUGGGUGGAAGGGUUAGUCCCAAAUCGAUCUUCCUAAUAUAAGUAGUAACCUUAGACCUCCGUAGAUGGUCAUCGACCACUGGUGCUAAUCAGUGGGGUUCGGAAUGGUGAGUCCCGCCUAGAUAUCCCAUUGAACCGGGAUAGGAAAGAUAAUUUACACAGAAAGUACUAAUAAAUUAUCCUCUUAGUUCUAAGUACAAGUAUCCAGGUAAGUGAAUACAGGAUAAUGCACCUAUGUAAAAGUGUUCCUGUAUGGCAUUCAUGUAUGUGCGUCCAUGUAACAGGUAAGUAUAUGUGAACAUAUUCAUGUAUCAGGUAAGCAUCUGUAAGUACUCAUGUAUCAGGAAAUGUACUAGUAUAGACUCAUGAAUGAACUGACUCUUGUGUGAUUCUUUGUAAUAGAAAUAAUGUUUGAUAUCUUCAAAUUAUCCCUAUGAUAAUUUACUGUAAUAUAACUGGAUGAUCAUGUAGGUUUAUACACUCUUACUACUCAAGGGUGUGGGAAACUAAAUGAAAGAUGUAAACUAUAAACUCAAUACAUAUAUAAGAAUAUAAGUGUAUAUGCAUAGUUUAGUUCAAGAAUGUAAAAAUGGUUUUGUAAGACCUCUUAUGGGUUUUGAACAAUAAUUAACAAUGACUUGAUGUCAUUUUAAUAAACAUUUCAAAGGUAAAACAUUUGGUAACAAUGUGUUUUUAAUAUGUAAAACCAUUUCAUGCAUCACAUUUUGUAGCAUGUGAAAUCCGUUAAAUGACAAACAUAGUUAUAAAAUGCAUAUCAAUGAUUCAAUAACAUGUAUGUUUCUACUUGUAUUCCCCCCAUUAAAGCAUUUAAAAUCAUUUAAAAUAUUGAUUAGGGGUAUGAACUCACUUGAUUGAAGUGGUUGAUUUGAAAUAGUCCAGAGAAGAAUCAAGCAGAACUUCGACAGGAAGAGCUGAAAACGCGGGAAAAUCUCAGGAUUCUCGGGAAUCUCGGGAAUCUCGAGAACACAAAACCUUCCUUCGGGACUUGAAGGUGAAAACCGGGGCUUUGGGAGGGUCUCGGGGGCUUAAACGCAGAGUUUCGGCGCGAGAAAGAAAGGAACUGAGCAAUGGAACUCGGAGCCCUUGAAAUCUAUUUAUAGGGGCAUUUUUGGGGUGUGCCACGUCGUGGCAAGUGAUGGCCACGUCGUGGGGAGUCAAACCUAUCCUCUUCCAUUGAUUGGACGCCCUCAGUCACUUGCCGGGUCGCGGCAAGCUUGUGCCACGUCGUGGGGCCUGACAGCAUCGGAUUUUGGGCCCCGAACUUGUAAAAUCCAUAACUUUCGCAUACGAGCUCCGUUUUCGACGUUCUUUAUAUGCACACAUAGCUAAAAAUAUGAUCUACAAAUCUCGUUUAGACUUCAAUUGCAAAUUUUGACUUUAUUUUUAAUUAUUUAUUUUUAACGGGUCGGGACACGAAAAGUCUGUUAAAAAUCCAUAACUUCUUCAUCCGGUGUCCGUUUUCGUCAGACUUUUCGCCGUUGCGCUACUAAUGUUGAGACCUUAGAUUCUCAUUUAGGUUGUUUUGGCACNUUUGGUCAAAAGUAUCUCGAGCUCUAUUUCGAGUUUUUAGCUGUCUACUGCUAUACUCGAAUCUUGGAAAAAUCAUAACUUUCUCAUACGAAGUCAGAUUUGGACGUUCUUUUUAUGUACGCUCACGGUUUGAGGUUAUCUAUAACUUUCAUUUAGAUACUUAAGGCUAAAAACUAUUGUAUUGAAACUUCGCGUUUUUCGUUUAAUCGGUGUUGUCGGUUUUGCCGAGAAUCUUCGGUUGGUCAUAACUUCUUCGUUAUAACUCGAAUUUUAGGGUUCUUUAUAUGUACUAAAACCUUGAUACGAUUCCUACUACUUUAUUUAACCCAAAUAAGAUUUUAGGAAAGUUAUAUUUUGACCUAAAUUUGAUUGGUUUUACAUUUCAUUGUCUCGAAAUAUCGGGUUGUCACAUAGACCCACCUCUACUGGAAGGUAAUUCACCUCGAAUGCAGAAGCUUCCUAAAGAAAUUCUUAUUGCUGCCCUGCCCACUUCCCGAGCUAUCAAUACCAAUCAAUAUACCAAAUUAGCAAUUGGUUCCCAUACCAAAAUCCUUAAUCCAUGCAUGGGAUAAAAUGACCAUUCUACCUAUGGCCCAGUAUGAUCCGGAAUUAUGGCCAUAACCCAAACAAAAGCCCAACACUAUAAUGUCCAUAAUACAAUCAAUGGCCCAAUUUUCUAAAUUGGGCCCAAACCUCUACGUGAGUCUUGCCAUGAGGCCCAAUCAUUCUUUCCAGUCCAAUACACCUCAUAUUCUGAUGGCCCAAUAAUAAUCCAAACAUUUAAACCCAAAAUGCUAAAACUCACUCAUGGCAUGGUCCAUGGACUAGUUUUCCAAAUUGGGCCCAAGACUUUAGUGGGCCUCUACAAAUAAAAUAUCAACCCCAAAACUGAUGGCCCAAUAGCGCCCAAAACAACAAGCCCAAAAGAUGGCCCAAACUGAAGCCUAAAAACCAAAGUCCCAUUCUGCUGAGUACGCGGGGCGUACUCAGCUUGUACGCUAAGCGUACUGGCUUAAGGGCUUGUACGCUACAUGUAGACGCUUGUACGGCCAGCGUACUCCUCCUGUUGACCAACUCUCAAUCCUAGCUCUUAAUCCAUUAAGCCAAGACGUCCAAAACCUCAAAAUGGCUUAAUAUAAGUGACUUGACCCGUAAAGUCGAAUGCUUUAAGCCUUUGCAUGGCUUAUUUAAUCCCAAACACUAAAGAUGAAUUCCAAAAGGUCAAAAUCACUCCCAAAAUGUCUUAGAACUUCUUAAUACCUUAAGACCUCAGUCCAAACUUCCAGAUCUGAUUUCAAGGGACUUCUUAAGUCAUAAAUUUUCCAACUUUAUGACUUAGCAUAACUCAAUGGGGCCUAAAUCUAAAACCUAAGUUCCAAACUUCAUUAAAUGAAUACCAAAUCAUGCAUGGAAGGUUUAUACCUCUCAAGAUCUAGACUUUAUGACUCCAUAACCUCAGUAAGGACCAAAUAAGAGGCUCAAAGGUUCUGGAGUAACUUCUACUCACAAGAACCACCUCAAAGGGACCAAAAAAACAUAACAACGUACCAUUUUGCUAGAUCUACAUGAAAAAGUUGUCAAUGUUGAGACUCUAUACCUUCAGAAGAUAGAUCUAGGUGCACAAAGCUUGGAUUCAAAAGCUCCAAGUCAAACAAUGACUCUUCAAGAAGUUCCUUCUUCCUCCUCUAGCACCAAAACACACCAAAAAUCACUUUGAAGCUCUAAAAUUACUCAAAUGGGGGCUAAGGGUCGAUUUCUAGGGUUUGGAGGGAUGGAGGAUGAAGGUAUUAGGGUUAGGUUAUGAGAUAAGGAGCUUAAAUAUGCUCCAAGACCCUAAAAUAGGGUUUUGAUCUAACUGGCGUACGCUCAACGUAAUUAUGGUACACCCGACGUACUCCAAAGAACAUUCGCGACCAUCCUGGUCAGUAUGUCCAGCGUACUCUAAGGUACGUCCAACGUAUUGCCUUCUUCACUAGUACGCCCUGCGUACUCUUUGUGUACGCCAUGCGUACUCGGCUAACCCUGAAAACCAUGAAACUUCUGAAGGCCAUAACUUCUUCGUUAUAAGCCCGAUUCCAAUGAUCCUUAUAUCCACGGAAAGGUGACGAGAAACUCUAUGCAUCCAUCAACUUAUUCUCACCUCAAAACCUUCUGAAAAAAAAAUCCAAAAUUUAUAAAGAUCUUCAACUACCACUUUACCGAUAUACCCCUUGGCUCCAAAACACGAACCGAACACCCGAAUCACUUAUAAUACAUCACCUGCACCCAAAUGGGCCUAGAUACUACCUUUUCAAAAGCCCUAAUACUUUUGAUGACCAGCCUUCAGGCCACAUCGUUAGACUAGAAGUCAAUCCGGAACAGGGCGUUACAUAAAAGCUUAGUGAGUUCCCAAAAUACAACAUAACAUAUAACCACAGAAUACCACGCUAUAUACAUAAGAUUGCCAUAGGAAACCCCUAUGGUCUUUACCUGGAAUGCCAUGGGCUACCCCCAUGGCCUGAUAUCCAAGUUCCAUGUGCUACCCCCUUGGUCUUUACUUGGAAUGCCAUGGGCUACCCCUAUGGUCUUCACACAAGUGCCACGGGCUACCCCUGGGGUCUUCAAAUAAUGAAUUCAUAACAACUAUCAAUGCACAUGUCAAACAAUGGGCCGAAAUUAGUGCCUUCGACCCAUUGAUAUAGUGAGAAGACUCACCUCAGACUGCUGAUAAAAAUACUACUCGGCUAUCGGUCCAGAUAUCUCACACUGAAUAUACACAAGUUAACCUAAUUAGAAUUAAGUCACAAACUCAAGGCAUAGGCCAAAACCCUAAUUACAAACUCCUCCAAUAAGGCCCAAAAGCCUUUCUCCUUUAAUGGGCCUAACAUCCAAGCUCCAAAACAAUUAUAGGCCAUAAGGCCCAAAAGGCCCAAACAUGCCACCUAUGGUCCAACAACAAGUUUAAAGGCCCAAAUACUCUAAUAGAUCCAGGCCCAAGGCUAAGUAGGGCCCAAAUGGAUCAAAGGCCCAACAAUAGCCUAAAACUCACUGGAAGCAUACGCCCAAUGUACAACAUAUAUACGCUUAGCGUACUGGGUUAUUUGGUGGUACACACAGUGUAAAAGCUAGUACGUCCAACGUACAAGCUGCUUUGCACAAAUAGCCAUUAAGUGCUUACUUCAUGAAGCCGCUUCGUCCGAUUCCAAAUCUUGGUCAUCAUAAAGGUUGUAGGGCAAAAAUUUUGUAACUUUAUGCCUUUGAAUGCCAUAUGGGAACCUAACACCUCGUUUUAUCCUUUAAGACUCCCUUUAAGAUCUUAAACUCAUGCAUGGUGUCAAAACAACCAUCAAGUUAACAUUUUUAUGGUUUUAACAUGCCAAAGGAACUCAAAUCAAACAUUUCUAACCUCUGGAGUUGCUCAAACUCACAAAAGAGGAUCCAUGGACCAAAAAUGGACUUAUUACCAAACCCUAACUCAAACUAGCGAAAGGAUAAGCAAGGUCUGGACUUUUUACCUCCAAAAGUUCCGCAAGAUGAAAUAGAUGCAGGAUCUAGAAGCUCAACCACGUAUAAGACUUGAUCACAACCUUCUCCUUCUUGCAAACACACUAAAAUAGCCACCAAAAUCACUUUUAAUAUCACGAAUCACACUCACUUGCAAAUUAAGGUUUAGGUAUGAUAAGAGGCAAUAGAAGUUGUUUAGGGUUAGGUCUAAAUGGCAUAAGAGUGUUAAAAUGGGGCUAAAAUUAGGAUUUUUGUCUUAGGCCACGUACGCCCCGCAUACAUUGUGCAUGUCCGAGUCCAAACCACCCUAAUAUGCUAAGCAUACACAUAUGUACACCCAACGUACGUAGGGACCUCCUUUGCAAAUAAGUUUCAUUCCAAGGGUUAAAAGGGUAACUUGCAUUCCGAAUGUUACAUAUAGAUAAUCAAAUACUUGAUUCUACCCUAAGCCCUUCAUCAACCAAGAACAUGAAAUAAAGCUAAACCAAAAAUUAUCAGGCUAUAGAAUCUUAAUUAUGUACAACUAUGAUGCAUACACUAAGCAGGUACAAUAAUGAUGUCAAUUCUAUAUAAGAAGUAAUCCUAGGGUAUCAAGCAUCAUAUAUGAGGAAAUUUUAUCACGUAAUUCCUGACGAUCCCUAGCCCACCGCUAGUAUGUUGUUGUAUCAUGAAUAACAUAUCAAAUAACAGUGUGGGUAACUUGAGGUAUGCUUUCUUACCGCGGCUGACCGUACACAUCACAUCAUGCAUUCCUUGGUUACUUUUGAAAACCAUUAAAAAAAACUUUUACAACUCCCUAGUUUGAGUUUGGAUUCACACGAAUGUUCAUCCAAUUCUCUCAAACCAAGGCUCUGAUACCAACUUGUAACACUCCUAAUAUCAUAGAAAAUUAAAAAUUUUAAAUUUCAACCAUUAACCAACAUUGUUUAUAAAAAGUGCUCAUUGCUUCAAAAGUAUUAUUCAAAAUCAUAGUUUUUCCCAAGACAUAAAAACACAAAACAGGAAGAUGUGCACGAUCACGCCUUUGCCUUCCCGCGAUUAUCAGAAGUACAUGAAAUAAUAAACUGAAAUUGUAUUUCAAAGCUUAGUGAGUUCCCCCAAAGUACCAUCAUGAAACAUAUAAAAUACAUAGAUUAACAUGAUGGGCCCACAACCUCCCAGUUGGAUUACCUUGGCCCACAACCUCCCUGUUGGAUUGCCCUGCAUACCAUAUACUGGGUCCAUAACCUCCCAACCGGGUUGACUUGGCUAGUUUGUGGAGUUUGACCUAUUUUGAGCCAAGUAUAUUUUGGAUAAUUUGGUAUUAAUUUAAGUUGGGAAAUAUUUUGGGAUAAUAGGUGUUGAGUAGAGCCGGGUGUCGGGGAAGACAUUUAUUCAGCUUGUGUUUAGACUGAGAGGUGAGUUUUCCUCACUAUACUUACAAGUCGAAGGCAUCAAGGCCGACCUAAUGGAUUGAUAUCCUGUUAGAUACUAAUUGAAGAUAUGUUGAGUAUGCGAUACAUCUGUAUGAUUAUAUGAUAGGUAUUGAUAUACAUUAGACUGGUAGAUCUGUAGGACUACAUGUGAUUAUUGGUUGUGUAAUCACCUGUUUGUUGUAUGUAUAUUAUCUAUUAUAUGUCGACAUGUUACUUUAGGGUUGAGAAUAUUGCUUUGUGCUGUCAUUCGACAGACCGUGACAAUCCAACCAGAAUGUUUUGGGCCAGAGUAAUCCAACAGGGAGGUUGUGGACACAACAUGCUAAUCUAUGUAUUUUAUAUGCUGCAUGAUGGUACUUUGGGGGAACUCACUAAGAUUUGACUUACAGUUUCAGUUUAUUGUUUUAGGUACUUUUGAUGAUCAUGGUACGAUGAAGGUGUGAUAACGCACAUCUUCCUAUUUUGUGUUAUUGUGUCUUGGGAAAAACUCUGAUUUUGAAGAAUACUUUUGAAGCAAUGACUCUUUUUUUAAACAAUGUUGGUUAGUGGUUGAAAUUUAAAUUUUUUAAAUUUCUAUGAUUUUUGUAAUGUUACAUUGGUUUGGCUUGUAACCGAUCUAAACCCCCCACAUACCCUUGUUAAUCAUAAAAGAAGAAUCCAUUUAGAACUAACUAUGUUCAAAAAUAAGAACCAUAGUGUGUUAAAUAUUCAUUACCUCAAAUGUAGGGAUCUUUUGAUGUCGAAGAACAUUAGUUAAGAUAAAUUAAAAAGGAUAUUCAACUAAACCAAAGGUCUUUUGGCCUAGCACUAUCAUAUGUUGGAAAUGUGACCCUUCCUAAUAUCAGAAAAACGUGUUAUUUCGAUUGCUUGGAUUACACUGAAAGUCAUGAUACACUUACGUAUUAAAGUAUUUCGAUGGUACAAUCAAAAUUUAAAUUGGAUAAAAUUCUGUGAGAACAACAGAGAAUGAAAAUGUUAUGAUUCUUGUGUGUACCAGAUUCAAAUGACCAAAAAGGGAUAUGACUCCUUGUCCGAAAAUUGUCAUAUUUCCAGUUACAAACUGCCACAAAACCAUCACUAAACUGACUUAGUCGGCUUAACAAACAAGAACUACAUAUUUAACAUACAAAGAAAAGCUAACAAGUCUCCUGAUACUUGUAAAAAUCAAAUGAUGUAAAAAAAUUAGAUAUCAAAAAAUCUAGUAUUAACAUAGAUUUAAUUAAACUUAUAGAUUAUCUGUUUAUAUAUCAUGGAAAUUUAUUCCCAAGGUCAUCCUUAACUCGUUAACAAGUUUUGGGUGUAACGAUAUAACAAUAUCUAAUCAUUACUCCUCUGAUAAAAUUUUGGAUUCUGUGGUCUAUAGGUUGCAUUUUUUGUUGCUAAUAGGAGUAGAAAAGCUAAAAUCAUUUGGGUCGAUUGGAUUCAUAAUCCUACUUCAACUUGCACUCUUAUGUAAUGUUUUUUUUCCUAGCUUACUGCUAGUUUUUAUAAAAUUUUAUCUUGUUCCGAAAAAACUCCUCUUAUAUAUUGGUCAACUUUGAGAUACAAUUAAAAAGGUUCUCUUGCCACAUCACACGCCAUCCACCCCAACGACCACCACACAAUAAUAUCGAUUUGGUAUAGACCAACAACUAUCUCUUUCCUCAUCUCCCUCAAAUCGGUCUUCAUUUCCUUUCUUUUCAGUUUGCUUUUUAAUAUUCAUACAUAGAGACUCAUUUUUGAGAAGUUAAGACACAUAAAUGUGUUUAAUAUUGGAAUCCCACAUGACAAAGUAGCAUCUAGGGAUGUCAAUGGGGGCAAACGGGACGGGGGUUGCAUUCCCCACCCCCACCCCCAAAANNNNNNNNNNNNNNNNNNNNNNNNNNNNNNNNNNNNNNNNNNNNNNNNNNNNNNNGCCCCCGAUUGAUUUUGGGCUACCUUAUUUGCACUAAAAGAAGUUCUUGUUUGGACUAAUAGAAACUAUAUUUUGGGUUAUAAAUAGAUAUUUAUAACAUAAUUUUACAUGUACAAACAACUUAAAACAUGUUUUAUUUUGAAGUUUUGUAUGCAAAAAUCUUUUUAUUGUUUAUUAUAUUUAUAUAAUUAAUAUAUGUCAAUUUAUAUAAUUUAUUAACGGGGCUCCCAUGGGGGUUUCGGGACGGGACUACCAACCCCUGCCCCAGCCCUUGAAAUUAAAACGGGGGUUAACCUUGCCCCUGCCCCCGUCCCCGAUUAUUUUCAACAAAUGCCCCCAUACAAGAUGGGGUCCCCGCGGGAUCGGGGUCCUACGGGACUUUUUGACAUCCAUCGUUAAGUAAAGAAUGUUUGUGACGAUGUAACUUCCUCUUGAUAUACAUAUCUUUUAUUAGAGACCGACCGAUGUCAUCCUUUAACACUGUAAAUUUUCAAACAAAGUUUUCAUUUUAAAACACAAUAAAACACAUGUCACAUUCCUUUCAAAAAUCACAAGUAUCAAUUUAUCAAUACAUUUUAAAAGUUGUUUAUCGCAAAUCCAGAUCCUCAAACAUAACUCUUUUCUCUUGUGUGUACAAUCAAACCGGUGCCUUAUCGUGAUCCUGAUAAGAACCUGAAACACAUAACACAUAACAUGGUAAGCAAGAAGCUUAGUGAGUUCCCCAAAACACCACAUACAGCUCAUUAGCCACUCGAGGCUAUAACACAGUAAGACCCUCCGGUCAAUGUAUCUCAGUGGGAUCCUCCGGUCCCAAACUCUGAUGGACCCUUCGGCCGAAUAGAAUUUUCCACCCGCGUCCAAGAUUCACAUAUACUCGACGAGUUUGGGGACUCCAACUCGUCGAGUCCCAAUGCAAAAAUGCAAAAAUUCAUAUGUAUAAUACGUAUCGGGAACCGGGCGUUAGAUAUUGGUUGUAUAAUCAUUUGUCUGCUGUAUGUAUAUUAUCUGAUAUAUGUCAACAUGUUACAUUAGGGUUGAGACUACUGCUUUGUGCUAUCAGUCAACAGAGAGUGGCAAUCCAAGCAGGAUGUUAUGGGCCAGGGUAAUCCAACCGGGAGGUUGUGGACACAACAUGCUAAUCUAUGUAUUUUAUAUGUUGCAUGAUGGUACUUUGGGAUCACUCACUAAGCUUUAGCUUAUAGGUUCAGUUUAUUGUUUCAGGUACUUCUGAUGAUCGCGGUAUGACGAAGGUAUAAUCAUGCACAUCUUCCUGCGUUGUGUUAUUGGGUCUUAGGAAAAACUCUAAUUUGAAUAAUACUUUUGAAGCAAUGACUUUUUUAAACAAUGUUGGUUAAUGGUUGAAAUUUAAUUUUUUAAAUUUCUAUGAUUUUUGGAGUGUUACAUUGGUUUUGGUUUAUAACCGAUCUAAACCCCCACACACGCUUGUUAAUCAUCAAAGAAGAAUCUAAUUAGGACUAACUGUGUUCAACAAUAACAACCAUAGGGUGUUAUAAAUCCAUUACCUCAAAUGUAGGAAUCUUUUAAUAUCGAAGAACGUUAAUCAAGAUAAAUUAAUAAUGAUCGUAACAUCCUGUUUAUUAAAUAAAUAAAUAGAUAAAAAUUUGAUGAAAGAAUAGUCGCCCUAAAUUCAUAUUAUUUAGUGGGGCGCUGGUUUUGGGGAGCCGAAUGGUAUAAUUUGGAUUAUUCGGAGGUUAAAAGUGUAAGUUCUAGAUUUAAUUUGAAAAUGAUUUUAGAAGUCAUGGUGUGUUUAGUAAUUAAUGGACUUAAAUAGAAAGGAUUUGAUGGCUUAAGGGGGUGAUUGGUAAUUUCGGGACCUAUUAUGAAACGACUUUCAGAGAGAGGGGUUAAAGGGGUAAAUUUCUGAUUCAUUUUGAAAAGAUUAAUAGAGGGAAGGCUACUGUUGUUAUUAUGGGGAGAAGUUUUAUGGGGAUUGGGGUAUAAGACCUGUCAGCCCGGUAAACCCUAAACCUAGCCAUGUGUCCCAGCCGCCGCCACCUUAUACCCCCCCCCCNNNNNNNNNNNNNNNNNNNNNNNNNNNNNNNCUCCGGCGCCGCCGCCAUCAUCCCGUUUCCGAUCAGCGAGCUGCCGAGAAGCUACUCCAUUGGACUUCUGCCACUCUUCUCUUAUCCUUCUUCAGUCGUUGCCAUGUGAGGCCUCAUCCACCACCCGCUACUUCAUCGUUGGAGUGCUACCACCACUGUCGGUGCACCAUUGUUGUCGCUGCUGUUGAGGCCAAGGAUGAAGACGGAUGUUGGGACGUCGGGAAUGAAGAAGAACAAGCCACAAGUCGCUGUAACGUUGGUUGUAGCGCUGCUGCUCCGCCACUGCCCAUUUCCGUUAAAGACAAGGUCGUCACUUGUUUCUCGUGGAUGGCUUAGUCGGAGGUGUCGUUCGUUUCCGUGUGGUGCUGUUCCUCCGUGAGCUGCUGCACUGGUGGUGCUGCCACUGUUGCCGUUAGUGUUGCUGCCACUCUCUACCGUUGUCGCCGUACGCCACCAGGUGGGUGGCAGGGUUCUUUUGCGAAUGAAAACAGUUUGUUUGUGUGUGUGUGUUGUAUGUGGUGAUGUUUGGCCUGAAUUAACGAGAACAAUCACCACCACCUUCGUGAGGUGGUAGCUGCCACCAUGUACCACCACCGGCCACCACAAGGGUGGAUGUGUAUGUGUGUGUAUUGGCAUUUAUGUUGUAAAUUGUAAUUAGUGCUAGUGUAAUCAAAAGAAAAACUCAAAACCACCACCGUGAGGUGGUGGCUGCCGCCACCAGUCGCCGUGUUGGAUGGCGGUGUGCUCUGUUUAUAUUUAGACUUUGUUUGGGUUGGACAAAAUAGACUAGACCCAUAACCACCACCGUGAGGUGGUGGCCGCCGCCGUGAGCCGUCGUUGACCACCACUACACGAGGUGGUAGUGGGUGGUGCCUGACUUAGGAACACCCUAAUUGUCUUAAUGAAACCUUAAUGGGCCUAAGGACUUAGCUUUUGGGCUUAAUUGGAUUGUAAUGGGUUGGAAACCCUAAUUAGGGUUUAGAAAACCCUAAUUUUGGAAUUAUUGGUUUGGACUUAUCGGGACCCACAUUUGGGACCAUUGGAGUGAUGACUCAAGCCCGUUUUCAUUGUAUGCUUGGACUUAAUGGAUUAAUGUAAUGACCAAAAUUCUCUAUGUUAGUGAAGUUGGUUUUCCGUUACAUAGAAUUAAGUCGUACAUGCGUCUAGGAUGUGAGAUUAGACCGGUUUAUAUAAAAAAAAAUAAUAAAUAAACAAAAACAUAUUUUUUAACAUUUUAAGAAUUUAAUAGGGAUUAAAAUAAUUUAUAAGAUUUAGUUAAUAAUUAUAAUGAGCUAAAGAUAUUUAAGUAAUAUUACGAGUUAAAUAAAUACUCAAAUUAUUAAAAAGUGGCUUAUUUUAUGUGUAAAUUAAUCAAAUUAAACGACUAUAAAGAAAUAAAAUAAAAGAAAAGGUAAAGUAUAUAUAAUAUGGCCAGGGUUAAUAAUGAAUUGAGUAUAAAAGAUCAGGGACUAUAACUGUAAAUUGGAAUUCAAUCGGUGAAUUGAAUUCUAUAAGCUCGUUACCACUGAUAAUAAAUUUGUUUUAAUUAAUUCUAUUCGAUUGCCGCAACCUAUGUUCUUCUUAUUCGUUUCCGUUACCAGGCAACUUAUUCGCCUUGCCGAUUACACCUUCUCUUUAGGGUUGCCAUAUUUGUGUCGACCAGAAAAAAAGAGAGAGAAUUGAGUGUGAGAGAGUGUCUGCGUGAGAAGGAAUGAACGAGGCUCACAUCCUACUGCUAUUAGAUCGAAACAAGGUAAGCUCUUGAUCCCGAAAACCUGUCAUGUUUUUUUUGUUCAUCAAUGGCUUAUUGUGAAUAUCUUGCUGCCAAAAUACUUGUUUUUAGAAGCCACACAAACCCGUGAACUACUUCAAUUCAUCUCUGUCAAGCCUUAGGGAUGAAGCACCCAUGUUUGAGUCGUGUCGGGCUUAGUCGAGACAACCCCAUAAGCCAUCAGAACACCAGAAUCACAUUUUGGAAUGGUGUCUUCUCUAAAGCGUAGCCUCAAGUCCCUUAGACGCUUUGUUAAGGCUUUGAAACAGAAGCAGGGGAAGCUAUAUGUGUUCUUUCGCAAUUUUAAUGCAUGCCUCUGAAUUGCUACCGGACAAUCAAAAUAGACUAAUGCUUGAUGGAAUAUGAUAGUUACAGACAUAAUGGUUGUAUAGUUUCACUAAUGACUAAUUCAUAUCUAGACUUAGCUAUUUAAAUCAAUAGAAAGAGUCUGGAUAACAUAUUUCAUGAUAAACACUUAAAGAUUAAUUCAUCGUCUUGUGUUAAUGUAUGUAAUUCCAUAAAAGUUAAGAUGUUAAAAAAAUGGAUUGCCUACGUAAUAUUGUCUAAUUAGAAGUCUACUUCACACUAGGGUGUCUUAUAAAUAUAUGAGUGUAAUUUAUAAAAGAGUUUCAGUAUUAUAAAAAGUGAUUUAAUCACUAAUUAUAUGUCAAGGAGCAUGAUAUGAAAUAGUUGAUUAAAAGCAAUUGAUUACAAAUCAGUGUCAUCGGCUAUAAGGCUUCCUUAUGGUUAGUUAACAUUACAUUAUUCAUGAUACAACUUAAUUAUACUAUAGAUUAAAAUUGUCUAUCCUUAGCUACAGUAAAUAUGCUAAGGAUUUGGCAAAAAUGAUCCUCCAUCUAUAUGGGUAUUUAUAAUUCUGGAUCAUUUCUUUUAAGAGGUUAUAAUUUGCUAUUUUCUAUAUUUUGUGUAUACGUGUCGUUCUUUUUACUGAUCAAAGGUUUGAUCGUGUGCGUGUCAUGGACACGCGUUUUUUUCCUGUGUUUAUUAUCGAUCACCCUAUUCUUUUCAUCUGCCCACCGCCCUUACUUCCAACAUAUAUUCCACCGGCUUCCUCAUUCAUUUUUUCAUUAUCCCACCCCUUCAUUGACUAACUUCACCAACUGUGUUAUUCUUUCUUUAAAGAAGCUCAUCGGUUCCUUAUAUGUUUUUUUCAGGGCCUAUGUUUGUUGGAAUCCUUACGCUUGCUGACGUCUUUUGUGAUUAAGGGAUAAUUUUGUUCCUGGUUGCAUAUUUGAGUCUCAGGCACUCACUUCCUUUCUCUUUCUCUGUUUUCUUUCUACUCAUGGCAUCUCUAAUGGCAUUCUAUUACCGUGUUUGUAGGUUUACGCUUCGAAUUGUGUGAUUUUGUAUUUUUCAUUUCCGCUUUCGCUCUUGAAGAUGAGUAGUAGAAAUCGAUUGGAUGGUGAUUACAAAUACCUCUUGUCAUAUCGAUUUGAUUGUAAGUAUCUCACCUCUAAUUUGUUUUCUUUUUUUGGACUUUGUUGUUUUUUCAAAUAACACUUCUUACCUUCUAAAGCUCGGUUUCAUACACUUCUAUCACUUUUCUGUUAUCAAAGCUUCUUGACUAUGGUAAAUAUGGAAAAUCCUGUGACAUGUAUGUUUAUGCCCACAAAGUGUUUGAGGAAAUGCCUUUUGUGUUUAGGUGCCUGAUUGUUAUUCUGUUGAGUGUAUAAUUUCACAAUAUUGCGUAAAUUUUUAUUAUUGAGGCUCAACUGUGUAACUUGAACUGUUUUAUUGUAGUCUUACGGUUCUCUCCGUUCGAGGCAACAUACGACACUCACAUUCCACUACGCUGAAGCAUGAGACUUUCCGAUUUGUUGGUCUUGCCAAGUAGAUUCAGAUAACAUUUUCUUUCCAUAUAUUCUUCUAAAAAGCAGUAAUUUAUGAAAUUCUCAUUCUACAAUCCAGAAAACUGUUAAAAAGGAGCUUGAAAAUCUCCAAAAAGAUUAAUACUUUUAUUGAUUUGGCUAUUACCAGUGCUUUUUCAAGGGAAAUUAAAACAAUCAAAGGGAAUUUUCUACAAAAUACGUAAAUAUGUUAAUAGCUGUGUGUUUUUUAUUUUUUUUUUUGAUAGCUAAUUAGCAUUGAAGUGGUAGAAUGAAUUGGUUAUUAUUUACCCAUAUACCAGAUUAUGUCAUCUCUCUAUAUGUUUGGAAUGUUUGUGGGUUUGAUAUGUUUGCUGCUACUGUCACACCACAGUUGAAAAAACAUAUUUCCCUGCUAAAGGGGUUGUGUAAUUGUGACCAUUUUACAGUUUUGAUUUCAAAAUUAUAUUAAAAAAUUUAAAUUGCAAUCAAACUCAUAACAUGUGCAUGUUUGACUGAUUGAGUUGUCCUACAUCUCAAAAAAUCAGGGAACAAUCGACGGUGUUGACAUUAAGCCAACUUCAAAUUCGUGGGUCACAGUAACUGGAGGUAAUUUUCUUUCUUGAAUGCUUUUGGUUCACCUGUCAAUUUUAGUAUUUAUUUGAAGUAUAAUUUGUGUUUUGUAAUGUAAUAAUAUACUCUCACACAGAAGUUUUUAAAGCAGUGCUAUAUAGGAAAAAAUUAUUAAACUUCUACAAAGGGCAUUAGCAAAGUUAUGGGAUAAAACUUUAAACGGCCUAAAACAUUAACAAACUGUGAAACAGGGAAGACAAAAUUCAAUGGUUUUUAAAGAUUUUUGUUUUUUGGUUGUCUACGUUAACGAUCCUGCUGUUAAAAUGUUAUGAUUAUGACUAUUUUGUCCUUCCUUUCAUUACUUUCUGAAGGUGGUAAAGAAAAGGGAUAUAAUCCAAGGGUAAAAUGGUCAAUUUACAAAUUUCACAGCUGUGAUGUUAAGUUAGAUGGCCUAGGGAUGAAACACAUUACCAAACAGUGACAUAUGAAAUUUUUGUACGACGUUAAAGUUUCAUAUCUAUAUUUCAAAAAAAAAAUUCAUUUGCAAUUUUCAUCUGUAGUUCCCUGUUUUUGACUAUUUAUUGCCUCUUUUAUAUUGUGAAAAUUAUGUUUGGGUUGUUGUUUAUGAGGUAAUUGGUAUUGAUGUCAAUACAUAACUUUCAAAAGUGUUAUCUGCCAUACAGGAGAAUUUGGGAAAACAAGCACAUAAGCAAGAAAAAAGAAGGGAAGGUCAUAAUGUAAAAAGAGAAGGUUAUGACGAUGAGAAUUUAAUUUUGCACCUUCAACUUUAGUCACUUUCAUCAUUUUUAAUGACUCAUAGUUUCUUGCCAUUCUCAGUCUAUUUUGAUUUUUAGAUAAACUUAUUUUAUUGAAAACUUUUUUGUAUUAUCAAGGAACAUCAUUCGAUAUCUCAACUGAAAAUUAUGAUAACAACAUUACUAGAUGAGGUUGUUUAUGAAUUUUUAGCUAUAUAUUUUGCUGCUAAAAAAAAGAUAAGAAUACCUUGACAUUCUGACCCUCGCGAAGCGAGGCUCACCCUCUAGUUAAUAUUAAACCAAGGUGAUUUGUAAUUUAUAAACUACGAUAGACUUAUCUAAUCAAUUAAUAUGACAUAAACUAAAUAUAGUUUAAUAUUAAUCAUGUUUAUCUUAGCCUAAACUAAAUAAAUAUAUACUUUUUGUUUAGGUAUUUGUUGAGUAAAAGAGCUACGAAUUCACGUUUUGAAGUGAUUUCACUACCGAACUAAAGGUGAGUCAAUAGACUUUUCAUAAACCCUAUAUAUAGUCGAAAACUACUUUCCGAAAAUGGCUCGAUUAGUCAAAUUAGAAUAUUAUUAAUUGUUGAUAUUAUGCCUAUAUGUGCAGUAUGAGAUAUGCCAUUGUUUUGCUUUCUGUGACAUUUACAUGCUUAGUAAAUUUGGUUUAUAUGUCUAUCUUGGUACUUGAUACGAUUAAUUGCAACUAUGAUAUGCUAUAUGAAAUGUUUGAUAUUUGACUAUGACCUUGUUGAGUAUCUUUUAGUAUAAACUAGGUUACAACCCGUGGAAACCAUGGGUAAAAAAUUUAAAAACAAAUUUAUAUUAUUAAUAAGAGUUAAGAUUGUCAAUCCUUUUGUAUUGAUUAUUUAAAAUUAAAAUUAAUACAAAUUUGUAAAAAAGUAUAUAAAUUUGAAUAUAUGUUAAAUAGAAACGCAAUCAAUCCAUCGAAAGUUAAAUAUGAAUAUAACUAAAAUGCAUCUUUGAAUAUGUGAAUGAUUUAUGAAGUGUGAGGGCAAAUCAUUAUUUUUUGUAAUGAGGGAGCAAUCAAGAAACACCAUGUGGCGUCUAUUAAAGUCUGAAAAUCAAAUAUCGAAACGAACUGAAUAUUAUGGAUUACAAUUACAAUGCUAUAUAAAGAAUAAAUUAUUUAAAAAAAAAAUGUUACAAAAAAUAGAAAAAAACACAAUUGUUAGAAGUUAAUGGGUACGAAGCAUUUAUAAAUUCCUAAAAACUUCCUUAUACACAACAUUUGAAGUUUUGUUUGUAAGUCUACCAUCCUUAUCUAAAAUUAACAAUUUCAAUCCUUCUCUACUUUGAACUCUAGAUAAGGCAACAUACUGUUGUCCAUCUGAAAAAAGGAUCCUUGAGAUACAGACCAACCUUUAAUAACGACUGGCCCUGACUUUUAUUAAUUGUCAUUGCAAAACAUACAGCCAAUGGAAAUUGUCUUCUUUGAAAUUUGAAUGGAAUUUUCUUUCCAGAUGGACUUAAAGACAUUCUUGGAAUAAAUGUUUGCUUUCCAAUAUUAGUUCCAGAUAUGAUAAUUGCCUCAAUAACACGUUUGCCCAGAGAUUUCACUUGUAGUCUAGUGUCGUUUCAUAAUCCAUUUUUCUGAUCAAUGUUUCUUAGUAACAUAACUGGAACACCGACUUUUAGAAUUAACUUGUGAUUUGGCAAACCUGAUACUUUAAGACCAUUUAAAAUAUCCUGGGAGUAUAAAUUGGGAUCAAACUGAUCAUGAACAAACUCUGAUUGGCAAAGAGUAUCUGAACUUAAAUAUUCUACUUCAUCUUCGGGAAACAAUGCUAGCAAACGAUCAUUGAUUUGUUGGACAACUUCAUUUUUUGGAGCUAGUAUAGCUCUUUCUUGAAAAUAACUCGUACCGUUGAAUUUUUCAAAGAUUGAAGGAUAUACAAACUCAAUUAAUGAACCUAUAGGAUCAUGUGGAUCAUUAAUGAGAAUAUCAUUCGGAACAUCAAUAAUCGAUUCACCAUCCUUCAAACCACCAACUUUUCCUUCUCCUAUGUCCAAAAGCCAGUUUGCAAAAUUAUGUAUUUUUUGAAUAUCAUAUGGAUCCUUUCCAACGGUUAGUCUCAUCUUUUUUGUUAAUCUAUGGACUUUGCAUUGUUGCCAUAUAUAUGAAGAGCUUAAAGAAGCAUUAACGAUAUUUUGUCUGCUACCUCCUUGAACAACAGGUAGAAUCUGUCUAAAGUUUCCUCCAAAAACAAUCGCUUUCCCUCCAAAUGGAAUAUUUGAGUUGGUAGACUUAUCAAACUUACAUACAUCUCUCAGAGCUCGAUCUAAAGCUUCAAAUGCAUGUUUGCGGACCAUAGGUGCUUCAUCCCAGAUAAUCGAUGAGCUUUUUCUUACUAAUCUGCUGAGUUCACUAUCAGGCGGUAUCUUACAAACAGAAUACUCCGUAAGAUUCAACGGAAUUAUAAACCGAGAGUGUGCUGUCCUACCUCCAGGCAAUAAUAAAUAUGCAGUACCACUUGAAGCAACAUUUAAAACUAUAUCACCAUUACAUCUAAUUGCUGCAGAUAACGUCUUCCAAAGAAAGGUUUUGCCUGUUCCACCAUAUCCAUAAACAAAAAACACACCUCCUUUAUUAUCAUUGACUAUAGUCAUGAUAUCAAGAAAAAUAUUGCUUUGCUCGUUUGUUAAUGCAUGAAACAUACUAUCAAACUCUUUCUUUAAAAGCGGUAUGUCAUACUCUAGCUCCUCCAUGAUAAAUCGAUUUGUUGAAGAAGAAACUGUAUCGAAAUCAGGGUAAGGCCUUUGUUUAUAAUUUUUAAGACUGGUGUUGUUAUGAAGUAAAAUCUGUUCGAUCUCGAACAAAGUCAGGUUUUUGAGUUGAUCCUUAUUGAGUGAUAAACCUGUAUAAAAUGAACAAUAUGUCAAAAAGAAUAUAAUAUUAAACAGUUUAAUGGUAAUAAAAAAAUUAUACCGUGCAUAUUGAUAAUAUAUAGUAUCCGUUUUUACAAAUACUGAUAGGAAAUUAUAAUACCUGGAGACUUUAAUCUACGCUGUUGGUUGUAAAGAAUACCAUCCGACAAGUGUUGCCAUGUAUUUUCCCAAACAAACUCUGGUCUACCCAAACUGUUAGACAUUAACAUCGUAGCAAAUAAGAAACGAAGAUAAAAACCAGUUCCUGAAUGACUUGCUUCCUUAAUUGCAUCAACGUAUUCUUUGUCAUCAUCUAAGAGGCCCAAAGCAUAGCAUGCAUCUCGAAAAGUAGGAAAUUCUUCACCGUUUACCGUGCGAAUUUCUUCAAAUGAUUUUGGACCUUUCACUUUAUUUAAAAGAAUCCGUAAGAAGUAGACUUCGCCAAGUUUAGGUGAAACAGAGUGAAUCCUUCCUAUUGAACGUCCAAUUUUCCUUGGCUUCCACAACUUAUCAUCAGGUUUCCAAACAAACUUUGUAGGAAAUUCAACAUAUGUAAGUUUUCGUGCAUCUUUAUUAAUUUUAUUACAUUCCAUCCAAGAUGUGAACAUAGAAGCAGCAACUGAAGGUUGUUCAAGAACAUCGUCAAUAUCAUCGUCUGCAGCAUAUAUGACUUGUUGUUGAUCAGGAAGAUAAAAAGGUAGUCGCAUCACAGAAGGAUAUCGGUAAUGGACAUCGUAUUUAAAUAUUCGCCAUGAUGCUUCACAUGCAGAUAUAUAUCUACAAUCAUAAUAAUCUUUUAUUUCAUCGACAACCUUUUCGUGAUUAGAAUCAGCGUUGAUGUCAUCAACAAUUAUAGCUCUAUCUGGACCUUUGUUUAUAUAUUUAAACAUAUACUUUAUGGAAGAUCCCUGAUUGCACCAUUCAACAUUAAUGUGUGCCUGAUAUCUUUUCAACAUAUAUUUGUUAUAUGGAACAACAUUUCUGUUGUCUAACUUGACACCUGAUUUUUCGACAAAAUAUCCAUUGUUUCUUCUCAUAUAUAAGGGAUAACCGUUGACAUCAACCGAAGAAUGAUCACAUAAUUGCUUUGGAAAAUUUUUCGAACAUUGCUUGUCAACCAUGCAUGGACAAUUCAUAUUUUCCAGCUCCAUAAGGACCAUGUAUCAUGAAUUCACUUACAAGUGAAUACAAUUCUGGAUCUUCAUUGAUAUUUGGAAUCUCAGCAGAAAUAAUCGGAUCAAUAUAUUCAACAGUAGGCCGCUUGGAGUCGGCAUGCAUAAACAAACAAAUAUGACUAUGUGGCAAACCUCUUUUUUGAAAUUCAAUUGUAUAGACCACUGCAAAUUAAUUUUAUAAAUAAGAUAAUCUUUGUACUGGAUGAAAUAUAUUUGCAAAUAACAAAAAAUAUUAAGAAACUAAAUAAUCAUUAUAAAAAAAUAUUAGAAAUAAAUACAACUUUUAAUACCUCCUUGUACAAUGUCGAAAAUUUUAUUUUCCCGUAUGUCUUUAAUCAAAGCAUCGAGAUUUAUUUUGAAUAACCUACAUAAGAUAUCAGGUCAAUCUUCUGGAUGUAGUGAAGUGUUAUGAAGAAACCUUUUAACUUUAGGCCAUUUUGGAUUACAUGUAAAGGUUAUGAAGAAAUCAUGAUAUCCAAUCCAUUUACAUAAGGACAUGGCAUCAAGGUAGUUUUACAUCAUAUAACGUGCACCACCAGUGAAUGAAGAAGGUAAGAUUACACGUUGUCCAACAUUGGAUAUAUCUUUAUUCCCUAGGUCUUGUUGAUUACGUAAAUUUUCAUAAGACUCACAUCUAAGAAUUUGUUGUUUGCUCCUUAUGAAAUGUAAUCUCUCACUUUCAAUCAUAGUAUAAGCAUCAACCAAAAACUGUUGGAACAACCUUUUUGAAUUAAUAAUUAGUGAAAAAUAUUGAUCCCUGUCUUGUAUUCUAUAAGAAAAAAAUUCUCUCAUUGUACAGUUGGGCCUCUUGCUGUUGCUUAUUGGUGUAAUACCUCGAUGUGGUAUGUCAACCCUAUAACCAUCAUCACCAUAUGGAAACAGUAGUGGAUUCUGAAAGAGGAAGGUAUGAUGGAUGUAAUUUACUAAUACGCCGUAGAGAACCUGAUGAAGUUUGAACAACAAUAUAUCUUUUAUCAAUUGAAUCACCAAUAUCUCAAAUAAUUAAAGCGGCAACCUCAGAAGCAGAUGGUAGGUUGUAUAUCCUUCCAUCUUGGUCCCUGAUUCCAAUAAGUCUCAACUUGAUAUCAACAUGAGGUUUUUGAUGAAAACAAUCCCUAACCAUUCUAUAAGACUGAACCAAGACAUUAUUUGAAUCCAACAUCAACUUCAAAUCUUGUAUAAUAUCAUUAUCAAGGACAGAAGAAUUUGAUGUAGAUCGUUGAUUCUCUCCACUACAAGUAACAUGAACAUAUAAACAUAAGAUAAAUAAAUAAUAUAAUGUUGAUGAAUAAGAUAUCUAUUAAUGUGAUAAUUGUGAAAAGUGUACCCAAAACAUGUUCGUCUAUUCGCGAUCUCAUUAUCAGUAUCGUAUAUGUACAACUGAGAGAAUUUUGGUUUUAACCCCUGUUCCGGUAAAAGGCUUCCGAUACUAUGAUAAUUUUGACCGCUAAGUCUAAAAAUGUAUGGAGCAUUUCCUCUAUUGAUUGAGGAAUCAAUCUUUCCACCCAUUGACGUAAAAGAAAACAUAGAAUUGUAAGAACGAAUGUUCUUCAUGAAGUGUUUGCUUUUAGAAUCUCCCGAUGUAAAAAGAUGAACAUAACUUGAAGGUGAAUUCUUUAAAGCUGGUAGUUCUACUUUGCCAUAACCACAACAUAAACAAUAAUUUUGAUUCGACUUUUUUUUUUUUACAUCUGAUAGAUUCAUCUUUCCAUAAUUUUGCAAAACAUGUUUGGUAUACAACAAUCUGAUCACCAUGAUCCAAAUAAUCUGUCAAUUAAGGUUGACAUAAAAAUGUUAAUCAUGUAAGUUUAUAUAAGUGAAAAAUAUUGAAUGAACAAAUGUAAAUAUUAUAUUUUUAUCAAAAUUACCUUUUGAUAUACCGUUGUAUAUGUUUUGAUCAUUUUGGCCAUCGAUUUUGUCUUGAUCGGAUCUCAGACCAAAUAUUGGAAUAGGAGUUAAAUUUGGCAUUUUUUUCUUUGCUUUAUUAUUUGGAUUAGUUAACAUGACUGAAGACGAUUUUGAUGUUAUUGUAGAUGAUUUGUCGGAUGUGUCGCCAUUUGAAAAUACAGAGAAUUGUCUAAUAUUUGUUAACGGCGAUUGACAACUAUUAUUGAAAAUAUCCAUGGCUGGGGGAAAAAUUGAAAGUAUGCAUUGUUAAAUAUGAUACAAUAAUAAUAUAUAUUAUAAAAUAAAAUGGUAAAAUAAAUGAGUUACCGUUGGAAAUGUUAGAUAACGGAGUUCUAACAUUUAAAUGUGAAGGAGGAGUUUGUAACAUUGCUUGUUUUGUUAUAUAUGCACUUGUUUUAGAUCAGAAUGUGCUUUUAUUUCGAUGUACAACUCCUUUGAAUUCAUAUACAAAAAAAUGGUUAUGAGAAAUGUAAAAUUGUUUAAUAAUUAUUUUAAUAUUAUAUAAAUAUGAAUAUUGAUAAAGAGAUUAUAUAAAAAGACGAUGAUGUAAUAAAUUUUAUUACAUAUAUUUAAAAAAAACUUAAAAAGUUUAAAAGCAAUCAAGUAUGUUACCGUUUGAAUCCAAUCUGAUGUUUGGUAACGGUGUCUGAAAACUGUUAUUUGGAAUAUCGAUGACUGAGAAAAGAAGAUUGAAAUGUACAUUAUCAAAUAUGAUACAAUAACAACAUAUAUUAUAAAGUAAUAUGGAAAAAUAUAUGAAUUACCAUUGGAAAUGUUAGAUAACGGAGUUCUAACAUUUAAAUGUGAAGGAGGAGUACGUAACAUUGGUUGUUUUGACAUAUUUGUUGUUGAUGUAGAUGUGGAUACGCUUUUAUUUCGAUGGACAACUCCUUUGAAUUUGAUUGGAAAAAAAAUCUUAUAAGAAAUGGAUAAAUUUUAAAUAAUCUUGUAAAUUUUUAAAUAGUAUAUGAAUAUUAAUAAUGAUAAAUAGAUUAUAUAAAAAAAUGUGGAUGACAGAAUUUUUAUUUUACAAAUUUAAAAUAGAAAAAAAAAGUGUAUAAGCAAUCAAGUAUGUUACCGUUUGAAUCCAAUCUGAUGUUUGGUAACGGUGAUUGAAAACUGUUAUUGGAAAUAUCCAUGACCGGGAAAAGAAGAUUGAAGGUAUACAUUAUUAAAUAUGAUAAAAUAAUAAUAUAUAUUAUAAAAUAAAAUGGUAAGAUAAAUGAGUUACCAUUUGAAAUGUUAGAUAACGAAGUUCUAACAUUUAGACGUGAAGGAGAAGUUUGGAAAUUUGAUUUUUUUGACACAUUGGCACUUGAUGUAGAUGCGGAUAGGUUUUUAUUUCAAUGCACAAUUCCUUUGAAUUUGUCUGCAAAUAAAAAAAUUGUUAUAACAAAUGGAUAAAUUUUAAAUAAUAAUGUAAUUUUUCAAAUAUUCUAUGAAUAUUAAUAUACAAAAUACAUGACACAAAAAAUGAGCAUGUAAGAAUUUUCAUUUUACAUAUUUAAAUAAAGAAUAAAGAAUAAAAGUGUAUAACCAAUUAAGUAAAUUACCAUUUCCCUUCAUUUUAAAAAGAUGUGAUGUUGAUGAAGUUGUAUGAAUUCAUUCGGUCAUAACUUUUUUUUUAUUGUCCAAGUAUAAUUUUCUUAUUUUUCUUUUUUCUGUAGCCUGAACAUGAUAGAUGUUCCUAUUUGAAUCUGUAUAAGCAUAUAUACACACAUAAAAUAGUUAUAUUCAGAUUAAAAACAUUGAUAAAGAAAGUUGUAAAAUAUAUAAUGAACGUACUGUUAUCACCUGGGUUAGUAACAUUUGUAGAAGAUGGAAUUCGACCGACUGAUGUAGUGUACAAAGGUAAUUGUUUUGUAUUAUCCAGAUAGAAAUUAUUUAAUUUUAUCUUCUUAUUAGUCUUAAAAGAGUCCAUGUUAGUAGCUGCUAUCUGAAAUGGAAAAAGAAAUAUAACUUUAUACAAAAACAUUAUAUAUUGAAAAUUAUUUUCAAAUUUAAGAAUAAAUAAAUAAAUAUUUCAAAUUUAAAAUAGUAUGCAAUAAACCCAAAGAAAAGAAAGUAUUAUGUAUUAUUGAUGUGCACAAAAGUACCCACUAAUUUUAAUAUUUAUAACCUAACAAACUUAGAAUAACUAUGCACUUAUAGGCAGUGUACCUAGUCAGAUUACAAUAUAGCUUAGGUAAGUCGGGUGUCGAUCACAGGGAACGGUGGUGAAUUAAUUUAAUAUAUUUGAUUAUAGGUUACAGGUCACAUGAAAAGAAUAAAGAAAUAGUUUAAUAAAUCUCAAACUAACAAUUAAUUAACAACUUUGGAUAAACUAACUGGAAAGCAAAUCUCUUCAGGUACUUUGGUUUAGAUAAAUUACACCUUAAAAAACAUAGACAAUUGUAUACACAAGUUCAUUUAUUCAUGUUCACCGAUUCCUAAAAUGAUUAGAUUCGCGUUCACUAUAACUAAUCCUUUAGCAAACAAGUCAAUUCAAACAGUGAUCAGUUGAUUAAACUAACAUGCUUCCUAGUGUUCAGUUCGUAUCAAGCAAGACUUGUAAAUAUAGUUAAUCAAAUUACUAAUUCAAUUUAACCUCUUGUUGAUGGUCAUCAAACAAGGCUCACACAUUAACUUACUUAUUCCCAAGUUAAUCCUAGUUUCACAUUCGUUAUUCCUAGACUUAUAAUCUCGAUGGUCAUCAAAAUCAUAAGAGACAAGCAAUCAAACAGAUGUUCAUAUAACUCAAUUUACUUAACAAUUAACAUCAAAUAAUUAUCAUUAAUACGUAAGGAUCUUUUAACAAGCUUGGCAAGAUAAAUUAAACAUAAACAAACAAUUCAAUAUAGCAAUUAGUCUAAUAAUCAAGGUUUCAUUCAAUCAUAAACACAAAGUAAAAGGUUUUUACACCCAAAUCAGAAACUAAAUACAGAAUAGUAACACAAUGGAAUGCUAAACAUGGUCACGUUAACAACCCAUAUGAUUACCGACAUGUAUCCACUCUCCAACCCUUCCGAUCUUCACUCCUGUUAGCUUAACGGCCUUCCGGCCGCCUUCUAGACCCUCAAAACGGCUUAACAGAAGUUUAAUAUCGACUAAAUUAGGUUGGAAGUCGAAUCCCCCCUUCUGGUUAGCUGAUAAUCGACUUUUAUAACCUUUGUAACCGACUUACGUACGCUGGGCGUACUAAGGGUUUAUACGCGAUUGGAGUUAUCCGAUGCCAGCCGUUACGUGGGGCAUACACAAGAAUUACGCUGGGCGUAACUCGUCUUAGCCAUUACGCUUGGCGUACAAGUAAAUUACGCGGGGUGUAAUCGUUCCUCCAGCAUUUUCCUUUCUUUUAGCCUCUAAGCCUGAUUUCCGCUUCAGUCUUUUCUUUUGUGCUUUAUCGACAACGAAUAGCUGCAAAUCAUAAUUUAAAGCAUUAUGAGUACUUUUUAGUUCUAAAAGAGAAUAAUAAAGGCCAAAAUAUUAAGAUAUAAUGCAUAAAAAUAUAUAUAAAAAUACACAUAUCCAAAUACCCCACACUUAGUCUUUGCUUGCCCCCAAGCAAAUUUUAAUUUUAUUUUACCAUUAUCGCAUUAAACAAUCCAUUUAAAACUCAACCAUUAUGCCAAGACCUCAACGCAUGCAUUUGUGUCUAAAAUUUUCCUAAAAUACCCCCCUACUUUAAAUACUCACAAUCUUCAUAAACACUUGCCCACUUUUUACGAACAAUGCUCAUUUUAUGCAACCCUCCGAAUCCAUCCGCAGAAAACCUCCUUAUCCUCAAGGUAUUUUCCUUGAUAAUUUGAUCUUUGAUUUCUUUGAAUUCACCAUCUUAUUUGAAUUGAUUUCUGGUAUCUUCAACUUUUUUGAAUUUCUUGGAAUUUUGAUCUAAUUCUUCACUUUAUUCGCUCCAAAAUUCUUCAAACUUUUCUUGCAAUUCUUUUUUUUUUUCUUUUAACAUGUACCUCACUUUUUUCACUCAAAACCUACAAGCUUAAGCAGAGGCGCUCAACCUCAACCUUUAUCGGUUAACGAUAAUAAUUUUCCUGGAUACAUUUCAGGUUUAGGCUGCUAAACAUAUUGCAUCCCUCAAACCAAGCGGGGUUAUGUUUUUGUUCCAUGAUUUCACUAAAAUAAGGGAGGCCACAAAUGCACUAUAACGUAUAUUGGCUCAACUAAACAUUUGAGUUCUCAUCGGAUCAUCUCAUACAAUAUUAGCAAAAUUUAAAUUAUCACUAGAUUUUUCUAAAUUAAACUAUUAUUUCAAGUUUUAAAAUUUUUAAAUUUCCUAAAUCUAGCAAUUUCCUAACUAUUAUUUUAUUUUUAUAAUUUACUAUUACCGACCCCCUACCCCACACUUAUUUCAUACAAUGCCCUCAUUGUAUGCUAAAACGAAUUAAGAACAUAAAAAGGGAGAAAAAGGAACAGACUCCCCUGGGUAGUUGUGGCGAGAUCGAAUGGGGCUGCUACAAGUUGCUCCAAAUAUCGCUGAAAGACUGAAAACUGAACUGCUGCUUCUGAAUUUGUCGAAAAAUAAAAUCAAGACUGCCGACUUCAAAAAAUGUGGUGCACAAUAUUGCAAGUAAAUGCAAUGUGUAGUAACCAUGACGUGGGAAAGUGUUGACCACAUCAUGUCUUCAAAAAUGACAUCCUCUUCUCGCGAUGAAAAAUCCUCCACAGCAUAGGAAAGUGUCAGCCAUGUCGUGGCAGCCGGGAUGAUACGUCUUCCUCGCGUCAAAAUAGAACUCUAUGGUGUGGGAACAGCUCAUCAUACCAUAAAAGGUAAAAUAUCGUAAAAAUGCCAAUCGUCUAAAUGAACGCUCACGAAAUCAAUAUGCACCCCACACUUAUGACAAAUUGUGGGUCUUGACUAUACUUUUCGAACUCUCACACGACUCUCUCUAGCAACAGUCGGACCUAGCUGCUAAACUUACUGCCAGCUUUCUAAGGGCGAAAAUUCUGCAGAGAUCUAAACAACCAAAGAGCAUCAACAUGGAAAACAAAAAUAGAACAUCCUAAAUUAAAGUUUAAUUACAUACCAAAUAAAAAACUAAAACUAGAAACACAAAAAUAAACUAAAAAUAACAUAAAAAUAAAAAGGAUAACUAAAUCACUCAUCAUCUCCAUCAUCAUGCUGCUGUGUCCCAGAAGUACCGGCCCCAUCAUGUCGUGGCCGGAAUGGUGGAGGGUAAGGAACCGAGUACUGAAACCCCUAGUGGGAAAAGAAUACGGUCAACGCAUCCCCAUACCACUAUUGUUGCCUGUCCACAUGUGCAACAUACUCACUAAGGUUCUGAACCCUCAUGUCAAGACAGUCAAUGCCCUGAGCUAGGUAGCGCAUAUCAAUCUUCGGCUCAGGUCCCUGUUGCGCUCCCCGAGGAGCAGGUCUACGCUGCUGGACCCGUCUCGGCUGUGGCUCGGCAGCACCCUCCUCGUCCGCCACAUCAUCUGCUCGUACNNNNNNNNNNNNNNNNNNNNNNNNNNNNNNNNNNNNNNNNNNNNNNNNNNNNNNNNNNNNNNNNNNNNNNNNNNNNNNNUGAUCUCUCGUUAACAACUGAUAUGAUCGGGCUAGUCGCGUGAUAAAAUGCCCUCUGCACAUCGGGCUAUCCUCCCGAAGUCCCCUGGCCCUCUGUCCCAAAUAUGCAGCUAAAGCAACUGGAAGGUUCAGGUGCCUCCCUGGAGUAACAAGUGCCCAUAGGAAAUACAAGUCUAUCGAAGGCACUCUCUCACUAUUCUUAUGAUGCGUGAGAGUCAUGGAAAUCAACCGGUGCAACAGUCUAUAUGUAGUAGACCGAAUCAUCCUACCCCGUGCAGUAGAUGGCGUAUAAACUCCCCCUGUAAUCUCAGCCCAAAAAGUGUGCUCAUUAUAUUCAUCUGGCCGCUCCGUGAGACAAUCAGCAAGGAAUGUCGGGAAGUGGACACUCCUCGUCUCAUCUGCUGUGUAUAUACCCACUCAAGUCGCAAGCUCUAUGACACUGCACUCCCGACUCACACCCCCCAGUCUAAAGGCAAAAGUUGUCCUAUCAUCGGGUGCCUUCCUAGGAUCAUAGGAAACUGUAGCGUAAAACUCCAACAAAAAUUCCCGAUAAACAGGCUCCUGGAUCCUGAACAAUCGUGCCCACCCCUGCCAUACGAACAAUUCCACUCCAAUCGCGUCCGAGUGCGUGUAUUGCAAAAAAAUCCUGGAUCAGUGUAGCAAGUCCAGUCCAGGUCGCCAAUUCCCAGUCGAAUGAUGGUGCUAUGUCGAUCUCCUUGGUGAGCAGCAAACUCAAACUGUUGACAUAUCGUGCCCGGGUUGCAUCGUUCAGAGUUUGCGGAAAUUGUAAGAAACGNUCAGAGUUUGGGAAAUUGUAAGAAACGGUGAUCGGUCACAUCCUCGGGUGGGUUGGUCCUUUGAGUUCUUCGGGCCAUAAUCUGCACACAUAAACACAAAACCAAACAAAAUAUAACAGCAUUAAAAAAAUUUUAAACCAAAAAAAAAUGGUGCUGGAUAUGGACUGUACGCUGGGCGUACGUCCAGGUUCCACGAAUAUGUGUUCUGCUUCCUUUUCUUGUGCUAAAGUUAUAACCCAUAUCAAAAAAUUUCAAAUUAACCAACUGCAAGCAAUAAACACAGCAGGGCAAACACAUGGGGCAUAUCGAGCUUCGUGGUCCAAGACAGUAGAAAAACGGGACCACUCUAAAAAAUAUGAACCAUUCUCCUGUUCGUUCCUUAUCUUAUCAAGAUUAGAAAGCACUACAAAAGAAAAACUUCAUUGGGGCAGUCAAGAAUCGAAGUCAACAGGGUUACGCUUAGCGUCCGUCCCCGAGCUCAAAAUGAUGGGUCUAUCACGGGAUUAAGACCAAAUUAGGUACUAGGGUUUAGUCCAUUGAUGGAAAUCGGUCUUUUUAAGUCCUAAUCAAAACAUACAAUUAUGAAAUCGGCCCUAAUUCAAGAACCCUAUAAACCCUAGAUUUCGAACAAAGGCAUUUUGCAGCUUAUUCCAUCGAUUUAAACACAAAUCCAAAACAUUGAGUAACCGAAAAACUUACCUGUGUGCUGAAUUUUACAAGAAAAGAAGCAAAAUUGAAAAUCCUUGGGAGAGCUUGCCGUCACAGUUCGUGUGUGCGAAGGAAAGGAUUUUGAAAAAGUAACAAAAAAGUCAAGGGUCAAAAGAUAUAACCUGGUCACCGAUUUACGCUGGGCGUAAAACAAGGUUACGCUGGGCGUAACUCCAACUCCAUGAAAAGUCCAUCCGCGAUCCGGGGUUUAUUACGCUUGGCGUAAUUAAAAUUACGCUGGGCGUAAUGAAGUAUUCCUUUUCUUUAACUGAAAUUUCUUUUCUUUUAACUAUUUAAUUAAGGGACUAAAAACUUAAUUAUUUUUCUUUUUAAUUUCUUCAGCAACUGAUGACUUUCCGAUGAGUAAAAAAAAUGAGACGUCAUAAUCACUUAUCUUUGUCAAGAUCAAACAACAAUGGUUGAUUAAAAACCUUUGCACGCAAGAAUUGGUUUGCGAAAACACCCACUUUCGGGACCCGUUAGAAUAUUUCCUUUGUUUUCUUUGCACCUUUAACUAAAAGCGGAACAAGAAGUGACCUAACUAGUCAAGAACAGCAAGAGUUCGGUCUUCCACUUAACCACCACAAUACGCCUUACUAUACUACGCCUCAUGGAUUGAGUUGGACAAAUCAACAAAGUAGUAAGCCAACCAGGUCAAGAAUUUCCUAAUCGCUUGGAUUCUCGAAACCCAUGCAAAAAGUAAAGUCAAGCAAUGUGUACAAUCCCAAAUUCCUGCAAUUAACAACAAGAACCUUCCCGACAAGUGAAAUGAUAUCAACGAAAACCAAACUAAAAAUAAAAACUAACUAAAAACAAAUAACGAAUAAUCAAAAAAACUAAAUUAAUGACAAGCUGUUCCCGGCAACAGCGCCAAAAACUUGAUGUGCACAAAAGUACCCACUAAUUUUAAUAUUUAUAACCUAACAAACUUAGACUAUCUAUGCACUUAUAGGCAGUGUACCUAGUCAGAUUACAGUAUAGCUUAGGUAAGUCGGGUGUCGAUCACAGGGAACGGUGGUGAAUUAAUUUAAAAUAUUUGAUUAUAGGUUACAGGUCACAUGAAAAGAAUAAAGAAAUAGUUUAAUAAAUCUCAAACUAACAAUUAAUUAACAACUUUCGAUAAACUAACAGGAAAGAAAAUCUCUUCAGGUACUUUGGUUUAGAUAAAUUACGCCUUAAAAAACAUAGACAAUUGUAUACACAACUUCAUUUAUUCAUGUUCACCGAUUCCUAAAAUGAUUAGAUUCGUGUUCACUAUAACUAAUCCUUUAGCAAACAAGUCAAUUCAAACAGUGAUCAGUUGAUUAAACUAACAUGCUUCCUAGUGUUCAGUUCGUAUCAAGCAAGACUUGUAAAUAUAGUUAAUCAAAUUACUAAUUCAAUUUAACCUCUUGUUGAUGGUCAUCAAACAAGGCUCACACAUUAACUUACUUAUUCCCAAGUUAAUCCUAGUUUUACAUUCGUUAAUCCUAGACUUCUAAUCUCGAUGGUCAUCAAAAUCAUAAGCGACAAGCAAUCAAGCAGAUGUUCAUACAACUCAAUUUACUUAAUAAUUAACAGCAAAUAAUUAUCAUUAAUACGUAAGGAUCUUUUAACAAGCUUGGCAAGAUAAAUUAAACAUAAACAAACAAUUCAAUAUAGCAAUUAGUCUAAUAAUCAAGGUUUCAUUCAAUCAUAAACGCAAAGUAAAAGGUUUUUACACCCAAAUCAGAAACUAAAUACAGAAUAGUAACACAAUGGAAUGCUAAACAUGGUCACGUUAACAACCCAUAUGAUUACCGACAUGUAUCCGCUCUCCAACCCUUCCGAUCUUCGCUCCCGUUAGCUUAACGGCCUUCCGACCACCUUCUAGACCCUCAAAACGGCUUAAAAGAAGUUUAAUAUCGACUAAAUUAGGUUGGAAGUCGAAUCCCCCCUUCUGGUUAGCUGAUAAUCGACUUUUAUAACCUUUGUAACUGACUUACGUAUGCUGGGCGUAAGUCGGAUUACGCUGGGCGUACUAAGGAUUUAUACGCGAUUGGAGUUAUCCGAUGCCAGCCAUUACGCGGGGCGUACACAAGAAUUACGCUGGGCGUAACUCGUCUUAGCCAUUACGCUUGGCGUACAAGUAAAUUACGUGGGGCAUAAUCGUUCCUCCAACAUUUUCCUUUCUUUUAGCCUCUAAGCCCGAUUUCUGCUUCAGUCUUUUCUUUUGUGCUUUAUCGACAACGAAUAGCUGCAAAUCAUAAUUUAAAGCAUUGUGAGUACUUUUUCGUUCUAAAAGAGAAUAAUAAAGGCCAAAAUAUUAAGAUAUAAUGCAUAAAAAUAUAUAUAAAAAUACACAUAUCAAUUAUGUAUUAUCAAUAUUAAUUUUUCUUCAAAAUAAGUUGAAUAUAUCAAGAUAAAAAGUAUAUUCAAACUAAGAAAAUAAACCAGAAACACACAUACAAUAUUUUUGAACAACAAAAGCAUAAAAGUACAUACAAAAAAUAUAAAGACAAAGAAUUUACCAUUAUGUCCCUAGAGUACUAAUAAUGAGAAGAACAAAGAGAAACUGAAAUAUAAAUUUAUAUAGUUGCACUCAUGAAUGACUAAAAUAACACGAAAUGUAUUAAUUGUCAAUGUGGUUGAGCGCAAAUUACCAUUAUGUCCCUGGAGUACUAAUAAUAAAAACAAAAAUUAUAAAAUCCUUAAAAUAGUUCUAUAGAUGGUAUACUGGUAAUUAAAACAAUCAGUUUUUCCACAUGCCUCUUAAAAAAUCAUUUACAACCAUAAAUAAGUUUACCAAUAUACCCGUAACACAUUAAUUUUGUAUAUGUAAUAUGUAAGAUAUGAGAUAUAUGUGGCGAGGGCAUUUUCGUCCUUUAAACAUACUUAUAACAAUUAACAAACCUCAUGAUACAUUAUAACAGUGGAUAAUGGAUCGACAUACAUAUAUACUUUUCCUUUUAAUGAAGAGGCGUGAAAUAUGCAAUUGACAGAAAUGCCCCUUCUACAAGACACACCUAUUUAAAUUGCAUAAAACCACACCGCUUAACCUAUUUAUUCAUAUUUGAUGUUAGAGUUCUAUAAUUACCAAGGUGUUUUUAUCUUUUACUUAAUAGAAAUAUGUCUCGAUCAAGUAAGUUCAGGUAUAUGUUUUUUUUAUCUAAUGCAAAUAUAAUGACAUAAUAAGUAAAAUAAGAGAAAAACUACAAAAUAUUGGGUAAAAUUAAAAAACGAGCCACACCCUUUAAACAAACCAUCAUUGGGUUAUCAAAAUCAGUAACAUGAAUGUAGUCACUAUAAAUUAUAUGCAAAUAGGUAUACAUGAGAAAUAGCUAAAAUGAAAAAUGAUAACUACCUCCACCUUAUAGUUUAUAAAAAAUAAGGCAAACACCUUAACUACAUGCAUAGAUACUCUACUCCCAAUACUAAAGAAAUUAGUCUACAAAUGGCUUUAGUUAAUAUGUUUUUGGUUUAAACCGGUUCAGAUCAAUGACAAAAAAAUAUAAUUAUAGUAAAACAUGACAGAAAUGCCCCUUAAUUCAAAAUGGGACCAAUCAAUCAAGUAAUACAAAAUACAAUCACGUAAUACCUAAGCAGAGAAAAUAUAACACAAAAAACAGAAAAAAAAUUUAUUUCUAUAAAACAUGACAGAAAUACCCCCGAACUAAAAAAAUAAAAAUAAUCAAAAUUACAUUUCUAUUCGUAUGAGUUUGACGGUACUUUUAGGUUUCUUUGUGUAAUCCGUCAAUGAAUCUGGCCUAUGAGUUUGACGGUACUUUUAGGUUUCUUUGUGUAAUCCGUCAAUGAAUCUGGCCUAUAAACAUGACCUGAACCAAUUUUUUUACUUGGUGAACCAAUUUAAUAGAAAAAAAAAUUUGUUCUAAUUACCAUUCUACCAUUUGUAACUUGGGAAUGAUUAAUUAACAUACAAAGGUGAAUUUUCUCUACCUGCUGCCUUACGUUCAAAAUGACAAAAUUGUAUUGGUAAACAUGAACCAAAAUGGACAAAGGUUUCAAUUUUGGACAAACACAGUAAAAAUAUGAACCAAAACAAUAAACAUUGAUAUAAUUUUGCGAUGGUAUUAUCUCCAAAAGAAUAAAAAAUUUCAAUUUUGCGAUGAUAUAGUUUCAAUUUUGCGAAGAAGCAACGUAAGCAGUAAACCAGAUUGCGGUGAGAGAGAGAGAGAGAGGGCCUGCCGCCUGCGAUUGGUAAUUUGUGAUGGUAUCUCUCGACCGAGAAAGGGGAGCGAUUGAUGAACAGAACCAUAUUAAGAGGAAUUAUGAUUGUCAAAUAAGUUUUUGAUCGUUCUUUUGAUCGUUGUUAUUUAGGACAAUAUCUCAUAGUGAAAUACGAAUAAGGUAUCAGUUAAAGUGUCACACACACGCAUACACAUUAAGAAGCAUAAAUAACUUUCAAUUUUGCGAUUAACACAGACAUUGAGAAGCAGGGGCUUACAUAUACACAAUGAGAAGCAGAAUUGAGAAGCAGAAACUUACCGAAGGAUUGAAGUCGUUGACACAGACUCCAAUAACUGAAGUGUCGAUGAUGCUUGAUUGUUGGAAGACAAUGCUGUAAAGAACCUUGGAAACACGAUGCUAUAAAUAAAUUAAGAAGCAGAAUUGAGAAGAAGAAACUGAAAUCGAGAUUGAAGUCUAAGAUUGAAUAUCCGAUAAAUAAUUAGUCCAUGAUUCAGAAACUUGAAAACAUAAUGCUGUAAAGAAAUAUUGAUUAUCAUAUUUUUGAAAUAUAUAUUGACAAUAAUAUGAUCAAAUCGACAUAAUAAUCAAAAUUAAAUGUAAUCGAUGUGAUUGAUAUGGAUACCAUAAUAACAUGCUCUUAAUCGGGUAAGAAAUGAUUUUGAGUUAAUGUGUACAACUGGUAGCAAAGAUAAAAAUCGGUAAUUAAAAUAGGGAGUUAUAUGGAUUCCAUAUUGGAUUCAAUAUUCAAUUUCAAAUUUCCAUAUUCCACAUCGAUUACUACGUGAAACAAUAAAAUAACAAAAACGGUAUUUUACAUUUGUAGAAUACUAAUUAAUUGCAGAAUACUGAUUUUUUGAAGUUUAUAAUUUCACUAUAAAAAACUGUAAUAACAUAACCAUUUUUAUUUUUCUGAUUUAUUUGAAGUAAUUUAGACUUAUAAUACCUGAAAUAGUGGUAUGUGUUUUAGAGUUUUGUACAAGAGCAUUGUGUUUUUUAAAAGUAUUUACAUAUCUACGGUACUUUUAAAUUUAUUUACUAAAAGAUUGUAAAAUUUUAAAAUUCAUGUGGACCUAUCCCUUUUAUACCAAAAAUAUAAGAAAUUAAUUAUGCGCCUCCCCACCGCUCAUUUUUCUCGCAUUUGUCGCUGGAAAAUGAUGGCCAACAAGAUAAUUUCAAAACAUUAUAAAAAGAUUUCUCUUUCGCUUGUUUGCUCGCUAGAAAAUGAAAACAAACAUAAACGGUCAUAAAUAAAAACAACCAAACACGAAUUAAAUAUAUUGACAGAUUUAGAUUCUUCCGGCUGCGAACUUGGUUUGCUCAUUGGAAUAUGAAUACAACCAAACAAUUUGGAAAUCGAAAAGGAAAUUGUUGGAAAUGCACCACGUUCAUAGAUCUUGUGCCAAAACAUUUCUCGUAUAUAUUUGUUUCAAACAUUGGUCGUUCAAUCAAUGUCAUAUAACUUGGAAAUUUGGAGGGGGGAGGGGUUGUUUAACAGAUGAUACCGAGGGUUAUGAAUGGGUUAGUCGGUGGCAAGGCGGAUGUAGAGGUUCAUCCGCAGUGUGGUUUGGGGAGAAUUUCAGCAGUGUUUUGGAGUUGACGAUGUCGGACGGUGAUCGUGUCAUAGGUGUAAACACUGCACAACACAACAUGUAGACUAGGUAUUACUGGCAAUGCUUGUUAUGAAAAAAAUAAAAAACCAGUAGACUUCAAUCGUUGAAGCAGGGAAAAUGUGGUUGUGGUAGGUUCAAUGGAUGUAUGCGCACUCAUGCACAGUAGGGGUUUGCAGCGGUGCUAAGGGUUGCCAAAUGGUUUUGCAAGUAAUGUGAGCAUCAAAAGACAAUUAACAUGAUUUCAUUUAUUUUAUUUAAGUACAAUUAAAUGGGAAAUAAUUUUAAAAGUACUAUAUUAUAGUAAAUAUUUUUCUUAACCGCUACCUUUUAGUAAAAAACUAUGUGUUUUAAACAGGUAUAACUGUAUAAAAAACCUAAGAGUUUGCAGAGGUUCAUGGGAUUACAUCUUAGUGGUAUGUGCUUUAAGGGUAAACACAUUUUUCUUCUUUUAGGCUAGAUUUAUUACAUCACAAGGAAUCCCGUGGCGAGGGCAUUUUCGUCCUUAGGAUAUAUAAAUUUUGUUUCCGGUACUGUUUUGUACUUUGUAGUGCUUAAGAAACGGGAAGAUAUGAUUAAGUUGUGAAUGAUCUGGAUCCAUAUCAAUGAUCCGGUACUAUUCUACCCUUUGUAAGAGAAAAACACAUAAAGUCACAAACUAUAUACCCCUGUUGUGAAAAUUACCAAUAUGUCACUAUAAAAAAAUGAGCAUUAUUUUGAACAGGUUGUUCUAAUUACCAUUCUACCCUUUGUAACUAGAGAAUGAUUAGUUAAUAUGUCAUGCAUUGUUUCCUCCUGUUGCGUGUUCAAUAUUAUAACAAUCAAUAAACAAUUUUAAUGGAAUUUAAAUGAUUGAAAUUGUAGAGAUGAACAAAAGAAUUGACAAAGGGCAAAAUUGACAUCUAAUGCAUUGUUUCUUCCUGUUGCGUGUUCAAUAUCAUGACAAAUCUCAUUUGACAGCUUCAUUACAAUUUUUGUUUCAUACAUUACCUCAAAUAAUAUACAAGCACAUUCCCAAGAAUGCAUUCACCGAUAUACCAUUUUAUUGUGAAAAUUACCAAUAUGUCCAUGUACAAAAAAUGAGUAUUAUUUUCAACAGGAUUUUAUUGAAUUUAUUCAUAUUUGAGACAUCUUUUUUAUAGAGCAAAUAUACUUAUAACACGAAAAUGAAAAGUAGAAUGGUAUAUUUUUUAAUUUUUUUGAAUUUUAUUGCAAAUAUAUUGGUAAAAAAAAUCUUUAAAAACAUAAUGGUUUCCUUCUUUUACACUAUCAAUAGACACACAUAUAUUAAAAGAAGAUUAAUCUAAUUACAGGCAUAACCCAAAAAGCAGUUUUUUACUUAAGAUAGAGAUUAGCAGCGUAAAGAAACCAAGAACUAUCAAUGUUUGAAUACUGAACACCACGAAGAGCAAAACUGUCAAACAAAAUCCCCAAAAAAAAUAAUUCAAGAAUAUUGUUGGUGCAUAAAAAGGACAAUCUAAAAUUACUUUUCAAGCUUUGGUAUUAAUAGACCUGUGUUUCCAUCCACCCUGGAAUUCAAGCGAGGUAUUUUUGUCGACGAAUUCACAUUAUCAUACUCAUCAAUAUCAAUGCUAUCUCCAACGUUUCGCUUUUUUACCAUUGUGGGCGAAUUAAACUUGAACGGACUUGUAGCUUCUAUUUGUCAUGCAUGGAAGGGGUCAAAUUAUCACUGGUUUGUUAUAUCGCGUCCUUAAAGCAAAAACCCGAAACAGCGUUAGUACGAUAAUAUUAACAAAUUAACAAAAAAAUAAUUUAUAAAAGGAAUUUAUAUAAAAUUAAAAAAUGUGGAUUUAUAUUAUAACCUUUAAUGACUUUGUUUCAUGAGAUGCUUCGUGAGAUGCGAUUUUGUAUCGUCAGCAUUUGUAGAAUUACCUCCCUGCUUCAAAAGUUUAAAUAUGUAUUAUCAUUUGUGGGAUUAAAUUUUUGUUCCAUCAAGAUUUACAAUUAAUUAGUGACGAUCAUUAAAUAAAAGUAUGCAUCAUAAUAAUUAAUUAAUUUUCAAAAAACAUAAAAAUAUAUGUAUAUAAAUACCUCAACAGCUAACUUUUUUUCCAAAACAUUGAUAAUGUUACUAUCAAGCGUAUAGCCAAGUAUCCCAAAACGAUUGUAGUUAUUGGAUACGUUAAAACUAUUAACAUCUAACACGAAUGCCAUCUUUUUAUGCACCAGACAGUUGAGGUCAUAAGGAUACAAUCUCGGAUCAUCACCAGCCUGGAAAGAAUGAGUUAUGUAAUAUUAUUAUGGUUAAAAGCACAUUAAUAUAGAUAAAAUCAAAUAGAUAAUAGAAUUUAAUAAAACAAAUAAUAUAUUUAUAGUAUGUCUGUUUGAUUUUCUCUAUGGGUUCACUUGCACGUUUUUUGACGAGUUUAUAAGCAUCUCUAUCAAACAUAGUGAGUGUGAUUGUUCCAGAUUCAUCUUGGACACGAAUAGGUAUUUUAUACCUACAAAAAAGUACGACAUAAAUAUCAUAUUAAAUAUUAAAUAUGUUUAAUGUGUAAUGUUUGUUAAUGUAUUUAAUUUGUGGGUGAACUAUUGUUAAAUUUUAAAAACCUUGGAACUGAAGAUAUCUCCUUUUUUUACACUUAGAAUUAUAACAUUCAACAACCACACUUGCAUCACCACUAUCUGGACCGCUGAAAACGUUUCUUGGUUCAACCUUCCUUCCACAUUUUGAACACGCAUCAUAAUACCAAUCAAUAUCUUGUCGGAUACCAUAAAUGGUACCAACAAUGAUAUAUUUCCCGACCUUAAAAAAUAUAAAAUACAAAAAGAAUCAUAAAAAAAAAUACAAUUAUAAUAUUAUAAUAAACGAAUAAUAGAUAACAAAAUCACAUUAAAAAAAACUAAAUUAUUCACAUACCUCUUGUGGUUCUAGCAAAUCGACAACAUUUUUAACGUUGUGAUUUGUCAAAAAGUCAUCAUAUUCAUUGCAUGAUUGAGAGCUAUCAACGGUCAAAGAAGAAGAAGGAUUUUGAAUUCCUCGUAAUCCAACCAUGUUGUUUUUUUUAUUUGAUAGAUUAAUUAUGAAAUUAGUAAAAUUAUUAAAAAGAAACAAAAAAAACAAUGAAUUAUUAAAAUAGAUUGUUACCUAUCUGUGAAUGUAACAAUUUCGGGAAGAUCAACAUUUAUGAACAUCGGUGUGUGUUUAUAAUAACUGUUAAAAUAGUUAAAAUAAUGAGCAAUAUAAAAGCCUAAAAUAACAAAGGGGUCCUUUUAUAAGAAAUGUACCGUUAUAGACAUUAAGUCUUGCAAACUGCAAAAUAACAACCACACGACCAACUUCUUUAUGUGCUUCAAGAUAAGAAAUCAAUUGGUAUGCAAUAUCUCCAAACAAUGUGACGUUAACCUGCAAACCUCUGCAAAAACAGUACGGGUUAAAUGAUAAUAUAAUAAUAAAAUUACAUAUGGCAGUUGUAACCUAAUCAAUUUAAUAUAUAAUAAUAAUAAUAAUAAUAAUAAUAAUAAUAAUAAUAAUAAUAAUAUAAGAUAUAAUAUAAGAAAAGUUAUGAUUUGUAAAGUUAGCCGAUGUUUGGAUUUGCUGACAUCACGGGAAUCAAGCUUUCCUAACGAAACAACUUCACCAAUAACAUCUACAAAAUGAUAAUACAAUAUGUCAAAAUGAUGUAAAAUUAAAGAAUUAAAUAUAAGAUGCAAUUAAAUAGGGGAAACAUUUACCAAUUGAGUUAUUAGAUGUAGCUGUUGCAGAAAUAAUGCUUUCAAACGAUACACAACAAAAGUCAUAUGUUGUUUUGGACUAAAAAGUUAGACAAUCAUUAACAGUUUUUCGUCCAUGCAAGUUUAACUUGGAGAGUACAUCACUUAUUUUAAAAAUGUAUCUGUUUGGAGCUAUAGUGGGGGAUCGGAUGUAAAUUGCUUUAUCUUCUUUCAGUUUUAAAAGUGUAUCUCUUGGGUAGACACUUGCUCGGAUUUUUGUACCCUAUUCACAUAUCGUAAGAAUAUUAUAUAUAUUGCGAAACAAUUGUAUAUUAAUUUAUAUAAAUUGGUCAACAUUGAAUCAAUUAUUUGACCAUGAAUGAUUUUAAAUAAUAUUAUUGGAAUGAGCAAAUAAACAAAAAAAAAUAAUUUUGAAUAAUGUAAUUAGAAUAGGAUAUUUUACCAUCUCAUCCAUUAAUAUCAUUUCAAGUGCUUUGACAAUACUAGGGUUAACUUUGGAUAAUGAUCUCCACAGCCGGAUAAUACACACUUUUAGUGUUUAAUCAUCCCUCAUGUUGUCUAAGUCUUUGAUCAAAGUGACAUUUCUAUCUGCCAUUGUCACUAUAAUAGAAAGACAUAACAUAUUAAGAAAAAAUAAUGGAACAAAAUUACACAAAAAAUAUAAAGACAAACAUAAUUACAAUUAUGUCCCUGGAGUAGUAGGCGGAUAAAAAGAUUCUGAAUAAUACAAUAAAUUAUUAUAAAACAUUCAAACAUAUUCAAACAAACUAUAUACCGCUGCUGUGAAAAUUACCAAUAUGUCCCUGGAGUUGUAGGCGGAUAAAAAGAUGAAAAACAAACAGGGCAUUUUCGUCCAUUGAACUUACUUAUAACAUGAAAAAUAAAAGUACAAUGCCAUUAUAUGUAAUAUUUUCGAAUUUUGUUGCACAUAUAAUUUUUUUUUUUGUACUGUACUGUUGGAAUACAUUUUUCUUUCCUUCUGUUAUUUUACUUUGUAACUAUUGGAACUAAUGUUUAUUAUGUUAUAUAAAGAUAAGCAUUGAUGGAAAGGAUACUAUUAGGGAGGAUGAUGUUGAUGAAUUGACUUCCAAUUCCAUAGUUACAGAUUAUGAAAUAUCAAGCAUAUCAGGUUCAGAACUAAAAUAGAACAAAAUUACACAGAAAGACAUAACAUAUUAAGAAAAAAUAAUGGAACAAAAUUACACAGAACAUAUAAAGACAAACAUAAUUACAAUUAUGUCCCUGUAGUAGUAGGUGGAUAAAAAGAUUCUGAAUAAUGCAAUAAAGUAUUAUAAAACAUUCAAACAUAUUCAAAUAAACUAUAUACCCCUGAUGUAAAAAUUACCAAUAUGUCCCUGGAGUAGUAGGCAGAUAAAAAGAUGAAAAACAAACAGGGACAACCUCAGUGAUUCAAGCAUAUCAGGUUCAGAAAAAACAAAAAACAGAGAAUUAGAUAAAAAGAUGAAAAUACAUUCUCCAUAUUUUACAGAUUUACAGAUUAUGAUAUAUCAAGCAUAUCAGGUUCAGAAAAACAAAAAACAUAGAAUUUGACAGCCUCAGUGAUAAAAUCGGUAAUUAUAAGUAAAACAAUAACAUACAACGUUAAUGUGGCCUAAGUCCUAAUUCAUAUAAAUCUGAUUAUUUACCAAUCGCAGGCGUACCUUCAAUAGUUCAAUGGGAUAGACUCGAAGAAGCAACGUAAGCAGUAAAGCAGAUUGCGAUGGGGGUAGAGAGAGAGAGAGAGGGCAUGCCGCCUGCGAUUGGUAAUUUGCGAUGGUAUCUCUCGACUAAGAAAGGGGAGCGAUAGAUGAACAGAACCAUAUUCAGACGAAUUAUGAUUGUCAAAUAAGUUUUUGAUCGUUCUUUUGCAAUUAACACAGACAUUGAGAAGCAGGGGAUUACAUAUACACAAUGAGAAGCAGAAUUGAGAAGAAGAAACUUACCGAAUGAUUGAAGCCGCUGAUUGAAUAUCUAAUAACUGAAGUAUGGAUGAUGCUUGAUUGUUGGAAGAUGAUGCUGUAAAGAAUGAUUCAUAUUUGUAUGCUUCAAGUAUAUAUUGAACAUAAUAAGAUCAAAUCGACCUAAUAAUCAAAUUUAAAUGUAAUUGAUAUGAUUGAUAUUGAUACAAUAAAAAGAUGCUCUUAAUCGGGCAUAUAACGAAAUUGAUUCAAUAUUCCAUUCGAUUUCCAUCCAUAUUCCAAAUUCCACAUUCAAAUUGCCAUAUUUCCAUAUCUAAUUUCCGUAUGUAAUGCUACGUGAAACCAAGCAGGGGUAAAAAUGGGAUUUAACAUUGGCAAGAAAGUGAAUUUUUGUUAGGACACGUUUCAAACAGGUUUUGUUUAUUAGAUAGGGAGAUGUUAUGAAUCUUGGUUAUGAUAAUACGAAUAUUGUAUGCUUGUACUUGAUUUACGAUCGAUUAUGUGGGGUUAUGCAUAGAGGGCAAGGGUAGGACCUAACACUUAGCAUGAAACCCUAUCCAGAUACAUUCGAGCCUCGUUAGUUGAGAAAUACCUUCUAGGAAAAGAGAUUAAUCCAUUUACGAGUUGAUCGGUCUUUCUAGAUGCCCGUGCGACACAUUGUACGCGUACACUUCGGUGUUUGCGGAUUGGAGUGAUGUUGGCCAUUCGAACGAGGCUUGUACAGACAUCACGUAGGUGUUGGGAGGUGGCGGACGAAUGCCACUGCUUGUACCAACACCAGAACGGCACCGCGAUGUACUUGUACAUUACAUAGUCGGAGUAGUGAAAGUGGAGUCUUGGGGUCGGUGUGGCAGGGGGGGGUCACGAACCACCUAAAGCACUUGGUUGUCCAGACACACAAGUAGCGAACGGGUUUUCCUUUUGGGUUAGGUAUUACUACGAGACUACCUAUGCCUAUACGAUUAUGAUACAUUUUUUUUUAUAUGAUGAUAUACGAUUACGAUAUGAUUAUGCAUGAAAUACAAUUGAUGUUACAUAAAUGAAUGAUAUGUGAAUGGAUGAUACAAAGUUGAAUGAUUGAAUUUUAUGUGAAAUAUGAUUGAUUAUUGAUUGGUAUGUGAAUUUUGUUUAUAUGAUUAAAAUAUGAAUGAUUGACCCGUUAAGGGAUGGUAUGUUUUCCCUUUGAUUGUGUACAAACUCUUAUUGGCUCACGAAGCAUUUGUUGACACUUGUUUCUUUGCUUUGUGCCUUUAUGAUUGGUACAGGUAGCUUAAGAGCUUCGCUUGGUGAGAUGGGGUCAUUUUUUGGUAGUUUAUCCUUAGAAUAAAGAUGCCACUUGGAAACGUUAUUUAUUUUUUGAUACUUAUGCUUCCACUACAAUUAAAUACUUUUGAUAUUUUGGUUUUAAAUUGAACGUAACUUGGUGGUUUGAAAUGUUUUUAAAAUAAAUAAUGUGUACACUCUUCCGUUGCAUUUUCCGUUAAAAGAUUUUAAAAAUAAAUGAAAUUUUUUCGCGAAAAAUCAUGACUUUACAAUUAAAUCCUUAAUAGAUUAAGUCCUUAACAGGUUAAGUAGGAACACUUAACCCUAAUCGUCAUUUUAUGUGAAAAACCCUAAUUGGGUUUGGGUUCUUAUUAGGUCACUUAUUGGACUGAGUUGUUGUGGGCCUUUGUGGGCCAAUUGGGAACAUAUUUAUGGACUAAGGAAAUUAUUGGUCUUUAGGAUAAGGCCCGUUGGAAAGGCUUGGGCCCAAUUUGGAAAAUUGGGCCAUAAUUAGGCCUUGAUGAUUAUGAGACUGGAUUAAAUGGUUGGGCCUUAAGAUAAGCCCAUGUAGAGGUUUGGGUCCAAUUUGGAAAAUUAGGCCAUAUGUUGGGCUUUGGUCCAUAGUUUGACUUUUGGGCUUUUGGAUUGGGCCUUGGAGUUGAAUAAAGCUAAGUCAGGGGUAAAAUAGUCUUUUACCCUAACCAUGGAAUUAUGGUUAUGUAUUGGAACCCAAUUAUUAAUUGGGUGUCGUUUUGAUGUUGAUAGUUUAGGAACCUAUCAACCAGCAGCUAAGAUUUUACCCGUGGAACUUGAGCAAUGCGAAGUGAGUCUCCUCACCAUACCAACGGGUCGAAGGCACCAAUGUCAGCCCAUUUUAUGUUAUGUGAUACACUAGCUAAAGUUGUAUUAUGUGGCAUGUUAGCUGGUUAUGUCAUAGGAAGUAUGCUAGUGGUAUAUGUGGUAUGCUUGUAUGGAAGACCAUGGGAGAGCCCAUGGCACCUGGAUGUAAGACCAUGUGGAGAGCCUAUGGCUUUCUUACUAUGUUUUAGUGUUAAUGUAGAUUCACUAUUGAUAUGUUUGGUAUGCACGUAUAUGUGGUAUGCUAGUGAUUAAGUGAUAUACUAGCUGACUAUGUGGUAUGUGGUAUGCUAGUUGUCUUUGUGAUACUUGCAUGAAAGCCCAUGGGAGAGCCCAUGGCACCUGGAUGUAAGACCAUGCGGAGAGCCCAUAACUUUCUUACUAAAGACCAUGGGAGAGCCCAUGGUAACCAGAUGUAAGACCAUGUGGAGAGCCCAUGGCUUUCCUAUUAAAGACCAUGGGAGAGCCCGUGGCAUUUAGGUGUAAGACCAUGUGGGGAGCCCAUGACAUCCUGGAGUAAGACCCUGGGGACGAGCCCACGACAUCCUUAUAUGUUUAUAUUCAUGGCUUAUAUGAUUGAUAUGACUUAUGUGGAUAUGUAGCUAAUAUAACUAAUAAAUAUUAUGAGAUUAUGUGGAUUGUAUGAGGUAUGCUCUGGGGAAUUCACUAAGCUUCGUGCUUACAGUUUUGUUUAUGGUUUCAGAUAUUUAACUUUAGGAAAGGAAGGGCUCAGCUUGACCGCAGCGUACACACCCAUGCUUUCCACAAUGAAUGAAAUGUUUUAAUUAACAAUGUUUUGGAAUGAUUGGAAUAAAUGAUAUCUAUGUUUGGGUUAUAUUAAAAAUGAAAUUGUUACCCCUGAUUUUUGGGUUGUUACAAUGAUAUUCAAUUAAAACACAGGUCUUUUGGCCUAGCACUAUCAUAUGUUGGAAAAGUGACCCUUCCUAAUGUUAGAAAAACGGGUUAUUUUGAUUGCUUGGAUACCAUUGAAAGUCAUGAUACACUUUCAAAUUGAAUUAUUUUGAUGGUACAAUCAAAAUAUCAAUUGGAUAAAAUUCAGUGACAAACAGAGAAUGAAAAUGUUAUGAUUCUUGUGUGUACCAGAUUUAAAUAACCAAAAAGGGAUAUAACUCCUUAUCUGAAAACUAUCAUAUUGACAUUUACAAACUGCCACAAAACCGUCACUAAAUUGACUUAGUCAGCUUGACAAACAAGAACCACAUAUUUAACAUACAAAGCAAAGAGAAAAAGUUUCCUAAUACUUGUAAAAAUCAAAUGAUGUAAAAAAAUUAGAUGUCACAAAAUCUAGUAUUAACAUAGAUUUAAUAAAACUGAUAGAUUACUUGUUUAUAUAUCGUAAAAAUUUAUUCCCAAGGUCAUCCUUAACUCACUAAUAAAUUUUGGGAGUAACGAUAUAACAAUAUCUAUUCGGUACUCCUUUGAUAAAAUUUUGAAUUUUGUGUGGUCAAUAAGUCGUAUUUUUGGAUUGCUAAUAGGAGUAGAAAAGCUAAAAUCAUUUGGGUCUAUGAGCUUCGUAAUCCUAUUUUAGCUUGCACUCUUAUGUAAUGCUAUUUUUCCUUGCUUCCUGCUAGUUUUUAUAAAAUUUUUUGCUGUUCCAAAAAAAAAAAAAAAAAAAAACUCCUCUAAUAUAUUGGUCGGUCGACUUUGAGAUACAAUUAAGAAGGUUCUCUAGCCACAUCACACAUCAUCCUCCCCCAAUGACCACCACACAAUAAUAUCGAUUUGGUAUAGACCAACAACUCUCUAUUUCCCCAUCUCCCUUAAAUCAAUCUUCACUUCCUUACUUUUCAGUUUGUUUUUUAAUAUUCAUACAUAGAAACUCAUGUUGGAGCAGUUAACACACAUAAAUGUCCUUAAUAUUGGAAUCCCUCACCAACAAAGUAGCAUCGUUAAGUAACUAAUAAGUUAGAGACCAUACGUACAAAUUAGCCCAAACCAUAGGGACCAUUCGUGUAAUUUACUCUUCCUCUUAAUAUACAUAUUUUUUAUUAGAGACAGACCGCUGUCAUCCUCAAUAUAAUACAUGUGUCCCCAAGUCCAUUUUGCAAUUCUUUUUGGAUUUGGCAAACUUGUAUAUACAAUUUCCUCUCUUUACUUUUCAUAUGUCAUAACCUUUGCUUUAGUUAUUGCUUUCUUCUUCCAAUUUCUUGUCACCUUGUAAAUAUUUCUUUGACCUCUCUUCUUUCCCAAUUGUCACUACUUAAUAGAAAUUCUUUAAAAGGAGUUUCUUUAUUUUGACCUUGAACCUUCUUGCUCCACCAUUCCGAUUAUUAGCUUAGCCUUUCAUCCUUGACGGAUAUGGCCUCCUGCUACAAUUACCAUGUAACAGAGCCGGCCCAAAGCAAGUUCAUCCAGUGCCUUUGAACAUGGCCCAAAAAAUCAGAGGGCCCAUUUUUUUUCAUUCUUUAAUAGGGUAUGUUCAUUUGGCCCAAAAAAUUUAGGUUAUAUCCAUCUAUAUACUCAGUUAACGAAUGCAGGAAGCAGGCAAGAGGGAGCAGGAACUCAAUUUUCGGGAAAAAGAGAACUCUUCGGUUUCUUCAUUGGUAACGCACGCAUGGAUAAUAGGAAUCAUCAUUGCUGGAACGGUAACAUCAAUUUACAUUCAUUUAUCAUUCAUUCUAUUCCAUCAAUUUACCUUCACUUCUUAUUUCUUCCUUCUUUAUCUUCUUCUUCACUGAUCAGUUUUUACAAAGAUUACCAACAAUUUUAGAAGAUUCAAAAGAAGAAAUUCAAAGCCAUCAAAUUUCGAAAUCAGAAGGUUCAAUAUCAGAAUUCAGAACAAUCAAAAUUCGAAAUAAGAAGCUUCAAAAUCUUACAGUCUUACAGUCUUACAGUUUGAGUUUCGAAAUCAAAGGUAUAAUACUAAAAUUAAACUUUAGUUUAUUGUUUCAUGGGUUUGUUUUUUCUAAUUGAGUAAUUUGAUAAUUUCAGAUUUCUUAUCGGUUCUUCUUUUUUCAUUUUCUUUAAUUCCAAAUUACUAAAUCAGGAUGAACAAUCAACAGUGAUAUCAGUUUUCAAAAAUUUGAACUUAGAAGGAACAAGGAAUUGAGGUAAAUUCUAAUUCAGAUUUCUACUUUUUAUGUUUUUUUGUUUAUGAUAAUUUCGAAUUUGUAAGAACUAAGAAGUAAUUAUGAAUUUAUGAUCUCAUCAUUUCAGAUUGCAAAUUUUCUGAUUUCCUUAGAAUCAUAUUCUUGUUUUUUUGAUUUGAAGUGUCGAUGAUAAUAAGGUAAUUUUUGGAUUUCUUAUAUGAUAUCAUUGCAGAUUUUGUGAUUUCUUUAGAAGCAUAUUCUGAUUUUUUUUCUUUGCAGUUUUGUUACAUUCUUUUGGUGAUUUGAAGUGUGGAAAAUCUGAACCAAGAAGGAAUCUAUAAAUUGGAAGUCAUAAAUAAGGUCGUUUCUUUCUUUUCUAUAACUUAUUAUGCCUCCUAAAAUAAAAAAAUAUGCAUCUGGAUAUGAAAAACGUAAGAAAAAACAAAAAAUUGAAGAAGAUAAUAAAACUCAAGCAGGAUCUAUGGAUAAGUUUAUAACAAAAAAAACACAAAACUUUACGAAAAAUGAAACACAAAAUGUUAAUGAAGCUAAUCUUGAUAAAAUGAUAAUGUUGAUGUUGAUGUUGAUGUUGAUGUUAAUGAUAAUGUUGAUGUUGAUGUUAAUGCUAAUGUUAAUGUUAAUGUUAGUGAUAAAGUUGAUUUUAAUGAUAAUCCUAAUGUUGUUGUUGAUGAUAAUGUUGAUUUUCACACUUUUGAUAUAUUUGAUCCAAGAAAUCGGGAUGCUCUUGAUUCUAGUAUGAUAAAUAUUUUAGUGUUGAAAGGUCCUAAAAGAGAUUUGUCUCUUACAAAAGGUCCUAAAGAUAAAUAUUUAAGAAGAUUUUCUGCAACAUAUUAUACUAAAACUUUACCAAAUGGGGAAAAAUGUGAUAGAGAUUGGCUUGUUUAUUCUAAAGAAAUUGAUAAAAUUUUUUGUUUUUGUUGUAAAAUAUUUCGAAAAGGGUGUCGGAAGGGUCAAUUAGCAAAUGAGGGUUUUAGGGAUUGGAUACAUCUUAACACUAGAAUUAAAGAGUAUGAAACUAGUAUGAAACAUGUUAAAACUAUAAAUACUUGGUAUGAUUUGCGUUUAAGAUUACAAAAAAAUGAAACUAUUGAUAAUGCGGCUCAAAAACAAUUAGAAAAAGAAAAAGUUCAUUAGAGACAAGUUUUGUUGAGAAUUAUUUCUAUUGUGAAAUUUCUUGCUAAACAUAAUCUAGCUUUUCGUGGUACUAAUGAGAAAUUGUAUGAAGAUAACAAUGGAAAUUUUUUAGGCUUAUUUGAAAUGUUGGCUGAAUUUGACAUGGUUUCUUAUGACCAUAUACAACGUAUUACAAAUGAAAUUGGUAUCCAUAAACAUUAUCUUGGGCAUAGGAUACAAAAUGAAUUAAUACUUUUGCUUUCUUCAGAAAUAAAGUCUAUGAUUAUUAAAAAGAUAAAAAAUGCAAAAUAUUUUUCUAUAAUACUUGAUUGUACUCCUGAUAUAAGUUACCAAGAGCAAAUGACUAUUAUUUUAAGAUGUGUAGAUGUCUUGUCAAAUGUUGUUUGCAUUGAAGAGUCUUUUUUAGGGUUUUUAGAUGUAAAUGAUACAACCGGCCAAGGACUCUUUGAUGUUUUACAAAAUGAAUUGAAUUUGCUUGAUCUUGACAUUAAUAAUAUACGUGGCCAAGGUUAUGAUAAUGGAUCAAAUAUGAAAGGAAAACAUCAAGGAGUGCAAAAAAAGCUUUUAGAUAUAAAUUCAAGGGCUUUUUAUACUCCUUGUGGUUGUCAUAGUUUGAACUUAACUUUAUGUGAUAUGGCUAAUACUUGUGGUAAAGCUAAAGGUUUUUUUUGGAACAAUACAACGUAUCUAUACAAUUUUUGCAAAUCCCACUAAGAGAUGACAAAUUUUAAAAGAUAAUGUGAAAGGGGUAACUCCUAAAUCGUUGUCAUCCACUCGUUGGGAGAGUCGUGUUGAUAGUGUUAAAGCUAUAAGAUUUCAUAUACAAAAAGCUUUACUUCAAGUAGCCAAAAAUGAUAAUGAUCCAAAAAUAACAAGUGAAGCUAAAUCCUUAGCAAAAAAUGAACUUGACAACUUUGAGUUUAUAUUGGCAUUAGUAAUUUGGUAUGAAAUGUUAAACACUAUUAAUUUAAUUAGCAAACAAUUGCAAUCAAAAGAUAUGUUUAUUGAUGUUGCUAUGGAAAAAAUAAUGGGGUUAAUUUCGUAUUUUAAGGAAUAUAAAGAAAAUGGGUUUUUAAAUGCUUUACAAACCGCAAAAGAUAUUGCCUUAGAAAUGGGGAUCGAUCCAAUAUUUCCUAAAAAACGUGAACCUAAAAUAAAAAAACAUUUUGAUGAGAUUUCAAACGACACUUCUUAUAGUUUUUCACAAUCCGCCCAAGAGAAAUUUAGAGUUAAAUAUUUUAUUUAUAUUGUUGAUCAAGCAAUUAGUUCUUUAACUACAAGGUUUGAACUAUAUCAAUAAUAUGAUAAAAUAUUUGGCUUUUUAUUUAAUUCAGAAAAAUUGCUUUCAUUAGAUGAUAUAACAUUAAAGUCUUGUUGUAUGUCUCUUGAAACUUCACUCAAGAAAGAUGAGCAAUCGGAUAUUGAUGGAAAUGACUUAUAUGUUGAAUUAAAAUUACUUUUACAUCUCUUGCCUAAGGAAAAAUUGACAGCAAUUGAUAUUCUAAAUUUUUUAAAACGUGUUGAUUGUUUUCCUAUUACAUCUAUUACAUAUAAAAUUAUGUUGACUAUUCUUGUUACUGUUGCAUCUGCAGAACAGAGUUUUCCAAAAUUGAAGAUUCUGAAGUCCUACUUAAGAUUUACAAUGACUCAAGAACGACUUAAUGGAUUGGUUUUGAUGACGAUUGAGCGUAAUAUGUUGGAUAAAGUUACUUAUGAAGAUGCUAUUGAAAAAGUUUAUUUCAACGAAUAUUAGGAGGAUGACUGUUUUCAAGUAGAAGCUAAUUUUUUUUUGUAUUAUUUUGAAUGAAAUUUUAAUUUUAUGUAUUUGCAAUAGAAAAUUAAACUAUAAUUUUUUUUUUGCUUAAAUUUUGAGAUCUUUCAAAUUUUAGAGCCUAUUUUUUGUUAAAUCGCACAUGGUCUUCAAUAUCUCAGGGCCGGCCCUGCCAUGUAGACCGAGACCCCUACUUGUAACUAACCUUUUCGGUCCUAAUAGAUACACAUGUAAAAAACUAAUAACUACUAACUAACUAUUAAUUAUUUAAUAUAAAAUACAAAUAGAACAUCAAUGAUAAAUAUUAAAAGGGUGUUGCUAAAUUGACACCCCUUAGACACCCUAUAAACACUUUUAUUAAAAGUCAAUUUAUAAUAAACUAUUCACAAUUUACUUUUUCAAAAAACAAUGCAAAUUAACUAAUAAAAAAAUCUUAAAAAUCAAAUAAGGUUUCAACAUGAGAGAAAUUAUAUUGCAAUAAGUUUGUUGUCAGGUGAGGAAUACAAUGCAUAAAUGAUUUACAAAAUCGAAAGUUCCAGACACAAGUUAAAACUUAAAACCCUAAAAGACCACACAAAUUUCAAUCGUCGACAUACCCCACCACAAAGGCACAAACAAUCAAUGAAACAAGUGUAGAUGUAGAGGCCUUUUUCACCACAAUCACCCUUCAUCGGCCAUUUCGAAGGCCACGUGAAAUGUCACUAACGUGGCCCUCUAAAUAUCCACUACUUUGUCUUUAACCCCUCCCCCCUCCCUUAUAAAACACUCCAUCCUCCUCCUUAAUCACCAUCACCAACAACCUUCUCUCCUCCCUCAAAAGUACCACCAUCUUUUCCGACAUGGCUACUUCUUCAAUCUUCAUGGCAACUCCCAUCACACUCCUCAAGAAAACUCCCACCUUCUCCGUCAAAUGUAUGUCACAAACACCUCAAAGCGGUGAACCGGAGGUUUCAAAACCAGCAACCACCCCAACACUACCACAGAUCAACAUUCCUCCUCCUCCGCCACCUGCUCCAAAGGUCAGCACGAAGUUCUCUGACGUGUUGGCGUUUAGUGGACCUGCACCGGAGAGGAUCAACGGAAGGUUAGCCAUGAUAGGGUUUGUGUCGGCGAUGGCUGUGGAACUGAGCAGCGGUCAAGACGUGUUCACCCAGAUCGGCAACGGCGGUGUUGCGGUGUUUGUCGGGACAAGUGUGGUGUUGACGUUGGCGUCGUUGGUGCCGUUGUUUAAAGGAGUGAGCGUGCAGUCGAAGUCGAGUGGACUGAUGACAUCAGAUGCAGAGCUUUGGAAUGGGCGGGUUGCGAUGUUGGGUCUGGUGGCUUUGGCUUUUACUGAAUAUGUUAAAGGCAGUGCCCUUGUCUAGAUAAUGUAGCAUAAACUUUUCUAUUACAGAAUUACAUCUAAGAUAGGCAAAUGUAUAUUCUUUUGAAUAUUUAUGUGUAUCGAUUUACCAUACAUAGUUCAAAUCAUGAAAAUCAUGUUUUUUUGAUAAUAUAGUAUAAAACAAAUAUGAUCAAUCAAAUCGAACGAUUGUGGUAUCUUUCAAUAUAAAAUUCUUUUUACAAAAAUAAACAAACAACAUACUAAGAUAAUUUUUUGAGGAAUGAACCUAGAUUAGCAAUAUAAGAGUCAAAGUCUACAAAGAUAUUGACAUCCUAGUUUCACAACUUCCUCUUUGAAUGUUGAAGGUGAUCAUUAAUUCAGACUGAAUAUGUGGCUAAGUCCAGCCUAGUCAAUUAGCCAAUUUAAGUUGACAAGUAUCCAAAAUUCAAAUAAACUACAUGGCUCAAUUUCAAAGAAAACUGAAAAAUGACUAAUGCUCACAAAAUGAUCACCGAAUCAAUUUAGGCUAUGAGGAGUGGUCACAUUCAAACCACCGGAAAAACGCUGCAAAGUCAGUGAUAUGUCAACUCCAUCACCUUCUAAACAUUGGAAACAAUUACCACUCCGUGUCAUUUAUAUUUUCAUUUUUUUUACAUUAGAUUAAAUAAAAAACAUAAUUACUAACUUAAGUAAUCAUUUUACUAAUUAAAAAAUCAACUAAACAUAUAUUAAUUUUCAAAAUUAAAUAAACAUAUAUAGUAUAUAUAGUUGAGGGUUUAACUUAAUUCAAAGAAAAGUAAGAGGGUAUAAUAAGAUUAAAAGACAUAAUUUUAGAGACCAAAUUUGUAACUUUAGUUAAAGCAAAUAUGAAUGGUCUUCUUCACAGGUCAUUGCUCAAUACCAUUUUUUUUCUUUUACUUCGAUGGAUACAAAGGAAAAGGGAAAAAAAGGGUCAAAUAAAUGACCGUUAUUGUUCUUGCUUUCUUAUCCGUCGUCUUCAUCCGUCUUUGCACCCACAUUACACCCAAACCACCGGCCUUAGGGGUGGUGGUGUUCACGUGUCCUUAGGCCGGACACAUCAGCAAGAUGUGUGAGUUAGUCCUCCCACUCCGAUUAGCCUUAAGCACUUAUUAAAAGCUAGUCUAUUUCUUGUUAGGUUGAAAUCUAAUGUUAUCAUCAAAUCUAUACAAGAUUGAGAUUGAUAUUAUAGUAACAAUCUCCCAAAGAAAAAUAAUAUAUUUAAAAGAAUAUAUAUAUANNNNNNNNUAUAUAUAUAUAUGAAUUAUGCCCCAAGAAGUACUAUGCAUGAGUAUAAGAUUACUAUUAUCUUUGGAUCCAUUAAUUGAUAACUAAGCAUACUUCAAAGUUACUAUAUGGUCGUAUGAGACCCGCGAAUAGGAAAUUGGCUGCACCCUUGGCCCGAUUCGAAGGCUAAAACCCAAAAGAACCAUGCACAUGAUUCGAACCAAGUGCUCUAAUGCUAUUUUGCCCAACUUACAUGAACUACCUCCAUACACAUACUUAAGAAACCCAUAAUCUCAUCCAGAUAGAGCAGGAAUGCCAGAGAUAAUCGGAAUAAUACCUCAAUCAAUUACAAAAAACAUCCGCAUUAUCGGUUGAAACAAGAUCCCAUACUUGAUUGAGACUGAACGGAUUCCAUCGCUACACAACUAGCUCGAGAAGACUUCCACGGAUCUCGAAAGUUGCCUAAACCUGAGUCUGCUAUGAAAUAGGUUCCCACUCCACCAUUGAGGGUAAACACACUUGAAGCCCCAAUGGACAUAGAUCAUACUAAGCUUGAUAACAGAUCAGCCUGACCACUACAUCUCGACUGACACAAUUAAACUUCCAAGUGAACUUUUAUUGAUUGAUGAACCCCACAACCAGUGGUCGAGGACACUUUAACACUUAGUCCAGAGAAUCAAGACCACAUAGAACUGAACAUACCCACUCAUGGAAAGAUCCAUCGACCAACGUCUGCCCAACUAAUAUGAAAAUAGUAAUCCAACAACAAACUGGGAAAUCCCUCAACAGCUAAAAAUACUCAACCUGAGAAUCCCGAUUCUCCUCCACUUAGGGCUUAAACUACCAUUCACUAGCGCUAAAACCAAAUCAUAAAUCAAACCAUAUUGAGGAUAUACUCCCUUCCUAACCCUGGAAGUUACGAGCCUCUUCACUCCUUCCCCGAACUCGGAAAAAAUGAAAGGGCAUAACCCUAGCCAUUGAUAAUGACGUUCCAAACCAACAAUCAACCACUUCCAACUGUAAAACCCAAGUCAAUCUUAAUCAUCGUCCCCUUCACGAGUCCCGCGACUCGAAUACCCGACCUCAAGCAAAACCCCCGAGGCCUCAAACAAAAAAGCUCCCUAGGUCUGCACCAAACAAACAAAAUCACUAACGCCACUGGGGCUCAAAACACUUACCAUAUCCAUCCGCAUGUCGGAGCAUCCACAAGCAAAAUAUUAACAGGAACAUAAACACUGCCGCGAAUCAUGGUAUCCAACCAUGCUAUCUUCACCGACCAACCCUUAGAAUCCCCAAAACCUUCCUUGAUUAGAUUAUGGAUCCUGUGCUUCAAGUAGUACUGGCCCAAUACUACCUUCCAUACCUAUCCAUACUUUCCUCAAGAAUCAUCCCAAGUCUUUUAAGUCCUAGUCAUAAAAUACUCCUGAAACUUGCUUAACAAUGAAGCAACCACGCUAAAAUACUCACCUACACUCCCUCUGCCAUCAACUGCUGAUAAACCCCUACCAAUGCCAGCUAACCACUUCAUGAAUACAAUUACACACAACCAAGCUUAAAUAAUCCUUCGAAUAAAGGGCUUAGCCCUACAACGAUUGGACUCAAACGAGAGCUGCACAAUAGGUUUGAGUCCUUCAUUCUAAGAUUAUUUAACCUUCAUAGCAUGUAAUUUUAUUAUAUUCACUUGAUGGUUAACUCCCAUCAACAUGGGUCCCACAAAGCACAAAGCAAGCAACAUUCGGGUAGAGAAGCCGACUGCGACUAAAACGCAACAAAAUCAGACAUAUCCUCAUAGAAAAUCCUCGAUCUCAAACUCCUCGCACCACGAGUGCGCCUUCACCCUGCUCUCACUCUCCCCAGAGUGGUUAAUCAUUCCUCGUGCUUACCCGCUAUACACUGCACCCACUCAUGAAACUUCCACCAACCCUACAACACUCGUGUAUGCUAGCCGUACAUAACACUGGAUCCUAUAGACAGUCGAAUAUCUGAUCCUACUCUAAGCCCUUCAUCAAACAAGAACAUGAAAUAAGGCCAAACCAAACAUUCUCAGGCUAUAGAAUCUUAGUUAUGUACAACUAUGAUGUAUACACUAAGUAACUGUAGUAGAUGAUGUCAAUUUCAUUUAAGGAAGAACCCUAGGCUAUCAGACAUCAUAUAAUCAUGCAACUUUGUCAUGCAAUUCCUGAAGAUCCCUAGCCUAUCACUACCAUGCUAUUCUAAUAUUUCACAAGAUCAAAUAAAGUGUGGUAAUUUGGGGUCUACUUACUAGCUCCGACUGAUCAUACACAUCGUAUCCUCUUUAGUUUGAAAGUUAUUUUUAAAACCUUUACUUUGAAAAUUACUUUUUUUAAAACACCUUUUCCUUAGUUUGAGACCGGAUUCACACGAGUUUUCCUCCCAUUCACUCAAACCAAGGCUCUGAUACCAACUAGUAACGUCACAAAAAUUUCAACAAAUCUAAACCUUUCAAAACAACCCAUAUGUUAACAAAAGUGAUUUGAUCCGCAGGCACUCUGCACGCCUUGAACUCCCGUAAUGAGGGAGUUCGAGCCCCAAUCUGACCCACAGUGAUCUCAGAUCGGAAAGAACAAUCCGCUCCUCCAUAUCCUCCAUGAUCCCCUCCUUGACGGUACUGAACCCGAUCUCGAACCUGAACCUCCUCGCGUAGCCAUCAUAAUCUUCAACUGAAAAUACAACAUAGAAAGAAAUUGAUAAGGAAGUUCAAAGGGAUUUCUCCCCACUGGACUCCUUAAAGCCUUCAGGUAUGUCCUUGUCUCGGGUACAAGUCUUGUGCUUUUAGUAGUACGGACCAAAUACUACCUUCCACACCUACCUGUACAUUCCCCCAAGGCCAUACCUGAUACCUCCAAUUCACCAAACCAUAGAUAAAACAUGACCUACGAAACACAGCACAUACACAUAUCUUAGAAUCUUCGGGGAUUUCUCAAUCCUCAUAGAACCAGAAACCUCAAUCAACACCGCAUGUUGCCUUAUGCAUGCAAGUUAUACAUUAAUAGAAUCAUAGAGACUGUCAAAUAAAGUUUCUACCCUAAGACCACAACCAAACAAGGAACAAGAAGUAAGGCAGAAUCCAUCGUUCUAGGGCUAUAAAAUCCUAAACAUAUACAACUUUGAAAGCAUACACUUAGCAAAUAACAACGUCAACAUCGAUUCCAAGCAUUAUAUUCAUAGCAUUGAACUCUCCUAGGCUACAAGGCAUCUCACAAAUCAGACAAUUCUCAUAACACCUAAAGGUAUCCUUAGCCCUAUUCUAGCAUGCAUUUCACACAUUAACAUACUAGUUGCAAUUCAUAAGCAUGGUUAAAUUUUUGGAAACACUUACUUGAGCUUGGCUGAUUUCGCGCAUUGCGCUCUCCCUUUUUACUUAAGAAAACCGGUUUAAGAAAAACUUGACUUUUGUUUCUUUUUUUAAAAAGGUUUACCAUUUCCUCAGUUUGAGUUGUGACACAUAGUGUGCCCGAAUUCCUCAAACCAAGGCUAUGAUACCAACUUGUAAAAGCCCAAAAAUCCAGAUAAAAAUUUUCAUUUAAAAAAAAAUAGAAAUUACAAUCAUAAUUUGUUUCUUAAAAUCCAUUACAUCAUUUCAUAUCAAAAUAUCAGAGUAUCAAUAUCAAUAAAUGAGGAAAUUCUUGGGAGUGAAUGUUGCGCCAUCUAGCUAGGCCCUUCCCCUUAGUACCGAAAGUACCUGAAAACACCUAAAUAAACUGUAAGCAAAAACUUAGCGAGUUCCCAAAAUACAACAUAACAUAUAACCACAGAAUACCACGCCACAUACAUAAGAUUGCCAUGGACAACCCCAUGGUCUUUACUUGGAAUGCCAUGGGCUACCCCAUGGUAUUUACCUAGAAUGCCAUGGGAUACCCCCAAGGUCGGAUAUCCAAGUGCCAUGUGCUACCCCAUUGGUCUUUACCUGGAAUGCCAUGGGCUACCCCCAUGCUCUAAUAUCCAAGUGUCGUGCGCUACCCCCAUGGUCUUCAUAUAAGUGCCACAGGCUACCCCCGUGGUCUUCACAUAAUGAAUUGCAUAAAAACUAUCAAUCCACAUGUCAGGCAAUGGGCCGCCAUUGGUGCCUUCGACCCAUUGAUAUAGUGAGAAGACUCACCUCAGACUGCUGAUAAAAAUACUGCUCGGCUAACGCUCUAGAUAUCUGACACUGAAUAUACACAAGUUAACCUAAUUAGAAUUAAGUCACAAACUCAAGGCCUAGGCCAAAACCCUAAGUACAAACUCCUCCAAUAAGGCCCAAAGUCUUUUUCCUUUAAUGGGCCUAACAUCCAAGAUCCAAAAAGGGGCAUAAGGCCCAAAAGGCCUAGCCAUGCCACUUAUGGUCCAACAACAAGUUCAAAGGCCCAAAUACUAUAAUAGAUCCAGGCCCAAGUCUAAGUAGAGCCCAAAUAGCUUAAAGGCCCAACAAAAGCCCAAAACUCAUUGGAAGCGUACGCCCAACGUACAUCAUCAGUACGCUUAGCAUACUGGGUUCUUUGGCGGUUAGCGUAGUGUACAAGCUAGUAUGCCCAACGUACAAGCUACUUUGCACAAAAAGCCAUUAAGUGCUUAAUUCAUGAAGCCAUUUCGUCCGAUUCCAGAUCUUGGUCAUCUUAAAGGUCCUAGGGCAUAAAGAUGGUAACUUUAUGUGUUUACAUGCCAUAUGGGAACCCAACACCUGAUUUUAUCCAUUAAGACUCCCUUUAAGAUCUUAAACUCAUGCAUGGUGCCAUAACAACCAUCAAGUUAGCAUUUUUAUGCUUUUAACAUGCCAAAGGAACUAGGAUCUAACAUUUAUAAUCUCUGGAGUUGUUCAAACUUACAAAAGAGGAUCCAUGGACCAAAAAUGGACUUAUUACCAAACCCUAACUCAAACUAGCGAAAGGAUAAGCAAGUUCUGGACUUUUUACCUCCAAAAGUUUUCCAAGAUGAAGUAGAUGCAGGAUCUAGAAGCUCAAACACGUCUAAGAGUUGAUCACAACCUUCUCCUUCUUACACACACAUUAAAAUAGCCACCAAAAUCACUUUUAAGCUCAAGAAUCACACUCACUUGCAAACUAGGGUUUAGGGACGAUAAGAGGCAAUAAAAGCUAUGUAGGGUUAGGUCCAAAUGUCAUAAGAGUGUUAAAAUAGGGUUCAUGCGCAAAAAUUAGGGUUUUUGUCAUAUGCCACGUACUCCUCGCAUACAUGGUGCAUGUACGCAUCUAAACCACCCUAGUACGCUAAGCGUACACGUAUGUACGCCCUGUUGGAUUAGUGUUUAAGUCCAUAACUAUAUUUGGUAUGUAUUUGACCAGGUUGUGCAUGGUCCUUUUAGGUUGCCUUCACCGAAGCAACUUGACUAGAGGAAUUAUAUAGAAAGAGGUGAUUAUGGUUUAUUAAUAUAUUAUAAGAUUUAUAUAUUAAAAGAGAAAUCAUGUUUGAUUAAUUAACAUUGGUCAAGAGUUAAUUAAACAUUAGUUUUGUGAUCAAAAGAAGUUAAUUGAACUUAAGGGGCUGAACUGUAAUUAUGUGAUAGUUACAAAGUUAGGCAAGGAAACCCUAAUGGAUAGGGUGGAUGAAUUCUAGGGAUAUAGCCUUAAGAAUUCGCCCAUGAUAGGGAUUCUAGAAUUAUCUUAUGGGCUGCUUGGUGGCUAAGUAACCAUAUAAGAAUAAUGAAUGAAACCCUAAUUCCUAAACCUAUAUAAAGGACCCUUGGUCAUGGGAAUUUCGGCAACUUGAACCCUAGAAGUCCUAGAGCCGAAAUUCUCCUCUUCCCUCUCUUGCUUCCUCUAAUUGCUAUUGGUGUUUGUUAUUAAUUAGAGGCACAACACUUGAGGUGCUAAAGUUGUCAAGGCUUCAAGAUCUUCAAUCAACAACGAGGUAAGCAUCUUGAUAUACUUUGCUAAGUUAAUUUCAAUUAUAUACACUAGAUCUAGGGUUUGAAAGUCUUGGAUGAAUGCACGUACAAUUAGAGAAACCUAGAUCCAAGCAUUAGGGUUUGCAUGAGCACAUAGGAUGUUCUUUUGGCUCAAACCUAUCAGUGGUAUCAGAGCUUUUGUUUGGUUUCUAUUGUAUUGAUGCCUUGCUUGUUCAUCCUCUCUUGAAAAUCGUGAUUUUGUGUUCUCUGCCUGACGAACUCGAUGAGUCCCAAUGUGGGCUCGACGAGUAGGAUGAACUCGACGAGUCCAUAAGGGCACUCAACGAGUCGGAGCGUCAGACAUAGAUUUUCGGGAUUUCUUGUUGUUUUGCUUAAUGAUAAUUACCUAAAUCGUUUUUGACUAAUAAAAUCUGAAUUUUAUUACUGCUUUAUGUUUAUCCUUUCCAAAACAAAAGAUAAUUUCCAUUUAUUUGAAUAAUAAAUUCCUUAUAUGAUAAUAAUUGAUUAUUUAAAUUAUUUGUUGAAUUAUCUUAUGAAUAAAAUUGAUUAGGUCAAAUUUAGAUAAUCAUUAAAUUAAUUGUUUAAUUUAAAUUAUUUGCUAUUUGAUCCUUUAUGUUUUGAAAAGUUCAAAACUUGUCCUCAAGUUUUGAAAUUUAAAUUUGUGAUUAAAAGUUUAAUUUAAACUAUUUAAAUUUCAAACCCUAGAAUUUUACAAGUUUAAAAUUCAACCUUAUACUUUACAAUANUUAAACGCUAGUCUUACUGUUAGUAGGCCUCAUUCACGAAGCCGAUCUAGAAGGAGGUAUAAGGUUAUGACCUAUAAAAUGGCCAUUUAAUGGGUGUCCACUCUCACCCACCACAUCCUUGAUUGGUGGAGGGUCGUUAGCCGAACGGGUAAGAUAGGGCAACCCUUUCUCAUGAAUAAGUAUAAUGAAUUAUAAAAGUAACUAAAUGUUUUACAAAAUUCCCAAUCUUAAUUACUUUAGGCAAAAGUGAAAUUGAUGCAAUUCCAUUAAAUUACAUUUUGUACCCGUGCUAAGACGUUAGUGGAGCGUGUGUGGUUAACUGGCACACUAAUUCGGUUCUAAGAAAAGGUGGUAAAGGGUGACUCAUUGUUUCUCAUUGUUCGAUGGAGCAUGUGUGGUUAACCAGCACAUCGAAUAGGUGACUGUAACAAUGAGGGCACCAUGUAUAUUUGCAUGGUUAUUCAUACCCACUUUGUGAUCCUCAGCAUCCCAGUCACAAACUAGAGGGGCAUAUCAAGAUUUAUACAUGCCAUUGAAAAGUUCAAUGAAUCUCAAAAUAUCUAGGAGUUUUCAAUACAUUUAAAACUUAAUCUCUUUUUCGUUUUUCAUGGUGGAGAAUUAGUGAAUCGUCAUUCACUUACCUUCAAAUUAUUUGCAUGUUAGAUUACGACACCCCUCUUCUAAUAUGUAAAUAAUGUUGUUGGAUCCUAGCCCUAAUUUCUCAUUUAGGUGUUUCAUUAGGGAUUCAUUUCUAAUCAAACUUUGUUCUUUUUCCUUUUCAGAUGUCGAACAACAACAAUGCUUCCGGAUCGUUCUCACUCAUGAACUUGUGUGGGAGAGUGAUCUUUGACGAGUCCAAUUUCAAUGAUUGGAUUCGCAACAUCCGAAUGGUCACUCGUUACGAGGACAAAGAGUAUGUCCUUGAUAAGAAGCUGAAGGAAAUCAACCUCAACACUGCUACUACUGAAGAGAUCGCCACCUUUAAGGCUCAUGAGCGUGAUGCCACGAAAGUCCAUUGCAUCAUGCUAGCGACCAUAACUGCAGAACUCCAAAAGUCCUAUGAGGACAUGUAUCCCUAUGAAAUUCAUCAAAACUUGUUGGACCGGUACCACCAAAGUGCAAGGCAAGAAAGGUAUGAGAUCAUCACUUCGAUGAUCACUACCAGAAUGGGUAAUGGAGAGUCCCUUACCGCCCAUCUGCAAAAGAUGCAGAGAUAUGUUGAUCACCUGCUAAAGUUGAAAGUUAACUUUGAUGAAGAGAUGGCAAUCGACAUUAUCCUUCACUCCUUACCUCCCUGCUACAACCAGUUCCGCAUGACUACCACAUGAAUAAGGAAGAGGUCACCUUGAGCAAGCUUCACGGCUUGCUAAGAACUGUUGAGAGCAAUUUCAAGGAUAAGUAUGUUGCAUCAACUCCAACUCCCACUGCUGCCCUUGUCUUGGAAAAAGGGCAAGGGAAGGGUAAGAAAAGGAAGGCUCCCUCAAAUAUCCACCACAAGGGAAAGUCCCAAGAUGUUACCUCUUCUAGUGGAACCAAGGCUGGUUCUGCUAAACCCAACUCUAACCCUAAUGAGCCAGAGUGCCACCACUGCCACAAAAUAGGGCAUUGGAAGAGAAGCCGCCCAGAAUAUCUGCAAGCUAUCUAGGAUGGGACGAUCAAGCCAUCCUUCGCAGGUAUUUACACUAUUAAAUCUAAUGAUUCAUCGCAUGCUAUUUCUUGGGUUAUUGAUACAGGAUGUGGUUUUCACAUAUGUUCUGAUUUGCAGGGACUAAGAAGAAAUAGGGAUGUGGAGCAUGGAAGAAUAAACCUAAUAAUGCGAAACAAAAGAUUGUCGCCUGCCACCAAUAUUGGAGUAUAUAUAUUCCUUAAUGCUUAGUAAUGGAUUAGGUUUUGAUUUAAACAAUUGCUGCUAUUCGCCAGAUAUGGCAAGAAACAUCAUUUCAUUUCAUGGUUUAUAUAGGCAAGGAUUUAGAUAUUCAUUUGAUAAUGAAAAGGGUUCUAUUUAUGCUUAUCUUAAUAGUGUUUUAUAUUUUGAAGCAUUGCCUUGUAAUGUAAUAUAUGAAACUGUGAUGGUUGUAGAUAACUUAGGAAAUGAUGUAUUGUGUGUUGAUUCUUCCAACAAUAUAGAUAAAGCAUGCUUGUGGCAUUGUCGUCUUGGACAUGUCAACAAGAAACGCAUAGCCCAACUCUAAAAGGAUGGAGUGUUGGAGUCAUUCGACCUUAGGGAUGAUGACGUGUGUGAGUCUUGUUUACUUGGAAAGAUGACCGAUGUGUGUGGGCACUUGUGAAAGGGGUGAGGGUUUAUUGGAUCUCAUACACACCGAUGUGUGUGGGCCCUUUAGAUUACCACAAAAGAUGCAAGCCACUUCUAUGUGACUUUUACCGAUGAUUAUAACAGAUAUGGGUAUAUCUACUUAAUCAAGCACAAGUCGGUAACCUUUGAAAGGUUCAAAGUGUUUAAAGAAGAAGUGGAGAAUCAUUUGGGCAGGAAUAUCAAGAUGCUUCGAUCCGAUCGAGGAGGAGAGUACCUAAGUCUUGAAUUCCAUGACUAUCUCAAGGAAUGCGGAAUCGUUUCACAAUUGACGUCACCUAGGACACCGCAGUUAAAUGGUGUGGCUGAGAGGCGUAAUCGAACCUUGUUGGACAUGGUUCAUUCCAUGAUGAUUCGUGCUUCACUACCUAUCUCAUUCUGGGGGUAUGCCUUAGAGACUGCCGCCCAUAUCCUUAACUUAUUCCCUACGAAGAAGGUUGCCAAAACACCUCACGAGAUGUAGACAGGGAAAGCUUCCUCGUUAGCACAUAUCAAGGUUUGGGGGUUGCGAGGCUUUCGUAAGACGAGAGACUCACGACAAGCUCGAACCUCGUAGUGAGUGGUGUAUUUUCACCAGCUACCCACAAAAGACCUUUGGAUAUCUCUUCUAUAGUCCGAGUGAGAACGUUGCCUUCAUUGCGAGGAGAGGGGUUUUCCGUGAGCGAGAACUCAUAAGCCUAGGGGACAGUAGGAGGCAAAUCGAUCUUGAAGAGAUUCAAGAGUUGAGCGAUGAAGGAACCUCCAACACCGGGGCUUACCCGAGGAGGAAACUCCGGUUGAACCGAUUGACGAGUCCUUACCUCUUAGACGUUCCGAAAGAGUUAGGUUUCAACCCCAGUUAUAUGGCUUUCAUAUUACUACAGAAGGGGAUACGUAUAUUAGUGAUAUUAUACUAAUAAAUUUGGAUGAACUUAACAGCUAUAAGGAAGCCAUUGCAGGCCCAGAGUCUGCAAAGUGGAAAGAGGCGACGGACAGUGAGAUUCUGUCCAAGUAUGACAACCAAGUUUGGAAUUUGGUUGACAAUGUACUAGGUCGUAAGAUGGUCUGGUGCAAAAUGAUCUUUAGGAAGAAGGUACUAAAACGUUUUGUGACAACCCGAAAUUUCCAUUUUGUACGAACAUUAGCUAUUCAAUAGAAGCUAGUCCAAUUUCAAUGAAUUUCAGACUUUUCUAAAUAAAUUUGUGUACAUUAGGGUUUACGUUUAAGGAGAUAUCAGGAGAGUGGAUGCUCAUGGGUUUGUGAAACUUGAGCAUUUCAAAACUUCAUAAUGUUAGAGUCCAAUUCCGGAAUAAAAAUAUUUUCUGCCAAAAUAUUUCAGGACUAUAAAUAGAUUUCUGAACUAAAUUCAUUCAUUAUUCACACUUCCAACUAGAGAAAAGCCAUUUUCUCUCUCACAGAUCUUCGGGUUUUCAUCCCAAAUCGUGAGUACACUUCUUUAGUUGUUUUAUAAUGCUUGUUAUAUGCUUAAUAACAUAGAUUACAUGUCAAAUAUGUGAGAUCCGGGAGUUUACCGCCCAAGAACGUUCUUGGGGAGUAAACUCGAAAAUAAAGCUUUAAGGCUAUCUAGUCCCAUUUCCUUGUUAGGUAACUAGCUUAGGAUAAUAUGUAGGAUCAUUUGAGACAAGAAAACAAUCCAGAACACAUAGCUUUAGGAGUUUUCGGCCCAAGAGUUUCUUGGACCGUAAACACCAAAUACAAGGGCUUAAAUGUGCCCUAAUCACUCCCAAAGGCUUUAGACUUUAACCCUAAAUUACUUCUAGCUAAUAUGGGGACAUUAACACAUCAAAAAAACCCCUAAAAGGGAGUUUACGGCCAAGAAAUGCUCUUGGGCCGUAAACACCAAUUAAGGGCACCAAAGUGUGCCUAGGGCCCCCCUUAGCAUAAAUCAAAUGCCUCGAAAGUAUUCUACUUGUGUUUGAGACUUGAAAGAAUUAAAACAUCCAUCCCAUGAGAGUUUACGGCCGUAAACUCUAAGGGAUAUGGCCUUUUGGCCGUAAACUCCUCAAAGGAGUGUUAUCUAUGCCCUAAACUACCCAAAGGAUUAAACCACCAAACUAGGCUUAUUCUAGAAAUCAUUUAGCACUUUAAAACACCCAUUACCACCAAGAUUGGAGUUCACGGCCGUAAACUCAAGGUUUUACGACCGUAAACUCCUUGUGUGGGGUUUAUUGGGUAGUAAACUCUUAUACAAAGUCCUUGGAAGCUUUAAACCCCUUUAGCUUGUCCCAUAACAACUUAGAUGCAACCAUUAGGACCUAUAACACUUAUACAAGGUGUUUACAUGUUCCUAAGUGUCCCAACUUAUUUCAUUAAGUUAUUAUUUGGCUAAUUAGUUAUAUAUAUGCUCAUUAUAUGAUAACUAGGCUCGUGCGUGUGAACAAGUCUCCGUUUGCCACCUAGCACGGUAUCCGACACUACAAUCCAAACCACUCACCACAAGUGAGUUCAUACCCCUUUAAUUAACCUUUGAAAUACUUUUAAAUGUUUUAAAUACUUUAUGGGGGGGAUACAAGUUAAAUGCUUAUAGUUAUUGCAUCAAUCACAUGUGAUUACAUUAAUCAUAUGUGAUUAAUAACUAGAAAACCAAUGAUCUUAUCACUGUUUAAACUGUUUAUCAAACUGUUUUACUUCAAACUGUUUUACAAACUCUUUUACUCAUCAAAUACUUUUAUUUAAACUUUGUUAUACUUCUUAUAAACCGCAUGCCCAUAUAUGUAUAGAUAUAUAAGCAAUGUUUAAAGGGUUUAGGAAGGUCAUCCGCCCUAUUUCCUUUUUCUCGAUUUGGAUGUGGUCUGGUGGGAUUUCGGGUAACCAUCCGAAGGUCGUUUCAAUAUUAAUUAUAUAUCAAAUGUACAUAUAUAGACAUAAAAGUACUCCUUNUAUACUAGGAGAAGAACAUAUACAACUAUACUAGAGGAAGAACAUAUACAACUAUACUAGAGGAAGAACAUAUACAACUAUACUAGAGGAAGAACAUAUACAACUAUACUAGAAAGAGAACAUAUACAACUAUACUAGAGGAAGAACAUAUACAACUAUACUAGAACAGUUCAUUACAUUACACAUACUAGAAUACGUUCAUUAUUGUGAUAUGAAUCGGGGCAUGACUUAAAUGCCAUGGCCCGAGUUGUAGCCAGAGUCUCUUGAAGGGAGAGCGUGAGUUUGCGUAUAGAUCUAUACUGGAUUGACUAUCCUACACCUUGCUGCUAGCUACAGCCGGACCUGCAGGUCUGCGGGUGCCAAACGUCAUUCCGUUAUUACGACCAUUCGUAUGUCGUUGUUACCAGUCGAUAGUAUGGUGCAAUUAGUCACAUGAUACCUUAAUAUAAAUCCGGUUUAAGGUAGUUAGUACAACAAUAGUUCCUAUAAUACAACACUACAGUACUACAAUAAUUUACCCAUUACAUAUAUUUAGUGAUUAUUUCACUUAAACAUUAAUGUACAAACUAUAUUUUGUUAAAUGAUAGUUACACUUGGGAAAUUACACACUUUUACAACAAACGAGCAUACAAAACAGUUAAGCCUUGGUAGAAGGCUACUUUAAUAGAAAAUAUAGGUUUUUCUGAGAGAUUCAAACUUUUACAAACACUUACAUACAUUUUACAAACUUACACUUGAGACACGUUCAAACGUUUUGAUAACAAACAUCGACACUAAAAUACUUAUGAACUCACCAGCUUAAUGCUGAUAAACUCUUUCAAAAUAACUUGUAUUCUCAGGUCAUCAAUAGACAGGUACUUAGGCCAGCUUUUGAGAAGAUGGAGCGCAUUCAAGACUCAUCUUAUUAUUUUGAUUUACAUUAUAUUUUGGUGUCUAAAACUGUACAGAACACGCUUGUAUUAAAAUUAUAUAUUUAAUGCAAUGGAUGAUGCUGUUUGCUUAUUUACAUUUACUGUGUUGUGAUACUUUACAUGACGUCCUCCGCCCCACAACGUUUCCGCCGUUCUUGGUUUUGGGGUGCGACACGUUUUAGUAUGGAGAAUUCAAAGAAGGCAGAGUUACCAAUCCAAAGUAAUGCGAAGUUGAGUACGACUCAAAGUCCGAGUACUGAAGUCGAGAUAGCAGAAAUGAGCUAAGUACCUUACGCUUCCGCAGUUGGCUCGAUCAUGUACGCUAUGACUUGUACUCGCCCUGAUGUGGCCUUCGCUUUGAGCAUGGUCAUUAGAUAUCUAGGGAACCCUAGAAAAGCACAUUGGACCGCAAUCAAGAAUAUUCUUAAGUACCAUCGAAGGACCAAGGAAUGGUUUCUAGUCCUCGGUGGGAGUGAUGACUUAAAGGUGCGAGGGUAUAGUGACGCCAGUUUUCAGACCGACAGGGACAACUACCGUUCGCAGUCGGGCUGGGUCUUUACCCUAAAUGGUGGAGCAGUGACUUGGAAAAGUUCCAAGCAAGAGACCGUAGCUGACUCAACAUGUGAAUCAUAGUACAUUGAAGCAAGCGAAGCGUCAAAUGAGGCAAUAUGGUUGAAGAACUUCAUUGGAGACCUUGGAGUUGUGCCGACCAUACAGGAGCCUAUUGAGAUUUUCUGUGAUAAUGAAGGAGCGGUUGCCUUGACCAAGGAACUGAGGGAUCACGGCAGAUCUCAACAUAUUGACAGAAAAUAUCACUUUAUUCGAUAUCAGAUGGAAAAAGGACUCCUCGUAGUGAAGUGCGUAUCGUCAGAAGAUAACCCAUCAGAUCUGCUUACGAAGGGACUGAGCAGGGUUAAGCACUUGCAGCAUGCUAGGAGCAUCGGGCUGAAGGACGAUAUUAGUUUAGAUUAGAUAGUUUGGAAACGUGUAAUAGAUAAAUUAUAAUUAACAUCUGAUGAUUAAAUAAAAGAGUAUUAUUUAUUAGUAAUGUUACUAUCUUAUGUUAAUUGUUUACCUAUUGUUUCAUUUUGCAUGUUUUGACUUCCUGAAUAAUAAGAAUUAUUUAAAUGGUCUACAGUUGUUCAUAUGUUGGAACUAGGUAUGAAUGAAGACUGUCAUGAAUUGGUGUGUAGAUUGUCUAAAGUGUAUUAGACAUAGCAAAAGUUUGCUACAACAUUCAUGAGUGCUUAUGAAAAGUUUUGAGCAUUGGAAUAAACCCAUGCUUGCUGGAAUCACUUCAUGGAAUUCAUCAUGAGUGAUCGCAAGACGAUAAUAUAUCAUAUGGUCUUAAAACAUAGAUAUAUGGUUUAUUGUUUUCUAAUUGGUUGUGCAUUGAUAAUGCGUAAACACAUCAGUAACUUGAUGUUAUAAAACGCAUUGUUGUGUAUGAUUUGAUUAGUGGAUAGUAAAUGCAUAUAAGUCUAAGUUCAUCUGUUCCUUUUAUCCUAAUAGGUUAAAAGUGAUAUCAGGACCCCUUGAUGAUUUGAUUUGACUUAUGUGUCGGGCCCGGUCAGGACUGAAUUGAUGUGUUCAAUUACGUUCUAUGUCAAAUGAAUCAGAGAUUAAGAAACAAACUGUUGGAUAAUAAGUAUGACUAUGUUCCAUGUAAUUGUCCGCAUGAUAUCUAGAACAAAGGAUUAUACGAUCCCUUAUCUUAAGGACAAGUUACUGAUAAGAUCAAGAGUUUUGAGAACUGUGAUUGCUAAUCGAAUCCAGAAGUUGCAUUUGCAUUUAUAGUUAUUAUCAAGGUUGUAAAAAAUUCUCGACGUUAGCUAGUCGGUGGACUGGGGUUAAGAGAUUAAUCGGGUAGGCGGAGAUUAAUCGGGGGAUUAAUGGAGACCAUUAAUUGAUAAUUUGUUGAAUUUUAAAAAAUUGAAUAUGACUAAUAUCAUAUCAAAGUCCGUAAGUACCACUAAUAUCAUAACAAAAUAGGUUGAUAUGUUUAAUACAACAUUAAUCAUGCUUGAAAUAGUUUCUAUUGAGAUAAAACUUCUUAAAAAUGUUUAAAUUUCAUCGUUUUAUACAGUUUUACUCAUUAUUUAUGCAUGGAUUAAUCGCUAGGUGCCAUCUAGUUGGUUGAGUAAUGCCUAGGGAUUAAUCGGAGAUUAAUCGGGACCUAGUCAUGAUUUUUACAAUAAUGGUUAUUAGACUUAUCCAAGUAGGGGAAUGUUGGAUUAGUGUCCAAGUCCAUAACUAUAUUUGGUAUGUAUUUGACCCAGUUAUGCAUGGUCCUUUUAGGUUGCCUUCACCAAAGCAACUUGAUUGGAGGAAUAAUAUAGAAAGAGGUGAUUAUGGUUUAUUAAUAUAUUAUAAGAUUUAUAUAUUAAAGGAGAAAUCAUGUUUGUUUAAUUAACGUUGGUCAAUAAUUAAUUAAACAUUAGUUUUGUGAUCAAAAGAAGUUAAUUGAACUUAAGGGGCUGAACUGUAAUUAUGUGAUAGUUACAAAGUUAGGCAAGGAAACCUUAAUGGAUAGGGUGGACAAAUUCUGGGGAUAAUGCCUUAAGAAUUCGUCCAUGAUAGGGAUUCUAGAAUUAUCUUAUAGGCUGCUUGGUGGCUAAGUAACCAGAUAAGGAUAAUGACUGAAACCCUAAUUCAUACACCUAUAUAAAGGACCAUUGGGCAUGGGAAUUUCGGCCACUUGAACCCUAGAAGUCCUAGAGCUGAAAUUCUCCUCUCCCCUCUCUCUCUUGCUUCCUCCAAUUGCUAUUGGUGUUUGUGAUUCAUUAGAGGCACAACACUUAAGGUGCUAAAGUUUUCAAGGCUUCAAGAUCUUCAAUCAACAACAAGGUAAACAUCUAGAUCUACUUUGCUAUGUUAAUUUCGAUUAUAUACACUAGAUCUAGGGUUUGAAAGUCUUGGAUGAAUGCAUGUACAAUUAGAGAAACCUAGAUCCAAGCAUUAGGGUUUGCAGGAGCACAUAGGGUGUUCUUUUGGCUCAAACCCAUCACGCCCAAUGUACGUAGGGACCUCCUUUACAAAUAAGUUUCAUUCCAAGGGUUAAAAGGGUAAAUACCUACAUUCCGAAUGUUACAUAUAGAUAGUAAAAUACUUGAUUCUACCCUAAGCCCUUCAUCAAACAAGAAAAUGAAAUAAAGCUAAACAAAAAUUCUCAAGCUAUACAAUCUUAGUUAUGUACAACUACGAUGCAUACACUAAGCAACUACAAUAAUGACGCUAAUUAUAUAUAAGAAGUAAUCCUAGGGUAUCAAGCAUCCUAUAUCAGGAAAUCCUUUCAUGUAAUUCCUGAAGAUCCCUAUCCUACCACUAGCAUGAUGUUAUAUCAUGAAAAACAUAUCAAGUAACCGUGUGGGUAACUUUGGGUAAAUUUUCUUGCUCUGGCUGAUCAUACACAUCGCAUCAUUCCUUGGUUACUUUUGAAAACAAUUUUUGAAAACCAUUAAAAGAAAACUUUACAGCUUCCUAGUUUGAGUUUGGAUUCACACGAAUGUUCAUCCAGUUCUCUCAAACCGAGGCUCUGUUACAAACUUGUAACACUCCAAAUAUCAUAGAAAAUUAAAAAUUUUAAAUUUCAACCAUUAACCAACAUUUUUUACAAAAAGAGUCAUUGCUUCAAAAGUAUUAUUCAAAAUCAUAGUUUUUCCUAAGACCUAAUAACACAAAAUAGGAAGAUGUGCACGAUCACGCCUUCUCCUUCCUACGAUCAUCCGAAGUACCUAAAACAAUAAACUGAAAUUGUAAGCCAAAGCUUAGUGAGUUCCUCCAAAGUACCAUCAUGGAACAUAUAAAAUACAUAGAUUAACAUGUUGGGUCCAUAACCUCCCAGUUGGAUUACCUUGGCUCACAACCUCCCUGUUGGAUUGCCCUGCAUACCACAUACUGGGUCCACUACCUACCGACUGGGUUGACUUAGAUGGUUUGUGGAGUUUGGCCUAUUUUGACCCAAGGAUAUUUUGGAUAAGUUGGUAGUUAUUUAAGUCGACCAAUAUUUUGGGAUAAUAGGUGUCGAGUAGAGCCGGUUGUCAGGGAAGAGAUUUAUUCAGCUUAUGUUCAGACUGAGAGGUGAGUUUUCCUCACUGUACUUACGGGUCGAAGGCACCAAGGCCGACCCAACGAAUUGAUAUCCUGUCUAUACUGAUUGAAGAUAUGUUGAGUAUGCGAUAGAUCUGAAUGAUUAUAUGAUAGUUAUGAUAUACGUUAGACUGGUAGAUCUAUAGGGCUACCUAUGAUUAUUGGUUGUAUAAUCAUCUGUAUGUUGUAUAUAUAUUAUAUGUUAUAUGCCGACAUGUUACAUUGGGGUUGAGACUACUGCUUUGUGUCGUCAGUCAACAGACCAUGUCAAUCCAAUUGGGAUGUUGUGGGCUAGGGUAAUUCAACCAGGAGGUUGUGGACACAAUAUGCUAAUCUGUGUAUUUUAUAUGUUGCAUGAUGGUACUUUGGUGGAACUCACUAAACUUUGUGUUAUAGUUUCAGUUUAUUUUCAGGUACUUCUGAUGAUCGCGGUACGAUGAAGGUGUGGUCAUGCACAUCUUCCUGUUUUGUGUUAUUGGGUCUUGGUGAAAACUCUGAAAGUCAUGACACACUUCAAAUUGAAGUAUUUCGAUGGUACAAUCAAAAUCUCUAUUGGAUAAAAUUUAGUGACAACAACAGAGAAUUAAAAGGUUACGAUUCUUGUGUGUACCAUAUUCAAAUACCCAAAAAGGGAUAUAACUCCUUGUUCGAAAUAAAGCUAAACCAAAAAUUCUCAAGCUAUAGAAUCUUAGUUAUGUACAACUAUGAUGCAUACACUAAGCAACUACAAUAAUGAUGCCAAUUCUAUAUAAGAAGUAAUCUUAGGGUAUCAAGCAUCAUAUAUCAAGAAAUUCUAUCAUGUAAUUCCUGAAGAUCCCUAGCCUACCACUAGCAUAUUGUUCUAUCGUGAAAAACAUAUCAAAUAAUAGUGUGGUUAACUUGGGGUAUACUUUCUUACUCCGGCUGAUCGUACACAUAUCAUCAUUCUUUGGUUACUUUUGAAAACCAUUAAAAAAACUUUUACAGCUCCCUAGUUUGAGUUUGGAUUCACACGAAUGUUCAUCCAAUUCGCUCAAACCAAGGCUCUAAUACCAACUUGUAACACUCCAAAUAUCAUAGAAAAUUAAAAAUUAAAAAUUUCAACCAUUAACCAACAUUGUUUACAAAAAGAGUCAUUGCUUCAAAAGUAUUAUUCAAAAUAAUAGUUUUUCCCAAGACCCAAUAAUACAAAGCAGGAAGAUGUGCACGAUCAUGCCUUCGCCUUCCCGCGAUCAUCAGAAGUACCUGAAACAAUAAACAGAAACUGUAAGCCGAAGCUUAGUGAGUUCCCCCAAAGUACCAUAAUGCAACAUUUAAAAUACAUAGAUUAACAAAAUGGGUCCACAACCUCCCAUUUGGAUUACCUUGGCCCACAACCUCCCCGUUGGAUUGCCUUGCAUACUACAUACUGGGUCCAUAACCUUCCGACUAGGUUGACUUGGCUAGUUUGUGGAGUUUGACCUAUUUUGACCAAAGGAUAUUUUGGAUAAUUUGGUAGUAAUUUAAGUCGGGCAAUAUUUUUGGAUAAUAGUUGUUGAGUAGAGUCGGUUUUCGGGGAAGAGAUUUAUUCAGCUUGUCUUCUUACUCAGAGGUGAGUUUUCCUCACUGUACUUAUAGGCCAAAGGCACCAAGGCCGACCCAAUGGAUUGAUAUCCUGUUAGGUACUGAUUGAUGAUUUGUUGAGUAUGCGAUAGAUCUGUAUGAUUAUAUGAUAGUUAUUGAUAUACGUUAGACAUGUAGAUCUAUAGGGCUACCUGUGAUUAUUGGUUGUAUAAUCAUAUGUCUAUUGUAUGUAUAUUAUAUGUUAUAUGUCAACAUGUUACGUUAGGGUUGAGACUACUACUUUGUGUCGUCAGUCAACAGACCAUGAGAAUCUAACCGGGAGGUUGUGAGCCAGAGUAACCCAGCCGGGAGGUUGUGGGCCCAACAUGCCAAUCUAGGUGUUUUAUAUGUUGCAUGAUGGUACUUUGGAGGAACUCACUAAGCUUUGGCUUACAAUUUCAGUUUAUCGUUUCAGGUACUUGUGAUGAUCGCAGGACGGUGAAGGUGUGAUCAUGCACAUCUUCCUGUUUUGUGUUAUUGAGACUUAGGAAAAACUCUGAUUGUGAAUAAUACUUUUGAAGCAAUGAAUCUUUUUGUAAACAAUGUUGGUUAAUGGUUGGAAUUUUUUUUUUUUUUUAAAUUUUUAUGAUUUUUGGAGUGUUACAUUGGUUUUGUCUUAUAACUGAUCCAAACCCCCACACACCCUUGUUAAUCAUCAAAGAAGAAUCCAAUUAGAACUAAUUCUAUUCAACAAUAACAACCAUAGGGUGUUAGAAAUCCAUUACCUCAAAUGUAGGGAUCUUUUGAUGUCUAAGAACAUUAAUCAAGAUAAAUUAAUAAGGAUAUUCAAUUAAACCAAAGGUCUUUUGGCCUAGCACUAUCAUAUGUUGGAAAAAUGACCCUUCCUAAUGUUAGAAAAACGGGUUAUUUCGAUUGCUUGGAUUCCACUGAAAGUCAUGAUACACUUUCAAAUUGAAGUAUUUCGGUGGUACAAUCAAAAUCUCAAUUGGAUAAAAUUUAGUGACAACAAUAGAGAAUGAAAAGGUUAUGAUUCUUGUGUGUACCAGAUUCAAAUGACCAAAAAGGGAUAUGACUCCUUGUCCGAAAACUGUCAUAUUAACAGUUACAAACUGCCACAAAGCUGUCACUAAACUUGUAACACCCCAAGUUCAGAAGUGCAAGUUCAGGGUUCUUGGUGUAAUUAAGGAAGAUCGACUCGGCGAGUCGAGUCGUGAUUUGGCCAUGUGCUAAGUGACUGACUCGGCGAGUAGGCAGCUAGACUCGACGAGUCAGUGCUGGAGUGAGAAACCCUAAUUCAUGGGGUUUGCACCCUAUAUAAGGAACCUUAAGUCCCACCCCAGCCUCUUUAGGACUCCCUCUGAUGUCCAGAAACUUUCCACAUCGAUUUCAAACCCUAAAUUGAGAGUGAGAGGGAUUUAAGUGUGUUUUGGAGCUUGAAGAAGAAGGAUACUUGAAGCAAGAGUUGGUGGGAUCAUAGAGGAGCGAAGUGGAUCUGAUUUCCUUGCUUCUUGGCAUCAGCAUCAAGGUAAAAAGUUGUUGCCUUGACUUUGUUGUGUUUAGAUGGUUCAUGAAUGAAGUUUUAGGGCCAAUUUAUCAUAUAUGAGCCUCUUUUCGAGUAUUGGGUUUAGAUCUGUGGUUGCUACUACAGAUCUAGACUGGUCCUGACUCAUGAAUCUGGAAAGUGAUAGCUUUGGGGCUUGAUUGAGAGUGUCCUUGCCUUAAAACUUCACUUUAGCUUGAGUAGAGCUUGUUGAGCCUUGCAUGCACGUAAAGUUGGAAACUUUACAUGUAGAUCUUGCCCUAGGAGUCCAGAUCUAUGUAUUGAAAGCAAUAGUUUGGCCUGUGAUCAUCUGAAUGAAGGUAUUACGUAUGGACUCGGCGAGUCUGGGAGAUGACUUGACGAGUCGGACAAAAGAUUUGGAAUGAAUCGCGUAGUAACUCGGCGAGUCACAUGGGUGUACUCGACGAGUUGGAUGAAGAUAGGCAAGAACUCGACGAGUUGGAAGAACAACUCGACGAGUCUAUUGAAGAUUGCCUUGGGCUCAACGAGUCUGUUCUUGGACUCGGCGAGUCUGGUCGAGGAGUCCUAACCUUUUCUGGUUAAGUCGUGAAUCGGUGAGUCGAAGGAUGACUCGGUGAGUUGAGCAUGAAGGGACUCAGAGUUUGUUGGACUCGGCGAGUCUUGGGGCAACUCGACGAGUUGAGUCGUAAUAUGAGAGUUUUGAGUAUGGGAACUCGAAGAGUCAACGAGUUGACUCGGCGAGUAGGGUCAACCAGGAAGGUUGACCUUGACUGAGGACUUGGACUUUAACCAAGGGUUGACCAGUUGACUUCCGGGGGUAUUUUGGUAAUUAUUGGUAUUUAUUGAUUUGGUUUUUGGUAAUGAUCAGUGGCGGAGUUCGUGCUGGUGGUUGGAGCAGCGUGAUCUUAUUCUUCAGUCGGCAGUGACAGUUGAGUUAUCCUCACUAUACUGACAGGGUCUACGGCACCAAGGCCGACCCUCCAUCGGAUGGAAAUCCGGGUAUUGUUGUUAUGUUAUUGCUAUAUGGAGAUCCUUGUUGAUGGAAAGGCGGCCGACGAACGCUCGGUGGACUCUAUAUCCUCAAGGAAUCAAUUUGGAACCCGGAAAAUCAUAUUUAUUUAGGAAUGUAGCAUAUGGUUUUAGAGGUUGUCCUAAAUGGGAGGAUGUGGAUACGGUUAGUUAAGUUUAAUAAUUAUUAUUUUAUAUAUAUAAUAUUACUGAAAUUACUAGUAUUUAAUUUAUAUUUUUUUUGCAGGUUAUAUCUGUAAUAAAUGUUGUGCAUACCCAUUGGUUUUUGGUGGUUCUACAUUUAGAUACCUGGAAAGUAGAAAUUUUUGAUUCAGCACAAGUUGCGGGUUACUUCUCAACAUACAACACUAAUGGAGAAUUCAAAAGUUUUGGAGAUAGUAUUAUCUCAGAGUUGGAUGCCAUUGAUUACUGGAGCCAUUUCCCCCAUUGGACACAGAGACAAGCAAAGGUCGAGUUUUUUGAUGUUUNGACACAGAGACAAAGCAAAGGUCGAGUUUGUUGAUGUUGUAGACGCCCCACAACAAGAAUAUAGUCUUGAAAGAGGGGAUUGUGGAGUAUUUGUAUGCAUGUUUAUGGAAAUGAUUGUUUCUGGGGGUACCAGUGGCGAUUUCAAGGACAUGUAGAGAAGCUGCAUUUCUCUAUAGAAAUAAGAUGGCAAAUGUUAUUUGGGAUACUAUAUAAGUUGAUAUUAGGAACUUUGUAUAUAUAUUAAUAUUAAAUACUUGUUUCUAGUAUGUAAUCGUGUCACUUCUGGUAGUAUGUAAUCUUGUAAUUAUCUUUUAUAUUUUUUAAACAUAAUUCACCAAAAAAUGUUACGAAACCAUACAUUCAAACAAAAUAAACAUUACAAAUAACAUGAAUACAUUACAAUAGAGUCGUCUACAUAAAAAUAAGGUUUCUUACGACUAACAAACAUUAGAUAAAACAUUGGAAAUAAAAUACUCAUCUACUUGAAAAAAACUUUAUCUUUUACCAGAUUCCAAACGUCCGUAUACUCGAAAUCAUGUCCAUCAAACUUGCAUAGGUAAUAUCCAUUCACAUCUUCAAGAAGUUCUUCAUUAUCUGCUUGAGAGCGUCGCAUUUUCUCAGGAUUGUAGCAUCGAUUGAACCAUGUGACCUUAAACUUUAAAUCCAUCCAUUUACUAACAAUAGCAGGUUUUAGUCGUUCGUGUCCUUGCCCGACUUGAUAGUUGAACAAAGCUAUGAGGCGGGACCAUUCAUCACCUACAAGGCAAUUCAGGGGAGCCAUCACUGGUAGACCCUCGUAAAUGGUAAUCCAACUUUGUAUUAGGACCAACAACUCUGUUGGCGUCCAUGGAGAUGUACAAUUUGUUGGAGAGGCUGCAUUAGAUGGAUUUGUUGCAUUCGAAGAACUUGGUACAUUGGACGCCAUUUCUUAAUUGAUCUACUAUCAACUAAAGAAUUGAAUUUCGUAUAGACACUACGUUUAAUAUAUGUACAAACAUAUGUUAUACAAAGAUAUGUCAGUAACGCGGACUGACGAGCCAGUAACGCGGACUUACGAGCCAGUAACGUGGACUGACAACGAUUAAUAUAUAUAAAUAGUUUCUUAAUGCGGACUGACGAGUCAGUAACGCGGACUUACGAGUCAGUAACGCGGACUGACAACGAUUAACAUAUAUAAAAAGUUUCUUAACGCGGACUAACGAGUCAGUAACGCGGUCUUACGAGUCAGUAACACGGACUGAAAACGAUUAAUAUAUAUCAAAAGUUUCUUAACGCGGACUGAUGAGUCAGUAACACGGACUAACAAUUACUAGACAAAACAGUUUUGCGGACUGACAAGACAGAAACACGGAUUGACAAGUCAGUAACGCGGAGUGAUCAUUGGCUUUGCGGACUCACAAGUCAGUAACGCGGACUGACAACGAAGUAACACGGACUAACAACCCCGUAACGCGGAUUGAGAACGCAGUAACGCGGACUAACAAGUCUAUAUAAAACGACAAACAACAAUGUAUCACUUCAUCUAAGGUAUUUUAGUUCAUGUGCUUUGUAUGUUUUACAANUUCAUGUGCUUGUAUGUUUUACAAUGGGUUCAAACCAAUGGACCGCUAACGAGUAUUUCCUUCUAGCUCGUGCAUAUAUUAAUGUCAAAGAGAACACCAGUUUGGAGGAUAUAAUGUUUUUCUCCCAACUAACGAAUACCUUCAACACUGACGCUGAAACCACCAUACAAAACCAUCGCAACACGCUUGAUAUAGCUACAAAAUGGUAUGAAUUGAAAACGGAAGUUGUGUUAUUAAACGAUCUUUAUAAUAAGAUUGAAGAUGAUCAUGUCAAUGAUACUGAGGAAGAGAUCUUGGAGGUGUCUAAAGAAGAAUACAAAUCCAUUAGCAACGGACAGAGUUUCGAGUUUGAAGCCCCUUGGAAUCUUUUGAAAAAUGUACCGUUUUUUUAAGUAGAACUGCAUUUUGUAUUGUUCUUGUAUUUCUUUAUUUAAAUGUAAUAUGGUAUUUAUCCUUUAUUUUAAAAAAAAAUAUUUGACCAACAAAUGUUACAAAACCAUACAUUCAAAAAACAUUAUCUGACAAACAGCUUACGCGGACUGACAAAUAAGCUACGCGUAAUGACAACACAUUUACGCGGACUGACAAGUAAGUUCUGCGGAAUAAUGUAUACUAAUUCCUUAUAAAUUUUGACAACCAUGACGAAAAUUUACAAGGUGUCGAAAGUUGUGAAAAUGAGUUCAGUCAAUCAGGUAUUAAGGAAAAGUUUCUCCAGCCUACCGACUUUUUUCCAUAAGCUGCAAAGAAGCAAUCCUACCACCUUCACGUACAUUACGAAGGAUCGGUACAAUCGUUUCCAAAUUUGUUUCGUGGCAUUGGGAUGCGUGGUAUGUAAUCCCUUAUAGUAAAUAAAUAUUUAGUUAUUUCAAGUUGGUAUAUGCCUAAUAUUCUUAUGUUGACUUACAGAUUCGUACAUUUCUCACGUCUAUGAUAUCAAUCAUAUUCGUUGGUCAAGUACCUCUAAUUGGGGCAUAUGUAACAUCCAUGUACAUUGCUUUUGCUUUAGAUGGAAAUCAUGAACCCCUUCUCAUAGUGUUUGCCUUGGGAACCAUAAAUUGUGACAAUUCAUGGUUAUGGUUCAUAAGGAGGCUUAAAGACUGUUUAGGUGACAAUACAUAAUUUGGUUUCAUAAGCCAUAUGUCUGAUUCUAUGGACUUUGCAGUCCACAGAGUCUACCCUGAUUCAUAUCAUGGCUAUUGUUGUAAAAAUAUAGCCAAGAAAAUACGCGCUUCCAUCGGAACCAAUACAGUCGUAGAACAGUGGUUCUGUAAGACGUGUAAAGCAUAUAAUUUAUCUCAAUUUUAUGCAUGUUUGAACAAUUUAAAAAAUGAGGUAAAUGGGAAUGAUCUUCAUUGGCUUGACAAUAUUCCCAUUGCAAAAUGGGUACGGGCUUGUUUUCCAAGAGUAAGUUUCAAUGUUAAAUUCAUUGACAUUCCCGAUGUUUUCAAUUGGUUUAAAACAAACACGCAUGAGUUUCCAAUAACAACAAUCAUUGAAAUGGUUCAUGACUCGAUGUAAGAAGUUUAUCUUCGACGUGCUGUUUUUGGAGGUAAUUAUAAGUUAUGACAUCAUUAAAACGGUGAAUUGAUAUGUUUAUUAUACGUUAUGACCUUAUAAUUUUUUUUAUUGAUUCAGUUGAUUUCACAGGGGAUAUCCAUAAUCUUCUAACCCCUUAUGCACUUAAGGUGAUUCAUAAAAGAUUUAUCCACUCGGAUGGUUGUAGGAUUACGCAUAUUGUUGGCGAUAGAUAUGAAGUGACUAAGUAUUCAACAACCGAAUAUGUACAACUAGACCGUGGUAUUUGUAGUUGCGGUAAAUGGCAAAAAUGCGGUAUACCUUGUGAGCAUGCUAUAGCUUCACUACACAGACUCGAAAUUGCAGAAAUCCAUCAAAUGGUAAAUUUAAAGUUAAGUACAGCGGUGUAUCGAAAUGCUUAUCAAACUGAGACGGUCUAUCCUAUUCCAACCCUUAGGCAUUGGGAAAAACCAGUCGAAAGUGUUGUGGUCUUACCUCCACGCCAAUUCAAUUGAACUUUAUUGUAUGGAUCACAACGAAUAUUAGUUUUUAUUCAGUUCUAUGUUAACCGUACUUGUAAUGGUUUGUUGGCAUUCUUUACUUUUUAAUAAAAAAAAUGUUUACCUUUAAAUAAAUAAUUGUAUUUUCAUAAUUGUAAUAUGUAUGCAUGACAACGACUAGACAAAAAAACUAUGCGAACUGACAAACGCAGUAACGCGGACUGACAAAAACCUCUACGGACUAACAACAGCUCUCUGCAGAGUGGAAGGGACUAUAUAUAGUCAUGGAUGGUCGUCGGAUUUUUCGUAUAGAGUUAUAAUUUUUUAAAUUUAAAAUGACUUCAUCUUCAUCUUUGUAUAUUUGCUCGUGCAACGAAGUUGAUUGUUUCUAUUGUGAUCCGAUCGACCCUUUUCUUGCACCAUCACCAAAUUUAAGAGAGUCAUAUAUGUCGGAGGAUACUUUGCAACAACUACAAUGGGCUGAAGAACAACAAAAAAAAAGAUAAAGACUCGUCUCGGGCUCUCACUGAACGACGUGACCUCAUUGCGGCGGAGUGCAAAGAUGUUGAGGAAAGGAUGACGAUUACAAAAAAAAAUCAAAAAUCAUGGGGAAUGGAAAAAAAAACNCUAAGAAGAAUCUCAAACUGUCUGAAAAAUGGCUUGCUGACAAGGAUGCAGAAAUGAUAGAACUUGGUAGGCAAAAGGACCGUAUGGAAGAUAAAAUAAGAAUAAGGGACGACUACAUAACAAUGGAGAAAGAAAAGUAUCCUUUGCAAUUCCCUUAAGUUAAUUACCGUUGUUGUACGUUUACUAUAUGUUUCUAGUUUGUUGAAUGUAUUAACUUCGAGUAUUAGUUAUUAUUCUACUAGUAAUUAUGCAGUAAUAUAAUCAUAAUAUUACCCAUCAUCUUUAAAAUAAACACACCAGCUCAAAGUAGACAAAUUAAUGUCCUCUAAAACAAAACAUAAUUAAUUAUAAAUACAACAUCAAUCAUUCAAAUCAAACGUUGAACAAUAGUCUUCUCUCUACGUCCCACUCGUCCAACGCGUGUCUUGUGUCCCGUGCGUCUCUAGCGUCUCCUGAGUCCCUUCUGUCCCUUUCCCUUUUCCUUUUGUGUUACUACUUGAUGUCGUAUUAGUUUUUCUAGCCUUUUUUUGUUUCUUUGGGACCAAUGUCGGACAAGUCGCUGCAUUAUGUGUUGUACUAUCACAUCUACUACACCUUCUUAUUAUAGGUUCCUCACCUUGUGACGGAAUACGAUUUCUGUUUCUCGGUCUACCAGCUUGACGUGUAUCCAUUAUCGGGGGUUUCACAACCAUCAUGUUAGCAGGAAUCUCCCAAUCACACGGUUCUGGAAGGGGGUAAACCGGCUCCUCAUACGUACUUCGGUAUGUUUCCAUUUUGUAAGCAUCUAUAGCCAGAUGUCCGAAGUUAGUUUUUUUCAAGUGCUUCAAGACCAUUAUCACAUGACCACAAGGCAACCCAGUUCCUUCCCAAUAUUUGCAUGUACAAGUCUCUUGCCUCAGAUCAACUAUGCCACCAUGUUUGAAAUCAUGAACUUCAUAAAGUGCAUCUGAAACACCAGAAAUGGACCAUCCUGUCGUACGCUCUUCAUUUUUACUAACUACUUUUUCAGCCCACUCGGUUAGCACUGUUGAACGUUUCCCUAUAAAGAAGAUAUAUAUAAUUAACUAAUUAUUCGACCUAAUUAAAGACAAAAUAAAAUUCAUACCUCCUUCGAUGCGACGCUUGUAACACCAUUCCUGUGAAAGACGUCGGAAGAACUCAAGAAGGGGUAUUAUAGGCAUCUUCCUUGCAUCUACAGAUAAAGCAUUCAUGAACUCUGCACUGUUCGAGGUCAUGUAAUCGUAACGUUUCGAUGGCGAAUAUGCUCUAGUCCAUUUAACACAGGGAAUUUCACUUAGAUACGCUGCUACUUGCGGCCUAGUAGAACUAAAUAUAUACCACAAUUCUUCAAAAACAUUUCUUUUGUAAGCUUUCACAAGCCUCCAAAACAACCCUUUUGUUUUAUCAUUUUUCCCAAACUUGUGUACUAUGUUUCCUAGUGUGACAUCCCCAAAAUCUUGGCCAGAAAAGACCGAUUUCAUUGAUGCUUUUUAAAAUAAUUUCAGAGUAAAUCCUUUUGAUUUUAAAAGAGAUGCGGAAUUUGUUCCCAAAAACAAAACAUGAUAAAAUAGAUCUUUUAUCAAAACAUUUCAUAAAGAAAUAUAAUUUCAUUUCAUAAUCAAAACCGGGAUGUCAUGUUCCGAUACAGACCAUAAAGCAUAAACGAUAACAUUACAAGUCAUUCAACAAAUAUUAUACAUAUGCAGACUUGUAAACAAAACAACUUGAUGAUUCAUCCAUCUUAUGCCCUUACGCCACUUCCUGUAAUACAAGUAAACUGAGUGGGUCAGGCUUGGGAGCCUGGUGAGCAUAUAGGGUUUUCAACCCACAAUAAAUAAUUAUAUUUAAUUCAACAAUCAACAAUAACCCGAUUACCCAUUCCCGUUUUCCUUACUUUACGUCCCUAAAACAACAUCUAUUAUAAGGGACCUAAUCUAGGAGUUUCAUCGGGACAAACAUUACUGCAAAGGGGCUUCCUUAGCAAUAAAUAUCCUAAAGGCAACCAUGAGGGGGAUAUAGUUCACCGGUGAACACGUCGUUCACAAGACCUACAGGUUAUGAGCCUACUAGUGUUCCACAGGACUGUCUAGAAUAGUCCGUGGUCGUCAUCCAUACUCUGCUGAAUGACUAGAAUAACACCAACAACAUCGAGGCCUCUCAUCUGUUUAUUACACACCAACUAUCUACCCAUGUUCUACCCAACAUAUUAGUAGAUAAAAAUAUACAUUUGUAUACAUAGUUUAAAACCUGUAUAGCAUGCUCAAUCAAUACAUUUUUCCACAUAACAGAUGAGGUACACACACAUAACACGUAUUUCAUAGAGAAUAAAUCAGAUCUAUGAGAUAGAAGAAAGUGAAUAUACAUCCACACAUAUAGUCAACAAAGUAUACACGUAACACGUAUUUCGUAUAAAAUACUUCAUAAUAAUGUGUUAGAAGAAAAUGACUACACACUCACUUGAUCAGAAGAUGAUCGGGCAACACUACGACUUGUAGAAGUAGUGUUUCUCCGUAGAUCUGGAAGAUCUUCACAUAAACCGGGCUCCUCGCGGGCAGGUCUUCGGCUCUGAAAUCUCACUUCUCGGGAUUCUCGGGACUUCGGAUCUUGCUUCGGGGCUCGCGAAUAAUAUUGGGGCUUCGGGGUAUGAUUGGCAAGCAAAUCGAGGCAAAAACUAGAGAGAAGAAAGAGUUUGAACUAGAGAAAAUGGUUGAUCUCGCAUUCUAUUUAUAGGCUGCUGGGUCUAGGAUUAUGCCGGGCGUAAUUUCCAGGUACGCUGGGCGUACUAAGUACACUGGGCGUAAUUAGGUUACGUUGGGCGUACUUUGACGUCACUGCAUGCGUCAAUUGGUGGCACUCGAGUAUUGGUCAGACAAGUUGCACCCCUCUGAGUACGCUGGGCGUACUCAAAUUACGCUGGGCGUAAUUUGACUCGUCAAACUUCUAAAUUGCGUAACUUUGGCAUACGAGCUCCGUUUUCGACGUUCUUUAUAUCAACGCGUAGGUUAGACCAUACUCUACAACUUUCAUUUAGACUCAAUUUUUACUUUUAUUUUUAUUAUUUAUUUUUAGUAGGCCGGGACAGGAAAACUUCGUUAUAAAUUCAUAACUUCUUCGUUCGACGUCCGUUCUCGCCUAACUUUUCAUCGUUUCACUACUAACAACGAGAUAUUCGAUUCUCGUUUAGAUUGUUCUGGCUAAAAACCGCUCGAUCUCAAAUCGAGUAUUCGGGCUGCAUACUGCCAAGUCGAAACUUCAGANGAAAAUCAUAUUCCUCAUACGAAGUCAGAUUUGGGCGUUCUAUAUAUAUUUAGAAACCUAGUUUCAACUACUACAACAUUAUCCAAAGAUAUCGAGUUUAUUUUACACUUCAUUUUGACGCUAAUUUUUAUUCUUAAUUCAAUUAAAUUAUAAUAAUUAAGAAAACACACACAUAAUUCACAUAAUUCACAAAUAAUACAUUUUUAUUAUUUCAGAUUGGGUUACAAAGGUUAACCUAGACUAUUACAUUGCUAAAAAUGGCAAGCCCAUAAUCACGGGCGUUACAAUUUUCUCCACCUUAGAAUGAUUCCGUCCCUGGAAUCACACAUCAACAAAUAAAUGCGGAUAGCGACCCAUCAUGUCACUCUCCGUCUCCCAGGUGAGAUACGACCCAUUCGUGUGUUUCCAACGGACAAGCACUAACUCAACCAUCUUACGUCGCAAUUUCUUAGUCUUCCGGUCAACGAUUGCUUCUGGUUCUUCAAUCAAUCUUUUGUUUUCAUCAAUUAUUAACUCUGAAAGUGGAAUCAUGUCGGGAACUUCUCCCGUGAACUUCCUCAAGUAACACAUAUGAAAAGUGUUAUGAAUUCCAUUCAGUUCUUCGAGUAGUUCGAGCUUGUAAGCUUGGUUCCUAAUUCUCUGAAGAACUUUAAACGGUCCAAUAAACCUUGGACUUAACUUUCCCCUUUUACCACAUCUUAUAAGUCCCUUCCACGGCGAGACUUUAAGCAAAACCGAAUCUCCAACUUCAAAAGUCAUCGGUCUUCGCUUUUUGUCAGCAUAGCUCUUUUGACGGUCGUGAGCUGCUAACAUUCUUUCCCUAAUUAUUUUCAACUUUUCAGCCGUUUGAUGGACUAUCUCUGGUCCCAUAAACUGCUUUUCCCCAGCCUCAAGCCAACAAGACUGCGUACGACACUUCUGUCCGUACAAAGCUUGAUAAGGUGCCAUCUUAAUGCUCGAGUGGAAACUAUUAUUAUAGGAAAAUUCUACCAAUGGUAAAUGUUCAUCCCAAUUACCUAGGAAUUCCAAGGUACAUGCUCUCAGCAUAUCUUCAAGUGUUUGUAUCGUUCUUUCACUCUGACCAUCAGUCUGCGGAUGGUAAGCUGUGCUUAAACACAACUUGGUACCCAAUUCCUCUUGUAGACUUUUCCAAAACCGUGAGGUGAAACGACUAUCACGAUCCGACACAAUUGUUAACGGAACACCGUGAAGCCUCACAAUUUCCUUCACGUAAGAAUUCGCAAGCUUUUCCAUAGACCAUUUCUCAUUGGCUGCUAUGAAAUGCGCACUCUUAGUGAAUCGAUCAACGACCACCCAAAUCAUGUCGUGACCAUUCUUUGUUCUGGGCAGUUUAGUGACAAAAUCCAUAGCAAUGUCUUCCCACUUACCCAUAGGCACAGGCAAUGGUUCUAAACUCCCGUACGGUUUCUGAUGUUGUGUCUUGACUCUCGCACAAGUCACACACUCGGCCACAUACUUUGCAACAUCAAGCUUCAUCGUCGGCCACCAGUAGUAGGGUUUCAGGUCCCUAUACAUUUUAGUGCUACCCGGAUGAAUCGAGUACAUGGUCUUGUGAGCUUCUUCCAUCAGAAGAUCUCUGACUCCUCCUGUCUUAGGUAUCCAAAUCCGAUCUUGGAACACCUUCAGUCCAUGACUGUUUACACCGAACACCAACGUUUUGCCCAAACGUUCCUCCUUUCUGUCAUUCUUCUCAGAAGCUUCGCUCUGAGCUUUCUUUAUACUUUCCAAAAUAGUUGAGACAACUUCAAUUCUCAACGCUCUUGGCCUUUUCCUUUCGGGAUUGACUUUCCGACUGAGAGCAUCAGCAACAACAUUAGCUUUACCGGGGUGGUAAAGUAUCUCGCAGUCAUAGUCUUUAAGUAAUUCUAGCCAGCGUCGUUGCCUCAUAUUCAAUUCUUUCUGAUUAAAGAGGUAUUGGAGACUCUUAUGAUCAGUGAAAAGUUUGCACUUCGUGCCAUAGAGGUAAUGCCUCCAUAUUUUCAGAGCGAAAACUACCGCUGCCAACUCCAAAUCAUGAGUCGGGUAAUUCUUUUCAUGCUCUUUCAGCUGUCGAGACGCAUAUGCUAUCACCUUUUCUCUUUGGGUCAAAACACAACCCAAUCCAACACCAGACGCAUCGCUAUAAACAGCGAAGUCUUCAACUCCAUCGGGUAGAGAAAGUAUCGGUGCCUCGCAUAGCUUCUUCUUUAACUUCUCGAAUGCUUCUUUAUGCUUCUCACUCCAAGCAUAAGUAGCUCCUUUGUGGGUCAAAGCUGUCAAUGGAGUAGCAAUCGAAGAAAAGCCUUGGAUAAACCUUCAAUAAUAUCCGGCUAAUCCCAAAAAGCUUCGAAUCUCCGUGGGACUUUUCGGUUGUUCCCACUUCAUCACAGCUUCGAUCUUCGCUGGAUCAACCAUUAUCCCUUCUUGGUUGACCACGUGACCCAAGAAUUGUACUUCUCGAAUCCAAAAAUCACAUCUGGAGAACUUUGCAUACAACUUAUCCUUCUUUAAAACUUCUAACACUUCUCGCAAGUGUCUGCCAUGCUCCUCCUGGCUUUUCGAGUAAAUCAGAAUGUCGUCUAUGAACACUAUNGAACGGAUUACAAACCCUGUUCAUUAAAUCCAUGAAUGCUGCUGGAGCAUUGGUUAGUCCAAACGACAUAACCAAAAACUCGUAGUGCCCAUAUCAUGUUCUGAAUGCAGUCUUCUCUAUAUCCUGCUCUCUUACUUUUAGCUGAUGAUAUCCUGACCUCAGGUCGAUUUUUGAAAAAUAACUUGAACCUUGUAGUUGAUCGAACAGGUCAUCAAUCCUCGGCAACGAAUAUCUAUUCUUUAUUGUUGCCUUGUUCAGUUCUCUGUAAUCGAUGCACAUCCUCAUACUUCCAUAUUUCUUUUGACGAAUAACAUCGGAGCUCCCCAGGCCGAUGAACUAGGUCUUAUGAAACCUUUGUCCAAUAACUCCUGAAGUUGCAUCAUCCGCUCCUUCAUCUCCAUCGGUGCUAGUCGGUAAGGUGCUUUUGCUAUAGGCGUCGUUCCCGGCAACAAGUCGAUACGAAAUUCUACUUGUCGAUCAGAAGGUAAUCCAGGAAGAUCUUCGGGAAAUACUUCCGGAUAAUCACAUACGACAGGAAUAUUCUGCAUCACCUUUUUUUCCUUCUUAGCAUCGAUCACGAAUGCUAAAUAUGAUGUACACCCCUUGGUCAAACAUUUUCUGGCUUUCAUUAGAGAAAUGAUUCCAGAAUUUACUCUGCGUUUAUCUCCAUACACCAUAAACGAUUCCUUCCCAGGCGGGUUCACUUUCACUAUUUUCUUCUUGCAUAAAAUUUCGGCAUCAUUGGCGCUAAGCCAAUCCAUUCCCAAAAUGAUGUCGAAACUGUUAAGUUCGAUAUAAAGGAGUAGUUUUCUACCAAAUUCAUGCGAUAUAAAGGAGUAGUUGGCUCCAGAAUCAAAUAAAAUUUGGGCAGACGAUUUGUUUACGAGAAAGGUACCUGAACGACAUCAGCUUCAUCUUUAGCAGCUUCCAGUGUCAUCUGGAAUGCUCUCGCCUUCGGCUUUGGCGAAAUGUUGGGUUUUGUUGCCUCCUUCUUCUUCGGACAAUCUCUUGAUAUGUGCCCUUCCUCACCACAACCAUAACAAACAUUCUUGGUGAGGGUGCAGUCGUUGGCAUAAUGCCCUGGCUUUCCACAUUUCAAGCAUGUGGCUUCCCCGCCGCACUUCCCAUGAUGCUUCUUCUUGCAUUUGUCGCACCAUUUCGCUUCGCCUCCUCCACCCCCUCUCGAACUAGACUUCGAGAAUUUACCCUUUUUGCUGGACCCUGAAGAUCCCUCGAACUUCCUCUUUUCACCAACCUCUGACCUUUCCAGACCUUUUUCCCUGAUCUGGGUCUCAACAUUUCUAGCAGCCCAGAUGGCGGCUUUCAAUGUGGUUGCUUGCUUAACCAUUAGACCAUAGUCCGCUGGUAGUCCAAGGGCAAACUUGUUGACCUUAGAGAGUUCUGUAGGCACCAAAUAUGGGAUAAACUUCAUCUUUUCUGUGAAACUUGCAGCGUAUUCAGUAACGCUCAAUUUCCCUUUCUUCAAAUUCUGAAACUCAUUACUGAUUUCCAGAAGGUCCUGCUCGGAGCAGUAUUGCAGUUUUAGUUGUUCCACAAAGUCUUCCCAAGACAUUUUGCUUGCUUCUCCCUUGGGCAUAGAGUCAGCUAACAGCUUCCACCAACUCAACACGCCAGAUUUUAGCAGAGGGAUCGCAAGAGCGGUCUUCUGCCUGUUGCUGCAUUCGCAACUUUCAAACAUAGUCUCCAUUUCGGAGAUCCAGUCCAUAACUUGCACCGGCGUCGGGCUUCCGGAUAGACAUGGUGGUUUGGAUGCCAUGAAAUCCUUAUACUUGCACCCACGACCAUCAUUUCCUCCAUACUGGUUAUUGCGUCUAACCACUGGUUGUUCGUCUUGACCAAUGAUCCCACUAAAGUUUUCUCCUUCAGACUGCCCUCCAUUCUCCUCGGGCUCUUCCGCUUGAAUUGACGGUUCUUCACGAUUCUGCCUAAGCAGGCGUCUUGUUUCUUCCAUCUGACGAUCCAACAUCAUUUGAAUCAUCAUUUGUACACCAGCCAUUGUUAUCGGCUCAGGUGCAUCAGCUACGACAGGUACUUGUUGAAUUACAGGCGGUUGAUUCCUGUUUUCAUCAGCAUUUCCAACUCCGCUUCUUGUUCUCACCAUUUUUGAUCUACACACCGAAUAAUUUCACCUUAUUACUCCAAACGAUUACAUGCUAGUUCUAAUAUCGUAUACAUACGCUUAGAAUCCUAAACACAUAAACCUUCAGAUCCGGUUGGCAACAAACCGUAGAUCCGAACAAAUAAUAUCAUAUAUGGCAACAUAUAACAUUUAGCACAUAAAAGCAUUUUAGGCAACUUUCCUAAAAUAAACUAGUGCUCGUGUCUAAAAUUUAUCAGACACACAUCUCACAAUCUCCACUUAGCAUACUAAGUUUAAGUCUAGAAAUCCUACAAAUUCCUAGUUCGCUUAAACUAAUGCUCUGAUACCAACUGUGACAUCCCCAAAAUCUCGGCCAGAAAAGACCGAUUUCAUUUAUGCUUUUUAAAACAAUUUCAGAGUAAAUCCUUUUGAUUUUAAAAGAGAUGCGGAAUUUGUUCCCAAAAACAAAACAUGAUAAAAUAGAUCUUUUAUCAAAACAUUUCAUAAAGAAAUAUAAUUUCAUUUCAUAAUCAAAAAUCGGGAUGUCAUGUUCCGAUACAGACCAUAAAGCAUAAACGAUAACAUUACAAGUCAUUCAACAAAUAUAUACAUAUACAGACUUGUAAACAAAACAACUUGAUGAUUCAUCCAUCUUAUGCCCUUGCGCCACUUCCUGUAAUACAAAUAAACUGAGUGGGUCAGGCUUGGGAGCCUGGUGAGCAUAUAGGGUUUUCAACCCACAAUAAAUAAUUAUAUUUAAUUCAACAAUCAACAAUAACCCGAUUACCCAUUCCCGUUUUCCUCACUUUACGUCCCUAAAACAACAUCUAUUAUAAGGGACCUAAUCUAGGAUUUUCAUCAGGACGGACAUUACUGCAAAGGGGCUUCCUUAGCAAUAAAUAUCCUAAAGGCAACCAUGAGGGGGAUAGAGUACACCGGUGAACACGUCGUUCACAACACCUACAGGUUAUGAGCCUGCUAGUGUUCCAUAGGACUGUCUAAAAUAGUCCGUGGUCGUCAUCCAUACUCUGUUGAAUGACUAGAAUAACACCAACAUCAAGGCCUCUCAUCUGUUUAUUACACACCAAUUAUCUACCCAUGUUCUACCCAACAUAUUAGUAGAUAAAAAUAUACAUUUUUAUACAAAGUUUAAAACCUGUAUAGCAUGCUCGAUCAAUACAUUUUUCCACAUAACAGAUGAGGUACACACACAUAACACGUAUUUCAUAGAGAAUAAAUCAGAUCUAUGAGAUAGAAGAAAGUGAAUAUACAUCCACACAUAUAGUCAACAAAGUAUACACGUAACACGUAUUUCGUAUAAAAUACUUCAUAAUAAUGUGUUAGAAGAAAAUGACUACACACUCACUUGAUCAGAAGAUGAUCGGGCAACACUACGACUUGUAGAAGUAGUGUUUCUCCGUAGAUCUGGAAGAUCUUCACAUAAACCGGGCUCCUCGCGGGCAGGUCUUCGGCUCUGAAAUCUCACUUCUCGGGAUUCUCGGGACUUCGGAUCUUGCUUCGGGGCUCGGGAAUAAUACCGGGACUUCGGGGUAUGAUUGGCACGCAAAUCGAGGCAAAAACUAGAGAGAAGAAAGAGUUUGAACAAGAGAAAAUGGUUGAUCUCGCAUUCUAUUUAUUGGCUGUUGGGUCUGGGAUUACGUUGGGCGUAAUUUCCAGGUACGCUGGGCGUACUCAAUACACUGGGCGUAAUUAGGUUACGUUGGGCGUACUUUGACGUCACUGCGUGCGUCAAUUGGUGGCACUCGAGUAUUGGUCAGACAAGUUGCACCCCUCUGAGUAUGCUGGACGUAAUUUGACUCAUCAAACUUCUAAAUUGCGUAACUUUCGCAUACGAGCUCUGUUUUCGACGUUCUUUAUAUCCACGCGUAGGUCAGACCAUACUCUACAACUUUCAUUUAGACUCCAUCGGCUAAUUUUGACUUUUAUUUUUAUUAUUUAUUUUUAGUAGGCCGGGACAGGAAAACUUCGUUAUAAAUUCAUAACUUCUUUGUCCGACGUCCGUUCUCGCCUAACUUUUUAUCGUUUCGCUACUAACAACGAGAUCUUCAAUUCUCAUUUAGAUUGUUUCGGCUAAAAACCGCUCGAUCUCAAAUCGAGUAUUUGGGCUGCAUACUGCCAAGUCGAAACUUCAGAAAAUCAUAACUUCCUCAUACGAAGUCAAAUUUGGGCGUUCUAUAUAUAUUCUGAAACCUCGUUUCAACUACUACAACAUUAUCCAAAGAUAUCGAGUUUAUUUUACACUUCAUUUUGAUGCUUAUUUUUAUUCUUAAUUCAAUUAAAUUAUAAUUAAGAAAACACACACAUAAUUCACAUAAUUCACAAAUAAUACAUUUUUAUUAUUUCAGAUUGCAUUACAAAGGUUAACCUAGACUAUUACAUUGCUAAAAAUGGCAAGCCCAGAAACACAGACGUUACACCUAGUAUAUGAAAAGCACACAAGCCAUGAUGAGCAUGUGGAAAAACAUUUUCAAUACUAACGCGAAUUGUAUCGGCCCUAUCAGUUACAAAAGUCAAUUCUUGACAAUCACUAACACAUUCAUACAACUUUUCAAGAAACCAUGUCCACGUAAGACCACUUUUUUUUUUCAUAUUCCGUGCGUAAGGGGCAGUAUCUGGUUGUUCCCAUCCAUAGCUACUCCAUGCAAUAUGGUUCCCUUAAAAGCACCCUUCAAAUGGGCACCAUCCAUAAUUAUAACUUUACGACAAAAACUUUUGAACGCUCGUAUCUGCAAUAUAUAAAAAUGGAACACAUAAACACUCUAUAAUUUGUUUACAAAAAUUAUAUAUUAAAUAACAACAAGUUUUUUGUAUUUACCGUGCUCCCAAUGGCAUAAAAACAACACUCGAAACAAUCUUCAGAAUCUGUUUGAAUAUACGCAACUGUACCGGGAUUAUGCCUCUUCAAAUUGUGAAAAUAAAUAGGAAGUUUGGCAAAACAUUCUUCAGAGGAUCCCAACAACAGUUUCAUAGCAUAUUGUUUUGCACGCCAAGCUUGUUUGUAAUCUACGUUGAUUUCCAGCAAAGCAUUCAAAUCCCUUGAUAUUUCAUUAGGCCUCCAAACCUUGGAACGAGUUUUUCCCAUAAUCUCAUGCAAUAUAGUACCCAUGACUUUUUUAUUAGCAUGCUUAUGAUUAGGGUGUAUCUGUAAUGACGAACAUGUGUACACGUUGUUGAAAGUCCUGAUUUCAAAUUCAUCAGUGAGAUCAAGGCGUUUUGCAUACAAACGCCAACUACAGUUCUCAAUUUCACAAUAUACCUCAUAACGAUUUUUGUUAGAAUGUUUGGUCUUAAACUGAAACUUUUCUCUUGUUGCUUUAAGAAUCAAUGCAAAAAUUAGUUGUUGUUUGUUGUCAUAUGUUUGACGAACAAACAUAUCAUCAUUUGGACCUAAACUGUGAAAUGGUCCGGGUUCAACAAUAGGAUCAGGACAAUCAGGUAUGGGAGACAUACCGUAAAAAAUGUCUGAAGCUUUUUUCCCGUAUGUGAACUCAUCUUCUGACCAUCCUUCAUUUGACUCUUCACUGUCUGAGAAAGUUUUGUUAGUCAAUCUUCUAAACCCAUAUAAAUUUUUUUCUUCAACCGUAUUCAGUGCCACCGUUUCUUCUUCUGGACAAUCUUCAACAUUAUCAGAUACAAUGUUAUCAACAUUGUAUGGUACAACUUUCUCAGCUGCUUCUGUCUGUUCGACCAAUCCCUGAAACACCUCUAAAUACAAAUGCACAAUCUCCUUCGUUUCAGAAAUUACAUUUCUGAGUUGAUUAACAUCUGCUUCAUCUAAAAUAUUCAUCACAUACCCAUGAACCGGGUGUUGAAAUGACAAUGAUAUAUUACUAUUGAACACCUUAGCCUUACUUUUGACCAAAUCAAACAAUAUUCGAAAAUCAAAAUUAGGCGGAGGCAGUAAACCCAAGUUGUUUAACUUUGGUCUAACGUAGGUGUUAAUCGCAUUACUUAUCUGCAAAAAACCUCCAGUACAUAAAAUAACAAAACUCAUAUUUGGUUUUGAAAAUCAAAUGAAAACGAACUGAUCUAUCGACCAAAAUAAAACAAACAUAUGAAAAAGAAACUUUUGUAUCAAAAAACUCUUCAAAAUCCGCUCCAACCACCCAUUCCACGGAGGCAUUACUCUCUCCGCAGAGACCCAUUCCGCGGAGCAUGAUUAAAAAGGCUAACAACCUAUUGUUCGACCACUUCGCAGAGAUGACUUCAUUCCGCGGAGGUCCGCGGAGGGUCCUCCGCGGAAUGCAUGUCUAUAGCUGGAAUUUUUUUUUUGUGUCUAAAUUUUUAAAUUUCCCCCUUUUUUCGUCUAUAGCCUAUAUUUUCUCUAAAUGAUUUACAUAUUGAAAGUUCAGAAACAAGUUAAAACUUAAACCCUAAAAGAGCGUACAAAUUUCAAUCGUCAACAUACCCCACCACAAAGGCACAAAUAAUCAAAGAAACAAAUGUAGAUGUAGAGGCCUUUUUCACCACAAUCACCCUUCAUCGGCCAUUUCGAAGGCCACGUGAAAUGUCACUAACGUGGCCCUAUAAAUAUCCACUACUUUGUCUUUAACCUUUCCCCCCUCUCAUAUAAAACCCUCCAUCCUCCUCCUUUACCACCAUCACCAACUACCUUCUCUCCUCCAUCAAAAGUAUCCCCAUCUUUUCCGACAUGGCUGCUUCUUCAAUCUUCAUGGCAACUCCCAUCACACUCCUCAAGAAAACUCCCACCUUCUCCGUCAAAUGUAUGUCACAAACACCUCAAAGCGGUGAACCGGGGGUUUCAAAACCAGCAACCACCCCAACACCACCACAGAUCAACAUUCCUCCUCCUCCGCCACCUGCUCCAAAGGUCAGCACGAAGUUCUCUGACGUGUUGGCGUUUAGUGGACCUGCACCGGAGAGGAUCAACGGAAGGUUAGCCAUGAUAGGGUUUGUGUCGGCGAUGGCUGUGGAACUGAGCAGCGGUCAAGACGUGUUCACCCAGAUCGGCAACGGCGGUGUUGCGGUGUUUGUCGGGACAAGUGUGGUGUUGACGUUGGCGUCGUUGGUGCCGUUGUUUAAAGGAGUGAGCGUGCAGUCGAAGUCGAGUGGACUGAUGACAUCAGAUGCAGAGCUUUGGAAUGGGCGGGUUGCGAUGUUGGGUCUGGUGGCUUUGGCUUUUACUGAAUAUGUUAAAGGCAGUGCCCUUGUCUAGAUAAUGUAUCAUAAACUUUUCUAUUACAGAAUUACAUCUAAGAUAGACAAAUGUAUAUUGUUUUGAAUAUUUAUGUUUAUCGAUUUACCAUACAUAGUUCAAAUCAUAAAAAGCAUGUUUUUUGAUAAUAUAGUAUAAAACAAAUAUAAUAUCAAUCAAAUUGAACGAUGUUGUGGUAUCUUUCAAUAUAAAAUUCUCUUUAUAAAAAUAAACAAACAACGUACUAAGAUAAAUUUUAGAGGAAUGAACUUAGAUUAGCAAUAUAAGAGUCAAAGUCUACAAAUUAAGGUAUUGAAAUCCUAGUUUCACAACUUCCUCUUUGAAUGUUGAACUGAGGUGAUCUUCAUUAAUUCAGACUGAAUAAGUGACUUAGUCCAGCCUAGUCAAUUAGCUAAUUUAAGAUGACAAGUAUCCAAAAUUCAAAAACAUUAUAGAGCUCAAUUUCAAACAAAAGUGACAAAUGACUAAUGCUCACAAAACGAUCACCGAAUCAUUCAAAGCAUUUACUAAAAGCCAGUCUAAUUCUUAUUGGUUUGAAAUCUAAUUUUAUCAUCAACUGUAUACAAGAUUGAGAUUGAUAUCAGAGUAAUAAUCUCUAAAAGCAAAAUAAUGUAUUCAAAAGAAUAUAUAUACAAAAUGAAUUAUGUCCCAAGCAGUACUGUGCAUGAGUAUAAGAUUACUAUUAUGUUGGGAUCCAUUAAUUGAUAACUAAGCACACUUCCAAAUUUACUAUAUGGAAUUUAGUUAAGGAUUAAUGUCAAGUGGGGUGCAUCCACCCCACUCAAAGGCCUUGUAUAUGUUACGGUCCCAAGUGAUAUUUUAUAAGGGUCUUUUUGUAGUUUUUCUUUUCCUAAUAUAUUAACAUUUUUUUUUGAUAUUUUUGGAACUUUUUAUUUUCUGAGAAAAGUAUACAAAAUAAUGUAUAUACAAGCUUACUUGAAGAUAUGAUCGUUUAUGAGGUUAUUCAAGACUUAUUCUCUUGAAGUAUCUAUUCCUAGCUAGAUAUGAACAAAUGUGUUUGCAUUUAUCCUUUUUUGCCCUUUGUCAAUUCUUGACUAAUAAGGUAAUGGUAGUUCUUGGUGAGGGAUUCACCUCUGUAUUGAUUCUUCAUUCUAUUUAAAUGUUUGGAUUCACCUCUGUAUUGAUUCUUCAUUCUAUUUAAAUGUUUGGAUUCACCUCUGUAUUGAUUCUUCAUUCUAUUUAAAUGUUUGGAUUCACCUCUGUAUUGAUUCUUCAUUCUAUUUAAAUGUUUGGAUUCAACAAUGUCUAGUUGAGUAGUUCUUUAAAAGCACAUUCUACCAUAUGCAUCUUUAUGUCAAUAUUAAUUGGGGAUUCCAUAAACUGAAACUCUUGGAGCUCAAUAGUGUAGUUGAAAAACUUUUGUUGAGCCCACCACUUACAUGAAAUAGGAGACUUUUUUCAAUAAACUAAGUGGUUCCUUCUUUAUGGAUCAUCUUUUCGUUUCUCCUUUUGAAAGGUCCCCUGGUGAUACUUUUAUGUGUUAAUGAAACUCAGUCCUUAUGGCAUGCUUUUUGGAUAUGAUAGUACGUGACUAUCAAGAGCUUAUUUCUACUCAGUAUAGUCAUACUCUCAUAAGUCUCUCAAGAUUUUACACUCAGAAGCAUCGUUAGAUUGUAUGGCUACCUACCUUGUACUAUAAGCAUGUUUAUUAACAUUUAGGGAUUUAUUUAGAAGGAUAUCAUUUUUCAUAUUUUUUGUCUAACACCAGAUCUUUUUUCUCAGCUCAAUUGUUUCAAGUAAAACUAAGUGUCUUCUUGAUUCGACAACAAACCAUUGGUCAUCUUUCCGAUUUCAAGUAUUUUGCAUAUCCUCUCAAAACUUCUUUAUUUUUUAACACAAAUUCAAAAACUAUUAGGUAUCGGGAUUUUAAGGCUUCUUUAUUUUCACCCUCAAUUAGAUUCAUAUUUUUCAUUGCCUUGCAGAUUUCCUUUUUAGUUUGAGUCUAUUUAUCACGAGCCUGAAGUCAUUUUCUUCCCCUACCCUUGUUAGUUUUGGCUAUUGCUAGUGCACGUACUUCAUUGGCUAAAUGAGAAGACACCUCGAUAAUGGUGGAUGACUUGGUGAAAUUUAUAGGUUGUUCCUUAGGCUAUCCAAAGUGGAGGUAGAAGAAGACGCAUGAUGCUGAAUGGACAUCCAAGUCAUGCGUGAACACUGCCCGAUGGCUUGGCUAUGGAGUCUCCAUGAAGACGAUGCAUUCGAUUGGUUUAGAAUCUGGUCCCUCAUAUUUUCUCUCCUCCUUUUUGUCCCUUCACUACCAACCCACCGGUAAACACCAUUUCCACAACCUAAUGGGUUGAUUGUGGAAUGGUAAACUACCUAUGUGGCGCUGAGUUAGAAGGUGUUUUGGAUAUAACCACUCCCCACAACCUUAGCAUUAGAACAUCCUGAUGCUCCACAUGAACUAAGAACAUCACUUAAUCUUCAUUAAAUACUUUGGGGUUGUACUCAUAAAGUAAAAUAUCUCCCCCCUUAGACAUAUCAUCAUUUUCCUCAUCUGAUGACCAAGGAAUUUGUGGAGAUAUAUGUGACUUUGGAUUAAAGGGGGUUAUAUUGGUCAUCCUUUUUAGACAACUUUUUAAAUUAAUCAAUCCAAGCUCCUAUACCGACGACAUUUUCUGGAAUCUCUUUAGAUGGGGAUGAUGGUUCAUUAAGCGACGACAUUUUCUAACCGUGUACCGACGACAAGUCGUCACAGACAAGUCAGGAUAGGUCAAAAAAGUCGUCGGCAUAGGUGUCGUCGGGAUAGGUACCCCAUAUACCGACGACAUGACGUUGGUACAAGUACCGUCUGGAAUGAUUUUCGAGAAAAAAAAUAAAGUUUUAUUAAUUACUUGUGGCGACGACAUGUCGUCGGGACAGGUGCCACCUAUAGCGACGCCAUUUUGUCGCCACAUGUUUUCCACAAAUAUCAAUCAAAUACCUAUAGUGGCGACUAGUCGUUAGGAUAGCCACUGGGUGUUUUUUUUUUUUUUUUUUUUUUUUUUUUUUUUUUUUUUAGUUUUUACAGAUUUUGUACAUUUACCAUUCGUGCAUUUUUAACAAAUCCAAACAUUUUGCAGCAUAUAUCAAAUAAGAUACAAUAACUGGGUACCAUUGUUUAAAUUCAAAACAUCAAAUUCAAGUUUAAUAUUACAUACCGAAUUAGAUAAAAUAAGUAGUUAACAUUGUUCAAAAUAACACAAAACAUAAACAUCAUUAUAUUCUUUUUUUUUUCUUCUUCUUCUUCUUCCAUCCUCUCGGGUUCACAUUUUGUUGAGAGGUAUUUCCUUGUGAUGUACUUCCUUCUGUGUUGGAAUUGAAUAGAAAACUAGCAAACGGUGGUGGUUGUGUAACAUCCCAAAAAUUUUAACAAAUAUGAACUUUUCAAAACAACCCAUUUAUUAACAAAAGUGUUUACAAAAACAUGAUUUAAAAUUAGAGUCUCCCAAGAUCCACUUUGUUCUAAAACCGAGGAUGCGUACGGUCACGCCUUUGCCUUGCCAUGAAUCAUUUGAAGAAACUGAAACCAUAAACAAAUCGUAAGCAAGAAUCUUAGUGAGUUCCUCCAAAAUACCACCGCACAAACAGAUAGCACAUAAAUAACGACAACAUGUACUAGGUCCACAACUAAAAGACUGGAUUACCCCUGAGCCUAUAAUAUGAAUCUGGCUUGCCUAUUGGGCCCACAACUCAUAUCUGGUUUGCUCUUGAGCCCACAACAUAAGUCAGACUUGCCCCUGGGGCUCACAACUUAUGUCAGGCUUGCUCCCAACUCAAUCAGUCAUCGGACUAGAAUACCAAUGUUCAGCCCUGUGACAACCUGAAAUUUCCAUUCUGAACAAACCAUAUCAAUCCAAUAGAAGUUAGAACAGUUACAAUGAAAUUCCAGACUUUGGGCAUAAGUUUGACAGUUUUUCAGGAUUUACACUUAAGGAGAUAUCAGGAGAGUGGAUGCACUAGGGUUUUGUGCAACACUGUUAUUCCAAAACUCUAGGAUAUUAGGGUUCAAUUCCGGAAUAAAAAUAUUUUCUGCCAAAAAUCUCAGGACUAUAUAUAGAAAUCUGAGCCAUAUUCAUUCAUUAGUUACAUUUCCAACUAGAGAAAAGCCAAAUUCUCUCUCACGGAUCUUCAGGUUUUUAUCCCAAAUCGUGAGUACUUCUAUCUAGUUGUAUUAUAUAGCUUAGAUUGUUUUUUAUAACAUCAAAAUCGGAUCAAAACCCCAAGAUUUGGGAGUUUACCGCCCAAGAACACUUGGAGAGUAAACUCCUUUUUAAGGGCCAAAAGUGUGCCCAAUGUCCCUCAAAGCCUUGGGAAUGAACCUAGAAGCUACCAUUACAUGUUUAAGACCACAAAACAAUUAAGAAUCAUGGCUAGAAGUGAGUUCACGGCCAAGGAAGUUCUUCGUCCGUGAACUCCAUUUUUAUGUGCCAAAAUGCCCUAAAAGCCUUCCUUAAGCCAAGAGACUAAUUUAGACAUGUACCUAGAUGAGUUUAGGACUAGCAAACACCUUUAGAACACCAAGAGUAAGGUGUUCACGGCCCAAGAAGUUCUAGGGUCGUGAACUCCAAACAAUGGUGCCAAAUGGUGCUAUAAACUCUCCUAAAGCCUUGGACAAUUUCCUUGCUUCAUUCUUAGAUAAAUUAGGGACUUGAAAACACCACAAACACCCUCCUAAGGGAGAUUACGGCCGUAAUCUCCAUGGGAUAUGGUCCAUGGCGCGUGAACUCCUCAAAGGAGUUAAAAGGAAGCCCAAACACUUGUUUAAGCCUAGAAGCACUUCACCACUUAAGUUGUAAUAAUGUUAGGCUUCAUUUAGUGACCCUAUAGAGAGUUUACGGCCAAGAGUUUACUCCCCUAGGCCGUAAACUCCAACACAUAUGGUCUUUUGACCAUAAACUCCCAUAAGAGGUCUUGCACUCCUUUGUUGCAACCCAUUAGCCUCCUAGCACUUGACCAAAGUGUUUUCCUCACAUUAGGAUGUUUAUACAUGUUUAAUUAGUGUUAUAAUCACUAAUUGUUUAUAUACAUAUGUCUUCAUAUGUAAUUAGGACCAUUGUGUGUGUCUAAAGUCUUCACUUGACACCUAGCAGUCCUACCUCUUCAGUUCAUCCGUAUCACCCACAACAGGUGAGUUUAUACCUNGGGGAUACAAGUAGAAUUAUGCUAAUUAUUAUAUCAAUCACAGGUGAUUAAUAAGCAGCAUUCAAAUGAUUAGCUACUCAUUAGCCGUUUUACCAAACCGUUUCCUUCAAAUGUUUUUCAUAAACACCUUAUGUGUUUAAAACUCCUUAUUACACUGUACCUUUUAUUCUGUAUGUUUCAAUUCAAACUUAUUUACAAUUGUGUUUCAAACAAAUGUUUCUUUAUACUAAACUAUUUUGUCAAACCCAUGCCUUCAAAACCGUUUUAUAGAUUGACAUCAAGUCGAUCUUUUCUUAGAUAAUAAUUAUGUUCAAAGGUUUUACAAAACUUAUUUUAUGUUUUUAUAUUAUAAAUUGGAUGCCUAUAUAUGCAUAGUUAUAUAAUAAAUGUUGAAAGGACUUAGGAAGGCUAUCCACCCUAUUUCCUUUUCCUCGAUUUGGAUGUGGUCUGGUGGGAUAUCAGGUACCCGUCCGAAGGUUGUUUAAAUAUUAAUUAUAUAUCAUGUGUACGUAUAUAGUCAUAAAAGUCCUUCCAGCUCAGCCAAUGCCCUUGGGUAGCAAGGGUAUAUUUAACAUCCCCCUCUUGCACGUAUCACAAUAUUAUCCGCUUUGGGCCACUCGGCACGAGGACUUCCCAGGGGGUCACCCGUCCUGGUACUACUCCCGCCCGAGCACGCUUAACUACAGAGUUCUUAUGGGAUUUGCUGCCCUCACGGCUUUAAAACGCGUUGUGCUAGGGAAUGUAUCCACACCCCUUAUAAGGAAUGCUUAGAUCUCCUUCCCAGCCGAUGUGGGAUCAGAUCUAACCCACUUUCACCCCCCAUUAUAGGGUUCGACGUCCCCGUCGAACACAUCGACCCAUGCCCUGGCUCUGAUACCAAUUGUGACAUCCCCUAAUUUCUCGGCCAGAAAAUACCGAUUUAAUUUAUGCUUUUUAAAAUAAAAUCAGAGAAAUCUUUUUAAAAGAUGUUGCGGAAUUGGUCCCCAAACAACAUAUGAUAAAAGUUUAUCAAAAUCCUUCAUUAAGAAGGUAUAUAUUUUCCAUAUAUAUCAAAACCUCGGGAUUUCAUGUUCCGAUACAGAUCAAAAGCAUAAACAAGACAUUAUAAGCCUUUCAACAGUUAUUUACAACUACUGGCCUAUAAUCCAAAAAUUCUCUCGUCGUCCUCCGACUAUGCUCAGGGUCCACUACCUGUAAUCAUAAAAACUGAGUGGGUCAGGCUUGGGAGUCUGGUGAGCAUAUAGGGGUUUCAACCCACAAUAAUAAUAUACUUAUUAAGUUCACCAAUCAACAAUAACCCUGAUUACCCAUUCCCGUUGUCCUCACUUUACGUCCCUAAACACCUAUCACAAGGGACCUAGCCUAAGGAUUAUCAUCGGGAUGGACACUACUGCUAAGGGGUUUCCUCAGCCAUACAUGUCCUUAAGGCAACCAUGAGGGGGAUGAAGUACGCCAAUGAACAUUUAAUUCAUCAACACCUACAAGUUGCGAACCUGCUAGUGUUCGACUGGACUAUCUAGAAAGUCUGUGGUCGUCAUCUAUACUCCGCUAGAUGACUACAACAACAACAACAACAACAUCGAGGCCUCUCACCUUUUUAACACACAUCAACUAUUUCAUCUACCCAUGUUCUACCCAACAUAUUUUGUAGAUAAAAAGAAUAUACAGUUUGAAACUUGUAUAAAACAUCAAAUCAAUAGUCACCUUAGUUAAACAAUUACUAUAUUUACACAUAACACGUAUUUCAAGGUAAAUACUUCAUAUCUAUGUGUAAAUUGAAAGUAACUACACACUCACAUAUUUUGAUGAACAUCGGGCAACAAUUCAUUUCCUAAAACGAUCGUUUCUAAUAAAACCGGGAGUUUUAUUGAGAAACUGGGCUCUGCAAAAGUCGGGGUUUGAAACCGAAAAGAUAAAUUUUCCGGGCUUCACGGGCACUUCGUGGAGUAUUCCGGGCUUUACAAUCGAUACCGGGGCUUUGCGGGAUGUUAAGAUGAAGAAAAUAUGGGUUUAGGGGUUAAAUAUGGCAAAAUUUCAAAGUUACCUGGGAGGUCUCGCACCCUUCUAUUUAUAGGGGCGAGGCUUCUGAUCCAACGGAUAGAAAGAGGACACGCGUCGCAGAUCCGAAGGCUCGCAGGGAAGCCUCGCACGUGGCUGCGCAUGGCUCGCACCUGUGAGGGGCUCGCUGGCAGCUUGUGAUUGGACCGAGGUCUAGGGUCCGAAGUAGAGGGUUCGUGGCAUGUUGCGAGGGCUCGGUCUCGUGCAUGAGGGUACGUGUCACCUUCUCAGUGGACCACUUCGGAUAAGGCCAUGUGCUCGGAUGACUCAGCAGCUCGGGUGACUCAACAGCUCGGAUGACUCAGCAGGACACAUGGCACUUUUUCAGCGAGGGUGACGUGGCAACUCGUGACUAUGCGAAUUUUCUCGAUUUUCGCGCCAAAACUUCUAAAAUCCAUAACUUUCGCAUACGAGCUCCGUUUUUGACGUUCUUUAUAUGCACGCGUAGCUAAAAUUACGCUCUACAACUUCCGUUUAGACUUCGUCGGCUAAUUUUGAAUUUAAAUUUUAUAUUAUUAUUUUUAACAGACCGGGACAGGAAAUCCGUUAAAAAUUCAUAACUUCUUCAUCCGACGUCCGUUUUCAUCAGAAUUUUUACCGUUGUGCUCCUAAUGACGAGACCUUCAAUUCUCGUUUAGGUUGUGUCGGCUAAAAAUCGCUCGAUCUAAAAUUCGAGUUUUUUAGCUGUCUACUGCUAAGCUGAAACUUCGAAAAAUCAUAACUUCCUCAUACGAAGUCAGAUUUGGGCGUUCCUUUUAUCGAACUUCUCAGUUUAACGACUACUACGACUUUCAUUUAGAUUACUAAGGCUAAAAAGUAGUUUAUCGAAAACUCACUUUUUACAACAUUCAGCACCGUGCCGGUUUUGUCGCGAAACUUCGACAUGUCAUAACUUCUUCGUUAUAACUCGGAUUUUGGUAUUCUUUAUAUCCCCGAAAUCCUUGUUUCGACCACUACAAAUUUAUGUAAAGAUAUCGGGCUUAUCUCCCACUUUAAUUUUGACGCUUAUUUUUAUUCUUAACUAAUUAAGCCCUAAUAAUUAAGCAUAAAACACAUAAUUCAUAUAAUAUUCACAUAAUUCCUUUUCAUUUCUUCAAAAUGAGUUACAAAGGUUAACCUAGACUAUCAACUCAAUAUAAAUGCCUAGGAUAGAAACAUGAGUGUUACAAAUUGUAUCAAGACAUGUUAUAUGGACGUGUUGAACUUCCGUGUCCAUUUCUCCUUCUGCUGUUUGUUCUUCUAAAGAAUGAGGAAAGAUAUCCAAGUCUAGCAUAUGCAGAGAACUAGCAACAAGUAGAUCUAAGUCGUCCAAGUUGUUGGCAAUUUCGACUGGACUCGUCGGGUCUAGGAAAGUGACUCGGUGAGUCAGAUCAUAUUUCACCAUUUCCACUGUGUUUUCCGAGUCGGCUCCUUCCAGUAGCUUUUCUAUCUCCUCCAAGUCCUUGUUAACAUCUCCAUCCUCUCCAGAAGGUAGCAAAAGCUUGCUUGGAUCUUCUUCUUGCAAAAGUGCAAGUUCUUUUUGUAGUAUCUCAUCAUCCAAAUCGAUAAAUGAGAUAUCUUCUUUUCCUUCCUCUUCUUGCUUGGCUUCUGGUAAAGCUCUAAAUAUUGCUGACUCGUCUCCUACCCUUAAUGUUAGUGUAGACUCGCAUACAUCAAUUAAAGCACAUGCGGUGUUUAAAAAUGACCUCCCCAAAAUAAUCGGAAUUUCGGGGUCUUCUUCCAUAUCAAGCACCACAAAGUCUACUGGAAAUAUGAACUUGUCGAUUUUAAUAAGAAGAUCCUCACAAACGCCUCUUGGAUGAAUUGUUGUCUUGUCUGCCAAAUGGAUCUUCAUGUUUACCGGCCUUGGCUCCGAUAAAUUCAGUUUCUUGAAGAAAGAGAAAGACAUUAGGUUAAUGCUUGCACCUGAGUCGGUCAACGCUUGAGUGACAAAUGCAUUUCCAAAUUGGCACGGAAUUAUGAUACUCCCCGGAUCGCCCUUCUUUUCGAGUAACUCACUCAAUAUUAUUUCCGUGACUUCAGCCAAAUAUUUCCUAGCAGCAAAGAGACCCUUUAGUAAGUUGAAGUACUUGGGUGUUUUAAGCAUCGUUUCUACAAAUGGCACAUUGACUUGUAGGGAUUUAACAUGCUCCAUAAAAGCUCAAUAAGCUUCAACUUUUUCAACUGGCAUGGCUUUGAUUGGGAAUGGCAAAGGGGGAUUAUAUGGCUUUAAGGGAAUGACGGUUUUGUCAUUAACGCAUGGACUCGUCGAGUCCAUUAGAGGGACUCGGCGAGUCUUGUCGGGCUUAGCUGGAGCCGACUCUUCUGCCUUUUCUGUCUUCCUAUUGGAGAUCCUCUGUGCAUGUGUGAAAAUUUCUUCAUUGCUGGAAGUUACUGCACUCACAUUCUCCAUUCUCGGAUUGUUUUCGGUGUUACUUGGAAGUUGACCCGGUCUUCUUUCGUUCACUUGAUGUGAAAGUUGUCCCAGCUGUUUCUCAAUGUUGAGAAUGGAUGCCUGCUCAUUCCUUAGCAUAUUUCUGGUCUCGUGUAUUGCAGCAUCGUGAUCAUUGUGUCUCUUUUCGGACACGGCUAUGAAUCUAGUGAACAAUUCUUCUAAAUCGGCUUUCUUUUCCAUUACCGGUUCUUCCUUUUGAUAAAAUACCCUCUCCUUCUGCUUGUAUUUCUCCUCCUUAUCCUUCUUGUAUUCUUCGUAUGGGAGCCAUUCCUUCUUCGGUUUCCCCCAAUUCUCGUCGUAUCUAUCGCCACUUGAGUAGAACACUUGAGCCUUCUUGUUUCCAUUUUCAUCCAAAUCACAAUCCUUUGUGAGAUGGGGCCCUCUACAAUUCUCACAUCCAACAUGAAUAGCAUGGAUUGUUUGAUCCAUUUUUGUCAUCCUUCUAUCUAGACUAUCGAGCUUAGCUAUCAUCGCCGCCAUGCUAUCAUUUGCCGAGUUCACUACCCCCCGACUUACUUCAUUUAUUGGAUUGUGGUAUUCUCUAGAAUGCUUAGAGAAUUCUUCAAUUAACUCCUUGAUUACCGGGGGCGCCUUCUUCGUGAGCGGGCCUUGUGAAUCGAGCAAUUGCCUUGUGGUGACAUUGACUCCAUCAUAGAAAAUGGAGACCUCUUGUUGGAUAUUGAGGUCAUGGUGUGGGCAAUUUCUAAGCAAGCUCUUGUACCUUUCCCAAGCUUCAUAAAGAGAUUCUCCGGGUUGUUGCUCGAAGUUGGCAAUGGCUUUCUUUAGUUUAGCUAUUUUGGAGGGCGGGCAAAAGUGGUCUAUGAACUCUUCUUUCAUCUUGGCCCAUGUGGUGACCGAUCCGGGAGGAAGUGACUUGAGCCAAUCCUUUGCAUCACCCUUGAACGUGACUGGAAGCAUGCGAAGUAGUUGGGUCUCGCGAGGCAUAUUUGGUACAUUGAAGUAGUCAGCCACAUCAUUUACUUCAUCCAAGUGCUUGUAGGCGUCUUCGUGGUCCUUCCCAUAAAAAGGAAUCUCCUUGAGUUGAGCGAGAAUAUGGCCUUUUAGUUCGAACGUAGUGGUUGCGGGAAUUGCGGGUUGCACAAGUCCCGAGCCGGUGUCAUCGCGCAUCCUUUUCUUCCAUUACCCCAUGGGGACUUCAUCGAUAUUAGCCAUAGCGAUAGCUAAAUCGUCUUCAAACUCGGAUUCUUGCUCGUAUGUGGGUUCUUCUUCUUCCUCGGUCUCGUACUCGAUGUCUUCUUGAAUUGGGUCUCUGAUUGUCAAAGAGGCACUGGAUGCUCCUGAUUUGCUGCUCCUUGUCUUGCUGAAAACGGACUUGAGGUUUUUGAGUGGUAAGUUCUUUGAAGAAGCGGAUUCUCCAACGGUUUUGCCUUUGCUCCUCCUUAGUGCGGAUUCCGGGUCUUCAAGAGGAGGGACCAGAGGUGUAUCAGAUCCUCAGGUCAUGAAACAACUGUAAACAAAACAAAAAACGCGUAAAAAGAACAAAAAAUAAAUAAAAAUUAAAACUGUGAAUCAGCGAUGUACUCGCCGAGUCGGCACGAGUGCACUAGGCGAGUCUGGUCAAAACAUAGAAAAAUUUUUCUAGUUACUUUAAAAACGGAUUUUUAUUAAAACUUAUACUACUUACUAAAUUACCUUUUAAAUAACUUUGUGUAAGAUAAAUCCCACACAAAUGAUCGAUUAAAUUAGAAUUUAACGUUAAUUUUAGAACCGUUCCCCAGCAACGGCGCCAAAAACUUGAUGUGUGCAAACUCACUUAGUUUUAAACCUACUUUUAAUUUUAAAAUAAACACACAAAGGCAGUGGACCUAUCAAUUGUGGUAUAGUUAAAUAAGUAGGGUAUCGAACACAGGGAACGGCAAAUUAAAACUAAAAACUAAUUCUAUCUAAAUUAAUUAAUAAGUAGGAGGUUUUCUCUAGUUUUUCAAGACUAGAAACUUACUAACUAUUACUUAUUCUAAAACUUAGAAAAACAAAGAAUUAACUAGAUUCAAUAAUGGGAAGGAACUUCUGUUUAGUUCAACUCAAUUGAUCCUAUGGUUGAUAUCAAGGUAAUGGUGCAAUGGAUUAACUCUUUUGUUGGUUACCGAUUCAAGUGAUUAGAUUUGCGUUCACUACACUAAUCCUUAGCAAAUAAACUAACUUAAACAGUGGCCAGUUGUCUAAUUUAAUUAAAUUCACUAGAUUAAUUAUUCGGGUUAAUUUAGACUUGCAAUAGUUAACUAAUUUGGUCCUUUAAUUAACUUNUUUGUUGAUGGUCAUCACAAGCUCACACAUGAAUUUACUCAAUUUUCUUAUUAAUUCUAGUUUCAUGUUCAUUAAUCCUAGACAUAUGACAAAGUGGUCACAUAGCAUAUGAGGUUGAUAAUCAAUAGAUGUUCAUGCUAUUCAAUUACCUUCCUAUUAAUAGAAAAUUAAUUAUCAUUCACACACAAGGUUCUUUAGCAAGCUAAAAUAACAAAAAUCACUAACUUUAAAUUAAUCCUACCAAUAAUCAAACCAUAGUAUCAAUUUUGUAUCCCCAAACAGAAGUUUAAGAGUUUUAGCUCAUGAUUGAAGUAAAUUACAGCAAACAAACAGAUUUUAAUUGUUUAACCAUUAUGAAAAAUAAAAAAUUAAGUAGAAUGAUGAAAUUUGCCUCAAAUCUCCUUCGGAAUUGGAUUCUAGCUUGUAUCUUCGUCCUCUAGGUUUUUUCUGACUCUUCAAUCGCAGCUAACCUCUCCAGAAUCGUUCCAGAAUUCCUCCCCAUCGUUCUCAGAAGUUAUCUUUAUAUAUGCAAAACGACUCGUCGAGUCAGAUGCCGACUCGUCGAGCCCAUCUCUAAGUCCCCGUAUGCGAUAAGUCUCUAGGUCUCCGAGUCUUUAUCUUCUCGAAUAUUCGCUUGGGCUCGCCGAGUAGUUGACCCUACUCACCGAGUAUGUGUUGUUUUUAGUGUUUUUCUUCUUUGUUCGAUUCCCGAGCUCUCAACCGCUUCUCCUGCUUCCUUUUGCUUCCGAGCUUCACUUUUGGACUGAAAACAUAAUUCAAACACUUUUAAGUACCUUUUGUCCAUGAAAUGCAAUAAUUUAGCUAAUAAAUGAAUAAAAAUCUACACUUAAUAUGAACUAAAUAUGCACAUAUCACUUUCCUUAGAUUCAUAGUCUCUCCAACCAAAAUUCCUAGAUAAUUGAAUGGGAUGGAUGAAGGUUCACAUCCAAGAGGAGCUGCCCAAUUUAUUACUUCCAUGUGGGUAGCUCCUAUCCCAUACACCUUCGAUUUCCUAAAGUUCACCUUUAGCCCCGAUGAUACACAGAAGCACCUUAAUAUCCGGGCCAAGUUUGCAAUAUUUCGCCUUGACCAUUAGCCUAUAAACAGUGUGUCAUCUGCAUAGAAUAAAUGAGACAAACAUUGAUUAGAUUGUGAAAAUUUGAUGCCUUCGAAGAUUCCUUUUUCCACAACUGUCUUCAUCGCCUGAUUUAAUCCUUCAAUCACAAUGAUAAAAAGAAAUGGGGAGAGUGGAUCUCCCUGUCUGACACCUUUUGACAUAGAGAACUCCUUGGUCGGACUGUCGUUGAUCGACUGGGAAGGAGAACUAAGCAUUCCUUAUAAGGGGUGUGGAUACCUUCCCUAUCACAACGCGUUUGAAAACCGUGAGGGAAGCAGAUCCCAUAGGAACUCUGCAGUUAAGCGUGCUUGGGCGCGAGUAGUACCAGGAUGGGUGACCCCCUGGGAAGUCCUCGUGCCGAGUGGCCCAAGACGAACAAUAUUGUGAUACGUGCCAGAGGGGAAUGUUACAAAUGGUAUCAGAGCCAGCGCACAGUUCGAUGUGUUCGACGAGGACGUCGAACCCUAUAAUGGGGGGUGAAAGUGGGUUAGAUUUGAUCCCACAUCGGCUGGGAAGGAGAACUAAGCAUUCCUUAUAAGGGGUGUGGAUACCUUCCCUAUCACAACGCGUUUUAAAGCCGUGAGGGCAGCAGAUCCCAUAAGAACUCUGCAGUUAAGCGUGCUCGGGCGGGAGUAGUACCAGGAUGGGUGACCCCCUGGGAAGUCCUCGUGCCGAGUGGCCCAAGGCGGAAAAUAUUGUGAUAUGUGCCAGAGGGGGAUGUUACAGUAUAUAGCCAUGUUCAUACGUACCAGUUAAAUUACUAGUAAGCUAUUGACUAUCCUACACCUUGCUGCUUGCUACAGCCGGACGUCAUUUCUUUCUACAUAUAGAUCAGUUAAGUCUUGGUAGAAGACUCCCUGUUAUAGUAGUAGGAAUCAUAGGGAUUUCUAGAGUUUUUCAAACGUUUACAGUUGUUUUACAUACAUUUUCAAUACUUACGAUUUACAUACAUUUUCAAUACUUACAAAUUCUUACAUACAAAUUCUUACAUACAAAUUAAGACACUAAAAUACUUAUGAUCUCACCAGCUUCAAAGUUGAUACUCGCUUUCAAAAUUACUUGUAUCCUCAGGUCAAACAUAGACAGGUACCGAUGCAAGGUUUAGAGAAGAUGGAGCUCGUUCAAGACUCAUCUUUCAUUUUGAUUUAUGCCUUAGUGUUUAUCAAAAUUUGACAGAACACAGUUGUAUAAUAAUUAUAUUAUUAAUGCAAUGGAUGAUGUUGCUGCUUGUUUACUACUUUUCAUUGUUGUGAUAUUGUACAUGACGUCCUCCGCCCCAGAACGUUUCCGCGGUUCUUGGUUUUGGGGUGUGACAAGCCCUCAGUAAGAGUCUAGCAUACCAACUGGUCCUCAGAUCAUAUCUGGAAUGCUACUAAUCCCCCAGUAUGAGUCUGGCAUGCCCCAUCCGAGACUCAACUCAUAUCUGGAUUUCUCCGAUACCCUCAACCCCUUAGUACGAGUCUGGCAUACCAAUCGGGUCCUCAGCUCGUAUCUUGAAUGCACCUGAGCCCUUAGUAUGCGUAUGGCAUGCCCUAAUCAGCUCUUAGCUCAUAUAUGGAAUGCUCCAGGGUUUGUUGGCUACAGAACGAAGCAGUACAACCUCAACCCAACACAAUAUGUCGACAAAUAACCAACAUAUACAGAUAAUCAUGCACACAUAAUCAUAGGUACUCCUAUAGAUCUACCAUACUAACAUAUCGGCAACUAGCAUACUCAUGCAGAUCUAUUCCAUACUCAGAAUAUUAGUGAAUUGUAGGAUAACAAACCAAUACACCGGCAUUGGUGCCUUCGACUCGUAAAUAUAGUGAGGAAAAAUCACAUCGCACUGCUGAACAUAAAGACGAUCCAUGGUUGAUGGCUGCCAGAUCCCCGAACCGCCAAUAUCAAGACAACACCCCAUCACAGCUGAUCCCAUGAAUAAUUUCUGACUACAGAACCACUAUGAUCCACGUGCUAUCAAAUACUACAAUGACAACCCAUCAAUAGACCUGGCAAUGGAGCGGGUUUGGAGCGAAUCAGCCUUGAUCCAAACCCUUUUAACAAAUUUCAAAAUCCGAUCCAAACCCGCUCCGUAACCCACAGGGUUUUAAAUAAUCAGACCCAUACCUUUAUCCGCCGAAUCAACGAAUAUUCAAGCCCGCCCCAUAACCCAAAGUUUUUUUAAAUAAUCAAACACAUUUUAAUAAACUCCUAAAAUAAAAUUUCUUAAAUAAGAAACUGUAUACUAUAUCUUAAUACUUAAAAUAACAUUUUUUUAAAUAAAAAAAAUUGAUUUAGAAAAGGACAUUACAUACUCGAAGAAUUUCAAUCGGAAUUAAAAAUCACUAUUGCAACAACUUUGAAUUGAUUUAUGACUGUUGGUUGUAGUGAUAGCGAAUUGCAAUUGCCAUCUUUUUUCAUGUUAAAAAUUGAUUUAUUGAAUUAGAAAUGGAUAUGAUGAUUUCUUGAUGCAAAUAAAUUAAAUGACAUUAUGAUUCUUGAUAGAAAUCUAUAAGUUUAGAAUCUGAAUUAUCGAUUCCUAUGUAAAAGCAUUUUUUUUCUUUGGCCUUUGCAUUUUGGACUUUUGAUUGGUAUUAAAAUUAAACGUUAAGAAGUAUAAAAUAUAAAUAUAUAAUUCUAAAUUUAUAUGGGGCGAGUUAUAAAUGGAGCGGAUCGGUGAUGAUCCAUACCUGACCCAUUUAAUAAAAGGGCUAGUGGGAAUGGAUCGUUAACGGGUAAACGAAUCAAAAACUACACUCCAAACCCAUAUAAUUCUUACGAGUUUGGAUCGGAUUAGGGUCAAAACCCACUUCAUUGCCAGGUCUACCCAUCAACCUUUAGCCCCUGACUCACGUUAUGAGUGAAAAUUAGGGUAAAAGACCUUUUUAUCCUUCUUAAGCUUGGCCCGAAGCCAAGGCCCAACUAAAUGGUUAAUGGCCCAAAAUCCAAAAUAGACUUCUAAGGCCCAAAUAUGGCCCAAUUUUCCAAAUUGGGCCCAAUUCCUUUCUUGGGCCUUCAGCUAAGAAAGUCCAUCAAAACAAAAGCCCAAACCAUAAAAUCUAGAUGGCCUAACAUGGCCCAAGACAAUCCGAGCCCAAAACCGGAGCCAAAAAUGAAGGCCCAAUAGUACCGCAUACGCGGGGAGUACUCCAAAGGCACACUUAGCGUACAUGAGGCUGCGUAGAAUCCACCAUUGGGGUGGCAGAUUGGGUAUGCGGGGCGUACACCUCCCUACGCGGGGCGUACCCUCUUAAAACUCAAUUUCUUCAUAACUGCUUAAUGGCUUAGCAUUUGAGCUCAUACUUCAGAUCCAAGGUCCAGAGCCAUACUAUGGCCAUAAAAUUCCCAACUUUAUGAAUUUCCACGUCCAAAAAGUCCUUAAUGAAAGGUCUUAAUGGAUUAAUACUUUCUACAAGAAGUAUGGAGAAAAACUAGCUAAGGUGAUCUCACUUUUAUGGCUUAGAACCCCUCUUAGGGUCUGAAAGGACAGCCCAAAAUGACCAAAACCAAACAUGCAUAACAAUGGGACUUUUGGGACAAAAAGAACAUCAUAAUGCUACCAAAAUGAGAUCCAAGCAAACAAAGCAUAAAGGUAGAAACUUUUUACCUUCUGGAGCUUCCCAAGAAGAUGAUGAUCCAAGAUCCACAAGCUUGCUUCAACUACUAAUCUCCUUGAUGCAACUCCUUCUUCCUUAAGAACACAAAGAACACACUUUUAGCUCAAAACACUCUCUUAUUGGGUUAGGGUUGCCAAAAAUGACUCAAGGGUGUGGAGGCUGAAAAGAUGAGGCUAAAUGAUCUAUAAAGGUGAUUAAAUACCCCACAAACCCUAAAACUUAGGGUUUUUUCUAACAAGAGUACACCCAUCGUACAUAUGAGUACGCCCAACAUACUAGGGUACACCCUAGUAUGCUUAGCGUAUGCACAUGUACGCUUAGCGUACCACUCCUUCUCCCAAAAUUACGAUUUUUCCAAUAGGGCUUCUUGCGACCACUUCCUUCCAAAACAAGGACCAAAAUGGUAUACUCUAAAGCCAAGAGAUGAAUUUGAAAAUGCCUGAAAACUGGGGCAUUACAGGUUGGGAGUUCGGAAUACAUGUCGCCAAUGAUGCAUUAUAUUGUUGCAAGUAUUCUUGCAUUUGUUGUGCAUUAGAUUGGGAUUGAGAUUGGAAAGAUGUGGAAGUUGAAGCACAUUUAUUUGGAAUUAGACCGAAGUUGGUGACUGGUCUCCUACCCACUACGCGAGCCUGCCCUUGUCUCGUCCUGAGGGCACGUGCAAGCCAUUCUUCCUCAUCUACUUCUUCACCUUACCCGACCCCGCUUUGCAUUUUCUCGUAUUUAUCUUGAAUCUUCUUCUAAAAUAAACAAGAUAAUAAACAUACGAUAAUUAAAACAAACAACUAAACUUAAACAUUAAAAUAAUAAUAAUAUACCUUAGACAUAAACUAUAAUUAAUAAUAAUAACAUAUUUAACUAACGUAUUAAUUUCGCUUAUGACUUACCUAAUCUUGUUGUGCUCGACUUGUACACCAACCCUAGCCUUCUUUGUAGCGCAUUUGUCUCCAACCCUCAAUAUGUUGCGGCUUCAGUCCUAGUUUUUCCUGUAAUAUGUAAAAAACAAUAAAUAUAUUUAUACGAGUGAUAGUAACAUUUUUAAAUAAUACUAAUAUACUUUAUUACUUUUAAAUGACGUCGUUGAGCAUACGACCUACAUCCAUGAGAACUUGUGUCCGGAAGUUUAAUUCGACCUAGUAACUUUAUUUUUGGCCGAUGUGUGUAUAUAUUCAUCAGUAAAAAACAACAUGCCAAUCGUCUUAUUCUAAGCUUUGGCAGACCAAUCAAUCUGUGGAUGUUUUUUUGUCCUUUCCACAUCCGCAUAUCCACCAGCUUUUUCAAAAUGAUUUUCCAUGUCAUGCUUGCAAUCUCGAUAAGCUUUUUGCAUACUAUCUUGGGUACCCGCUCGAACGGGUUCCCACAACUCUGUGCCCUAGUGCAUAUCGGGAUCAAAAUAAGUCUGCAAAAAAUACAUAUUUGAUUAGUAAUAAGAAAUAUUUAAUAAGUGUAAAAUUCAAUACAUAUAAAAUAUUUUGUAUAUACUUACUUCUAGCUCGAGAUAUAAAUUAUCUUCGUACUUGGUAGAAACAUGGCGCCAAGAAUGAUAAUGCAACAGUACCUCUGAUCCCACCAGAUUUGAGAUCAAUCUAACAAAUAAGUGUCUGUUGUCCCGCACGAAUCGAUACGUCCUCCUGGAGGUAUCAAGGCUCACAACCAAAGGAUUACUACCUUUAUCUUCAUACUCAUCGUACAAUUUUAAGUUUCUCCAUCUGCCAUGUACAUUCACAUUCUUCACUUUUGUUACAUUUACACAUAGAAUUGGAAAUUUAGAAAUUUAAAUCCAAUACUUAAUAUUUUCAUGUAACUUACAUGAUUGGCAACCCGAUGGUAAACCAUGUGUGACCAUGUGUGGGGCUCUAUCACCACUGUCUCCUCCAUGUUACCUCAUGACUUCUGCCAUUUAUUUAACAAAUAUUAUAAACAUUCAAAAUCUAUAAUAAAGCUACUUAUAAAUAGGCAAAAUUUAAAAACUUAACACAUAUUAUAAACAAUCAGGAUAUAUAAUAACCGUAACAUACCAUCAAUGAGAAUCAUCACUAGAACAAUAUAACAUCAUCAUCGUUAUCAUAGUCUUUGUUAUUUAUUUCUUCUUCUGAAGAGUACGUAUCCCCACCAUCAUCGUCAUCGUUAAUUGUCACACCCCUGAACCAGACGACGGAAACGUCUGGGGGCUCGUGUGACUAACAAUUGAAUUAUCAUCACAAUGAAUAUACAUGAAACAUUACACAUUCAUCACCAACAUUACAUAUUACAACCAGCAUUGUUCACAGCAAGUACAUUGUUAAAGAUUACAUAAAUUCAAAGUAUUAAUAGUAAGAUAGGUGAUGUUACACAAAAUAAAUCGAUACACUUGAAAAUCUUCCUGCUUAACGAUUACCUGAGAAUACCAGUUAUUUUGAAAAACGGUCAACAUAUAUAAUGUUGGUGAGUUCAUAAGUAUGUGUGAAUAAAAGUCUUUGCAUCUUUUGUAAAAACCUAGAAAAUCUGAUAUUUUCUGUAAAAUGUCUUAAAAUGAUGUGAAAAUCAAGUAUAAAUGCAUGUGUGAAUUUCAUAGCAAUAACAUAUAUGAUUUCAGUUUAAAUUUCUUUGUAUUUUAAGUAAGUGAUAAAUGAAUAAUAGUAUUUCCCUAGAAAAUCUGAGUAUUUCCUGAUUUAUAAUAAUGUCGAGGUUCUUGUAUCAUUAAUUAAGUUGUUUCGUAUUGACACAAUCGAAGGGUUAAUCUUCGAAAUGUCAAAUUGGUAUUGGAUCUCUAUAUGAGCAGUUAUAACCAUGUAUGAUAAUGACUAGGUUGUCUUUCUUGGCAUUUUCCAAACGUCGGUAUUUGCUCAAGGUUUUGUCGCCCAAGACUGGCCUAGUCUAGUUGUAGCGAACAACUAAGGCGUGGGGGGUCACCCCAUAUAGAUCUAUACACAAACUCCCGCUCUCCCUCCAGGAAACUCUGGUUAUAACUACAGACUACGAUUGUACACUCAGAGGUGUCAACCGACAUGUCUCACUAGAUUCUCAACUUUUCAUACCAUGUUUAAUGUUUACGUGAAUGUUGUAUGUUUUCAAAUCCAAAGGUAUAUAUAUAAGUAUACGAACUUUAGGGCUGGCAAUUGUUGACACGAUACGCGACACGACAUGAAAUAAAUGGGUUUGGGUUGAGUUUUUCAACCCGCCAACCCGCUAACCCGUCAACCCACCAACCCGUUUAUUAAACGGGUCAUAUAUGGGUUUCUCAAAAAAUAAACGGGUUGACCCGCCAACCCGUUUAUAUUCUUAAUAAAAAAAUUAUUAUAUUUUUAAAUGUAUUUAUGUAUCAAGUAUUAAUAUUUAAUAUGUAUUAUAUAAUAUAUACCAUUUAUUCAUAGACCAUUUGAUUGUUUUGACAUUAUUACUCGUGGUGGAUGGUCUAAGGUCAUAAGUCGUAACCUAUAAGACUAAGUCUGUAACAUGUUUCUAUGAAUGUUUUUAAUUUUCAUUUGGAUGUUUAAGACUUAAAUAUCUAAAAUUUAGACCCACGAACCCAAAUCUGACCCACGAACCCGCCAACUUGUCAACCCGUAUAAAUAAAUGGGUUGGUGGGUCAUAUAUAGGUUUAAGUUCCAAACCCGCCAACCCGUGACCUGUAUAUUUAAAUGGGUCGUCAUUGGGUUGGCAUAUUUUGACCCGCCAACCCGCCAACCCGCGACACGCCAACUCGAACACAACACGAUUGCCACGCCUAACGAACUUCAAGAAUUAUGUAAAGGUAUAGUUACAAUCUACUAAGCAUGUGAAUUUCAGUCCAAGCCCAACUAGCAUGUAAAUGGACCACAAAGGUCCAAUGACAUGUAAGAAGGUAAUUUAGACCCAAUAGGCAUGUAAGUGGACCACCAAGGCCCAACAAACAUGUAACCUAUAGCUCAGGCCCAAAUUAACAUGUAAAUGGGUCGCAAGGCCCAAUAAACAGGUCAUUGAAAAUAUUGGGCUCAAUAUAUACUUGAAUGGGCCCUUAAGGCCCAUUGGCCAUGUAAUGUGAAUAUUAGGUCCAAUAAAAUUAUUAUCGAUGUAUUUCGUCAAUUCGUUAUUAUUUCAUGGUUUGCUUUAGCUCGAUGUUUACCGAAUUAAAUAUAAAAGUCCCCUUUUUGUAUAAACGACGUUCUUGGCCAAUAAGACUAAAAUUUUGAAUUAAGGCCCAAAGUUUUGUAAAAAUUAACACUUUAGUCCAUAAUGUAUAAAAAUUUGUAAUUUUGCCCCAAAUGUUUAGAAAUUUACGGAUCUAGUCCAAAAAAUUAUAUUUUGACAUUUAUGGCCCAGUUUCGCAGAAUAUUACAUUUUCAGACCCUUGUUUGUAAAAAUGACACUUUUGACCCAGUUUUUAUAAAAGUUACAUUUUUGGUCCAAUUUAGAAAUAUAUGUUAUUUUUACCCCUAAAUUUGGUUUAUUUACAUUUAUGACUAAAACUUUGGUCAAAUAACAUUUUUAAUCCCAAAACUUCCAUUUUUUCGCAAAUUUGGCCCCAAAACCGUGAGGCCCAAAUAUUCAGCCCAUUAGGCUAAAAUUUACGUUUUUGGCCCUUUGGAAAGCAUGUUUAUCAUAAAAAUCCCUUUUUAUACAAACAGGACCUGUUUGGUCCUUUAAAAACCGUAAAUGUCACUUUUUUCCCUUAUCUUUUGUUUUCUUGACAGUUUUGACCCUUAACAAGGUUUUUGCUUUAAAUUUUUGUAUCUUAAACAUAUAAACACUUUUAACUUGAUAAUAUGAUGUAUAAGGUGUUUUAGUGUUGGAUUAAUGUCUAAGUUUAUAACUAUAAUUGGUAAGACUUGACCCGAUCCGGCAUGGUCCAUUUGGGUUGCAUGGCAUCAUGCACUUGGAUAGACUAUAAUGAGAGAAAUAAGACACUUAUGGUUAUUAAUAUAUUAUAAGUUCUAGUAUAUUAAUAAUAAGAAUAAUAAGAUUAUUUAAUUAGUAUUGAUCAAGAAUUAAUCUAGGAUUAAUUAAGUGAUCAAAAGAAGACUAAUUAAAUAUAUGGGUUGAUUGUGUAAAUCAUCCAUACUUAUAUAGUGGGCUAAUGCUCCAUGGAUAAUCAAGUUGGGCUAAAACCCAUAGGAUGGUCCAUGGAUGCUCCAUGGUGUAUUUGAACCCAUGGAUCCAAGGAAAUGGAAAGUCAUGACAAUUAGGGUUUACCCUAAUUGUAACACUAUAUAAAGAUCUUAUUAUUGACCAAAAUCGGCCACUAGAAUCAUUCUAGAGAAGGGCUAGCCGAUUUCAUGUAGUGUAGAUUUCUCUCAAGUUAUUCCAAGUGUAUUUGGUGUUGUGUGAACCAUUUGAGGUGUCACACUUGGGGCACUAGACACUCAAGCUUCAUGAAGACUUUCUACAUCAAAGAAGUAUGUAUUCUAUCUUGUUACAUUCAUUGUUUUGUAUGCUAGAUUAGGAUAAUACCUUGGAAGUUCUUAUUUGCAUGUAUAAUAGAGAAAACAUAGAUCCAAGGUAUUUAGGGUUGCAUGUACACUUAGGAGUGUUAGAAUGCUCAAAACCCAACAGUGGUAUCAGAGCCUAGGCUUGUUUUCUUGUUAUACUUGCAAAAGAAGCUGAAAAAUCGAGUUUUGAUGCUGUCUGCCCAGCAGACUCGCCGAGUCCAUGAAUGGACUCGCCGAGUCCAAGGCAAAAUGCAUCCAACUCGCCGAGUUGGUUCGUGCACUCGACGAGUUGGACCCCCAGACAGCAUAAAUUCGACUUUUUUGGCUGGAAUUGGACUAGGAACAUUACCCUAAGAUGUUUUUGGACUUAUAAACUUGUUUUUGAUGUGGUAAUGUUCAUGCUAAUCCAAUUUCAAAGAUAAUUGUCAAUAGAUUCAUGUUUUGUAUUAGUUUAAGGUUUAGACUAAUUACAUGAAAAAGUUUGAUUUGAAUUAUCUUGUUCUUAUGAGUUGCUUAGAUUAAUAGAAAAGUUGAGUGAAAUAGUUGUUUUCAAUCCAAAUUAAUCUAAGAGUUGAUUCUAAAAUGUGUUUUUGUAACUUGUCCUCAAGUUAUAUGAAAAGUCACAUUUAAGUUUCAUAAAACUCAUAAAAGUUGGCAAAGGUUACAAAAUGAAGAGUCUAGUUCUAAUUAAAUGGUUUUAUGACUCCAUAACUUGUCCUCAAGUUAUGGAGGACCAAGAGUCUCUUCAUUAAAUAAUAAAUAAAAAAAAAAAGUAACCUUAAUUAAUUCCAUAAGUUAUAAAAUAAAGAAAAGUUAAUUCUUUUAUUAGUUUAAAGUCUUCCAUAACUUGUCCUCAAGUUAUGGAACUUGAAGAGUUUUUGGAUUAAAACUACUUUAAACACAUAAGUUAUGGAAUUAAUUAGUUUUGAAUAGUUUCAAAACUUGCCCUCAAGUUUUGGAAUUUGAAAAGUUUUCACUUAUGAAUACUUUAAUUCCAAGUUAGCCCUUAGAAUUUUAAAAGUUAAAAUUCAACCCUUAUACUUUAUAAUAUUAUAAGUUAAUAAUAUAUAUAUGUAUAAGAGUAAAGUCAGUCUUACCGCUAGUACGCCUCAUUCACGAAGCCGGUCUAUAAGGUGGGUAUAAGGUUGUUGCCUAUAAAAUGGCAACUUAAUGGGUGUCCACUCUCACCCACCGCUUGCUUGACUGGUGGAGGGUCGUUAGCCGAACGGGUUUGACAGGACUAGAAUUCUCCCUUCAUUAAAAGUAUUAAUGAUAAUACUAAGUAACUAAACUCUUAAUAAUACCCAAUCUUAGUUACUUAGGAAAAAUGUGAAUAAGGUGCUAAUCCAUGAAAUUACACUUUGCACUUUGUUUAAGUCGGUUAGUGGAGCGUGUGUGGUUAACCGGCACACUAACUCGUAUUUAACAAGGUAGGCAAAGGGUAACUUAAUGUUUAUCAUAGUAUCGAUGGAGCGUGUGUGGUUAACCGGCACAUCGAUUGAGGGGUAAACACUUAAGGGUACCAAGUAAUUUGCAUGGUUACUUCACACCUUGUUUUGUGAUCCUCGGCAUCCCAGUCACAAAACCUGAAGGGCACACUCGAGAUUGAAACAUGCCAUUGAACAGUUCAAUGAAUCUCAAAGAUCUAGGAGUUUCAAAACCAAUUAAAACCUAAUAAUACAUUUCGUUUAUCUUGGUGGAAAUUGGUGAAUCGUCAUUCACCUACCUUCAAAUAUUUUAUAGCUUGGAUUACGGCAUACCUCUUCUAAGUUAUAAAAUAGUUUGUUGGGUCCUAGCCUUAAUAUUUCAUAUUGGGUGUCAUAUUAAGGACUUUAAAUCAACUAUCUUGAAUAUCUCCCAAAAGAUGUCUGGUUUAGACACCUAUGAUCUUCCCAAAUCUCUUGAAACAAGGUUUCCUAAUGAAGAUGAUGUCCCAUGGAUAUCAUACUUCUUCACCUCUUCAAAUUAUUCUCCCUAACCCACAAGUUCUUGAAAAGUUUAAGGUCACUCAGGCCCUAUUGGCAAGGCAAGGUCUAGGUGUGAUCACAUCUUGGAGAUGUAGUCACAUAUUGACAAGCCGGGAGAGUUGGGUGUCAAAGUCUUGAGAAAGUUGGUGGUUCAAUCACUUUCUAAGUCACAUAGUGAGUUCCUUUGGGACACCUAUGAAACAGACUAUGACAAGACCCUUAAUGAUCUUAUCUAUUUGAUAAGAUCAACUUCCUAAAACUUUAUGGACAUUGACAAUGAUAACAUUGGAUAUCUAGUAAAGCUCUCUCUUCCCAGUGGAAAGGGAUCAGCCAUAGUCAACUGGGUUGACCAAAAUGGUAAAGAGAAAAGCUAAGUCUGUGAUAGUCCCGUGUACCAUUAUCAAAGGGUCCAUAUGUUUAUAUUGCCAAAGGAAGGGGGAUUGGUUGCGAAGCUGCCAAAUUUACCUAAAGAUGUUAAAGUCAAUAAGUUUGACUCUACUUCAUGUAAAGUCCACUAUCUAACUCUGUUAAGUUUCUAUUCUGAGAUUCCUGAUACAUGAUGUGACUGGGUCACAUGGUGAUGUUUUAAGAAUCGGAGCAUAUCCUCGAGUGUCUGGAUGGUGCACUCACUCUGACCAUCCGUCUGUGGGUGGUAGGCAGUGCUCAUAUCUAGCUGUGUUCCCAUUGCCUUCUGAAGAUAUUGCCAGAAACUUGAAGUGAAUCUGCUAUAUCGAUUUGAGAUAAUAGAUAUUGGCACUCCAUGGAGUCUCACAACCUCCUUGAUGUAGAUUCGGGUCAGCUUUUCCAUCUUGUAAGAUUCUUUUAUUGGUAGGAAAUGAGCGGAUUUUGUUAAUCUAUCCACGAUUACCCAAAUAGCAUCCAAUCCGUCUGCUAUCUUUGGCAAUUUUGUCACAAAGUCCAUGGUAAUCCUCUCCGAUUUCCACUUGGGUAUCACUGGUUGUUGCAGUAGUCCCGAGGGCUUUUGGUAUUCCACUUUCACUUUGGCACAAGUAAAACACUUGCCCACGAAAGUGGCUAUCUCUGCCUUCAUAUUAGGCCACCAAUAUUGUUGCUUGAUAUCCAAAUACACCUUAUCUGACGCCGGAUGAAUAGAAUAUCGCGUCUUGUGGGCUUCAUGCAUGACUACUUCUUUGAAUCCCUUAAAUUUGGGAACCCAGAUUCUAUUCAUGAAGUAGUGAGUUCCAUCGUCUUUAACUUCGAGCACCUUCUCCAUUCCACGUAGUGAGUCACUAGCGACAUUCUCUGGCUUCAAUGGUUCCAAUUGGUCUUCCUUGAUCUGUGAGGCUAGAUGAGAUUGGAUGGUGAUUGAUAGAGUUUUCACACGACGACUUGAAUACUCCUUUUGGAUCAAGGCAUCGGCUACCACGUUAGCCUUGCCUGGAUGAUAUUUGAUCUCACACUCAUAAUCAUUUAACAGCUCAACCCAUCUCCACUGCCUCAUGUUUAGUUCCUUUUGAUUUAGAAUGUGCUGGAGGCUCUUGUGGUCUGUAAAGAUGGUGCACUUGGUACCAUAUAGGUAGUGCCUCCAAAUUUUCAAGGAGAAGACCACCUCCCCCAAUUCGAGAUGUUGAGUAGUAUAAUUUACUUCAUGUGUUUUCAAUUUUCUAGAUGCAUAUGCAAUUACCUUCCCGCGUUGCAUAAGGACACAACCUAAACCAUGAUUCGAAGCAUCAUAGUAAAUUAUGAAGUCUUUAAUUCCCUUCGGUAAGGAUAACAAUGGAGCACUACAGAGGGCUUGCUUCAAGGUUUGGAAGGCGAUCUCUUGCUUCUCAGUCCAGUUGAAAGGUACGCCUUUCUGUGUCAAUGUGGUGAGGGGUUUGGCUAUCUUAGAAAAGUUCUGAAUGAAUCUUCGGUAGUAGCCCACAAGACCCAAAAAUUGGCGAAUUUAUGUUGGCGUUGUUGGAAUUUCCCAGUUUUUGAUUGCUUUGAUCUUUGAAAGAUCCAUGUGUAUUCCUUCCUAACUAACUACAUGGCUUGGAAAGUUUACACUGCGGAGCCAGAACUCACACUUGGAGAGUUUCGUAUACAACUUUUCAGCUCGAAGGGUCUUCAAGAUCUGUUGGAGAUGUUGACUAUGCUCUUCUUUGCUUCGAGAGUAUAUGAGGAUAUCAUCGAUGAAAACGAUCAGGAAUUUGUCAAGGAAUGGGCGGAAGACUCGAUUCAUGAGGUCCAUAAAUGCAGUGGGGGCAUUUGUUAGACCGAAGGGCAUCACGACGAAUUCGUAAUAACCGUAACGGGUUUGGAAAGCAGACUUAGGAAUGUCCUCAUCUCGGACCUUGAGUUGAUGAUAACUGGAUCUUAGAUCUAUCUUUGAAAAGUAACUAGCCCCUUGAAGCUGGUCAAAUAGAUCAUCGAUUCGUGGAAGUGGAUACCGGUUUUUGAUGGUGAGCUUAUUUAGUUCCCUAUAAUCAAUGCACAUCCUGAAGGAUUCGUCUUUCUUUUUAACGAAAAGAAUCGGAGCUCCCCAUGGAGAGAAGCUUGGUCUUAUGAAUCCUUUAUUCAAGAGUUCACUUAGUUGGCUUGACAAUUCAUGCAUUUCAGCGGGAGCCAACCUAUAGGGUGAUUUGGCUAUUGAAGUGGCUCUAGGCACUAGGUCGAUUCAGAAUUCGAUUUGUCGUUCUGGGGGUAUUCCUGGAAGCUCUUCUAGAAACACAUCCGGGAAGUCACAUGCCACUGGGAUGUUUUGAAUGUUCGCUUCCUCUUUGGUAUUAUCCACCACAUGAGCAAGGAAUGUGUAGUUCUUCUUUUGUAGACACUUUUGUGCCUUGAUACACGAGAUAAGGUAAAGGUUUGCACCGGGUUUAUCUCCGUAGAUUAUUAGGGUUUCGUGAUUAGAAAGAUGAAAGUGAAUGACCUUCUCGUGACACAUAAUAUCGGCAUGAUGGGGGCUUAACCAAUCCAUGCCGAUGAUGACAUCAAAACUCCUAAUAUUUACUGGCAUCAAAUUUAUUUGGAAAAAGUGGUUGUUUAGUGUUAACGUACAUCCUAUAUAGAUAUCUUUGGUUGUUUCAGUGUUCCCAUUAUCCAUUUCCACCGUGAAGGAUUCGUUGAGCUUCUGGGGUUGUUGAUUUAGAAAGUAUUUGAAUUUAUUACUAACGAAACUUCGCUCCGCCCCACUAUCAAAUAAGAUGCAUGCAUACGAGUUGUUAAGUAGGAACGUACCGAUGAUAACAGCUGGGUCCUACACUGCUUCAUCCUAACCCAUUGUCAACACUCUCCCUGCUGCUCCUGCCCCUUGAUUGUUUGCGUUGGGGAAAUUUCUCCUGAAAUUCCCGGUUUUCCCACAUACGUAACAGGUAUAAUUGGCCCCAACAUUGGUGUUGUUGUUAUUGUUGUUGUUGUUGGUGUUGUUGUUGUUGUUGUUUUUUGGCAUCUGGUUUUGUUGAAGCUGAGUCCUGCAAUACUUUGUUGUAUGGCGUUUCUGGUUGAACCUUGCGCAAAUCAUCUCUCUGUAUUCCCCAUGAUGGUGGAAGUUGCAUUUGUUACACUUGGCGAGAUUUCCUGAAUACUGCUUUGGAGCAUUUGGCGUGGAUGAGGCUGGAGCAUGGGGUGUGGUGGUAGCUUGAGUUACAGCAUGGACAGUCACAGUUUGUUGCUUCUUAGAUGAUUCUGAGUUAUGUUUUCCAUUUCUCUUGUUGUUUAUCCCUUUCUUUCUCUCUUCUUCCUUCUUAACCUCCGCUUCCACUGUUUUGGCACGCUUCUUAUUUCCAUGAUCAUACGAUUUCUUGUCCAGUCUCUUGGCGCUAUCAAACAUCUCAGGGUUUUGCUGCAAUAACAUUCCCUUAGAUAGGUGCAGUCAAUCCCUAGAUAAACCUAUCAAUCUUUUUCCCUUCUAAGGUGAUCAUUCCGGGACACAAAAGAGAUAGCUCACUAAACCUAGAUAUGUAUGCGGUUAUAUUGGAGUUUUGAACUGUGAGGUUCCACAACUCUUGUUCCAUCUUCUGAAUUUCACCUCCAAGACAGUAUUCUGCCAACAUCAUUUCCUUAAGCUCUUCCCAGAGCAUCGCGUUCGCUACCGGGAGUGUCAUGGCCUCUACAUGCCCAUUCCACCAGGAGAUGGCUUGAUCAAUGAAUUUGCAGGUUGCGAACAUGACCUUACACUCAUCUGGGCACCCACAGAUUUCAAAAAUGGAUUCUACUUUCUCGAUCCAUCGCUUCAGGGCUAUUACGCCUCCUGUCCCAUUAAAGGUUCGAGGUUUGGCAUUGGUGAAGUCCUUGUAGGUGCAUGUUCGUGUGGCUCCAUGGAUUGUUCCUUGAUUUGUGCUUCCGUUUCCCUGUCGGUUGCCUUCUCUAUUGUUUCCAUUGCGAAUCUGCACAAGUGUUGUAGUGACCGCAACAGACAAUGUUGCCUGGAAUGCAACCGAGAUUAUUUUCGGCGGGUUUGGUGUUGCGUUGUUUCCACGAUUGGGCCUUUGAGGCAUCUUUCUGUCAUGGAACGGAAAGAUGUAGAGUGACUAUUGUUUUGCGAGUUUGGAAUCCCCUAGGCUAGGUGUAUCGAGUGUGUAUUUAAGUAAUUUCAUACAUUAACAUAAAAUAGGGAAGUAAAACACAUAGCAGAUGACAACAUCAUGAUAAAACGUAAAGCAUUUUCAUUAAUACUAAUUGUUUUGAUACAUGAACAUUUGCCAGAAGGCAUACAGUACAUAGGGAAAUAUAAAAUAUGGCAGCAUUACAACCCUAUGAGCAGUGUGAUCACUUAAACAUAGAGUCGAUAGUACAUAGCAUAGUACACAUAAGGGAAACCUAAUAGUAUUAAGAGAUACUACUGGUCCUGAUCAUACUGAGAAGUGCCUAAUGGUGGUGGUGAAAUCAUAUCCCAAAAUGUUAUGCUAAUAACUGAUCCAUCUCGGUCAUCUCUCCGAUGACCUCAUCUUUUUCCUACUCAGUUUGCAUGGCUCGUGCCUCCAUAGCAAAUAGUUGUUGUCGAAGUGUGGCAACCUCCGCUUCCAGAGACCGAUCCUCAUCAACGGGGUUCCCUAGUGGACCAGGGUGGUCCUGGUGUGCCUCAUUGGUAGGUGGUUCGACGGGGGCUUCAUUUUUGUCCCCAUCCUCCUCCAUGUCUUCGUCAGUCCUAUCAAACUCAUAGUCUGUAUUAGUGUACUCGUCGGGCCCAAUGGUAGGGGCUCCUCCUUGUUCCUCCUCGGGAUUCUCCUCAAGCAUCCCAUGUGCCACUAGGGAUUGAUAAAAAUGGACUCCUUGCUGAGCGUCGUCCAUGGUGACUGCAUGAGGGCGUAUGAAUAAGUCAUGUUUUGAUUAUUCCUAUAGUAUAUUUUACUUAUUUAGGUUUGGUUUCCCUAGAGUUGUUGGAGAGUGAGGUAGGCUUUUGGAUUCAUUUCCCGCUAUGAUUACUCCCAAACACAAUUUGGUCAUAUUCUGAAUAAAUAUAGUUGAUCAGGCUAUAUUUAUCCCUAAUAGGACUACAUAACUGCCCAUGUUUAAUUAUAAUGUUCAAUAUCCUCCAAAAGCUUUUAUUAAAUAUUGUUAGGUUAUUAUCCUAAUAUGCGCAUAUAAGUAUGAAAUUUUUGUUUUGUUCACAGUUAUUUAGUCCCAUUGUGUUUAUAGUUGCAUAUCAUGUAUGGUUAGAUAUGCUAGUUCACUAUAAACAUUGCUUUGAUACCAACCUGUCACACCCCCGACCCAGACGGUGGAAACGUCUAGGGGCUCCUGUGACUAACAAUUGAAUUAUCAUCACAAUGGAUAUACAUGAAACAUAACACAUUCAUCACUAACAUUACAUAUUACAACCAGCAUUGUUCACAUCAAGUACAUUGUUAAAGAUUACAUAAAUUCAAAGUAUUAAUAGUAAGAUAGGUGAUGUGACACAAAAUAAAUCCAUACACACUUGAAAAUCUUCCUGCUUAACAAUUACCUGAGAAUACAAGUUAUUUUGAAAAAUGGUCAACAUAUAUAAUGUUGGUGAGUUCAUAAGUAUGUUUGAAUAAAAGUCUUUGCAUCUUUUGUAAAAACCCAGAAAAUCCGAUAUUUUCUGUAAAAUGUCUGAAAAUGAUGUGAAAAUCAAGUAUAAAUUCAUGUGUGAAUUUCAUAGCAGUAACAUAUAUGAUUUCAGUUUAAAUUUCUUUGUAUUGUAAGUAAGUGAUAAUUGAAUAAUAGUCUUUACCCAGAAAAUCCGAUAUUUCCUGAUUUAUAAUAAUGUCAAGGUUCUUGUAUCAUUAAUUAAGUUGUUUCGUAUUGACAAAAUCGAAGGGUUAAUCUUCGAAAUGUUAAAUUGGUAUUGGAUCUCUAUAUGAGUUGUUAUAACCAUGCAUGAUAAUGACUAGGUUGGCUGUCUUGGCAUUUUCCAAACGCCUGUAUUUGCUCAAGGUUUUGUCACCCUAGACUGGCCUAGUCUAGUUGUAGCCAACAACUAAGGCGUGGGGGGUCACCCCAUAUAGAUCUAUACACAAACUCCCGCUCUCCCUCCAGGAAACUCUGGUUAUAACUACAGACUACGAUUGUACACUCAGAGGUGUCAACCGACAUGUCUCACUAGAUUCUCAACUUUUCAUACCAUGUUUAAUGUUUACGUGAAUGUUGUAUGUUUUCAAAUCCAAAGGUAUAUAUAUAAGUAUACGAACUUUAGGGCUGGCAAUUGUUGACACGAUACGCGACACGACAUGAAAUAAAUGGGUUUGGGUUGAGUUUUUCAACCCGCCAACCCGCUAACCCGUCAACCCACCAACCCGUUUAUUAAACGGGUCAUAUAUGGGUUUCUCAAAAAAUAAACGGGUUGACCCGCCAANUGUAAGUGGACCACCAAGGCCCAACAAACAUGUAACCUAUAGCUCAGGCCCAAAUUAACAUGUAAAUGGGUCGCAAGGCCCAAUAAACAGGUCAUGGAAAAUAUUGGGCUCAAUAUAUACUUGAAUGGGCCCUUAAGGCCCAUUGGCCAUGUAAUGUGAAUAUUAGGUCCAAUAAAAUUGCUAUCAAUGUAUUUCGUCAAUUCGUUAUUAUUUUGUGGUUUGCUUUAGCUCGAUGUUUACCGAAUUAAAUAUAAAAGUCCUCUUUUUGUAUAAACGACGUUCUUGGCCAAGAAGCCUAAAAUUUUGAAUUAAGGCCCAAAGUUUUGUAAAAAUUAACACUUUAGUCCAUAAUUUAUAAAAAUUUGUAAUUUCGCCCCAAAUGUUUAGAAAUUUACGGAUCUAGUCCAAAAAAUUAUAUUUUGAUAUUUAUGGCCCAGUUUCGUAGAAUAUUACACUUUCAGACUCUUGUUUGUAAAAAUGACACUUUUGACCCAAUUUUUAUAAAAGUUACAUUUUUGGUCCAAUUUAGAAAUAUAUGUUAUUUUUUCCCCUAAAUAUGGUUUAUUUACAUUUAUGACUCAAACUUUGGUCAAAUAACAUUUUUAAUCCCAAAACUUCCAUUUUUUUGCAAAUUUGGGCCCAAAACCGUGAGGCCCAAAUAUUCAGCCCAUUAAGCUAAAACUUACGUUUUUGGCCCUUUGGAAAGCAUGUUUAUCAUAAAAAUCCCUUUAUAUACAAGUAGAACCUGUUUGGUCCUUUAAAAACCACUUUUUGCCCUUAUCUUUUGUUUUCUUGACAAUUUUGACUCUUAACAACGUUUUUGCUUUAAAUUUUUGUAUCUUAAACAUAUAAACACUUUUAACUUGAUAAUAUGAUGUAUAAGGUGUCUUAGUUCAUGGGUUUUUUACUUAAUGUUGCUUAAGAUGUCGAGACAUGCUAAGAUCUAACAUAUUUUUUACAAAAUAGACUAAGAAAUCACACACGACAUGCAUAUAACACAUAGAUCUACACAUUUUACUUGUAUUCUCCCCCAAAACUAAUAUGAAAACCAAAAACAAGGGGGUAAGAACUCACCUUUGCUUCGAUGUUUCGGUUUUGAAGAAGAAAUGGAAGAAGUUGAUGUGAUUUUUUGCUCUAGCAAGCUCCUUGAGUAGAUUUCGAGCUUAAGAAGUUUCCAAGAGUCUGACCAUGGAAUAAAGCUAUGUAACAAGGAAUUUUUUGAUGUUAAAAUAAAAGGAGAUGUUUGUGUUUGAUAACAACUUACCAAAGAUUGAAAAUGCUUGAUGAAGAUCCUUAAAACUCAAGCAAAAUUUUGAGAUCCUUGGAGAAAGGAGGAUGAUCUUUGAGAGUGUUUGGAGAGGAUUUGAAAGAGUGUGUGUGUGUGUGUGUGUGUGGUUUGCCUCUCGGCCGUGAGUAGAAGAAGAAGGGGGAAAGAGAAGAUGUGAUGGAUACUUAGGAGUAUAAGCUUUGUAUUUGCUUAAUGGGUAAUUAGCUUGGAGAACCACCAUGUAAUUAUCAUGUGUCAAUGCAUGGUAAUUCUCUUAUUUUCCUUUUUUUACAUGUAUAUGAAUGUACAUAUCUAAUGGGCCGAGAAAAAGAAAGAAUGGAGGGGCUUUGGCCUCUUUUUGAUUUGGUUCGAGUUUAUGAGGCCCAUAGAAAGAGGCUUUCGGCCCAUUGGGCCUUUAGGUGUGUUCACGGCCCAUUUCGAAAGAAGAAAGGGUGUUUAUGGCCCAUUACGGCUAAUUAAUUCAUUAAUGGCCUAAUAAGGCCCAUUAAGGAUAAACCAAUUUAUUUUGGACCCAAAAUGGCCCAAAAUGCUAAGUUUCACGGAAGUGGGUCCAAUUAGUGCCCAUUUAAGGGUCCUAAGCCCAAAAUAGUUAAAUUGGAACCUCAUUGGUCCAUUAGGCCCAAUAAGGAAAUCCUAGUCCAAUAUGGACUUAAAUCGGGAUUCUUAGGGUUUUCAAACUCUUUGUUGAACAUGAGAGGUGAAUUUAAAUGAGCAUUGCGUGAUAUUUACUUAAAGUAUAUGUUUUACACUAGUUGAAUGAUUACACGAGAAUAGAGUUUUCUAGCAAAAAUGCUAGUUGUGACAUUAAUGAAAUCGUGAUUAUUUAUAGUAGGAGCAACAUUCCUCAUAGCAACCACACUUGAUUUACCAACUUCACCUAAAGUCAUCUGCAUAGGCAAGGUGCUUAAGUUUACAAACAAGGUAAAAUCAGUUGAUCGAGUUUUGUUCACGACAUCUAUCUCAUUAACAACACUGAUACUUGGAUGAUCCUAAAGUUUUGAUGAUGAACCUCUUCCACAAAUAUCCGUUUAUUGUUUUGAGUAUGAUCUUUGAGAUAAAACACUUGUUUAGCUUGUGUGGAUAAGAUGUAUUAUUGAUCAUCAUACCUUCUUUUAUUGACAUACCAUCCAUGACUGGUAUCUAUAACGACCAUAUUAUUUAUAGUCUUUAAACAUCCAUUACGUAAUGACACAUUGAACCAUUUACCACGACAGAGUAAAAUUGAGUUACCAUAUAAAUAAUGCGAAUCUAGGAUCUCCUCUAAUUGUCCAUAGAAUGGUCUACCAUCUUCUUGUUGGAUUAGUGUCUAAUUCCAUAACUAUAUUUGGUAUGUACUUGACCCAAUUGGCAUGGUCCAUUUGGGUUGCAUGACAUCAUGCAUUUGGAUAGACUAAAAUGAGAGAAUAACACUUAAGGUUUAUUAAUAUAUUAUAAGUUCUAAUAUAUUAAUAAGAUUAUUUAAUUAGUAUUGAUCAAGAAUUAAUUUGGAACUAAUUAAGUGAUCAAAUGGAGACUAAUUAAAUAUAUGGGUUGAUUGUGUAAAUCAUCCAUACUUGUAUAGUGGGCUAAUGCCCCAUGGAUUAUCAAGUUGGGCUAAAACCCAUAGGAUGCUCCAUGGUGUGUUUGUACCCAUGGAUCAUGGAAAUGAAAAGCCAUGAAAAUUAGGGUUUACAUGGUGUAACCCUAAUUGUGACACACUAUAUAAGUAUCUUAUUCUUCCCAAAAAAAGAGCUAUAAAGGAAUGGUGAGGGCUAGCCGAUUUCAUGAAGUGUCUAAUUUCUCUCAAGUUAUUCUAAGUGUAUUUGGUGUUGUGUGAACCAUCUGAGGUGUCACACUUGGGGAACUAGGCUCUUAAGCUCCGUGGAAUCAAGCUACACCAAAAGGAAUGUCUUCUAACUUGUAUUAUUCCUCAUGAAUCAAUAUUUUGUAUGCUAGUUAGGAUAAUACCUUGGAAUAUUAAUAUUUGCAUGUAUAAUAGAGAAAACAUAGAUCCAAGAUAUUUAGGGUUGCAUGUACACAUAGGAGUGUUAGAAUGCUCAAAACCAUUCACUUCUCCAAAUUUAACAACACCACUAUUUUUAGUAGUGUGUCAGAGAUCACGAAUACUCACAACAAAACGAACACCGACAAUAUGUAUUAUGUUGGUCAUAGACAAUUCUUGAAUAUGAACCAUAGAUGGAGGGAGAGUCUAUUGUUUGAUGGUCCACCCGAUACAAGACCGUAUCCUAGACGAUUUAGUAAUUUAACUAUAUUAAAGUAAUGUAACGUCUGUGUUUCUGGGCUUGCCAUUUUUAGCAAUGUANNNNNNNNNNNNNNNNNNNNNNNNNNNNNNNNNNNNNNNNNNNNNNNNNNNNNNNNNNNNNNNNNNNNNNNNNNNNNNNNNNNNNNNNNNNNNNNNNNNNGACGAAGGUGGACCGGUAUGCGAAGGGACUCCCAUGGGAGUAUGACGUGCCAGUACGUCAGGCACAUACUUUAGAGGCAGCUAUCUGGGCUACCAAGUCUGUUGAGAACAUGAUAAAGGGGAGAACCACCAACAAGGUUGAGGUUGGUGAGAAGAGGAAGUUUGAGGGAACAUCUGGUUCCGGUAAGAAAAGCAAAUUUUCGAAAUCUGAUUCGAAAAGGUUUGGUGGGGGUAAAGGAGGGGAAGCGAAGUGGUGUGAAAAGUGUAAGAAAAAGCAUUUCGGGAAAUGUAGCGAGGAUGUAACUUGCUACAAGUGUGGAAAGGUUGGACAUUUUGCCAAUGAAUGUCCGAACAACAAAAGGAUGUGUUUUGGUUGUAAUGAAGAGGGGCAUAUUUUGAAAGACUGUCCGAAGAAGAAGGAGGCAGCUAAGCCCAACAUUCCACCAAAGCCGAAGGCGAGAGCCUUCCAGAUGACACUUGAGGCUGCGAAAGAUGAAGCUGAUGUCGCUUCAGGUACCUUUCUCGUAAACGAAUUACCUGCUCAUAUAUUGUUUGAUUCUGGAGCCAACUACUCCUUUAUUUCGCAUGAGUUUGGUAGAAAGCUAGCUUUGCCUAUUGAUAGACUAGAUGAUGCUUUAUUAGUCGAAGUAGCUAGUGGCAAGUUUGUACCUGUUAGUCAUCGUAUGAAAAGCAUCUUAAUUGAUCUGAAUGGGAAUAAGUUUCACGAGGAAUUAUUGCCUAUCGAACUAAAUGGUUUCGACAUCGUGUUGGGAAUGGAUUGGCUUAGCGCCAAUGAUGCCGAAAUUUUGUGCAAGAAGAAGAUAGUUAAAGUAAACCCGCCUGGGAAAGAUUCGUUUAUGGUGUAUGGGGACAAACGCAGAGUGAAUUCUGGAAUCAUUUCUCUAAUGAAAGCCAGAAAGUGUUUGACCAAGGGAUGUACAUCAUAUUUAGCAUUCGUGAUUGAUGCUAAGAAGGAAAAGAAGGUGAUGCAGAGUAUUCCAGUGGUGUGUGAUUAUCCGGAAGUAUUUCCCGAGGAUCUUCCUGGAUUACCACCUGAUAGACAAGUGGAGUUCAGAAUAGACUUGUUACCAGGAACCACGCCAAUAGCAAAAGCACCUUAUCGAUUAGCACCGACGGAGAUGAAGGAGCUGAUGAUGCAACUUCAGGAGUUAUUGGACAAAGGUUUCAUUAGACCUAGUUCAUCGCCCUGGGGAGCUCCGGUGUUAUUUGUAAAGAAGAAAGAUGGAAGUAUGAGAAUGUGCAUCGAUUACAGAGAGCUGAACAAGGCAACAAUAAAGAAUAGAUAUCCGUUGCCGAGGAUUGAUGACCUGUUUGAUCAAUUGCAAGGUUCGAGCUAUUUCUCGAAGAUCGAUCUUAGGUCAGGAUAUCAUCAGCUGAAAGUAAGAGAGCAAGAUAUCGAGAAGACUGCAUUCAGAACUAGAUAUGGACACUACGAGUUCUUGGUUAUGUCGUUUGGACUAACCAAUGCUCCAGCAGCGUUCAUGGAUUUGAUGAAUAGGGUUUGUAAUCCUUUCCUUGAUAAAUCCGUGAUAGUGUUCAUAGACGACAUUCUGAUCUACUCGAAAAGCCAGGAGGAGCAUGGCAGACACUUGCGAGAAGUGUUAGAAGUUUUGAAGAAGGAGAAGCUUUAUGCGAAGUUCUCCAAAUGUGAUUUUUGGAUUCGUGAGGUCCAAUUCUUGGGUCACGUGGUCAACCAAGAAGGGAUAAUGGUUGAUCCAGCGAAGAUCGAAGCUGUGACGAAGUGGGAACAACCGAAAAGUCCCACGGAGAUUCGAAGCUUUUUAGGAUUAGCCGGAUAUUACCGAAGGUUUAUCCAAGGCUUUUCUUCGAUUGCUACUCCAUUAACAGCUUUGACCCACAAAGGAGCUACUUAUGCUUGGAGUGAGAAGCAUAAAGAAGCAUUCGAGAAGUUAAAGAAGAAGCUAUGCGAGGCACCGAUACUUUCUCUACCCGAUGGAGUUGAAGACUUCGCUGUUUAUAGCGAUGCGUCUGGUGUUGGAUUGGGUUGUGUUUUGACCCAAAGAGAAAAGGUGAUAGCAUAUGCGUCUCGACAGCUGAAAGAGCAUGAAAAGAAUUACCCGACUCAUGAUUUGGAGUUGGCAGCGGUAGUUUUCGCUCUGAAAAUAUGGAGGCAUUACCUCUAUGGCACGAAGUGCAAACUUUUCACUGAUCAUAAGAGUCUCCAAUACCUCUUUAAUCAGAAAGAAUUGAAUAUGAGGCAACGACGCUGGCUAGAAUUACUUAAAGACUACGACUGCGAGAUACUUUACCACCCCGGUAAAGCUAAUGUUGUUGCUGAUGCUCUCAGUCGGAAAGUCAAUCUUGAAAGGAAGAGGCCAAGAGCGUUGAGAAUUGAAGUUGUCUCGACUAUUGUGGAAAGUAUAAAGAAAGCUCAAGAGGAAGCUUCUGAGAAAAAUGACCGAAAGGAGGAACGUUUGGGUAAAACGUUGGUGUUUGGUACUAACGGUCAUGGACUGAAGGUAUUCCAAGAUCGUAUUUGGGUACCUAAGUCAGGAGGAAUUAGGGAUCUUCUGAUGGAAGAAGCUCACAAAACCAUGUACUCAAUUCAUCCGGGUAGCACUAAAAUGUAUAGGGACCUGAAACCCUACUACUGGUGGCCGACGAUGAAGCUUGAUGUUGCAAAGUAUGUGGCCGAGUGUGUGACUUGUGCGAGAGUCAAGACACAACAUCAGAAACCUUACGGGAGUUUAGAACCAUUGCCUGUGCCUAUGGGUAAGUGGGAAGACAUUGCUAUGGAUUUUGUCACUAAACUGCCCAGAACAAAGAAUGGUCACGACAUGAUUUGGGUGGUCGUUGAUCGAUUCACUAAGAGUGCGCAUUUCAUAGCGGCCAGGGAGAAAUGGUCUAUGGAAAAGCUUGCGAAUUCUUACGUGAAGGAAAUUGUGAGGCUUCACGGUGUUCCGUUAACGAUUGUAUCGGAUCGUGAUAGCCGUUUCACCUCAAGGUUUUGGAAAAGUCUACAAGAGGAAAUGGGUACCAAGUUAUGUUUAAGCACAGCUUACCAUCCGCAGACUGAUGGUCAGAGUGAAAGAACAAUACAAACACUUGAAGAUAUGCUGAGAGCAUGUACCUUGGAAUUCCUAGGUAAUUGGGAUGAACAUUUACCGUUGGUAGAAUUUUCCUAUAAUAAUAGUUUUCACUCGAGCAUUAAGAUGGCACCUUAUCAAGCUUUGUAUGGACAGAAGUGUCGUACGCCGUCUUGUUGGCUUGAGGCUGGGGAAAAGCAGUUUAUGGGACCGGAGAUGGUUCAUCAAACUGCUGAAAAGUUGAAAAUAAUUAGGGAAAGAAUGUUAGCAGCUCAAGAUCGUCAAAAGAGCUAUGCUGACAAGAAGCGAAGACCGAUGACUUUUGAGGUUGGAGAUUCGGUUUUGCUUAAAGUCUCGCCGUGGAAGGGACUUAUAAGAUUUGGUAAAAGGGGAAAGUUGAGUCCAAGGUUUAUUGGACCGUUUAAAGUCCUUCAGAGGAUUGGGAAUCAAGCUUACAAGCUCGAAUUACCCGAAGAACUGAAUGGAAUUCACAACACCUUUCAUGUGUGUUAUUUGAGGAAGUUCACGGGAGAAGUUCCCGAUAUAAUUCCAAUUUCUGAAUUGAGAAUUGAUGAGAACAAAAGGUUGAUUGAAGAACCAGAGGCAAUUGUUGACCGAAAGACUAAGAAGUUGCGACGCAAAAUGGUUGGGUUAGUGCUUGUCCGAUGGAAACACACGAAUGGGCCGAAUCUCACCUGGGAGACGGAGAGUGACAUGUUGAGUCGCUAUCCGCAUUUGUUUGUUGAUGUGUGAUUCCGGGGACGGAAUCAUUCUAAGGUGGAGAGAAUUGUAACGCCUGUGUUUCCGGGCUUGCCAUUUUUAGCAAUGUAAUAGUCUAGGUUAACCUUUGUAACCCGUUUUGAAAUAAUAAGAUUGUAUUAUUUGAGUAUUAUGUGUUUUGUGCUUAAUUGCUUAAUUAUGUGGUUUGAUUAAUUAAGAAUAAAAAUAAGCGUCAAAAUUUAAGUGUAAAAUAAACUUAAUAUCUUUGGUUAAUGUUGUAGUAGUUGAAACGAGGUUUCCGAAUAUAUAUAGAACGCCCAAAUCUGACUUCGUAUGAGGAAGUUAUGAUUUAUCGAAGUUCCGGCUUAGCGAUAUACAGCCUGUUUUACUCGAUUUGAGAUCGAGCGGUUGUUAGCCGAAGCAAUCUAAAUGAGAAUCGAAGAUCUCAUUGUUGGUAUUGAAACGAUAAAAAGUUAGGCGAGAACGGACGUCAAACGAAGAAGUUAUGAAUUUAUAACGAAAGUUUCUGUCCCGGCCUAUUAAAAAUAAUUAAUAAAAAUAAAGUCAAAAUUAGCCGACGGAGUCUAAACGAAAGUCGUAGAGCGUGGUCUCACCUUCGCGUGGAUAUAAAGAACGUCGAAAACGGAGUUCGUAUGAAGAAGUUAUGAAUUUCCGAAGUUUAUUAAUCAUUUUGUAUUUAUUUUUAAUUCAAAAUUCGGAAGCAUUAUCCGAAGGAGUCACCGAUCUGAUCCGAGGUACGCCCCGCGUACUCGAGUACGCCCCGCGUACUCCGAGGGAUGUCGACACUCGCACUCGAGCACUUCGGAUACGUAAGCAAUGACGUUUUGGGCAGUACGCCCCGCGUAACGCAGUACGCCCCGCGUACUCCGAGGCUCCAGCCUCCUAUAAAUAGGAUGCGAGGGUUCCGGGUAUUUUUGCCAAUUCCCUCUCGUUUUCGUGUCGAAGCUCUGUGCAAAAACCCCCGAAGCUACCCCGAAGUCCCGGUAUCAUACUCUAGCCCCGAGGCAAGUCCCGAGAUCCUGAAGAUCCCGAAAAGUGCGGUUCCCGAGUCGAAGCUCUGCCCGCGAGAAGUUCGAUUUUCGAGAAGAUCUUCCAGAUCUGCUGUGGAUUACUACUUCUAUAAGCCGUAGUGCUGUCCGAUCAUCUUCUGAUCAAGUGAGUGUGUAGUUAUUUCUUCUAAUACAAUAAUACGAAGUAUUUUAUAUAAAAAUACGUGCUAUGUGUAUAUAUUUUGUUGUUAUAUAUGUGAAUGUAUACCCACUCUCUUCUAUCUUAUAGAUCUGAUUAUUUCUCAAUGAAAUACGUGUUAUGUGUGUGUGCCUCAUCUGUUAUGUGAAAAAUGUUUUGAUUGAGCAUGCUAUACAGGUUUUGAAACUACGUAUAAAAAUGUAUAUUUUAUCUACUAAUAUGUUGGGUAGAAUAUGGGUAGAUAGUUGGUGUGUAAUAAACAGAUGAGAGGCCUCGAUGUUGUUUUGAUCCAGUCAUCUAGCGGAAUUUAGAUGACGACCACGGACUUUUCUAGACAGUCCAGUGGAACGCUAGCAGGCUCAUAACCUGUAGGUGUUAAUGAACUUGGGUGUUCAUUCGCUGUAUUCCAUCCCCCCCAUGGUUGCCUUAUUUGACUUAUAUUGCUGAGGAACCCCCGAAGCAUGUGUAGUCGCCCCGAUGAAAUAUUCUUUGACUAGGUCCCUUGUGUUAGUUAUUUUAGGGACAUAAAGUGAGAAUAACGGGAAUGGGUAACUGGGUUAUUGUUGGAUGAUAAUAAUUAAUUAAAUUAUUUAUUGUGGGUUGAAAACCCUAUAUGCUCACCAGGCUCCCAAGCCUGACCCACUCAGUUGAUUUAUUUUACAGGAAGUGGCGCAAGAGCUUAAGAUGGGCGAACAUCAAGUUGUUUUGUUUACAAGUCUGUAUAUGUAUAUAUUUGUUGAAAGACUUGUAAUGCUAUCGUUUAUGCUUUAUGAUCUGUAUCGGAACAUGACAUCCCGACUUUUGAUUAUGAAAUGAAAUCAUAUUUCUUUAUGAAAUGUUUUGAUAAAUAUCUAUUUUAUCAUGUUUUGUUUUUGGGAACAAAUUCCGCAUCUCUUUUAAAAAUUAAAAGGAUUUACUCUGAAAAUUAUUUUAAAAAGCAUAAAUGAAAUCGGUCUUUUCUGGCCGAGAUUUUGGGGAUGUCACAAGUAAGUAGCUCGUCUCUCUGAUAAUAUGUAUUAUGUUGGUCAUAGAUGAUUCUUGAAUAUGAACCAUAGCUAGAGGGAUAGCCUAUUGUUUGAUAGUCCACCUAACACAAGACCGCGUCUUAGACAAUUCAGUAAUGUAACUAUAUUAAAGUAAGUAGCUCGUCUCUCUGAUAAUAUUCCAGGGGAAUAUCCUAAUCAUGGGGCUAAAAAAGAAAGCAUGAACAUGAAAGCAAAAAGGCAGAGUUGAAUCGGAUGAAACAAAGUAUCUUAUUUGAGCUUGAGUAUUGGUCUUCCCUCCACCUAAAACAUAAUUUUGAUGUUCUACAUGUUUUGAAAAAUAUGAAUGAGAGUGUGUAUAAUACUACACUGAUGAACGAUAAAAGAAAAUACAUAAAAGAAGUAAGAAUUGACUUGAAAAAUACGGUCAUUCGACCAGAUCAAUGGCCAAAAGAGAAAGUCAAGAAGAAGAAGACAGUACACCAUUCUAUGGUCCCUUGGUUGAUGCAUCUCUCAUUUGGACUCCUUCAACCCAUAACAUUUUCAACUCAGCCACCAAAGGCCUCAAGUAAACAUCAAUGUCCUUUGUAGGUGAUCUAGGGCCAGGAAUCAACAAAGUUAGCAUGAAAGAAGAGUCCUUCAUACAUAUCCAUGGUGGUGUAUUGUAGUUAGUAAAUAUAACCAUCCAAAUAAUAUAAGUAUUAUUAAAGUUGUUGAACGGAUUAAAGCCAUCAGCAGCUGAACCUAGACGAAUAUUUCUAUAUUCUUUAGCAAACUCUCGAUAUCUCUUAUCAAAUUAUUUCCAUGACUUCUCGUCAACCGGAUGACGCAUCUUACCAUCCAUUGAGCAUCCAGUAUUAUGACAACUAAUAUAUUUACCAGUGAAUCUGGAACUAUACAUUCGUCGAAGCCUUGAGUCAAAGGAAACUACCACAAUGCUUUUUGUGGUACUCUCUUCCCAUUUUGUUGUUGUGUCCACCCAUUUGCUUGCAUUACAAAUUCGGGCAAUUUUACAUGGAAUCAUUCUCCUUCCAAAACGAAGCACAAUCAUAUUUACAAGUAUGGAUGGAUUGAUAUCAAACCCUAUCUUUCUCAACUUAUUCUUAGCUUCAUAGUGUGAAGUUGCUCUUCGGGAAUGAAACUCUUAGUAACUCUACAAGUUGGUUAAAAAAAAUAUUUGUCCAUUUAUUUAUCACUUUAGUAUGCAACAACUUUGCCAGAAAGUUUAUGUAACGUCCCAAAAAUUAAGACUAAAAGUUUUUAAUUUUAAAUUAAUUAAAACCAUUAUCCAAACAACAUCUUAGAAAUCAUAGUGCAUCAAAGUGUAUCAAUAACAUCCAUGUACAUCAGCAAGAUAUAAAAAUGCAGAACGACGUGGUGGGUGCAUUGCAAUCAUCCCGUGUAACGCCCGUAAACUCGGGCUAGUCAAUUUAGAGACAAUGUGCGUCAAAAAUGACUUUUUGAUGGGAGAUUGUUUACAAGAAACAAUCUUAACCAAGUUAUAUUAUAUGUCACAAAGGUUCCUUAUAUAUAAAGAACGCCAAAAUCCGAGUUAUAACGAAGAAGUUACGACCUUUCGAAGUUCUACGACAAAACCAACACGGCACCGUGUAACGUAAAAAGUGAAAUCUUGAUAAAUUACUUUUUAGCCUUAGGGAUCUAAAUGAAAGUUGUUUUAUACAUUAAAUUGAGAGCAUGCAUAAAAAGAACGUCAAAAUCUGACUUUGUAUGAGGAAGUGAUGAUUUUUCUAAGAUUUCGCACAGAGUAUACAACCUGGAAUUCGAAUGUCAGAUCGAGUGAUUUUUAGCCAACACAACCUAAAUUAUAAUUGAAUAUCUCAUUAAUAGGAGUUCAACGAUAAAAAGACAGUUAAAAACGGAGUCUGUAUGCAGAAGUUAUGAAUUUUACACGGUCGUUAACAAAAUAAUAUUUUCAUACUGUUAUAUUUAAAAUUGGUUGAGAAUUAGCCGAUUCAAUCUAAAGGAAAGUUGUAGAUCUUGUCAAUACCUAUGUGUGGAUAUAAAGAACGUAAAAAACGGAGCUCGUAUGCGAAAGUUAUGAAUUUUUUAAAAUUUGUUGUUUUACCUGCGUCCAGCGCCACGUGUCAGCACCAGGCGAAGCCUUAGUGCCUACACAAGGCCACGACGUGGAUUAUAAGUCUAUGAUGUUGAUUUCCCCAGAUAACCUAUAAAUAGAGGUGGAAAUAAUCCAUUUCCUUCACACCUUCACCCUUCUUUCUGUCUCAACACUCCCAAUCUCUCCCUCCUAAUCCCUAGCAACUUCUAAGUGCUAGAGGCGAGUCCCGGAGCGCCAAAAGGGUCCGAGAAGAAGAGUUUUCGUCUCAAAAUUUCCGCCCCCUCAGAGCCCGGUUCCUAGCCAAACCCCCAGGAAGUGAGUUAUGCUUACACUACUUUAAGUAUACUUAUGUUUAAGUUUAUUAUCGUUAUUAUGAACUUAUAAACAAGAUUUAUCAGUGAUUCCAAGUCGUUAUACUAAUUGAUCUACUUACGGGGAUGAUAUAUAGGUUGUGAUUUAGUGAGGUGUUUAAAGUGGGAUUUCAAAACAGUAUACUUCGUAUACGAAACGGAACUUACCUCCGAUAUGAUCCUACAUGGUUGUUCCUUACUUGAUAGAUCAUGAAAGUAGACUUUGAGUUAAUGAUGAAUCUAGACUAAUAAUUAGUCGUGCGUAAAGAUUAGACUAAAACUUAGCGAUAAUAAUGCUAGGUUUCAUCGAAGGAAAAUAGAAUCAUGAGAAGCAAAGUGCUUCCCGAGUUUGGAAUUAUCACUUUGAUAAGUGAGUGCAUAGUUACUUUCAUCUUACACAUAGAUAUGAAGUAUAUUAUAUAAAUUACAUGCUAUGUGUUCAUAUUAUAUGUUUACUUUAUAUCUAUGCUAGAUGAAUGAUCCUAUACAUGUUUUGAAUGAUUUAAACUGUAUAUAUAUUUUUUGUAUCUAUAAAAUCUAUUGGGUAAAACAUGGGUAGAUGAAUGAUAAGGGAUGAAAGUUGAUAUAGAGGAACAUUGGCAGUUAUAGACAUAGUGUCCUAUAGGUGAACAUUGACAACAAUGGACUUAGUGCCCUAUAGAUGAGCAUUGGCAGCCGUGCCACCACCUGUAGAUGUUUUGAUCUACGAUGUACUCUAAACAUCAUAGCAGCUGCGCUCAAAGGGUAGUAUCGGCAGCUGCGUGUAACGCAUGUGUUUCUAGGCUUGUCAUUAAUAUUGAUGUAAUAGUGUAGGUUAACCAUUGUAACCUGUUUCGAAAUAAUAGAAGUGUAUUAUUUGAGUAUUAUGUGUUUUGUACUUAAUUGUGUGUCUUAAUUAAAUUAAGUAUGAAAAUAAGCAUCAAAAUUAAAUGUUACAUAAAGCUGAUAUCUAUGGAUAAUUUUGUAGUAGUUGAAACGAGGUUUCUGAAUAUAUAUAGAAUGCUGAAAUCCGAGUUAUAACGAAGAAGUUAUGAUCUGUCGAAGUUUCGCGACAUAAAUCGGCACGACGAUGAAUGACGUAAAAAGUGAAUUUAUGUUAGAUUUAUCUUUAGUCCUAGUGAUCUAAACGAAAGUUGUAGAGUUCGUUAAACCGAUAGCGUGCAUAAAAAGAUCGACCAAAUCUGACUUCGUAUGAGUAAGUUAUGAUUUUCCGAAGUUUCGACUUAGCAGUGUGCAGCCCGAAUACUCGAUUUGAGAUCGAGCGGUUUUUAGUCGAAACAAUCUAAACGAGAAUCGAAGAUCUCGUCAAUGGUAGAGCAACGGUAAAAAGAUAAAUGAAAACGGACGUCAGAUGAAGAAGUUAUGAAUUUAUAACAGAGUUUUCCUAUCCCGGCCUACUAAAAAUAAAUAAUAAUAAAAUAAAUUCAAAAUCAGCCGACAGAGUCUAAACGAAAGUUGUAGAGUGUAGUCUCACCUACGCAUGGAUAUAAAGAACGUCGAAAACGGAAUUCAUAUGAAGAAGAUAUGAAUUUCUGAAGGAUUUAUAUGAUUAAUAUUUAUUAAUUAAUCUUUAAUUCGAAUGUAUAUCCGAAGGAGUCACCGACCUGAUCCACACUAUGCCCAGCGUACACCGAAGCGUGACCCACCUCGCACUCGAGUGCUCCGAUGACACAUGCAGUGACGAAUCCGAAGCGUACGCCCCGCGUACUGAGCAUUACGCCUAGCGUAAUGCGAGGCUUCAGCCACUAUAAAAGGGCAUGCGAGGGCAGCCAAUCCUUUUGCUCAAUUUCUUUUCUCUCUCUCUUGUUUUCCAUCGUUUUGCGUUCAACUUAUACCCCGAAUCCCCAGUAUCAUUCCCGAGCCCCGAAGCAAGUCCCGAAGCCCCGAAGAUCCCGAGGAGUAGAGUUCCCGAGCCGAAGCUCUACCCGCGAGAAGCCAAUUUUUGUGAAGAUCUUCCAGAUCUAUCAAAGAAUACUACUUCUACAAGUCGUAGUGCUAUCUGUUCAUCUUCUAAUCAAGUGAGUGUGUUGUUACUUUCUUCUAACGCAUAAUUACGAAGUAUUUUAUAUGAAAUACGUGUUAUGUCUAUAUUUUGUGUUGGAUAAGGUGUCUAAGUCCAUAACUAUUUCUGGUAUGUACUUGACCCGACCCGGCAUGGUCCAUUUGGGUUGCAUGGCAUCAUCCAUUUGGAUAGACUAUAUGAGAGAAUUAACACUUGUGGUUUAUUAAUAUAUUAUAAGUUCAAAUAUAUUAAUAGUAUUAUUUAAUUAGUAUUGAUCAAGAAUUAAUCUAGAAUUAAUUAAGUGAUCAAAUGGUGACUAAUUAAAUAUAUGAGUUGAUUAUGUAAAUCCUCCAUAACUUAUAUAGUGGACUAAAGGGCUCCAUUGAUAAUCAAGUUGGGUUUGUUGGAUUAUUGUCUAAGUCCAUAAACUAUUUUGGUAUGUACUUGACCCGAUGGUGUAUGGUCAUUUUGGGUUGCCUUCACCAAAGCAACUUGAUAGGAUGAAUUAUAAAGAGAAAGGAUUAAAUAUGAUUUAUUAAUAUAUUAUGAUAAUACUAUAUUAAAGGAGAAAUCAUAUUGUUUAAUUAAUAUUAGUCAAGAAUUAAUUGAUAAUUAAUUUUGUGACUAAAAGAGAUUAAUUAAACUUAAGGGACUAGAACUGUCAAUUGUAUGAUAGUUGAAUAUUGAGCUAAUGGACUCCAUAUUAAAGGAGUGGAUGAAUUCUAUGGGGAAACCCAUUAGAAAUCGUCCUAGGCCUUUAAGGAAGGAGCCCAUGGGUUACUUAGGGCUUAAGCAUCCAAAUUAGGGUUUCCUUGUUAGAUAACCCUAAUAGCCUCACUAUUUAAGGACCCUUUGGGCACCAAAAACGUAGGCAACUGAAUCCUAGGGGUUUCUACACGUUUUUGGGUGUUUCUUCUCUUCUCCUAUUCAUCCUCUUGCUCUUGGUGUUUGUGAACCAUUAGAGGAGUGACAUUUGUGACUCUAAGCUUUCUAAAGUCAUUACAAAGGAGGAUUUGAGAUUGUUAUUGCUACAUAACAAUCAAGGUAUGAUCUAAACCCUAAUUCAUAUCUUAUACUGAUUAUCAUAUACUAGAUCCAAGCAUUAGGGUUUGUAUGAGCACAUAGGAUGUUCUUAUAGCUAAAACCCAUCAGUGGUAUCAGAGCCUUGAUUGGUUUCUAUUGUAUUGAUGCCUUGUUAAUUUGUUCAUGCUUGAAAAAUUCGAUUUUGUGAGUCUGCCUAAUGAACUCGGCGAGUCCCAUUGUGGACUCGGCGAGUAGGCCCCUACUCGGCGGGUCCAUAGGGGUACUCGGCGAGUUCGAGCGUCAGAAAGAGGGGACUUCGAGAUUUCUUGCUGAUUUACUCAUGGAUACUUGCCUUAUCUGUUUUAGAUCAUUAAAAUCCGAUUUUAAACAUAUUUAUGAGUAUAUCCUUGAUUAAACAAAAGAUAAUUACCAAUUGAUUAGAUAAUAACUUCCUUAUAUGAUAAAGUUUGAUUAUUUGUAUUAAUUGGGUAACUUAUUUUGCAAGAAAUUGAAAUUAGGUCAAAUAUAGAUAAUGAUGAGAUUAAUUGUUUAAUUUAUAUUAUUUGUUAUUUGAUCCUUGUGUUAUGAAAAGUUUCAAUUUUCCCCUUUAGGUUUUAUAGUUUAAAUUUGAACUCAAAAGUUUNUAGGGUUUCAUGUACACCACAGGAACGAUGUUUCAUAAACUUGACGAGUUCCAUAGACUCGAUGAGUUAAGUGUCCUGGUGCCGGGAUUUUCGAUUUUCUGGCCAAAUUUUAAUGAGGAUAACUGUGAAAACUCGUUUUUCUUUCCUAAAUUCAAAUCUUUAAGAUCGGUAUGGAUAUCCUUAUCAGAUUUGGUGGAUUUAGUUAAAUAUGGAUGAUAUAGGAUUAUUUUGAUUCAAAUAUUUAACCUAGUAAGUUUGAAAAGUUUCAAAUUACACCCUUUAGGUUUUAUAGUUUAAAUUUGAACUUAAAAGUUUUAGUUUUGAAAUUUAAAUAGUUAAACCCUAAUAUUUUGAAAAGUUUUAAAAUUUGUCCUUAAAUUUUGGAAUUUAAAAUUUAAUUAAAAGGUAUUACUUUUGCAAUAUUAAUUUCUAAAACCCUAGUGUUUUGAAAAGUUCAUAUUACACCCUUAUGGUUUUAUUAAAUUAAUUAAGUGCUUAAUUAAGAGAGAGAAUUAAUAAAUCCAUAACAAUAUGGUUUAAGAUUAAUCAAAUUAAAAGUGUAAUUUAUUAAUAGAUUAAACCACCUAAUAUUUUUAAAGUGUAAAAUACACCAUUAUACUAUAUAUAAAAUUAAAAGUCUAAUAUAUUAUAUAUGUAUAAGUAAAGAGUCUGUCUUAUCGUUAGUAAGCCUUAUUCACGAAGUUGGUCUUUAAGGGGUGUUUAAGGAAGCGGCAUGUAAAAUGACCGUCAUUGGAUAUCCACUCUUACCCACCGCACCAUUAACUAGUGGAGGGUCAUUAGCCGAAUGGGUAGGAUAGGACAUAACCUUCCAUUAUAAGUAUAAUGAAAUACGAAGUAACUAAACGUUUAUAUAAAUUCUCAAAUCUUAGUUACUGUAGGAAAAAUGUGAAUUUGGUGCUAAUCCAUGAAAUUGCACAUUGCACCUUGUUGGUCGUUAGUGGAGCGUGUGUGGUUAACAGAACACUAAUAUGGGACCAAUGAAGGAUGGCAAUGGGUUUCUCGUAAUAUUAUCAUUGAUCAAUGGAGCGUGUGUGGUUAACCGGCACAUUGAUUGGGUGGUGAUCGACAUCGAGAGUAUCAAGCUAAUUUGCAUGGUUAUUCACACCUUGUUUGUGAUCCUCGGCGUCCCAGUCACAAACUUGAAAGGCAUAAUCGAGAUUAAACAUGCCAUUGAAAAGUUUAAUGAAUCUCAAAAGAUCUAGGGCUUUCAAUUCAUUAAUAACCUAAUUUUCAUUUUUGUUUUUCAUGGUGGAAAUUGGUAAAUCGUCAUUUACCUACCUUCAAAUAUUUUGCGACUGGAUUACGGCAUCCCUCUUCCGAAUUGUAGAAUAUUGUGUUGGAUCCUAGCCUUAAUAUUCCCUUUGGGUGUUAUAUUAAGGAUUGAAUCAACUAACUUGAACUUCUCCCAUUUUGUAGAUGUCUAAAUCUAACAACUAUGGUAUUCCACAAUCCUUUGGAAAAAGUCUUCCACAUGAAGAUGAUGUUCCACGAUUCGAUCGAGGAACAAGAGAUCAUGCUUCACUUCAUCCUCCUCCUCCCGUUGUUCUCCCUAACCCACAAGAUCGAAGAAUUGAAAGGUUCAAUGUCACUAAAGCCCUAUUGGAAAUGAAACAUGAAGAUAAUGUUGGGUGCGUCAUUCCCCGAUAAGUUGGCUGUGAACUGGGUUCUGCAGUCGCUCCCUGAAUCAUAUAAUGAGUUCAAGAGAAUGUAUUAUAUGAUGGAUCAUGACGAUAACCUCAUUGACCUAACUUACAUGCUCAUUGCUGCUGAAUCAGAAAUAAUUUGGCAAAGCAAUGGAGCGGUUUUGUUGGGAAAGUCAACCAACCAUGCUUUCGAGGACGUUCUAGGAGAACCGACCUGCGUUUGCUGCCAAGAGAAAGGGCGUUGGAUACAAGUUUGCCCUAAGAGCCUGAAGAAUCCAAAAGAUGGGAGAGUCAAAGAGUAUGGUUGUGCUUCAGGUAAAAAUCCACUAUCUAACUCCAUUAAGUUCUUAUUCGUUGAUUCUUAAUACAUGAUGUGAUAAGAUUGCAUUUGAAUGUUUUGCAGGAUCAGUGAAAAGAGAGGAAGCUUGAUGGAAAAGCAAGAUAAGUCUAAUCACAAAGAAAUGGAUCUCGAUCGCAUGGACUUGAAGAUUAGAUUUUGAGCUUAGAAAGUUAUGAUAGAGUUGUUAGGAAUAUUAGACUACAUAGUUUUUCAGUUAAUUUUGCAUUGUAAGGAAAAAUGUUUUCCGCUGCUUUUAUGAAUAAAAUAAAUUUUGAUUUGACUCAUUUAUUUAUUUAUUUCCUUGCAAUGAAAUCGUUAUGAAAAAUUGAUGUUUGCAUAUUUCUACAACGAAUGGAUGUGAUUCUUAAUUAUGUUAAUUAUGGAAAGGUCAAGAAUUUACCAAAUAGGAAAAGUUUCUCAUCGCCCAAGUUUCAAUUGGAUAGAGACUUGGGUCAUGCAACUUGGUUGCACGAUGAAUGAGAAAUUUCAUAUGUGGAAAUAAGACUAAUUCGUUGACAAAGUGUCAAGUGAAGAACUAGGAGAUCGAGUACACAAAGUUGUGUGUUGAUCAAGUCCACCGCAAGAGUAACGAAGAUAUUCGUCAUGAUUUACUAGAGGUUUAGUAAAAAUGAUUAUACUUAUAAGAUUAAGUGUAAUUCUGAAUUGAUUGAAAAAGGUUUAAAUCAAUAGCAUAACGAAUAAGAAGAAUCAAGUAGACAGAAAGAUAAAAGUCUCUCUAUUCUAAGAAGAAGGGAGAGUAUCUUUAUGCUUUAUGAUAUGUCUUAAUGAUUAAGAACCAUAUCUCAAUUGAUCCUCUAAGUAAGUCUUAGUACAAUUGUAUGUCUGAGAAGAGGAAUCAAGAAUUAAAGAAAUGGUUAAAAUCAAGAAGUCAAUCGUAUUUCGUUCCAAACAAGUCUUAGAGUUAAGAUUGUGACAUAGAGUGACAAGUAUUAGGAAGGUUUAUGACAAUCAUCAAAUGUAGAAUUUGGAAAAGGGUUUUCUUAUUCUUGCACAUUUGAAAUUCGUAAGUUGUGAUGUCUUGGAUUAGACAAAGACCAACGAGGACCAAUUUGUGAAGUGUUUUGUCUUGAUAAAAGCUACACUAACUCUUGAAUAUUUGGUUGUCGAGAAAUGUUUAUUGACAAGAGAAUCUUAUAUGUCAAGGAGUCAGUGGGAGUCUUAAUGGUCUUGAAAAGGUUUCAAUAACAAAUCAAAAUAAACCUUAUCAAUCAUCACUAGCACACGAGUUGAGGUUUACAACCUAUCGUGUUGACAUUAUCUUGUUUCUGUGCCGUUCCAAUCGAGUUAAUUAUGCAUGUGAGUUCUAUGAGUUCUCAUUUGAAUGCAUAAAAGGCAAGGACCUUGAUCAAUGGAAAGUACAUUGAUAGGAAAGGGUGAGCUGCUUAACUACUUGGAAGACAUGGUGGGCAGCCGUGUUACCAUAAGGCAAGAAAUCAAGAUUAAGAGUUCGGUCCAUAUAAGUUUGAAUUUGUCAUAAACUUUGGUUUUAACAAAUUCACAUGGAUAGGAACACAUACACUAUUAAAAUCUAAGUGUCAUAAGAUUCCCUCCUUCAUGGAAAUGACUGUGAGGUAAUGCUUUCACUAAAAGAGAUUUUAAGAAGAUAGUAAUUGUGAAAAUUGGAUUCUCGAAUUCGAUUAUGGUUACAGUAUCCCUUUCCAUGAUUCGAAUUGUAAGAUUUGGCAAUUAGUCUGAAUUGUUUAGACACACAUAUGAGCUAUCUAAGGGAAAGGUGUAUAAGCUUAGAUAAAGGAUUAUCAAAGCAUUAGUUAUUAGAAACAUGAACUUAAGAAAUUCAAUAGGUAUUGUUCUUCUGAAAGUUAAGUUGUUUCUAAAUACAUGUCAAAGCUAGUGGGAGCAUAAGUGUUAUGUUUAUAAUAAUCAUCAUGAUAGUGGGAGCAUAAAUGUUAUGAUUAUGUGAUUAUUAAGGCAAGUAUUGCAAGUUAGCAAUAUUAAUUAUAGAAAACAAGAGUUAUACUUUGCAAAGUCACAAUGGUUAAAAGGUUGUUUUGCUAUAAUUAAGGGAGAGAAUAUUAUGCUUCAUUUCAAAACUAAAGGCUUAGGUUGUGGAAUGUUAAUUAUUUUAGUCAAGGAUACAUAGUAUUCUUAAAUUUCGAUUAUGAUUACGACAUUUCUCUUCAUAGUUCGAAUUGUGAGAACAUAGCACAUAAAAUAUUAUGGCAGAAGACUGAUAAAGUAUCAAAUCUUUAUGCAUCGUGUCCCAUGCGCUUCGGGUAUAGGAUCGAUUGCAAAUGCUAUAAUAUUUGACCAUUCCAAAAUUUUCCAAAUGUCUAGCGCAUUUAGAGGGAAAAGGACAAGAAUAGGUUUUGACUAAGAUAAUUAAACAACUAUCAAAGGACAAUCCAAAGUUCGCCAAGGAUUGGUCACUUAUGAGUAGUUGGAAGUAUAGUAUUGAAUAGACCAUAUCGACAUUAUUAUGAAUAGAAAAGAUUCUAUUAAGAAUGAGUUGUCAUAUGGAAAAUAUGGAAACGUUUCCAUAUUGGGAGUCGGAUAUUGAGAAUCUAUGUCUAGAUUAGAAAUUUUAUGCAAAAGGAUGUUCAAAGGAAUGUCCUUUGAGUGAGAGACAUCACAUCUAAGGAAUUGUCUUGUAACAAUCUCCAAUAGACAGCUUUGUAAUUCAUUGGCAAUAGUCAUUGUGACUUUGGUGCAGUGACAUUAUGAAAGGAUGAUUGCAUAAAAUAUUAGAAUCUAACAUAUUCCAUAAGUGGCAAGAAUUUGAUAUUCUUUCACUUGUGAAAAGGAUUGGGAGUUAUGAAAUGAUUAUGAUUGGAAAUGUGUUCAUUUGAUCUAUUUCACAAAGUAAGAACCAUAGAUAAACACUGUGUGCAUGCUAAGAGCAUGGGACAAGUGUUGUAAUAAUUUAAGUAAGAAGUUUAUUACCCGAAACAAGAAAUAAUGAGUAAUCGAUAUGGUGAUAAUAAAAGGUGUUUUAUUUAUACUCAAGGUUUGAGGCCAUAUGGGACUAGUAUUAUUCUUGUGUUUCACUUUGCAUGUUUUGACUUCCUAAAUAAUUUAAAUUGGUUUAGAACAGUUAAAUUAUUCGAACGGGCCCUAGUCGUUCAUAUGUUGGAAGUAGGUAUGAAUGAAGACUGUCAUGAAUUGGUGUGUGGAUUGUCUAAAGAGCAUUAGACAUAAGCAAAUGUUUGCUGCAACGUUCAUGAGUGCUUAUAAAUAUGAUUUGAGCAUUGCAUUAAACCCACGCUCACUUGGAUCACUUCAUGGAUUUUAUCACGAGUGAUUGGUGAGACGAUAAUAUCUUAUAUUCUUGAAACCGAGAUGUGUGAGUUGUAUCUUGCGAGUUGGUUGCACAUUGAUAAUACGUAAACGCACCAGUAACUUGGUGUUAUAAAACAUAUUGUUGUGUGUGAUUCGGUGAGUAAGUGCAAUCGAACAUUGAGUCAAAGUUUAUCCGUUCCUUUUAUCAAAAGUAGGAUAAAAACGAUUUCUGUGGGCCCCUCGAUUAUUUAGUGAUGGCACCUAAGCGCUUGGCCAAGCCGGGACUAAAUUGAUGUGUUCAAUUGUAGUCUAUUGUUAGUCGUCAUAAAUCUGAAUUCGGGAAACAACACAUAGACAGAGAGAAUGUUUUAGAUCCAUGUCUCAGUCUAUACGAUAUCUAGAAUGGAGGAAUAUAUGAUCCCUUAUCUAAAGGAUACGCGAAUAUGAUAAGAUCAGAGUUGACAGCGGCUUUAGAAAGCUACGAUUGCAGAUCAGGAUCUGAAGUCAUACGCAUAAUAGUUAUUAGACUUAUCCAAGUGGGAGACUGUUGGAUUAGUGUCUAAGUCCAUAAACUAUUUUGGUAUGUACUUGACCCGAUGGUGUAUGGUCCUUUUGGGUUGUCUUCACCAAAGCAACUUGAUAGGAUGAAUUAUAGAGAGAAAGGAUUAAAUAUGAUUUAUUAAUAUAAUAUGAGAAUAAUAUAUUAAAGGAGAAAUCAUAUUGUUUCAUUAAUAUUAGUCAAGAAUUAAUUGAUAAUUAAUUUUAUGACUAAAAGAGAUUAAUUAAACUUAAGGGACUAGAACUGUCAAUUGUAUGAUAGGUGAAUAUUGAGCUAAUGGACUCCAUAUUAAAGGAGUAGACAAAUUCUAUGGGGAAACCCAUUAGAAAUCGUCCUAGGCCUUUAAGGAAGGAGCCCAUGGGUUGCUUAGGGCUUAAGCAUCCAAAUUAGGUUUUCCUUGUUAGAUAACCCUAAUAGCCUCACUAUUUAAGGACCCCUUGGGCACCAAAAACGUGGGCAACUGACUCCUAGGGGUUUCUACACAUUUUUGGGUGUUUCUUCUCUUCUCCUAUUCAUCCUCUUGCUCUUGGUGUUUGUGAACCAUUAGAGGAGUGACAUUUGUGACUCUAAGCUUUCUAAAGUCAUUAUAAAGGAGGAUUUGAGAUUGUUAUUGCUACAUAACAAUCAAGGUAUGAUGUAAACCCUAAUUCAUAUGUUAUAUUGAUUAUCAUAUACUAGAUAUAGGGUUUAUAGUCUUGGAUGAGUUGCAUGUACAAUAGAGAAACCUAGAUCCAAGCAUUAGGGUUUUUAUGAGCACAUAGGAUGUUUUUAUAGCUAAAACCCAUCAGGGUUAAACCCAUUGGAUGCUCCAUGGAGGCUCCAUGGGAGUUACAAACCCAUGGGUAAUGGAAAUGAAGAGUCAUGUCACAUUAGGGUUUACAUGGCGUAACCCUAGAUGUGACACACUAUAUAAAGAACAUCAUACUCCCUAAAAUCGGCUACACAUAGUGACAAGAGGGCUUGCCUGAUUUUUUGAGUGUUACACGUUCUCUCAAAGUUGUUCCAAAGCAUUUGGUGUUGUAUGAAGCAUUUGAGGAAUCACACUUAGGGUGCUAGGCUCUCAAGGUUUCAAGGAAUCAUAACAACAACAAGGUAUGUGUUUCUAGCUAUCUUUUAUAUUAUAAAGUUCCCCAUGUAUGCUAGAUAGGUUUAUGAACCUUGGAAAAAAGUAAUUUGCAUGUAUCUUAUACAAACAUAGAUCCAAGGUUCUCUAGGGUUGCAUGUACACUUAGGAGUGUUAGAAUUGCUCAAAACCCUUCGAUGGUAUCAGAGACUAGGCUUGCUUGUUUGAUAUUUGAUGCAAAAUAGUGAAAAAAGUCGAUUUUUUGUUGUCUGCCUGCUGAAAUCGCCAAGUCCAUGGGGGGACUUGCCGAGUUCAUGUGUAAAAUCAUCCUACUCGUCGAGUAGGUUCAUGCACUCGACGAGUAGGAGCCUCAGAAUGCAGUUUUUUGACUUUUGCUGCUGGAAAUGGACUAGAAACGUUACCCUAAACUGUUUGGGUGUUAUUAAACAUGUUUUAGAUGGUGUAAUGGUUGUUCUAAUCCAUUUAUAAUGACUAAUAUCAAAAUUCCAUGAUUUUAUGUUUUCUUGAAAAUUUGAUAUUCAUAUUCAUGUUCUUAUGAGUUUAGAUGAUCAUAGGAAUUAUGUGUAACUUCUUGAUAGUUUUAAUUCUUAAUCAUUAUGUGUUUUAAUGGAAUCCAUAAUUUGUCCUCAAGUUAUGAAUUACCAAAAGUUUUAUCUUUGAAUGUCCAUUGAAGAAACACAUAGGUUACAUAAAAUGAAGAUUUACUCAUUUUAAUGAACCAAUUAAUCUCAUAAGUUAUGGAUUGAAGAGUUUUGUUAAGUUACAAAACUUUCCCUCAAAUUUUGGAACUUGUAAAGUCACCUAAUUAACUUUAGUUCCAACCCCUAGAAUUUAAAAUGUUAAAAUUCAACACUUAUACUUUAUAAUAUUAUAAGUUUAAUAUAUAUAUAUAUAUAUAUAUAUAUNNNNNNNNNNNNNNNNNNNNNNNNNNNNNNNNNNNNNNNNNNNNNNNNNNNNNNNNNNNNNNNNNNNNNNNNNNNNNNNNNNNNNNNNNNNNNNNNNNNNNNNNNNNNNNNNNNNNNNNNNNNNNNNNNNNNNNNNNNNNNNNNNNNNNNNNNNNNNNNNNNNNNNNNNNNNNNNNNNNNNNNNNNNNNNNNNNNNNNNNNNNNNNNNNNNNNNNNNNNNNNNNNNNNNNNNNNNNNNNNNNNNNNNNNNNNNNNNNNNNNNNNNNNNNNNNNNNNNNNNNNNNNNNNNNNNNNNNNNNNNNNNNNNNNNNNNNNNNNNNNNNNNNNNNNNNNNNNNNNNNNNNNNNNNNNNNNNNNNNNNNNNNNNNNNNNNNNNNNNNNNNNNNNNNNNNNNNNNNNNNNNNNNNNNNNNNNNNNNNNNNNNNNNNNNNNNNNNNNNNNNNNNNNNNNNNNNNNNNNNNNNNNNNNNNNNNNNNNNNNNNNNNNNNNNNNNNNNNNNNNNNNNNNNNNNNNNNNNNNNNNNNNNNNNNNNNNNNNNNNNNNNNNNNNNNNNNNNNNNNNNNNNNNNNNNNNNNNNNNNNNNNNNNNNNNNNNNNNNNNNNNNNNNNNNNNNNNNNNNNNNNNNNNNNNNNNNNNNNNNNNNNNNNNNNNNNNNNNNNNNNNNNNNNNNNNNNNNNNNNNNNNNNNNNNNNNNNNNNNNNNNNNNNNNNNNNNNNNNNNNNNNNNNNNNNNNNNNNNNNNNNNNNNNNNNNNNNNNNNNNNNNNNNNNNNNNNNNNNNNNNNNNNNNNNNNNNNNNNNNNNNNNNNNNNNNNNNNNNNNNNNNNNNNNNNNNNNNNNNNNNNNNNNNNNNNNNNNNNNNNNNNNNNNNNNNNNNNNNNNNNNNNNNNNNNNNNNNNNNNNNNNNNNNNNNNNNNNNNNNNNNNNNNNNNNNNNNNNNNNNNNNNNNNNNNNNNNNNNNNNNNNNNNNNNNNNNNNNNNNNNNNNNNNNNNNNNNNNNNNNNNNNNNNNNNNNNNNNNNNNNNNNNNNNNNNNNNNNNNNCUCCUGGAAGAAUCGCGGGGCCACCCCGACUCAACUCGCCGAGUCUGAAGAACAACUCGACGAGUCCCAGUUAAUCUUCAAGCUACUCGCCGAGUCUGUUCAUCGGACUCGGCGAGUCCAUGCCAUGCAACCGCUCAAACUGCUUUCUAAGGUCAGAACUGCUCCGACCAUUCAUAGGUCUGGCCUUCCUAGACUGAUUCAUCACGUAAGGUCCUCAUUUCGGUGCUCAUAAUACACCCCAUGACUCAUAAUUUACAUUUUGACCUAAGGCAUAAGGAUUCCAAUCCAAAACCUCCAUUGAUUCCUGAAAUGCUCAGGCAUGGGACAUUCUGGACUUCCAAAGAUCUCAAUACAGGGUUCCAAUCGUUUGGGGGACUAAAGUAACACUCAAUCUAGCCACAAAAGGGUUCAAUAAAUCCUAAAUCCAUAUACACAUCAACAUAGAAGAAUGUAACUCGAAAUAUUACCUGAAUAACGUGCUCUCUGUGUCCCCAAUCCACAGAACGUGGCUCUUCCUGUUGUUCCCUUAACCAAGCCUCUUCUUCCUUGCAAAACCACACUUCCAAAAUCAACAAUGGUCUUCAACCUUGCUCCAGACGCUCACAAUCGAAUUAGGGUUUCUCUCAGAGGACUAGGGUGAACAAUGACGGCCAUAAAGUCCCUCAUAUACGUCCCAAACCUGAACGGUUAGGGUUUUCGCUAAAUAGCGCAGACUCGCCGAGUCCAUAUCCGGACUCGUCGAGUCCAGUCGCGAACCCGCAACCAGAUCCGCGAUCCUACUCGGCGAGUCUAGGCUCCAACUCGCCGAGUCCCCUCUUAAAACACCCAAAAUCAUAAAUAUAACAAUACCUGAAAUUCCAGGCUGUUACAGUAAUCGGGUUAUUGUUGGUUGGUAAAAGUAAAUACAAUUAUUUAUUGCGGGUUGAAAACACUAUAUGCUCACCAGGCUCCCAAGCCUGACCCACUCAGUUUAUUUGUAUUACAGGUAGUGGCGCGAGGGCAUAAGAUGGACGAAUCAUCAAGUUAUUUUGUUUAUUAGACCAGUUGUUAUAUGUAACUAUUGUAUGGUCUAUCUUUUGUUGUUUAUGCUUUUGUGUCUGUAUCGGAACAUGACAUCUCGAGUUUUGAUUUUAUAGUGAAAAUACAUUUCUUUAUGAAAUGCUUUGGUAAAUAUUAUUUUAUCAUACUUUGUUUUUGGGAACAAAUUUCGCAACUCUUUUAAAUCAAAAGGAUUUACUCUUAAAUUAUUUUAAAAAGCAUAAAUGAAACUGGUCUUUUAUGGCCGUGAUUUUGGGGAUGUCACAGUGGGUAUCAGAGCAUUAGUUUAAGCGAACUAGGAAUUUGUAAGAUUUCUAGACUUAAACUUAGAAUGCUAAGUGGAGAUUGUGAGAAGUGUGUCUGUUAUAUUAUGGACACGAGCACUAGUAUAUUUUAGGAAGUUGCCUAAAAUGCUCUUAGGUGCUAAAUGUUAUAUGUUGCCAUAUAUGAUAUUAUUUGUUUGGAUCUAUGGUCUGUUGCCGACCGGAUCAUGAAACCUUAUGUGUGUAGGAUUCUAAGCAUACGUCUACGACAUUAGAACUAGCAUGUAAACGUUUCGGAGUGAUAUGGAAGAUCGUAAUAUCUAUCAUGAAUAAAGAUCUAAAUUUCACCUUAUUCGGUGUAUUGAUCAAGAAUGGCAAGAACAAGAAGCAGUGAUGGAAAUGCAAACAAGAACAGGAAUCAACCGCCUCUAAUUGAACAAGUAAUUGUUGAAACUGCUGCACCAGAGCAAAUCACUCUGGCUGGGGUGCAAGCCAUGAUUCGGGCUAUGUUAGCCGAACAAAAGGAAGAAAUGCGACAGAUGUUGCAUGAAAAUAGGGACGAACCAAUCAUACCCAUUGAGGAACCCAAACUGAUUCCCGAACAAUCGGAGGAAGGAAACAAUAGUCGCGUUGUGAGUCAAGUUGGGAGUCAAGGAGAACGAAGGAACGACCCGGAAAGGGGAAACAAAAAGGAUGGGAGAAUGUAUAAGAAUUUCUUGGGCGCCAAGCCGCCAAGUCUUUCUGGGAACCUAAAGCCCAUUGAGAUUAUGGAUUAGAUCUCCGAAAUGAAGAUGGUAUUUGAAAGUUGCGACUGUAUCAACAAACAGAAGACUGUCUUUGCAGUUAGACAACUGAAGACCGGAGUCUUGAGCUGGUGGAAGUUGUUGGCAGAUAUUAUGUCAUGAGGAGAAGCCCUGAAAAUGUCAUGAGAGGAGUUCUUAGAACAACUAAGGGCGCAGUAGUGUUCAGAGAUAGAUCUGAUUGAUCUGAACAAUGAGUUCCAAAACUUAAAGAAGGGGAGGAUGAGCAUAAAUGACUAUGCUAUCGCAUUCACUGAUAAAAUGAGGUUAUUUCCAUACCUAGUGCGAAUGAAACUCUCCAAGAUUGAGAGGUUCGCUAAUGGACUACCUUCCGACUUUUGCCCGAUAGUCAAGAUGGCAACUACUCUAAAAAUAGUUGUUUGUGCGGCUAAGAAUGUGGAGACCCAGCAGAAGGAAAAGGGUCUGGAAAGAAUAGAGGUUGGUGAGAAAAGGAAGUUGGAUGGACCUUUAGGGUCCAACAAGAAAAUCAAGUUUUCGAAGUCUAGUUCGAGAGGAGGAGGAGGAAGAGAAGCCAAAUGGUACGACAAAUGUAAGAAGAAGCAUCAUGGAAAAUGUGAAGUAGUAGCCACAUGUUUUAAAUGUGGAAAGCCAGGGCACUAUGCCAAUGAAUGCACUCUCACCAAGAAAGUUUGUUAUGGCUAUGGUGAGGAGGGGCACAUCUCGAGAGAUUGUUCGAAGAAGAAGGAGGCAUCAAAACCCAAUAUUCCCCCAAAGCCGAAGGCGAGAGCAUUCCAGAUGACACUGGAAGCUGCAAAAUAUGAAGCUGAUGUCGCUUCAGGUACCUUUCUCGUAAACAAAUUGCAUGCCCAAAUUUUAUUUGAUUCUGGAGCCAACUACUCCUUUAUUUCGCAUGAAUUUGGUAGAAACUAGCUUCUCCUGUCGAUAGACUAGAUAAUGCUUUAUUAGUCGAAGUUGCUAGUAGCAAAUUUCUACCUAUUAGCCAUCGUAUGAAAAACAUCUUAAUUCACUUGAAUGGGAAUAAGUUCCAUGAGGAAUUAUUGCCUAUCGAACUAAACAAUUUCGACAUCGUGCUGGGAAUGGAUUGGCUUAGCGCCAAUGACGCCGAAAUAUUGUGCAAGAAGAAGAUUGUAAAGGUAAAUCCGCCAGGNGCAAGAAGAAGAUAGUAAAAGUAAACCCACCAGUGAAAGAGUCAUUUAUGGUGUAUGGGGACAAACGCAGAGUAAAUUCUAGAAUCAUUUAUCUAAUGAAAGCCAGAAAGUGUUUGGCCAAAGGAUGUACAUCAUAUUUGGCAUUUGUGAUAGAUUCUAAGAAGGAGAAAAAGGUGAUGCAAAGCAUUCCUAUCGUAUGUGAUUAUCGGGAAGUAUUUCCCAAAGAUCUUCCCGGAUUACCGCCUGAUAGAAAUUUGGAGUUCAUAAUAGACUUGUUACCAGGGACGACGCCUAUAGCAAAAGCACCUAAUCGAUUAGCACCAUCAGAGAUGAAGGAGCUAAUGAUGCAACUUCAGGAGUUAUUGGGCAAAGGUUUAAUUAGACCUAGUUUAUCACCCUGGGGAGCUCCGAUGUUAUUCGUGAAGAAGAAAGAUGGAAGUAUGAGAAUGUGCAUCGAUUAUAGAGAGCUGAACAAGGCAACAAUAAAGAAUAGAUAUCCGUUGCUGAGGAUUGAUGACUUGUUCGAUCAACUACAAGGUUCAAGUUAUUUUUCAAAGAUCGACCAAAGGUCAAGAUAUCAUCAGCUGAAGGUGAAAGAGCAGAUAUAGAGAAGACUGCAUUCAGAACACGAUAUGGACACUAAGAGUUUUUGGUUAUAUCAUUUGGACUAACCAAUGCUCCAGCAUCAUUCAUGGAUUUAAUGAUCAUGGUUUGUAAUCCGUUCCUAGAUAAAUCUGUGAUAGUGUUCAUAGAUGACAUUCUGAUUUAUUUGAAAAGCGAAGAGGAGCAUGGCAUACACUUGCGAGAAGUGUUAGAAGUCUUGAAGAAGGAGAAGUUGUAUACAAAUUUCUCCAAAUGUGAUUUCUGGAUUCGAGAAGUCCAAUUCUUGGGUCACGUGAUCAACUAAAAAGGGAUAAUGGUUGAUCCAGCAAAGAUUGAAGCUGUAAUGAAGUGGGAACAACCGAAAAGUCCCACGGAGAUCCGAAGCUUUUUAGGAUUAGCCAGAUAUUACCGAAGGUUUAUCCAAGGCUUUUCUACGAUCGCUACUCCAUUAACAGCGUUCACCCACAAAGGAGUUACUUAUGCUUGGAAUGAUAAGCAUAAAGAAGAAUUCGAGAGGCUAAAGAAGAAGCUAUAUGAGGCAGCGAUUCUUUCUCUACCCGAUGGAGUUGAAGACUUCGCUGUUUAUAGCAAUGCGUCUGGUGUUGGCUUGGGUUGUGUUUUAACCCAAAGGGAAAAGGUGAUCGCAUAUGCAUCUCGACAGUUGAAGGAGCAUGAAAAGAACUACCCGACUCAUGAUUUGGAGUUGGAAACGGUAGUUUUCGCUCUGAGAAUAUGGAGGCAUUACCUCUAUGGCACGAAGUGCAACUUUUCACUGAUCAUAAGAGUCUCCAAUAUCUCUUUAGUCAGAAAUAAUUAAAUAUGAGGCAAUGAAGUUGGCUUGAAUUACUUAAGGAUGUACGACUGCGAGAUACUUUACCACCCUGGUAAGGCUAAUGUUGUUGCUGAUGUUCUCAGUCGGGAAGUCAAUCUUGAAAGAAAAAGGCCAAGAGCGUUGAGAAUAGAAGUUGUCUCAACAAUUGUGGAGAGUAUAAAGAAAGCUAAAGAGGAAGCUUUUGUGAAGAAUGAUCGAAAAGAAGAACUUUAGGGAAAAAUGUUGGUGUUCGGUAUAAACAGUCAUGGACUGAAGGUGUUCCAAGAUCGGAUUUGGAUACCUAAGACAAGAGGAGUCAGAGAUCUUAUGAUGGAAGAAGCUCAUAAGUCCAUGUACUCAAUUCAUCCCGGUAGUACUAAAAUGUAUAGGGACCUAAAACCCUACUACUGGCGGCCGACGAUGAAGCUUGAUGUUGAAAAGUAUGUAGCCGUGUGUGUGACUUGUGUGAGAGUCAAGACACAACAUCAGAAACCGUAUGGGAGUUUAGAACCUUUGCCUGUGCCUAUGGGUAAGUGGGAAGACAUUGCUAUGGAUUUUAUCACUAAACUGCCCAGAACGAAAAGUGGUCACAACAUGAUUUGGGUGAUCGUUGAUCGAUUCACUAAGAGUGCGCAUUUCAUAGCAUCCAAUGAGAAAUGGUCUAUGGAAAAGCGUGCGAAUUCUUUUGUGAAGGAAGUUGUGAGGCUUCACGGUGUUCCGUUAACGAUUGUGUCAUAUCGUGAUAGCCAUUUCACCUCGCGAUUUUGGAGAAGUCUACAAGAGGAAUUGGGUAGCAAGUUGUGUUUGAGUACAUCUUACCAUCCACAGACUGAUGGUCAGAGCGAACGGACGAUACAAACACUUGAAGAUAUGCUGAGAGCAUCUACCCUAGAAUUCCAAGGUACUUGGGAUGAACAUUUACCUUUGAUGAAAUUUUCCUACAAUAAUAGUUUCCACUAGAGCCUAAAGAUGGCACCUUGUCAAGCUUUGUAUGGACAGAAGUUUCGUACGCCGUCUUAUUGGCUUGAGGCUGGAGAAAAGAAGUUUAUGGGACCCGAGAUGGUUCAUCAAAUUGCUGAAAACCUGAAAAUAAUUUAGGAAAGAAUGUUAGUAGCUCAGGAUCGUCAAAAGUGCUAUGCUGACAAAUAGCGAAGACCGAUGACUUUUGAAGUUGGAAAUUCGGUUUUGCUUAAAGUCUCGCCAUGGAAGGGACUUAUAAGAUUUUGUAAAUGGGCAAAGUUUAGUCCAAGGUUUAUUGGACCUUUUAAAGUUCUUGAGAGGAUUGAGAACCAAGCUUACAAGAAUGAAUUGCCAGAAGAACUGCAUGGUAUUCAUAACACUUUCCAUGUGUGUUAUUUGAGGAAGUUUACUAGAGAACUUCCCGACAUGAUUCCACUUUCGGAGUUGAGAAUCAAUGAGAACAAAAGGUUGAUUGAAGAACCAGAGGCAAUCGUUCACUGAAAGACUAAGAAGUUGGGACGCAAGAUGGUCGAGUUUGUGCUUGUCCGAUGGAAACACACGAAUAGGCCAAAUCUCACCUGGGAGACGGAGAGUGACAUGAUCAGUCACUACCCGCAUUUGUUUGUUGAUGUGUGAUUCCGAGGACGGAAUCAUUCUAAGGUGGAGAGAAAUGUAACACCUGUGUUUCUGGGCUUGUCAUUAAUAUUGAUGUAAUAGUCCAGGUUAACCAUUGUAACCCGUUUCGAAAUAAUAGAAGUGUAUUAUUUGAGUAUUAUGUGUUUUGUGCUUAAUUGUGUGUCUCAAUUGAGUUAAGUAUGAAAAUAAGCGUCAAAAUUAAAUGUUAGAUAAAGCCGAUAUUUAUGUAUAAUGCUCUAGUAGUUGAAACGAGGUUUCCGAAUAUACAUAGAAUGCCGAAAUCCGAGUUAUAAGGAAGAAGUUAUGAUAUGUCGAAGUUUCGCGACAGAAACCGGCACGACGCUGAAUGACGUAAAAAGUGAAUUUACGUUAGAGUGAUACUUAGCCCUAGUGAUCUAAACGAAUGUUGUAGAUUUCGUUAAAUUGAGAGCGUGCAUAAAAAAAUCGCCCAAAUCUGACUUCGUAUGAGGAAGUUAUGAUUUUCCGAAGUUUCAACUUAUCAGUGUGCAGCCCGAAUACUCGAUUUGAGAUCAAGCGGUUUUUAGCCGAAACAAUCUAAACGAGAAUUGAAGAUCUCGUUAAUGGUAGUGCAAUGGUAAAAAGACAGAUGAAAACGGACGUCGGAUGAAGAAGUUAUGAAUUUAUAACGGGGUUUUUCUGUCCCGGCCUACUAAAAAUAAAUAAUAAAAAAAUAAUAUCAAAAUCAGCCGACGGAGUCUAAACGAAAGUUGUAGAGCGUAGUCUCACCUACGCGUGGAUAUAAAGAAAGUCGAAACGGAGUUCAUAUGAAGAAGAUAUGAAUUUCCGAAGUUUUUAAAUGAUUAACAUUUAUUAAUUAAUCUUUAAUUCGGAUGUAUAUCCGAAGGAGACACCGAUCUAGUCCGCACUACGCCCAGCGUAGUUGAGUACGACCAGCGUACACCGAAGUGUGACCCGCCUUACACUCAAGAGCUCCGAUAACGCAUGCAGUGACGAAUCCGAAGUGUACACCCCGCGUACUGAGCAUUACGCCCAGCGUAAUGUGAGGCUUCAGCCUCUAUAAAAGGGCUUGCGAGGGCAGCCAAUGCUUUUGCUCAAUUUAUUUUCUCUCUCUCCCGUUUUGCAUCGUUUUGCAUACAAAUUAUACCCCGAAACCCCGAUAUCAUUCCCGAGCCCCGAAGCAUGUCCUGAAGCCCCGAAGAUCCCGAGGAGUAGUGUUCCCGAGCCGAAGCUCUGCCUGCAAGAAGCCAAUUUUUUUGAAGAUCUUCCAGAUCUACCGAAGAAUACUACUUCUACAAGUCGUAGUGUUGUCCGAUCAUCUUCUGAUCAAGUGAGUAUGUAGUUACUUUCAUCUAAUGCAUAAUUACGAAGUAUUUUAUACGAAAUACGUGUUAUGUGUAUAUUUGUUGUUAUAUGUGUGAAUGUAUAUUCACUUUCUUCUAUCUCGUACAUAUGACUAAUUCUCUAUGAAAUAUGUGUUAUGUGUAUCUGUCUCAUCUGUUGUUUGGAAUAUGUAUUGAAUGAGAAUGUUAUACAGGUUUUAAACUAAGUAUAAAAAUAUAUAUUUUUAUCUACUAAUAUGUUGGGUAGACCAUGGGUAGAUGGUUGAUGUGUGAUAAACAGAUGAGAGGCCUCGAUGUUGCUGUUGAUCUAGUUAUUCAGCGGACUAUGGAUAAUGACCACAGACUCUUUCGAGACAGUCAUGUGGAACGCUGUGACAUCCUCAAAAUCACGGCCAAAAAAGACCGUUUUAAUUUAUGCUUUUAAAAUAAUUUGAGAGUAAAUCCUUUGAUUUAAAAGAGUUGCGGAAUUUGUUCCCAAAACAAAAUAUGAUAAAAUAAAGUUUUUCAAAGCAUUUCAUCAAGAGAUGCAUCUUCAUUAUAUAACAAUAUUCGGGAUGUCAUGUUCCCAUAAACAGACCAAAAAUAUAAACAACAAAAGAUAGAUCAUACAACAGUUACAUAUAACAAUUGGUCUAGUAUCAAAAGAUCUUGAUAAGUCAUCCAACUUAUGCUCUCGCGCCACUACCUAUAAUACAAAUAAACUGAGUGGGUCAGGCUUGGGAGCCUGGUGAGCAUAUAGGGUUUUCAACCCGAAAUAAAUAAUUAUAUUUAAUUUCACCAACCAACAAUAACCCAAUUACCCAUUCCCGUUAUCCUCACUUUACGUCCCUAAAACAACAUCUAUCUCAAGGGAUCUAAUAUAGGAUUUUCAUCGGGACAGACACUGCACAGGGGUUACCUCAAUAGUAGAUGUCCUAAAGGCAACCAUGAGGGGGAUAGAGUACACCGGUGAACACAUCGUUCACAACACCUAGCUAGCGUUCCACAGGACUGUCUAGAAAGAGUCUGUGGUUGUUAUCCAUACUCCGCUGAAUAACUAGAUCAACAACAACAACAUCGAGGCCUCUCAUUUGUUUAUCACACAUCAACUAUCUACCCAUGUUCUACCCAACAUAUUAGUAGAUAAAAAUAUAUAUUUUUAUACAUAGUUUAAAACAUGUAUAGCAUUCUCAUUCAAUACAUAUUCCAAUCAACAGAUGAGACACAUACACAUAGCACGUAUUUCCUAGAGAAUAAAUUAUAUCUCUGAGAUAGAAGAAAGUGAAUAUACAUUCACACAUAUAACAAAAAAUAUACACAUAACACGUAUUUUGUAUAAAAUACUUCAUAAUUAUGCAUUAGAAGAAAGUAACUACACACUCACUUGAUCAGAAGAUGAUCGGACAACACUACAGCUCUAAGAGUAGUAUUCUUCGGUGAAACUGGGUUCACUUCACUCACCAGGCUUCUUGCGGGCAGAGCUUCAGCUCGGAAACUCUUUUCUUCGAGGGAUCUUCGAGCUUCAGGACUUGCUUCGGUUGUCGGGAUGAUACCGGGGCUUCGGGGGUACUUUUUCACGUAAAUCGAGGUAAUAUGAGUGAGAGAGAAGAGAUUUGGCAACCACAAACGGUUGCCCCUUCAAAUCUAUUUAUAGGGCUAUUUUCUCAUUUUCCACGUCGUGGGCACUUCUUCCACGUCGUGAGCUUGGUCGUCAUUGCAUGCGUCAUCGUCCACUUGCUCUGCCAGGCUCCAGAAGGCGUCAGAAGCCAUGCCACGUCGUGGUCUCUGACGGUUUUGGUGUUUCGCACCCCGAACUUCAGAAAUCCAUAACUUUCGCAUACUUACUCCGUUUUCGACGUUCUUUAUAUCGACGUGUAGGUAAAAACAAGAUCUACAACUUUCAUUUAGACUUUGUAUGCUAAUUUUGACUUUAUUUUUAAUAUAUUAAUAAUAUACUAUUGUUAGUAGGCCGGGACAGGAAAACCCCGUUAGAAAUUCAUAACUCCUUCAUCUGACGUCCAUUUUCGACUGUCUUUUCACCGUUGGAGUACAAUCGAUGAGAUCUUUGAUUCUCGUUUAGAUUGUUUCGUCUAAAUAUCGCUCGAUCUCGUAUUCGAACUUCGGGCUAUACACUGCUAAACAAAAACUUCGAAAAAUCAUAACUUCCUCAUACGAAGUCAGAUUUGGGCCUUCUUUUUAUGCACGCUCUCAGUUUAACGAACUCUACAACAUUACUUUAGAUCGCUAAGUCCAAAUAUUUUUCUAAUGUAAACUCACUAUUUACGUCUCGCUGUGUCGUACCGGUUCUGUCGCGAAACUUCGACAAGUCAUAACUUCUUCGUUAUAACUCGGAUUUCGGCAUUCUUUAUAUAUUCAGAAACCUCGUUUCAACUACUACAACAUUAUCCAUAGAUAUUGGGUUGAUCUAACAUUUCAUUUUGACGUUUAUUUUUAUUCUUAAUUAAAUUAAGACAUACAAUUAAGCACAAAAACACAUAAUACUCAAAUAAUACACUUCUAUUAUUUCAAAACGGGUUACAAAGGUUAACCUAGACUAUUAUAUCAACAUUAAUGACAACCCCAGAAACACCGUCAUUACAAUUCUCUCCACCUUAGAAUGAUUCCGUCCCCGGAAUCACACAUCAACAAACAAAUGUGGGUAGCGACUCAUCAUGUCACUCUCCGUCUCCCAAGUGAGAUUUGGCCCAUUCGUGUGUUUCCAUCGGACAAGCACAAACUCAACCACAUUGCGUCGCAACUUCUUAGUCUUUCGGUCAAAGAUUGCCUCUGGUUCUUCAAUCAAUCUUUUGUUCUCAUCGAUUCUCAACUCCAAAAGUGGAAUCAUGUCGGGAACUUCUCUCGUGAACUUCAUCAAAUAACACACAUGGAAAUUUUUAUGAAUUCCAUUCAGUUCUUCUGGUAGUUCGAGCUUGUAAGCUUGGUUCCCAAUCCUCUAAAGAACUUUAAACGGUCCAAUAAACCUUGGACUCAACCUUCCCCUUUUACCAAAUCUUAUAAGUCCCUUCGACGGCGAGACUUUAAGCAAAACCGAAUCUCCAACUUCAAAAGUCAUCGGUCUUCGCUUGUUGUCAGCAUAGCUCUUUUGACGAUCUUGAGCUGCUAACAUUCUCUCCCUAAUUAUUUUCAACUUUUCAGCAGUUUGAUGGACUAUCUCUAGUCCCAUAAACUGCUUUUCUCCAGCCUCAAGCCAACAAGACGGCGUACGACACUUCUUUCCAUACAAAGCUUGAUAAGGUGUCAUCUUUAUGCUCGAGUGGAAACUAUUAUUGUAGGAAAAUUCUACAAAAGGUAAAUGUUCAUUCCAAUUACCUUAGAAUUCCAGGGUACAUGCUCUCAUCAUAUCUUCAAGUGUUUGUAUUGUUCGUUCGCUCUGAGCAUCAGUCUGUGGAUGGUAAGUUGUACUCAAACACAACUUGGUACCCAAUUCCUCUUGUAGACUUCUCCAAAAUCGCGAGGUAAAGCGGCUGUCACGAUCUGACAAAAUCGUUAACGGAACACCGUGAAGCCUCACAACUUCCUUCACAUAAGAAUUCGCACGCUUUUCCAUAGACCAUUUCUCAUUGGAUGCUAUGAAAUACGCACUCUUAGUGAAUCGAUCAACGACCACCCAAAUCAUGUCGUGACCACUUUUCAUUUUGGGCAGUUUAGUGAUAAAAUCCAUAGCAAUGUCUUCCCAAAUACCCAUAGGCACAGGCAAAGGUUCUAAACUCCCGUAUGGUUUCUAAUGUUGUGUCUUGACUCUCGCACAAGUCACACACUUGGAAACAUACUUUGCAACAUUAAGCUUCAUCGUCGGCCAACAGUUGUAGGGUUUCAGGUCCCUAUACAUCUUAGUGUCGCCGGGAUGAAUUAAGUACAUGGUUUUGUAAGCUUCUUCCAUCAGAAUUUCUCUGACUCCUCUUGUCUUAGGUAUCUAAAUCCGAUCUUGGAACACCUUCAGUGCAUGACUGUUUACACCGAACACUAACGUUUUGCCCAAACAUUCUCCCUUUCGGUCAUUCUUCUCAGAAGCUUCCUCUUGAACUUUCUUUAUACUUUCCAUUAUUGUCGAGACAACUUCAAUUCUCAACGCUCUUGGCCUCUUCCUUUCAAGAUUGACUUUCCGACUGAGAGCAUUAGCAACAACAUUUGCUUUGCUGGGGUGGUAAAGUAUCUCACAGUCAUAGUCCUUAAGUAACUCUAGCCAGCGUCGUUGCCUCAUAUUCAAUUCCUUCUGAUUAAAGAGAUAUUGGAGACUCUUAUGAUCAGUGAAAAGUUGGCACUUCGUGCCAUAGAGGUAAUGUCUCCAUAUCUUUAGAGAGAAAACUACCGCCGCCAACUCCAAGUCAUGAGUCGGGUAGUUCUUUUCAUGCUCUUUCAACUGUCGAAAUGCAUAUGCGAACACCUUUUCCCUUUGGUUCAAAAUACAACCCAACCCAACACCUGACGCGUCGCUAUAAAAACAAAGUCUUCAACUCCAUCGAGUAGAGAAUGUAUCGGUGCCUCGCAUAGUUUCUUCUUUAGCUUCUCGAAUGCUUCUUUAUGCUUAUCACUCCAAGCAUAAGUAGCUCCUUUGUGGGUCAAAGCUGUUAAUGGAGUAGCGAUCAAAGAAAAGCCUUGGAUAAACCUUCGGUAAUAUCCGACUAAUCCCAAAAAGCUUCAGAUCUCCGUGGGACUUUUCAGUUGUUCCCAGUUCAUUACAGCUUCAAUCUUUGCUGGAUCAACCAUUAUUCCUUCUUGGUUGAUCACAUGACCCAAGAAUUGGACUUCUCGAAUCCAAAAAUCACAUUUGAAGAACUUAGCAUAUAGCUUCUCCUUAUUCUAGACUUCUAACACUUCUCGCAAGUAUCUACCAUGCGCCUCUUGGCUUUUCGAAUAAAUCAGAAUGUCAUCUACAAACACUAUCACUGAUUUAUCAAGGAACGGAUUAGAAACCCUGAUCGUUAAAUCUACGAAUGUUGUUGGAGAAUUGGUUAGUCCAAACGACAUAACCAAAAACUCAUAGUGUCCGUAUCGUGUUCUGAAUGCAGUCUUCUCUAUAUCCUGCUCUCUUACUUUCAGGUGAUGAUAUCCUGACCUAAGAUCGAUCUUUGAGAAAUAGCUCGAACCUUGUAGUUGAUCAAACAGGUCAUCAAUCCUCGGCAACAUAUAUCUAUUCUUUAUUGUUGCCUUUUUCAGAUCUCUGUAAACGAUGCACAUUCUCAUACUUCCAUCUUUCUUCUUUACGAAUAACACCGGAGCUCCCCAGGGUGAUGAACUAGGUCUAAUGAAACCUUUGUCCAAUAACUCCUGAAGUUGCAUCAUCAGCUCCUUCAUCUCCGUCGGUGCUAAUCGGUAAGGUGCUUUUGCNNNNNNNNNNNNNNNNNNNNNNNNNNNNNNNNNNNNNNNNNNNNNNNNNNNNNNNNNNNNNNNNNNNNNNNNNNNNNNNNNNNNNNNNNNNNNNNNNNNNNNNNNNNNNNNNNNNNNNNNNNNNNNNNNNNNNNNNNNNNNNNNNNNNNNNNNNNNNNNNNNNNNNNNNNNNNNNNNNNNNNNNNNNNNNNNNNNNNNNNNNNNNNNNNNNNNNNNNNNNNNNNNNNNNNNNNNNNNNNNNNNNNNNNNNNNNNNUCUUUCCCAGGUGGGUUUACUUUGACUAUCUUCUUCUUGCACAAUAUCUCAGCAUCAUUGGCGCUAAGCCAAUCCAUUCCAAGCACGAUGUCAAAACCUUUAAGUUCAAUAGGCAAUAAUUUCUCGUGAAACUUAUUCUCAUUCAAAUCAAUUAAGAUGUUUUUCAUACGAUGACUAACAGGUACAAACUUGCCACUAGCAACUUCGACUAAUAAAGCAUUAUCUAGUCUAUCGACAGGCAAAGCUAGUUUUCUACCAAAUUCAUGUGAAAUAAAGGAGUAGUUGGCUCAAGACUCAAAUAAAAUUUGGGCAGGCAAUUCGUUAACGAGAAAGGUACCUGAAGCGACAUCAGCUUCAUCUUUAGCAGCUUCCAGUGUCAUCUGGAAGGCUCUCGCCUUCGGCUUUGGCGGAAUGUUGGGUCUUGCUGCCUCCUUUUUGGGGCAGUCCCUAGACACGUGUCCCUCCUCACCACAACCAUAACAAACUUUCUUGGUGAGAGUGCAUUCGUUGGCAUAGUGCCCUGGCUUUCCACAUUUAAAACAUGUGGCCACUACCUCACAUUUUCCAUGAUGCUUCUUCUUACAUUUGUCGCACCAUUUUGCUUCGCCUCCUCCUCCUCUCGAACUAGACUUCGAGAACUUUUUUUUCUUGUUGGACCUGAAGGUCCUUCGAACUUCCUCUUUUCACCAACCUCUAUCCUUUCCAGACCCUUUUCCUUCUGUUGGGCCUCCACAUUCUUAGCUGCUCGAACAACUUUUUUCAGAGUGGUUGCCAUCUUGACUGUCGGACCUAAUUCGGUAGGUAGUCCAUUAGCAAACCUCUCAAUCUUGGAGAGUUCCGUUGGCACCAGGUACGAAAAUAACUUUAUUUUCUCAGUGAAUGCAGUAGGAUAGUCGUCUACGCUCAUUCUCCCCUUCUUCAAGUUUUGGAAAUCAUUGUUCAAAUCAAUCAGAUCUAUCUUUGAACAGUACUGCACCCUUAGUUGUUCCAAGAAAUCCUCCCAUGACAUUUUCAGGGCUUCUCCUCAUUGCAUAGUAUCUGCCAACAGCUUCCAAAAACUCAAGACACCAGUCUUCAGUUGUCUAAAUGCAAAGACAGUCUUCUUUUUGUUGCUACAGUCGCAACUUUCAAAUACCAUCUCCAUUUCGGAGAUCCAAUCCAUAAUCUCAACAGGCUUCAGGCUUCCAGAAAGACUUGGCGGCUUGGCGCCCAAGAAAUUCUUGUACAUUCGCCCAUCCUUGUUGUUUCUCCUUUCCGGGUCGUUCCUUCGUUCUCCUUGAGUCCCAACUUGACUCAUAAUGCGACUAUUGUUUCCGUCCUCCGAUUGUUUGGGAAUCAGUUCAGGUUCCUCAAUAGGUAUGAUUGGUUCAUCCCUAUUUUCAUGUAACAUUUGUUGCAUUUCUUCCCUUUAUUCGGCUAACAUAGCCUGAACCAUGGCUUGCACCCCAGCCAUUGUUAUUGGUUCUGGUGCUGCUGCUACAACAGGUAUUUGCUCAAUCACUGGUGGUUGAUUCCUGUUUUCAUCUGCAUUUCCAACGCCACUCCUGGUUCUUACCAUUUUUUAUCUACACACCGAAUAAGGUGAAAUUCGAUCCUCAUCCAUGAUAGAUAAUUAAAUCAUCCUUAUCACUCCGAAACAUUUACAUGUUAGUUCUAAUACCGACGUCAUACGCUUAGAAUCUUACACACAUAAGGUUUCAAGAUCCGGUCGGCAGUAUACCAUAGAUCCGAACAAAUAAUAUCAUAUAUGGCAACAUAUAACAUUUAGCACAUAAAAGCAUUUUAGGCAGCUUCCUAAAAUAUACUAGUGCUCGUGUCUAUAAUAUAAUAGACACACAUCUCACAAUCUCCACUUAGCAUUCUAAUUUUAAGUCUAGAAAUCCUACAAAUUCCUAGUUCGCUUAAACUAAUGCUCUGAUACCAACUGUGACAUCCCCAAAAUCACGGCCAGAAAAGACCGUCUUAAUUUAUGCUUUUACACUAAUUUCAGAGUAAAUCCUUUGAUUUAAAAGAGUUGCGGAAUUUGUUUCCAAAACAAAAUAUGAUAAAAUAAAGUUUAUCAAAGCAUUUCAUUAAGAGAUACAUUUUCAUUAUAUAACAAUGUUCGGGAUGUCAUGUUCAGAUAAACAGACCAAAAGCAUAAACAACAAAAGAUAGACCAUACAACAGUUACAUAUAACAAAUGGUCUAAUAUCAAAAGAUCUUGAUAUGUCAUCCAACUUAUGCUAUCACGCCAAUACCUGUAAUACAAAUAAACUGAGUGGGUCUGGCUUGGGAACCUGGUGAGCAUAUAGGGUUUUCAACCUGCAAUAAAUAAUUACAUUUAAUUUCACCAACCAACAAUAACCCGAUUACCCAUUCCCGUUAUCCUCACUUUACGUCCCUAAAACAAUAUCUAUCUCAAGGGACCUAAUCAAGGAUUUUCAGCGGGACGGACAUUACUGCAAAGGGGUUUCCUCAACAGUAGAUGUCCUAAAGGCAACCAUGAGGGGGAUAGAGUACACCGGUGAAUACAUCGUUCACAACACCUACAGGUUAUGAGCCUGCUAGCGUUCCACAGGACUGACUAGAAAGAGUCUGUGGUCGUUAUCCAUACUCCGCUGAAUAACUAGAUCAACAACAACAACAUCGAGGCCUCUCAUCUGUUUAUCACACAUCAACUAUCUACCCAUGUUCUACCCAACAUAUUAGCAUAUAAAAAUAUAUAUUUUUAUACAUAGUUUAAAAACUAUAUAGCAUUCUCAUUCAAUACAUAUUCCAAUCAAUAGAUGAGACAUAUACACAUCGCACGUAUUUCAUAGAGAAUAAAUCAUAUCUAAGAGAUAGAAGAAAGUGAAUAUACAUUCACACAUAUAACAACAAAAUAUACACAUAACACGUAUUCUGUAUAAAAUACUUCAGAAUUAUGCGUUAGAAGAAAGUAACUACACACUCACUUGAUCAGAAGAUGCUCGGACAGCACUACAGCUCUAAGAGUAGUAUUCUUCGGUGAAACUGGGUUCACUUCACUCAUCGGACUUCUUAUGGGCAGAGCUUCGGCUCGGAAACUCUUUUCUUCGCGGGAUCUUCGAGCUUCUGGACUUGCUGCGGGUGUCGGGAUGAUACCGGGGCUUCGGGGGUACUUCUUUGCAUGUAAAUUGAGGUAAGAUGAGUGAGAGAGAAGAGAUUUGGCAACCACAAACGGCUGCCCCUUCAAAUCUAUUUAUAGGGCUGUUUUCUCAUUUUCCAUGUCGUGGGCACUUCUNUUCACAUCGUUACAUCAUCGCAAGUUGGGUCUGGUAGACUCCAGGAGUCGUCAAAAGACAUGCCACGUCGUGACCACUGAUUUCACAUCGUGGUCUCUGACAGUCUUGGAGUUUCGCGCCCCGAACUUCAGAAAUUCAUAACUUUAACAUACGAACUCCGUUUUCGACGUUCUUUAUAUCGACGCGUAGGUAAAAACAAGGUCCACAACUGUUAUUUAGACUUUGUAGGCUUAUUUUGACUUUAUUUUUAAUAUAUUAAUAAUAUACUAUUUUUAGUAGGCCGGGACAGGAAAACUCCGUUAGAAAUUCAUAACUCCUUCAUCUGACGUCUGUUUUCGACUGUCUUUUCACCGUUGGACUACUAUCGAUGAGAUCUUCGAUUCUCGUUUAGGUUGUUUCGGCUAAAUAUCGCUCAAUUUCAUAUUCGAACUUCGGGCUGUACACUGCUAAACCGAAACUUCGAAAAAUCAUAACUUCCUCAUACGAAGUCAGAUUUGCACAUUCUUUUUAUGCAUGCUCUCGGUUUAACGAACUCUACAACAUUCCUUUAGAUCACUAAGUCCAAAUAUUGCUCUAAUGUAAACUCACUAUUUACGUCUCGCUGUUUCGUACCGGUUCUGUCGCGAAACUUUGACAUGUUAUAACUUCUUCUUUAUAACUUGUAUUUCGGCAUUCUUUAUAUAUUCGGAAACCUCGUUUAAACUUCUACAACAUUAUCCAUAGAUAUCGACUUUAUCUAACAUUUCAUUUUGACGCUUAUUUUUAUUCUUAAUUAAAUUAAGACACACAAUUAAGCACAAAACACAUAAUACUCAAAUAAUACACUUCUGUUAUUUCAAAACGGGUUACAAAGAUUAACCUAGACUAUUAUAUCAACAUUAAUGACAAGCCCAUAAACACAGUCAUUACAAACGCUAGCAGGCUCAUAACCUGUAGGUGUUGUGAACGAUGUGUUUACCGGUGUACUCUAUCCCCCUCAUGGUUGCUUUUAGGACAUCUACUGUUGAGGAAACCCUUAGCAGUAAUGUCCGUACCGAUGAAAAUCCUAGAUUAGGUCCCUUGAGAUAGAUGUUGUUUUAGGGACGUAAAGUGAGGAUAACGGGAAUGGGUAAUCGGGUUAUUGUUGGUUGGUAAAAGUAAAUAUAAUAAUUUAUUGCGAGUUGAAAACCCUAUAUGCUCACCAGGCUCCCAAGCCUGACCCACUCAGUUUAUUUGUAUUACUAGUAGUGUCGCGAGGGCAUAAGAUGGAUGAAUCAUCAAGUUAUUUUAUUUAUUAGACCAGUUAUUAUAUGUAACUGUUGUAUGGUCUAUCUUUUGUAGUUUAUGCUUUUGUGUCUGUAUCGGAACAUGACAUCCCGAGUUUUGAUUUUAUAAUGAAAAUACAUUUUGUUAUGAAAUGCUUUGGUAAAUAUUAUUUUAUCAUGCUUUUUUUGGAACAAAUUCUGCAACAAUUUAAAAUCAAAAGGAUUUACUCUGAAAUUAUUUAAAAAAACAUAAAUGAAACUGGUCUUUUCUGACUGUGAUUUUGGGGAUGUCACACUGCGCCUAAUCGAGAACAUCAUAAUCCUGGCAGCUACGCCCAAAGGACAAUAUUAGCACUUGCGCCUAAUAGAGAAUAUUAUAAUUCUGGUAGUUGCGUCUAAAUGAUAAUGUUGGUAGUUGUGCUUAAUAGAUAACGUUGACAACUGUGUCAUUAGGAAAACGGUGGACUGCGUGCCUAUUCCUUAGGAAAAUCCUUAGGAAUGAAUGAGUUAAUGAUAAAUGAUUCUUAGGAUACAUCCUUAAGAAAUAACGAAGAUAAUGGGGAUGGAUAAUUGGGUUAAUUUUUUAAUGAUUAAACAUAAUUAUAUUAUUGUGGGUUGAAAACCCUAUGUACUCACUAGGUUUCCCAAUAUGACCCACUCAAGUUUAUUUGGAUCACAGGUGUCUAUACGAAGCUACUUUACACUGAGAGAUUAAGGAGACGUAAAUCACUAGUGUAAAUGAAUGGAAGGUCUGUUUAUGCUUAUAUUUAUGUAUUAACGAUGACGUCCUAAAGUUUUAAAAAGAAAUGAAAUACAUUUCUUCGAAAAUGCUUUGAUAACACAUUUAUCAUGUUUUUCUGGGAACAAAUUCCGCAACAUUUUUAUAAAAAGGGUACUCUCAUUUUUAAAUAAAGCAUAAACAAAUCGGUCUUUUCUGGCUGUGAAAAUGGGGAUGUCACAAUUGGUAUCAGAGCAUUAGUUUAAGAGAACUAAGAAUAAGGGUUUAUUUCUAGACUUAAACUUAGAAUGCUAAGCGAUGAUUAUGAGUUGAGUGUGUGAUGUUGCGCAUAAAAAAACACAAAGAUAACCAAGAAUGAACCUGUUGAUUCUAAAAGAAUAGCCAGGACAAUCUCUUCAAAACCACGUUGAUUCUACGAAUACUGUGGGAUUGGCUUCAAAAACUGGGUUAACACGCACAAAAUUUGGGAGAAAACUGAAAGUUCAUAAAAUUGAUGAUCGACCAUCCAAAUUACAUAAAAAACAGUUAAAUAAAAAGCAUAAAUUAAAAUGAAACCCUAAAAGUCCAUGGGCGAAAUACAAACCCAAAAAUUAAGGAAAAAUAACAAAAUUGUUCAUAACUCCAUUUAGAAAGCGAUUUCUGGACUCAAAAUGGGUAAGUCCCUUUCGGGGACUUAUCUAGAUGUGCUCCUUGCUCCAAGCUUCGACUUGACUGGUCGUAGGCCCAAAACGGAGACUCGUAGCCAAAGUUAUGGCCAUUUCCGUGAAGCCCCUUUAAUCACACGAUCGUGGGCCUCUAGGAAUGCAAUGGCCCGAUCCUCCACACUAGGGCCCGCAUCUGUGUGUCUAAUAUAUUUUAGGUAGUACACCUGAAUAGACACAGCCACUAUCUUAUUUUGGGAGGAUGCCUAAAAUGCUUUUAUGUGCUAAAUGAUUUGUGAUACUUUAUGAUGCUAUUGUUCGAUCAGAUAUAUGGUAUGUUGCCCACCGGAUCCAGAAACUUUAUGUGUUUAGAUUUCAAAAUGUUUAAUUACAGUAUUAGAACUGGCAUGUAACUUUUCGGAGUGAUAAGAAGAUUUACAUGUGGAUCGUAAAUAAAACCUUUCCUAUCUUAAUUAUCAUCAUUACACAUCAAACGUCUGAUUUGGUGUAUAGAUCAACAUGUUGAGAACUCGAAGCGGAUUAGGAGACGCUAAUGGAAAUGUUGAUCAACGGCCUAUGAUUUAACGUGCACUAAAGGUAGCAGCUACACCAUAGCCAAUCACAAUGGCAAGAGUCCAAGCAAUGAUUCAGGCUAUGAUAGCCAAACAAAGGGAGGAGAUGAGGCAAAUGUUGCUUAAUAGGGAUGAACCUACCAUGCUCAUUGAAUAACUAGAACUAAAUGAUGAACAGUUAGAGAAGGGAAUUACAGUAGAACCGUUGGUCAAGCUGAACUGCCAGUGGUUAGGAGGAAUAACCAAGAGGAAGGGAUCAAGAGAAAUAGAUGCAAGUAUAAGGAUUUCACAACUUGCAAACCAUAGAUUUUCACUGGGAAAGAGGAUCCAAAUCGGAGUUACAGACCGGAUCUCGGAGAUGGAUUUGGCUUUCAUAACAUGUAGAUUCAAAGGAAAGCUAAAAACCAUAUAUGCAGUGCGUCAGUUGAUGGGUGGAGUUGUUCACUAGUGGAACACUUUGGGAAAGAUCAUGAGUCCUAAUGAGCUGCUGCAACUGACGUGGGCAGAGUUCCUAGUGCAUUUCAAACGAAAGUUUUGCUCGGCCCAAAAUCUGUUGGAGCUAGAGAACCAAUUCCUAACAUUGAAGAAGGGCAUCAUGCCUAUUGACGAAUACAGCAAUGCCUUCACCGACAAGAUGGAAUUUUCUUUGCGCAUCGUCCCUGGCGAACUAACUAAAGUCGAUAAGUAUACAAAGGGACUACCAUGGGAAUAUGUUGUGCUAGUACGCCAGGCACCUACCAUCGAGGCGACUAUCUGGGCUGCUAAGUCUGUUGAAGAAAUGAUCAAGAGUAGGGCCACCAACAACGUCGAAGUUGGUGAAAGAGAAAGUUUGAAGGAUCUUCAAUGUCCAAUGAGAGGAGAAAAUGCUCGAAGUCUGGUUCGAAGAAGUUUGAAGGAGGAGGAGGUGAAGCAAGAUGGUGUGAUAAGUGCAAGAAGAAACACUUUGGAAAAUAUGGCAAGAAGGUGACUUGUUUCAAGUGUGGAAAGUCUGGGCAUUAUGCCGAUGAGUGUAUAUUCAACAAAAGGGUGUAUUACGGAUGUAAUGAAGAAGGGAAUUCAAGCUGGACUGCCCAAAGAGGGAAGGAGCUACAAAGCAAAAUGCACCGCCAAAGCCGAAGGCAAAAACAUUCCAUAUGAUCCUUAAUGAAGCAGAUGAUAAUGCAAGGAAUCAAGAAUGAGGACUGAUACCCGAAGAUCAAGUUAUGAAGUAGCCAUGCAGAUAGUAUCAGGAGGUGUAGCCUAUUAGAGGCAUAUUAUAGGUUGAACUUUAACAUCCAUGUAAUCAUUUCAAGAAGUAAUAUAAGCCUUGGUUUUGUUAUCUGGUGCGUUAAGUUGUUAUGUGAUUUUCAAGUAUGGUGACUUGGAAAACUGCGAGACAAUACUUGGGACAAGUAUGAGUAUAUGUGAAUGGUAGUAGAGGCCUAUACUACCAGAAGCACAGGACUCGCACUUGGAUUAGGGAAAGUCACAAGGUUACCAAGGCACUAGUAAUUGAUUCUUUUUUGUUCAUGUUUGUCGUCACCAUCGUUUCGGUAAUGACUAAGAAGAUGAUUGUUAGUCCAACCCUAGUGGUCAUAUCAAAUCGAGUCCGACUAAGAUGAAUAUGUUGCGUGGUUCAAAAAACCAAGGUCGAUGUUGCAUCUGACUUAAGCCAGACGAUUGAAGUGAAAGAUAAUCGAACCGAUCAAUAGAAGUAUCGUAACCUUUGUUAAGGUAAGAAGCUUGUAGCUAGAAGUGCUACAUGCUAGAAUAUGAUUAUAUCACAUUAGAACAUGAAGGAAGGUAUAUUUUGUUCUAUAGUUUGACUCUAAAAGACCUAAGUCUAAGUGUUGCAUCAUACGAUAAGAGGUCAUUACAACAUGACCCAUCGGUUUAUUGUGGUAAUCAAAUAACUUCUCUUAAUAUAAGUAUGUUUAACAAGAAGUAGGAGUCUCUGAUUUGGAUCGAUUUUGUAACUCGAAGGUUACGAUUGGAAGUCCAACAUAGGAUAAAGAACGGGUGCAAGAUUGAGUACCUCCUGCGGUCAAGAAGUCCAAGAGUUUGAUACUCAUUCGAAGGAACAUAAAAGUUACGAUUAUUACCUAAUAUGAAGAGAUAACAUAAGGAUUCAUUAUACAAGCCCUAUUUUGUUGAUUAUUCUGGGACGUAAUCAUCCUAAGGAGGAGAUAACUGUAACGCCCGCAGAUUCAGGCUAGUCAAUUAGAGAUAUUGAGCGUCAAAAAUGACAUUUUUAUGGGAGUUUAUUUAGAAGAAAUAAUCUUAACCUAGUAAUAGUAUAUGUCACAAGGGUUCCGUACAUAUAAAGAACGCCGAAAUCCGAGUUAUAACGAAGAAGUUACGACCCGACGAAGUUCUACAGCAAAACCGGCACGACACCGCGUAACAUAAAAAGUGAAUUUUUGAUAAAUUACUUUUUAGCCUUAGAGAUAUAAAUGAAAGUUAUAAUAUAGGUUAAACCGAUAGCAUGCAUAAAAAGAACGUCAAUAUCUAACUUCGUAUGAGGAAGUUAUGAUUUUUCUAAGAUUUCGCAAAGUAGUAUACAACCCGGAAUUCGAAUUUCAGAUCGAGCGAUUUUUAGCCAACACAACCUAAAUGAAAAUUGAAUAUCUCAUUAAUAGGAGUUCAACGAUAAAAAGACAUUAAAAAUGGAGUUCGAAUGUACAAGUUAUGAAUUUUACACGGUCAUUAACAAUGUAAUCUUCUCAUACUAGUAAAUUUAAAAUCGGUCGAGAGUUAGCUGUUUGAGUCAAAAGGAGAGUUGUAGAUCAUGUCAAUACCUAUGCGUGGAUAUAAAUAAUGUCAAAAAUGGAGCUCGUAUGCAAAAGUUAUGAAUUUUUGAAAAUUGGUUGUUUUACCUGCGUCCAGCACCACGUGUCAGCACCAAGCGAAGCCAUGGUGCCUACGCAAGGCCACGACGUGGAUUGGCUCCAGAUAGCCUAUAAAUAGAGGCGGAAAUCAUCCGUUUUCUUCACACCUUCACCCUUCUUUCUCUCUCAACGCUCCUAAUCUCUCCCUCCCAAUCCCUAGCAACUUCUAAGUGCUCCGAGAAGAAGAUCUUUCGGCUCAGAAGUUCCACCCCCGCAUAGCCCGGUUCCUAGCCAAACCCACGGUAAGUUAGUUAUGAUUACCCUACUUUAAGUAUAACUUAUGUUUGAGUUUAUUAUCAUUAUUAUGAACUUAUAAACAAGAUUUAUCAAUGAUUCCAAGUAGUUAUAUUGAUUGAUCUACUUAUGGGGAUAAUGUCUAGGCUGUGAUUUUGUGAGGUGUUUAAAGUGGGGUUUCCAAAUAGUAUACUUCGUAUACCAAACGAACCCUACCUCUGAUAUGAUCCUACCUGGUUGCUCUUUACAUGAUAGAUCAUGAAAGUAGACUUUGAGUUAAUGAUGAAUCUAGACUAAUAAUUAGUUGCAAUAAAGAUUAGACUAAAACUUAGCGAUAAUAAUGUUAGGUUUCGUCGAAGGAAGAUAGAAUCGUUAGAAGUGAAGCGUUUCUCGACUUUGGAAUUAUCACUUUGAAAAGUGAGUGCAUAGUUACUUUCAUCUUACACAUUGAUAUGAAGUAUUUUAUAUAAAUUACGCGCUAUGUGUGCAUGUUAUCUGUUUACUUGAUAUAUAUGAUAAAUGAACGAUCUUAUACAUGUACUCUAAACAUCCUAGUAGCUGUGCUCAAAGUGUAGUAUCGGUAGCUGUGCCGUCACACCCCCAAACCAGAACGACGGAAACGUUCAGGGGCGGAGGACGUCAUGUAUAGUAUCAUAACAAUGCAUAAUAGUAAAACAAGCAACAACAUCAUCCAUUGAAUUAAUGAUAGAAUUUAUACAUGUGUGUUCUUUGUAAAGUUGUAAGACACCAAAAAUAUAUAAUCAAAAUAAAGACGAGUCUUGAAUACGCUCUGUCUCCUCAAAACCUGGUCAUCGAUACAUGUCUACUGGUGACCUAAGAAUACAAGUUAUUUUGAAAGAGUAGAUCAACAUUUAAGCUGGUGAGUUCAUAAGUAUAUUAGUGUCAAAAAUUUUCAUCUGUUUCAUGAAAAUGUUUGUAAGUAUUUAGAUGUAAAUGUUUGUAUGCUUCCAAGAAAAUCCUAUAUUUUCUACUAAAAUGAAAAGUAGUCUUCUUCCAAGACUCAACUGUUUUGUAUGUUUGUUUUCUCGUAAAAAUUGAUGUAAGAUGUAUGUUUGUACUUGUAAUAGUAUAAAUGUGGGUUUUCCAUAUUUUUUUAAAACUUUCUAUACACGAAAAAUAGUAUGCAUUUCUUACGUGAGAAUAUCACUGUGUGAAUAUGAUGGAAAAAUGACGAUAUUCAGUAGUGUUGUAUAAAAUAUCUACUGAAGCACUAACUACCUUAAAGCAAAUUGUUAAUUAAGGUAAAACGUGAUGAGGUUAUAACCAUGCUUGAUUGACUUGUAUAAAACACAACGAUCAAAAUACAUCGAAAUGGUAUGACAUUUGUCACUUGUAGACCUGUAGGUCCCAUUGUAGCUAGCAACAAGGUUUAGGAUGGUCAAUCCAGUAUAGAUCUAUACACAAACUCACGCUCUCCCUCCAAGAGACUCUGGUUACAAAGCGUGACACAACAAGUAUAUUGAUAUGCCAUGAAGUAGUGGCUCACAUUAAUGUUAUCUUGUUCUAGUUAUAGUAUGUAUGUUCCUUUCUGUUCUAGUUAUAGUAUGUAUGUUCCAAUCUGUUCUAGUUAUAGUAAGUAGUAAUACUCUAAACUAUACCUAUUAUAGUUUACUAGUAUGAUUGUUUGACUGUUACUAAUUUGCAGAAAAGUCUCAAUUACUCACAUAAGCAACUAACUUAAGUAUGUAACUUAAAAAUGGGUUUAAUAUUCAUAUAUGUAUUUAAUAAGCAUAACUAUGAUUUUGCUGACAUUCGAACUAGUGAUCCUACCCUAAGCCCACAACCAAACAAAGAAACAGGAGUUAAGGUAUCUCGCAGUAGUCCUAAGCCCGUUAAAGCAUACUUACACGUAAACAGAUAGACGAAUAUGAUUUGAUAUAAAAGAAGUUUAUAAAAGAUUUAAAAGAGUUUUAACAAGUUUUGAGUAUAAGAAAUCCCUUUGGAUGUUGUUUUCACAUGUAAAUGGUUAACAAAAUUUAAUUGUGUUCUACUUGUUAUCCCCCAUAAAAGCAUUUAAAAGGUAUUUAAAAGUGUAUUGUAGGGGUAUGAACUCAUAUGUAGUGAGUGAUUCGAAUGAAAGAUCGAUAUAGGAUGAUAAGUAUGCCAAGUGAAGUAUCGAGCACAAACGGGUCCUAUUAAGCAUAUAAUAACACAUAUAUGUAUACAAUUAGUAUAUAUAACAACUAAAAUGUAAGGGAAACAACCUUAGGAACUAGGAAACACUUUGAAUGAAGUGUUAGCAUCACAAAUGAUUGGCUGAAAGGUGUUCACGACUAAACAAGGGGUGUUCACGGCCUUAGGAGGGUACAUGUCCAUAGAACGCAUGAUGUGUUCACGGACCAAGGUUGAUCUUAUGAAGGUUUCACGGUCCUAUGAUGCAUCUAUGAAGGGUUCAUGGCCCUAUGAAGGGUUCACGGUCGUGAACUCUUGAAGAUCUUGCAAAUAAGUGUUUGUUUCAUGGGUGGAAUCAAGUGUUUCUAAGGGACAACAAGAUGAUGGAUGAGAUACUUAUGUUUUGGAAGCCUUUAGAAGUGUUCACAGUUGAAGAUAGUUGAGAGAGAAGUGGUGUUCACGGCUAGGGUUUAAAGAAAUGAAGAAAAAUGAGCCAACUCCUUAUAUAUAAGACUUGUUCACGGCCAAGGAUGGGUACACGGCCAUGAACCUAGAUGUGGCCGUGAACUCCUUUUGGUGGUGUUUCCGGCUCGAUUGCAACUCAAUGAACUCAAGCUAACACUUCCUAACUCACAAUCCUUGAGUGUACUAGGCUUAGAAAUUCUCAAACAUACCCUUAACACAACAUAAAGGUAACAGAAACAAGUCUGACUUUAGAUUGAAUUGAUUGACUUUACAAGAUAGAAAUUCCAGGUUGUCGCAUGUGCCUAAUAGAAAACAUCAUAACCCUGGCAGCUACGCCCAAAGGACAAUAUCGACUGUUGUGCCUAAUAGAAAAUAUCAUAAUUCUGGCAGCUGCUCCUAAAUGAUAAUAUUGGCAGCUAUGCUUAAUAGAUAAUGAUGAUAUAUGGUCCAUUAGCAUGGCCUAGACUGCUCUAGCGCGCCAUAUGAUGCGACAUCGGCUCCGACCACCUGCUCUAAGGAGAUGCUUCUGCACCAGAGAUAGAUCUGUGAGGUCACAACAAACAAGACCGUUAGAGCUGCCCCAAAGACUGUGCCCUGGGAGAGAGCUCCGACGGUCAAGUUAGAUCAUUUGGUAGAUCUGAGAUGGAUCUCUUUAGCUAGAGAGGAUCAUCCUUGUGUUGGUGGUGUUGUAUGGUGGUUGACGGCGGCGGGUGCCGGCUGAGCCACCCGGCCAAAGUAUAGGGCGGCGGCUGAGCCAAGGGGAAGAUCCUAAUGGUGGCAGAACCACCUAGGAAAGAGUCCUCCUUCAUGAAGGAGGCACUAUUCUAUUUAUAGGGGGACAACUAGGUCAAGGGGAAUUAGGUCAGGCCUUGGGCCAACCCAAUUCAGGCCCAGCUAGCAAGGAGCUGGGUAAGGCCGCCCGGAGGCGCCGCGCGGGACUUANUGACGGGCGCGUACCAGGAAAGGACGGCAAGGGUGCGCCAGGAAAGGGAGCGUCAGGUCGGGCCUGCAAGAGAUUCCCCAGCAAGGCUGGCAAGGGAGUCCCCAACAAGGUUGUCAAGGGAAUGCCAGGAGAGGCUGGCAGGAGCGCGCCAGGCCAAGAUGGCGCGCUAGAGCAGUGUAGGCCAUGCUAAUGGACCAUAUAUCAUUAGAUAACAUUGACAGCUGUGUCAGUAGGAAAAUGAUGGACUUUAUGCCUAUUCUUUAGGAAAAUCCUUAGGAAUGAAUGAGUGAAUGAUAAAUGAUUCUUAGGAUAGAUCCUUAAGAAAUAACGAAGAUAAUGGGGAUGGAUAAUUGGGUUGAUUGUUUAAUGACUAAACAUAAUUAUACUAUUGUGGGUUGAAAAACAUAUGUACUCACUAGGUUUCUGAACCUGACCCACUCAAGUUUAUUUGUGUGACAGGUGUCGAUACGAAGCUACUUUACACUGAGAGAUUAAGGAGAUGUAGAUCACUAGUUAAAAUGAAUGUAAGGUCUGUUUAUGCUUAUGUUUCUGUAUUGACGAUGACAUUCCAAAGUUUUAAAAGAAAUAAAAUACAUUUCUUCGGAAAUGAUUUGAUAACACAUUUAUCAUGUUUUUCUGGGAACAAAUUUCACAACAUUUUUCUGGCAUCGGGCCUCGCCCGGUAUACAAAUAACAUAUAAGCACAUGCAUAAAAAUCACUUAAACACAUGCAUAAAAAUCACAAUGAUAAAUAGCAUACAAUAUAAUCAUUACGCCCCGCCCGGUAAUCAUAUAAACACAUAACACAUGCAAGAGUAACACAUACAACUAGUAAGGAAACUCACCUCAAGCUGCAAAAUCACUCGGAUAAAAUCUCAAUCUGUUGGUCCGGAAGAUCCUCGCGCUAACCUCAUAAUAUAAAUAUCCAAUUAAUAAUUGGAUCUCGACCCAUAAUAACCAAUCUAAGUUCCUUUUCCAAUAUCCAGGGUAAAAGAUUGUUUUACCCUUUUUCUUACAUGGCCCAAAACCAAGGCCCAAUCCAUUGCUCAAAAGGGCUAAAUUCCAAAAUGGCAUCCAUAGGCCCAAUAAGGCCCAACUUCCAAAUUGGGCUGAAAAUCAUCAUGGACCUAAUCCCAUGAAAGUCCAUAGUCUAUCCAUGACCCAAAGUCAAAAUUCUAAUGACCUAACAAGGCCCAAAUCUUAAAAACCCAAAAUAUGGCCAAAACCCAGGGAAGUCAAACCAAAAGUCAACCUACUGUACGCUUAGCAUACUCCUUCCAGGGCAAGUAUGUGCAUCGUACCAACUGGGUAUGCCCAACGUACUCCCCAGAUUAUCAACCCAACCCAUUAAUAACUUAAUUGGUUAAGCCAACAUGCUAAACUCUCAGAUCUGGUUCUAAAUGGCGACUUACUAUGUAAAGUUGACAACUUUACACCCAUGCAUGAAUUAAUGGGGCCCAACACUAAAAAAGAAGCUUAAUAAGACUCUUAACACUUGCAUGGAAUAAUAUCUUACAUAAAGUUUGCAUUUUUAUGGGCAAAGGACCUCAAAUCAGCGAAGAUCUAACAUCCAUAGCUUCUGGAGUGGACCAUAACUUCAUAUAUGACUUAAAAGACCCAAAAACGCAUAAAUAUCACCAUAAAAUGGAUCUAGCACAAAGGACCAUCCAGAUGAGAGAUUUUUACCUCAAAAGGCUUGCUAAGGUGAAGAUAACUCUAGAUCUACAAGAUUAAGCUACUCCCAAGAAACCUCGAAGUGUUCCUCGUUUUCUUCUUCUUCACCACAAAACACCAACAAACUCACUUUCAAGCUCAAAUCUGACCAAAUACACUUAGGGUUUCGAUAUUGUGACAUAGGGUGAUGGAGGCUGAUCAAUAAAAUGUCCAAAGGUGGUUUAAGAUGUUUAAGUAGGCUGCAAACCCUAAAAAUUAGGGUUUGCCCCUGCUCUACGUAUGUCAUGCAUACUCUACGUACGCCCCACAUACGUGGGUGAAUCUUGCGUCCAGAAAAUAGAUAGUAUGAUAAGCGUACUCAUAGAGUAUGCCCUGUGUACUAGCUAUGGACCAAAAUGAUAAGGAUUUUGCAUUAAGGGGUUAGAAAGAAACUUACCAAAUUACGAAUGUUACAAUUCACUUUAAUCAGAAUUUGUCCUUGAAGUAUGCUGCUCCAAACAACUUUGGGUAGUGCUCUCUCAUCUCGUCCUCCGGCUCCCACGUCCAUUCUGAACCCUUUCGAUGCUGCCACUGAACUUUCACCAAUUCAACAACCUUGUACCUCAAGGCUUCGUCUUCCUGUCAAGAAUUGUUACCGGUCUCUCGAUAUAAUUCAUGCGAUCAUCCACUUAAAUAUCCUCUAAUAGAACCACCACGGAAUCAUCAAUUAAACAUUUUUGUAACUGAGAGACAUGAAAUAUGCUAUGGAUCAUACUAAGAUCCUCGGGAAGAUACAAGCGAUAAGCAACCCGAACCACCCGUGUGAUAAGUCCAUUUUAUGAAUGUACUAAAUUGUCAUAAAUCUGUUGAAUUGAUGUAUAAUUGUCCAAGAAUGGCACUACAUUGCUGAGUUAUUGAACUUCAUAUGCAGGUCAAUAUAUUGUACUAAAAGUGGGUGGAACCUACAAGUAAAACGGAUUGUUAAAGGAAUGAAGAAACGUUGCUGGGAAAAUUGACCAUUCUUCAAUGUUUUGGUCUAAUCUCAAGUUCUGGAGCUCCGAUUGACAUGAGUAUAGAAGUUCUGGAAACUAGACAAGAUUUUCUACAACUUUCGUGUUUUGUGCUUCUGCUAGUUAUGUCGUUUUGACUACCAAAACUUGCACAGAAGAUGAAGGACACCUCCAGACAUCUAAGACGUCCAGGUCAAACAGCCAACAUCUGGUCGUUAUUUCAGAGCAGAAAAGAAGGAAGAACCCCGUCAGCAUCUAACAUGGAAUCUAAGAUGUCCCCUAGGAUGUCUUGGCAUUUUAGGGACGUCCCGUGUUGGAACGGUGUGUUUAGGAAAGUUUAGAAAACAAGGCACGACGUCCUAGAACGCAUCUAAGACGUCUCCUAAGACGUUUGACGUUUUUGGCCAUUUUUUAGUAUAUUUCAAGGACGUACAAAGAUCGCUUGGGCGUUAUACACGACGUCUAAGAUGUCUCCUAGGACGUCCAACGUCCCACAUCGCCCAAUUUCAUUAUUUUUUAUCCCACACUAUAAAUAGGAGCCUAUUUCGUUGGUUAAAAUUCGGAUUCAAAGCAAGAUUCGAUUCAAUUCAUCAUCAAGCUAUAAGUGAAGAUCAUUUCAUUGGUUAAUUUUCAUCAAUUCUUUAUUUUCCAGAAUUAUUUCUUCUUCCCCAAGGUUUAUUUGUUCUACACUUCGAUAAUCAUUAGGCUACAUUUGUUUGAUGAUUCUACGUUUGUUUAUGAAUUCUAUAAUGGAUUUUAUUCAUUUUAAUCAAGUUAUUUGUCUUAUGAACUCAAUGGAAGGCUAAAUCAUUAGGGUUACUUCCGGGGAUGUUUAGGACUUUUUGAUGAACACACUUGAUUAUUACUUGAUUCUAGUUAAUUUCAAUUGUUGUUUUAUGCUUCAUGUGAUGAUCUUUUGGUAAUGAUAAUUGAAAUUGGGUUGUAUGAAUUGUUUGAUGUCAUAAUUAAGAUAGUCUAUUGUCAAUUCAUCAUUUGUUCCAAGUUCACAUAGUUUAGGAAUAAAGACAAGUGAUUGAAUCAACAUAUAUUAUUCCAACUUAUGAUAUUGAAUCUUAAUGCGGUAAUAGGUACUUGUAAGAUAUUUUAUUGCUAGUCCACUAAUUGUUCUUAAUCCAUUGAGGCAUAAAGGAGUAAGACAACUAGUUAAAUGAACAUUUAGUAUGCCCAAACUAUGUAUUACAAGUUAAUAAAUCCCAAUUGUAUCUAAGUAAUUGAAUUAGGAUUUAAGGGAAGAAAGUGUGUGAAUUUAAACUGUCCAUAACUGAACCGGGAGUACUCUAGUUUUCUCAUUGAGAUUUUCGUUGUAAUUAAUAAAUUUCCAUGCUUUUUGUUUGAUCUUUGCGUUAAAUUCUUUUUCGUGACAAUUGCUAGUAGCUUUUUUUCGUUGACUAUUUUAACACAAAGUUUGACAACAAACUCCCUGUAGAUUCGACCCUUACUUACCCUAGCUAUCUAGUGGUUUUGAGGUUAUUUUUGAUUGAUACAACGACAUCAAUCAUAAUUUGGCGCCUUUGUCGGGGAGAUUGUGCGCUUGAGCUAUUGUUUUUAAGUAGUUAUAGCCUUUUACUUUCAUUUUCAAUUCUCGUUUGUAGUUCACAUUUUGUUUUAUUUGUGUUGUGCAGGCACACUGGUGCAUGCAUACAAGACAUAGCAGACGCUCUUCACCGCUUGCAUUUGAUCCGGAAAUCGAACGAACAGCUCGCUCAAAUCGGGUCGCCAGAAGGAACAUCAACACUAUGAGUGUAGAUAAUGUUGUCGUGGAAGAUGUGGUUGAAGGGCAUGAGGAAGAAGCCAACAAUCCUCCACCACUAGUUCCACCACCAGCUCCUCAAUUCCCAAACAACAACAAUGGGAAUAACAACAAUGCCGGUGCACCAAUCAUCCAACCAGUGCAACCAUAACUGAAUAGAAACAACCGUGGCCAAAAUGGUGGAAACGGAGGAAAUUGGGCAUAGAAUAUGGGAGGCAAUGUAGGAAACCACACUGGUGGUAAUGUUAGAAAUCAUAACCAAAAUCCUAGAAAUGUUGGUCCUCAAUUCGGUAAUGGUGGUAAUGGUGGUAACGAGGAUGAUUGGGAUUUUGACGAUGGAAGUUACAACGGACUUGGUUGGAAUCAUAACCACAACGGUGGUAAUAGGCGGAAUCAAGGAAAUCGGGGUGGAAACGGGUACUAAAACAAUAACUGGAACAACCUGAAUUUCCCUAAUGGUGGCAACAAUUACUACAAUGAUGGGUUCGGAAAUCAAGGCUUUGGGAAUCAAUAUCGAAGGAAUCCAAAUGGUGGAUUCAACAAUGCGAAUGGAGGAUACUAAAAUGAAGGUAAUCAAUUCCCUCAUCUUUACUUUCUGCAGCCUAAUAGACAAUCUGUGGCGUCUCAUUUUCAGCCGAGAGAGUAUGAUGAUGCUUCACCCAUACUCUUCGCAGAAGUAAAUGAGCAUCAUGUAGAAGUAAGACCACAACUAAUUAGUGUCUUACCCGUCUUUAGAGGCCAUAAAACUAAUGAUCCAUACAAUCACCUCUAUGAGUUCCUUGCAAUUGCUAACGCGAAUACUCCGCGAGGAACUAAUAGAGAUUCAUUUAGACUUCUCUUAUUUCCGUUCACUUUAAAAGAAAAAGCUAAGUAUUGGUUCACUUCUCUUGCCCCCAUAGUAUCACUACUUGGGAGCAAUUAAAAACUAAAUUUUUGCAAGAGUUUUACCCAGCUAGUAAAACAACGGAAAUAAGAAAAGCCAUAGAAGAUUUUGCACAAAAACCCAAAGAAGAAUUUCAUGAUGCAUUUGAACGCCUCAAGGAAUUGUUCCGUUCAUGUCCCUAUCAUGAAUUUCCCCGUUGGCAACUGGUAGGUUUCUUUUAUGAUGGAGUCGAUACUGCCAAUCAAAGCAUGAUUAAUGCCUCGUCCGGCGGCAUUAUUAUGAUACAAGAUAGUGAAGACGCUUGGCGAUUCUUAGAGUAGUUGAGUCAUGGUUCAAAAACCAAUUACUCAGCUAAGAAACGGGACAAUCCAGUUUCAUCUGUUGCUUCAGUUGGACUAGACAAAAAACUGGAAAAAUGAAGUCAAAUCUGAUAUUAAUUCUUUAAAUAAAAUUUUUGACUUACUACUCUCUAGUCUAGGCAAAAAGAAAGGUGUGUUUUUUCGCAGGGACAGAAGAUAUGUGUAAGCUGUGGAGAUUCAUGACACAUUGCAGAUGAGUGCAUGAGAAUUCAAGAGGAAAUCAAUCAAGUGCAUGGUUAUGGUCAAUUCCAAAAUAAUCCACGAUCAUUCAAUCGGAACUACAUCCAAGGCGGGAACUACAACAACAUUGGGAUUUUCAACAACAACAACCGUCAAGGGAAUUACCAAAACCAAAAUCAGCCAAAACAGUUCCAGCAGUCCAACUUUAACCAAGGUGGAACAUCAAAGAAGGAGGAAAAUGAUGGCAACAAGUUGGACAAAAUCAUGGAGUUCAUAACCUAAACAUAUCAGAAAACCGACACUAACUCCAAGUCUAUAGCUGCUAUUGAGAAGCAAAUUGCUCAACUGGCGGAGCAAAUUGGGAAAAGAGAAGAUGGCAAGUUUCCAAGCACCACAACAGUGAACCCAUCUCAUACCCAGAGACCCCGAAAAGAGCAUCAAGUGAACGAGGUAAUUACCUUGUGUAGUGGAAAAAAGGUUGACAACAAGGUAAGUGCUUCUACAUUAGAUAAUGACAGUGACACUGAAGUCAUCUUUGAUGAAAAAGAAGAGUUUGAGAAAGAUUUUAAAUCCGAAAAACAAAAAGAAGAUAAGGUUAAAAAUGACUCUAAAGUUGGGGAGCAUGGUGUGGAGGUUAAUACCGCACCAUACCCUUCGGCUUUAGAGAAGCCGGCAUCCUUCCCUUUUGGGAAGCGAGGGCUAAAAAUGGAAGACAUGUGAGAUCUAUUUAGUCAAGUUAAAAUAAAUAUCCCAUUAGUCAAACUUAUUAAGGAGGUACCUUCUUAUGCUAAAUUUUUGAAGGAUUUGUGUGUUCAAAAACGCAAACUCCAAGCAUACCUCCCUAAAAAGAUUGAUUUAGUCAAGCAUGCGAGUUCGAUAAUAUCAAAUAAACUUCCACCCAAGCUUAAGGAUCAUGGAGCACCUUUAAUUUUUGUUACGCUAGGUAACAUUAAUAUAAAAAAGGCGCUCCUUGAUCUUGGAGCUAGUGUUAAUAUAAUCCCGGGAAAUUUUUUUGAUCAACAUGACUUAGGCACUUUGGAACAAACUGAUAUUAUUUUACGAUUGGCCGAUAAGUCAACAAAAAUUCCUUGGGGAAUAUUAUCAGAUGUUAUUAUUAAGGUGGGAGAUUUCUAUUACCCAGUUGAUUUUCUUAUGCUUGACACCGUGAGCACUUAUAAAGAAAGUCAACCUUCUAUUAUUUUAGGUCGUCCGUUAUUGACAGCAAUAAAUGCACAAAUUAAUUGUAGAACGGGUGCAAUGGAUAUCUCUUUUGGAAAUAGGAAACUUAGAAUUGAUAUUUUUAAUACGUUUCCUAACUCACCAUCAGAUUAUGAAUGUUAUCAUGUGGAUGUGGUUGAUGACUUAGUGCAUCAAUUCACUCUUAAAAUCUUACACCCUGAUCCAUUGGAGUUUUUUCUUUCUAAUGACAGGGACGAAGUUUUAGAGUUGGAUGACAUCAAGAUGGUUGAGGAGGCAUUUGAAAAUGUUAUUGAGCAAGAGAGGCCACCAUGGAGUUAUCAAGUUGAAAAAUUGCCAACAAGUUUUUCGGACCCACUUAAGCCAUCUUUGGAGGAGCCACCCAGUCUUGAACUCAAAACUCUUCCUUCACAUCAUAGAUACUCUUUUUUAGGAUCUAAGGAGAACUUACCAAUUACCAUAUCUUUUGAUUUGACAUGUCCACAGGAGGAAGCAUUACUGAAGGUGCUUUCGAAGUACAAGGGAGCAAUUGGAUGGACCAUAGCAGACUUGAAGGGAAUUAUUCCAGCCACAUGUAUGCAUUGAAUCAUCACUGAAGCUAGAGAAAAGCCAUCCCGAGAUGCACAACGAAGGCUCAACCCGAAUCUGCGAGAAGUUGUUAAAAAGGAGGUGUUGAAAUGGCUUGAUGCGGGUAUUAUCUACCCAAUAUUUGAUAGUGAUUGGGUGAGCCCGACACAGACAGUGCCAAAGAAGUCGGGCGUUACAGUGGUAGAUACAGAAGAUGGAGAGAAGAUCUCAACAAGAUCGGUCACCAGAUGGAGAGUUUGCAUCGACUAUCGCAAACUCAAUGCUGCAACAUCAAAUGACCAUUUCCCUCUCCCUUUUAUUGAUCAAAUAAUUGAGAAAUUGUAUGGUAAAAAGUUUUAUUGUUUUUUGGAUGGAUACUCGGGGUAUAAUCAAAUUGCCAUCCACCCCGAGUAUCAAUCCAAAAUGACAUUCACGUGUCCAUAUGGCACCUUUGCUUUCCGAAGGAUGCCAUUCGGCUUGUGUAAUGCCCCUGCCACAUUUUAAAGAUGUAUGAUGGCUAUUUUUUUAGACGUGGUGGGGGAUGCAUUAGAAAUUUUCAUGGAUGAUUUUUCUAUUUUUGGAUCAUCUUUUGAGACAUGCUUAGACCAAUUAGAAAAAGUUUUGAAACGUUGUAUUGACUCUAAUUUGGUUUUAAGUUGGGAGAAGAGUCAUUUCAUGAUAAAAUAGGGAAUUGUACUUGGCCAUGUUGUCUCCGAGCAUGGCUUUGAAGUCGACCGGGCCAUAGUACAAAUUAUUUCUACUCUUCUCCCACCAACUUCAGUAAAAGGCGCCCGUUCUUUUCUUGUACAUGCCGGCUUUUAUCGAAGAUUUAUCAAGGAUUUUAGUGCAAUGUCAAAACCUCUUUGUAAUUUACUUUUAAAAGAUGCACCAUUUUCCUUUGAUAAAGCAUGUCUUGAAUCUUUUACCACAUUAAAGAACAAACUUGUUGAAGCUCCUAUCUUGCAAUCACCCGAUUGGACUUUACAUUUUGAAAUUAUGUGUGAUCCAAGUGAUUACGCGGUAGGGGCAAUUUUGGGACAACGGGUGAAUAAAAAACCCAUUGCAAUUUGUUAUGCGAGCAAAAAAAUUUCGGAUGCACAAUUGAAUUACACUACUACCGAAAAAGAGUUGCUUGCGGUCGUGUUUGCACUUGAAAAUUUUAGAUCUUACAUAUGGGGAUCUAAAGUUGUAAUUUUUACCGACCAUAGUGCCAUUCACCACCUCUUGGAAAAGAAGGAUGCCAAACCACGUCUCAUAAGAUGGAUCCUUCUUCUUCAAGAGUUUAAUCUUGAAAUUCAGGACAAAAAGGGUUCUGAAAAUGUUGUGGUGGAUCAUUUAUAUAGAAUAACUAAUAAUGAUAACUCAACGAAAGUUAUUCAAGAAAACUUUCCAGAUGAGCAUAGUCUUGUUGUCAAAACUAUACCAUGGUUUGCUAAUUUAAUUAAUUACUUUGCGACAGGGGAAACUCCAUUGUAUUGGAAUGCUCAACAAAUGAGGUUCUUCCACUCUCAAACAAAAUACUACAUAUGGGAGGACCCAUAUAUUUUCAAAAUUGGAGCAGAUCAAGUGAAUAGGAGAUGUGUACCACAUACAGAGCAAGAAGACAUUCUUCGACACUGCCAUUCAUAUACAUGUGGAGGGCAUUUUAGUGCCAAAAGGCAGGGCAUCGGGUUCUACAAAGCGGUUUUUUCUGGCCCUCUAUUUUUAAAGAUGCACAUACAUUCGUUAAAGCUUGUAUUCGUUGCCAACAAGUUGGGGGGAUCUCAAGACGGGACAUGAUGCCAAUGACCCCAAUUUUAGUAGUUGAAAUCUUUGAUGUAUGGGGCAUUGAUUUCAUGGGUCUGUUCCCCACUUCUUUUGGCAAUCUAUACAUUCUUGUAGCCGUUGAUUAUGUAUCAAAAUGGCUCGAAACCGAGGAUACACACACGAAUGACCAUAGUGUUGUUUGUAAAUUUGUUAAAAAGAACAUAUUUUCUACACACGGAAUCCCUCGAACUAUUAUUAGUGAUGGGGGCUCCCAUUUUAAAAAUUGGCAUUUUGCAAAGUUACUUAAACACUAUAGUGUCACACAUAUGAUAGCUACUCCAUAUCACCCACAAACAAAUGGACAAGUAGAAGUGUCAAAUAGGGAAAUAAAACGAAUCUUGGAGAAGACUGUUCAUCCCGACCGAAAAGAUUGGUCAUUAAGAUUAGAUGAUGUGUUAUGGGCAUAUCGAACAACCUAUACGACGCCCAUUGGAAUGUCUCCGUAUCGGCUUGUUUAUGGAAAGCCAUGCCAUCUCCCGGUGGAGUUAGAACACCGUGCCAUGUGGGCCAUAAAAAAUGCUAACUUUGAAUUGAGUGAUGCAGGUAUAGAAAGGAAACUCCAAAUUGUUGAAUUGGAAGAGAUUCGAAAAGAAGCUUACGAAAGCUCAAGGAUCUAUAAAGAAAAGACGAAGGCAUUUCAUGACCGACAUAUUGUCCGAAAACAAUUCGUUAAAGAACAAUUGGUGUGGCUAUUCAACUCUCGUCUCAAACUCUUCCUCAGAAAGCUUCGGAGUAAAUGGAAUGGACCUUUUGUGGUGAAAAAUGUGGCGGAUCAUGGAUCUAUUGAAAUCAAGGACACGAAAGGCAGUGAACCAUUCAAGGUAAAUGGACAAAGACUCAAACCUUAUAUUCGAAUGGUAAAUGGUGAAACAACAUUCGUUGAGAAAACAACGCUCAAGGCAACACAAUAUUUAGAAACAACUUAGUCGAGGUAAACCGUCCGGCUGAAGACAUAAAACUUACCGCUUUUCGGGAGGCAACCCGUGGUUUGGUGUGUUUUUACUUCUAUUCUUCUUUUGGUGUGUUUUAAUUCUUUUCGUAUCGAGGACAAUCCAAGGUUUAAAGUUGGGGAGGGGGUAUUUAAUUUUUGUUUAAAAUUAAAUAAUAUUCGAAAAAUACUCAAAAAACAGCAAAAAAAAAUAGCCUCAGGCAUCCUAGGGGUGUCUUAGACGUUGUCUAAGACGCCGUCGGGCUGUCACUUCUUUUCCCCCCGAUGAAAACCCUUCGCGAAAAUUAAAAAAAUACCCUUAAUGUGUAUGACGUCCUAGGACGCGUCUAAGACGCCGGCUAGGACGUCGACGUGUUUUUCAACCGUUUUAUGCCGUUUUCUGCAUUAUUGUUGGUAUCUUUCUUCUCCAAACUGCCAUAGCCGAAAACCCACUUGUUCUUGCUUAUUUCCUUUGAUUUCUUGGCCAAAACUCAACCAAAAUUCGUGGUUUUUGUUGCAAUCUUCAAGAAAUCAAGUAAGAAACAUCACAUUGCAAGAUUUACACACUCUAAUCACUUAUUUGGGGCCGAUUUCAAAACCCACAAAAACUAGGGUUUCGAAAUUUUGACUUAUUUUGAGAUUUUACUUCAAGUUCUUGGUUCUUCUUCACUAGAAACACAAUUUCAACAAGGUAUAUGCUUCAAAACUCCAUCUUUUAGUUGAAUUUCAGAAUUUUUGCAUGUAUGUUCAUAUAUGUUUGAAAUUUUGAAAAAGAUGAAGAAUAUGAUAUAUAUUGGUAUGAAUUCUUGUGAAUUAGUGUUUGUAGUUGUUAGAAGUAUGUUCCAAACAAGUUGCAUGUGUUGAUUCGAGAAAUUUCUAAAAAUUGAAUUUUUGUUGUUAGUUGUUAAAAAAUAAUAAUAAUAAAUAAAAGCACAUAUAAUGUUGGAAAAUCAUUCUUAUGUUUAUAUUUGUGUUUGAAUUAAAAAUUCAAGUUUUUAGAAAAUUUCAGAAUGACACUGAAUUUUGACAUUGCAUUGUUAGUCUGAAUAUUUGCCUGUUACAGUUCUGUUCUGGUUUUAGUUAGAACUUGUCAGUUGAAGUUAACUUUUGGUUUAACUGUGUUUUUACUGAUUGGAUAAAUUUUUGAAAAAUAUUUAGUUACUAAAAACAUAACAGGACUUAAAACGGUUAUUUAUUUAGACUGGAUUUAUUUUAACUUUGUUUGGAACAACUUGCCAACUGAAUUAUUUGUUUUAUUUUUGUGACAUUUGAUAUGUUUAAUGGCAAGUUUUGUUUUGUGGUUUUGUGUAUGAAUUAUUUUGCAGAUGCCAGCAAAGAGAUCAAGGGUAGCAUCAUCAAGCAGUGCAUCUAGACAACCAGCUAGACAGUCGGAGCCAAAUGUACAUGUGGCUUUCAACCCACAGUAUCAGACAUUGCAUGAGCAUCUAGAUGACAUUCGUCCAACAGUUUAUGAGGCAACUCAUCCGAAUAUGGGUUUUAUUGUAGAGUACAUGGUGGAGCGACCGAGCUUCACUAGGUAUAAUAUUGUGGAGACGUUUGAUCGCUAUGGAUGGGGUGGAGUGCUAGACUUCAAUCCCACGCAGAUUUAUGUUGAUAUAGUGCAGGAAUGGAUGAGGAAACUUCGACGUGUCGAGGUGCCUGGUAGGCCGGAGGAGUUGCCGCUGAUUGGGACGGUCCGUACUCAUGAUAUAGUGAUAACUGUGCAGGGUAUUCGGGACAUGUUUCAUGUAGAUACUGGCUGUCAUUUUCAUUAUCUUGAGAAUCAUCUGACUGAGUAUAGAUGUAUUGACACGAGGGGGUAACCCUGGGGUUAGUAUGACUGAAGUAUACCGUAUAGUGUUCCAUGAGGGGACGAGGGCAUACGACAGAUUCCGCGAAUUGGUGCCUUUAGCAAAGGCAUUACAUAACAUUAUCACGAAAAAUGUGAACCCAAGGAAUAGUGAUCCUAGGGCGGUGAGGCCACAUGACUUAUAUGUAUUAUAUGGAUUGAUGAUAGGAUCUAUCUUUAUCUCUUAUGCAUAUAAUGCUAUGUGCAACAUAUGGUCCUGUUUUGAUAUCCAGCACAGAGUCACUACCCCCCAUGUUGCCCUGAUAUCGACAUAUGUUGCCUUGCUACUUCUUUUAGACACAUCUCAUUUCAUGUUGAAAAUGGGAGACAUAUUCUGAGGGAUUCUACCACAAAUCCGACAUACACGGCACCACUCGGAGUGGGGGAUGAGGAGCCAUUCGUUGGUGAUUUUUAGGGGGAUCAGUAGCAGCAAUAGGCAUAAGCAGCAGGUCGGGGAUAGAACAUGCAGGCAGCUUGGGAGGACUUUGUGGGGAGGCAGAACAUGCAUAACCAGGAGGUGCAGGCUUGGAUGGGGAGAACGGAUAUAUGGUUGAAGGGUGUCGAUACGACACUAGCUGAUAUUACUGAGCAGAUGCGACAGAUUGGCAUUACAUCUAGCAACACUUAUAGUGUUGCCACUCGUCAGUUGUACCAACAGGAGUACUAUGCAGAUGCUGCCUACACAUAGAGUCGUGUCCAGUAUGAACCGAUGGACAUUGAUCAACCACAGUAUCGAUACCGAGCUCCAGCUCCGUUCUUCUACCGAUCCGGGAAUCUGAGCAACUAUCCACCGCCAUCCGAGCAUGAGCAUUAUCAGCCACCACCAGCUACAGAGGACUCUACUCGCUUUGAGGAUUUAGUUGGAUCGAUCUUUGGGUAUCCUCCACCAUACCCACGUUAUCCUCCACAGUCGCCCCCACAUUGAACUUUGGUGAGAUCCUCUUUUGAUUUUUAUUUUUAUGGUUGUUUGAUGAAGACUUUUUUUAUUUUUAUUUUUAUUUUUCGUUUGCUUUUCAUGUCUUUAUUUGGGAUGAAUGUACUAUUAUUAAACUCAUUAUUAUUAUUACUCUCUCUUGGGUUGGUUCCAUUAAAUAUGUGAUGAGUUAGUAGCAUCUCUAUAUCUUGAACGUAACUCAUCAAAAUGGAAAAUGAUAGGAGUUUCGUAAAUUGAGUCAUAAUAUUUAUUUAAUAUUGAUUUUGUGGAUUGCUCAACCGAUUUGGGAAUAUUUAUAUUUAGUUAAAAAAUUGUUAUGUGAAAUACCCAAGUGUUUGAAAAAUGACGGUUUUUAGCUCGAGCCUACGAUCUUUCAAUUGAGGACCCAACCGAACAAUAUGUGUCAUCACGCUCUGAGUACUUGGUCUUACUUACUCUUGCGCCUUUGGGGUUGGGAGGGGACUAUUAUUGUUUUCACACAAUAAAAAAGCAUCAAAAGACAUUGAAGAACUUCCAAGUAUCUAUAUUCAAGCUCAAGUCAAAUACCAAAAUGAUCAAAUCCGAUGAAGCCAUCAAAGAACUUGAAGAAUGCAAAAUCAAGAUAAAUAUGAAGAAAAGUUCAAGUUGAAGACAUUGUGUGAAAUAAUGUGUGACCCCUCGAUAGCGGGAGCGUAUGGGUUGGUCCAUUAAGUGUUACCGACCGCGCUAACUAUGUUAGUGAACCUUGAAAAAAGGGACUUUGGCAAUGAGUUCAACUGAUUACUCAUGAGGGUGAUUAUUGGAAAGGGUUCAAAAAGUGGAGGGUUUCAAACAACAAAGUAAAAUAAGCAUAACAUGUGUUUUGAGUUUAAAAGUCUGGAUAAGAAAAUAAUAAUCCCCAUAAUCAAUAUAUUGUGCUAUUGGAAAUGUUGUGAUAAAAAGUACAGAAUUCAUGAUUCCAUUGAGUUUUUCUUAGGAUAAGAGAGUAAAGACUACGCUGAUUAUUUCAGGCCAAUCUCGGGACGAGUUUGGAAUAAAGUUGGGGAGGUUUGAUAAGUCCAUUUUAUGAAUGUACUAAAUUGUUAUAAAUCUGUUGAAUUGAUGUAUAAUUGUCCAAGAAUGGCACUACUUUGAUGAGUUGUUGAACUUCAUAUACAGGUCAAUAUAUUGUACUAAAAGUGGGCGGAACCUGCAAGUAAAACAGUGCUAAAGGAAUGAAGAAACGUUGCUGGGAAAACUGACCAUGCUUCAAUGUUUUGGUCAUAACUGAAGUUCCGCAGCUCUAAUUGACAUGAGUAAAGAAGUUCUGGAAACUAGACAAGAUUUUCUACAACUUUUGUGUUUUGUGUUUCUGCUAGUUAUGUCGUUUUGACCACCAAAACUUAAACGAAAGAUGAAGGAUGCCUCCAGGCGUCUAAGACAUCCCCUAGGACGUCCACAUCAAACGGUCAGCAUCUGGCCGUUAUUUCAAAGCAGAAAAGAAGGAAGAACCCCCGUCAGCGUCUUACAUGGCGUCAAAGAUGUCCCCUAGGACAUCUUGGCAUUUUGGGGAUGUCCCGUGUUGGAACGGUGUGUUUCGGAAAGUUUAGAAAACAAGGCAGGACGUCCUAGAACGUGUCUAAGACGUCUCCUAAUACGUUUGACGUUUUUGGCCAUUUUUUAGUGUAUUUCAAGGACGACAGAUGGCAUGCAAGGACGUACAAAGAACGCCUGGGCGUUAUACACGACAUCUAAGAUGUCUGCUAGGACGUCCAACAUCCCACAUCCCCCAAUUUCAUUAUUUUUUAUCUCACACUAUAAAUACGAGCCUAUGAAUUCGUUUUUAGGGUUACCACCUCCGAUUUUCAGAGUUUUUCAUGUGUUUUUGAGGCUUCUAAAACACUUGGAAACAUUUGAAAACACAAAUCCAUUCCAUUAAAAUCCGGAUUCAAAGCAAGACUCAAUUCAAUUCAUCAUCAAGCUAUAAGUGAAGAUCAUUUCAUUGGUUAAUCUUCAUCAAUUCUUUAUUUUCCAGAAUUAUUUCUUCUUCCCCAAGGUUUAUUUUUUCUAUAAUUUGAUAAUCAUUAGGCUACAUUUGUUUGAUGAUUCUACAUUUGUUUAUGAAUUCUAUUAUGCAUUUUAUUCAUUUCAAUCAAGUUAUUUGUUUUAUGAACUCAAUGGAAGGCUAAAUCAUUAGGGUUACUUCUGGGGAUGUUUAGGACUUUUUGAUGAACAUAAUUGAUUAUUACUUGAUUUUAGUUAAUUCAAUUGUUGUUUUAUGCUUCAUGUGAUGAUCUUUUAGUAAUGAUAAUUGAAAUUGGGUUGUAUGAAUUGUUUGAUGUCAUAAUUAAGAUAGUCUAUUGUCAAUUCAUCAUUUGUUCCAAGUUCACUUAGUUUAGGAAUAAAGACAAGUGACUGAAUCAACAUAUAUUAUUCCAACUUAUGAUAUUGAAUCUUAAUGCGGUAAUAGGUAGUUGUAUGAUAUUUUAUAGCUAGUCCACUAAUUGUUCUUAAUCCAUUUAGGCAUAAAGGAGUAAGACAACUAGUUAAAUGAAAAUUUAGUGUGCCCAAACUAUGUAUUACAAGUUAAUAAACCCCAAUUGUAUCUAAGUAAUUGAAUUAGGAUUUAAGGGAAGAAAGUGUGUGAAUUUAAACUAUCCAUAACUGAACCGGAAGUACUCUAGUUUUCUCAUUGAAAUUUUCGUUUUAAUUAAUAAAUUUCCAAGCUUUUUGUUUGAUCUUUGCUUUAAUUUUUUUUCGUGACAAUUUCUAGUAGUUUGUUUUUUUUCGUUGACUAUUUUAACACAAAAUUUGACGACAAACUCCUUGCGGAUUCGACCCUUACUUACCCUAGCUAUCUAGUGGUUUUGAGAUUAUUCUUGACUGAUACAACGACAUUGAUCAUCGUGCCAAAACCCUAAAGAGACCGAUGUGCCUGGGGCCCAAUUUGCUCUUCUUCCUGAAUCGGAUGACACCUUUCCAAUGUGACAAGUUCAGGGGGACCAUAUCCCUAACCUGAAACUCUAAAUCUGAUUGGUGCUUGUCGGCAUAGCUCUUCUUCCGGCUCUAAGCUGUCUGGAGCCUACUCCAAACUGCUGAAUCAACUUGGUAGUCUUGAGUACCGCUUUGGUACUCCCCAUUAGUAGCUGACCGUCCUCACCCCAACAUAUCAUGGUACUGCAUUUCUUUCUAUAGAGCAUCUCAAAAGGAGGUCGAUUAAUGUUGGCGUGAUUACUAUUGUUAUACAAAAACUAUUGGAUUAGGUGUCUAAGACCAUAACUAUUUUGGUAUGUACUUGACCCGAUUGUGAGCAUGGUCCUUUUGGGUUGCCUUCACCAUAGCAACUGAUGGGAUGAAUUAAGGAGAAAAAGGAUUAAUUAUGAUUUAUUAAUAUAUUAUAUGAAUAAUAUAUUAAAAGAGAAAUCAUAUUGUUUAAUUAAUAUUAGUCAAUAAUUCAUUUUGUGGCUAAAAGAGAUUAAUUAAAUAAAGGGGACUGAUAUUGCAAUUAUAUGAUAGUUGCAAAUUGGGCUAUGGAUUCCUAAUGGAAAUCGGAUUGGACAAAAUCUAUGGGAAGCCCAUAUGGAUUUCGUCCAAGGGCUUUCCAAGGGAACUCCAUGGGUUGCUUAAGGCGUAAGCAGUGAGAUUAGGGUUUCCUGAUUCAAAACCCUAAUAGCCUAAGUAUAAAAGGAACCCUUGGCAAGCCAAAAACGUCCCUAACCUUAUAAGAGAAACCCUAGGACGUUUUUGGUGCCUCCUCCCUCUCUCCUUGUUCAUCUUGUUACAUAUGGUGUUUGUGACUCCAUUAGAGGUGCAACAUUUGAGGCACUAGGCUUUCAGAAGUCAAUUACAAGAAGGAUUCGGAUUGUUAUUGCAACAUAACAAUCAAGGUAAGAUCUAAAAUCUAUCCUUUUGUCAAUUUUGAUUAUUGUAUACUAGAGUUAGGGUUUAUGAGCUUUGGAUGAUUAUUACGUAUAUCAGACAAACUAGAUCCAAAGCUUUAGGGUUUGCAUGUACACCAUAGGAUUGACGUAGUGCUCAAAACCCAUCAAAAACUACGCCAAAGGGAUAUAUGUAUCCCAACUCCCACCAAAAUCCAGAACACACGCCCGAAGCAUAUCCUCCAAGGUAUGAAUAGUCCUCUCGCUCUGACCAUCAGUAUGUGGGUGGAAAGUCGUACUGAAAUGCAGAUGAGUACCCAGCUCGUCGUGGAACCUCUUCCAAAAUCUGGAAGUAAACCGGACGUUCCUGUCUAAAACCACAAAACGGGCACACCAUGAAGUGCCACUACCUCCCUGAUGUAUACCUCAGCUAACUUCUCUGAGGAGAUACUAUCUUGAGUCGGAAUAAAAUGUGUGAACUUGGUCAAUCAAUCCACGAUGACCCAAAUCGAAUCCACUCUAUGUUCACUCUAAGGCAACAUCGUAAUGAAAUCCAUGGUAAUCUCCUCCCAUUUUCAAACAGUGAUAUCUAACGGUUACAUCUUGUCGUGAGGCCACUGAUGCUCGGCCUUGACUUUCCUUCAAGUCAAGCAUCUCUCCACGUACCAAGCUACAUCCCGCUUCAUACAGGGCCACCAAUAAUCAGGAUGAAGAUCAAUAUACAUCUUCGUCGUGGUGGGAUGAAUGGAGAAUCUCAAUUUGUGUGCCUCCUCCAUCAGAACUUGACGCACACCAGCCCAAUCGGAACCCACACUCUUCGAUGGAGAUUCAAUAACCCUUGGUUUUCAUAAUAAAAGGAAGCCACCUGACUCACUGUGCGCUCACUCUUCCCAUCACAACCUCAACCUGAGCCUCUCAAAUCUACUCUAAAAGUGGAGUGAUCACAGUCAUCCUGAAACAAAUAUCCUUGAACGGAGCCGCGAUCGCCUUGCUGCUAAGAGCAUCGGCCACCACAUUAUCCUUCCCCGUAUGGUAAAGGAUCUCACAAUCAUAAUCCUUCACCACAUCCAACCAUUGGCACUGCCUCAUGUUCAUAUUUGGCUGAUCCAUCAGAUACCUCAAGCUCUUGUGAUAUGUCUAUAUAGUACAGCGGGCCCCAUAGAGGUAAUGUCAUCAAAUCUUGAGGGCAAAAACCAUAGCCCCAACUCUAAAUCAUGCAUCGGAUAAUUCGUCUCAUGAUGCUUCACUUACCUUGAAGCGUAAGCGAUCACGUGACCCCUCUGCAUCAGAACUACACCUAAACCUGUGAUCGACGCAUCAUAAUAAACCAUGAAAUCUUCAACACCCUCCGGCAGGGUCAAAAUAGAUGCCUCACACAAUCUUUAUCUUAGGGUCUCAAAAGUUGCAUGUUGGUCGGGCGCCCAGCGAAAAGUGACAAUCUUCUUCGUCAACCGAUUUAGAGGAACCGCUAUCUUGGAGAAAUCCUAAAUGAACCUCCGAUAAUAGCCUUCCAACUAAGGAAACUCCAAAUCUUAGAUGGAGACCUCGGUACCUCCCACCUCAUCACGGCCUCGACCUUGGCCGGAUCGACCAGAAUACUGUUUUGGUUGACAAGGUGCCCUUGAAACUGCACCUCGUGCAACUAGAACUCGCACUUGGAGAACUUUGCAAAAAGUCUCUCCCUCCUCAAAGUUUCCAAUACCUCCCUGAAGUGCUCCUCAUGUAGCUCCUGGGUCUUGGAAUAGACCAGGAUAUCAUCAAUGAAUAGGGCAUUUUGUAUAAUCAAUUGUUGAUGUUAUUGAAAAUAAUGAUGUUAUUGAAACAUAUGCAUGGCAUGUAUUCCCAAUAAUUAUAUUUAAUUAAUUGGUUGUUGUGCAUGUUAUUAUAUUGGGAACAAAUUAGAAAGUGGUCCAUGUGGUAGUACAUGAUAUGUAUGGGGACCAUUUGUAGUUAAUAGUCAAUGGGUAUUUUUAUAAUGGAAAAAUGGGACCUUUGAACCCAUUAUAGAACCAUAUCCAUGACUAUAUAACAAAUUCACAUGCAUGCACAUUAUUCCAAAUUUUUCCAUGCAUAAAUAUUCAAACCCAUUGGUCAUGAGUUUACUUAAAAAGGCAACAUACUUUCAUAAGUGAGUAAAAUAUCAUUUCAUGUCAACAAUUUACUUACAAAGGCAACAUACAUUCAUUAGUGACCAAAAUACCCUUUUAUGUCAUGAGUUAACUUAAAAAAGCAUCACGCAUACAUAAAUGACUAAAAUACCCUUUUAUGUCAUGAGUGAACUUAAAAAGGCACCAUGCAUACAUAAAUGACCAAAAUACCCUUUUAUGUUAUGAGUGAACUUAAAAUGGCACCAUGCAUACAUAAAUGACCAAAAUACCCUUUUAUGUCAUGAGUUAACUUAAAAAGCCACCAUGCAUACAUAAAUGAUCACAUCACAUGUAUUCAAAUACACAUACUUUAAAUCCAAAUUACCAUCAUCCUAAUACACAAACUUAAAAUCCAAAUUACCAUCAUCCUAACACACAUACUUUAAAUCUAAAUAACACAAAGGAAAAAUCAACACUAAUAAAUUAGAAGAGCUUUUCCCUUAGAAUUUCCUGGAUCAUCAACACCACCAACUUUCUUGCCUAAUUUCAACUUGAAGAUUCUCUUUGACUUUCUUCUCCUUAUCCUGUUCAAAAUCUUGGAAAUUGGUCUAACCCUUACCUGUUGAACCUAGAUAAUAGGAGUAACCUCCUAAAUUUGAACAUUAUCAACAACUUGGACAUUAGGAAUAACCUCAUCAUCUUGAACAUUACCACCCUCCUCAACUUCCUCACCCAUAACACCCCCAUCACCUUCAUAACUUCUAGGUGGAAUAACUUGCAUAGACUGACUAAAAUCCCUUGCACUACUGGAUUCAACAUGAGUAGAAGUAACUUGCAUAUCAUUUUGAGUAUUAUCCAUCUCAAUUGGAGUCAUUUAACCUCUUCUUGUUGUUGUGGUUCACUUGUACUACCCUAUAUGGCAUGAUAUAAUUAUGUUAGUGGCAAAUCAUAUGUAAAUAAAUUUAAAUUUUAAAUGGUUUUACCUGUUCUGCAUUUUUCUUCACAUAAACUUUUUGUUUCUUCUGUUUCUUUACAUUUAACUUUUGGGGCCUUCUCUAUGGACAAGUGGCCUUACUGUGACACAUCUCCUUGCAUAUAAUACAUCUAAUUUUCUUUCCAUCCUUAGAAACCCUGUGUGUUCCUGUAUUCUUUGUAGUGGAUUUCUUCUUCUUAGUAGCUGGCCUACCAUGCAUCCGUCUACUAAUAAGAGGCAAUGGUGGAGUAUAAUUUGUCUCUGGCCACAUGUCACUGCCAUUCAUGGGGGAAAUUCUGUAAUUGUAUGCCUUCCGAAUUGUGGUGGUGUUAAACAUGUUGUCUACAUAGGCUUCUACAUCUCUAUUAAGAUUGGAUAUGGUAGCUACAGAAUGAGCAUAUCCAUAUCCAUUUAACCGCCACAACCUACAUGAACAUGUUUUCCUUUAUAAGUCCACCUCAUAUGCAUCUGUUUCUCCCUUACCUCGAACUGGUUUAAUCCACUAGGUAGUACCUGAUAAUGCCUCUGAAUUUUUUAAGCAAAUUCACCUUAUCCCUUAUCUCUGGACAAAUAUUAUUUCCCCAUUGUUGUCCCUUUAAUUUCAUGUUGUACAUUUUGUCCAUCAUGUAUAAUCUUAACUCCUCUAACAUGGUUAUUAUGGGCUUCUUCCUGGUAUCCACUAUUACAACAUUAAAACUUUCAGAGAAAUCAUUUUCAACUGCAUCACAACACCUUCCAGCUUGAAAGUAAGCUCUUGACCAUGUUUUAAGAUCUUUCUCCAUGAGAUAUUGAUGGGCAUCUGGGUUUAAUGUCUCAAUUUCCUUCAUCACAACUUUAAAAGCAUGCUCAUUUGUGGUUUUAGAUGCUCUCCAAAACAAGGUAUGAUAUAUGACACCAGUGAAUCUCUUCUGCAAAUUUUGAAAAAUAUGUCUAGCACACUGCCUGUGCAUAUGGAAGAAACUCUUUAACAGCCUCUAUCAAACCUUGUAUUAAUAAAAAGGUUUAAAUCAGAUAGUAUAAAAUAAAUAUAAAUGAAUUACUAUGUAAAAUACUAACCUUAUGUUGGUCUGACAUUAAACUGAAGCAAUUGCCUAAACUUAAGUUUAGAUUAUUAAUGAGAAGCUCUAAAAACCACUUUUAAUUCUACUUGUUCUCCACACUAACCAUUGCCCAAUCAAUAGGAUAUAUCUUGUUAUUUACAUCCCUCCCAAUAACACAAAGCAAUCCCCCCUUACAAACACCUUUAAGAAAACAUCCAUCAAGACCCAUUAUCCUUCUACACCCUUUAAUCCAACCUUGUUUAAUUCCUUGAAAACAAACAUAGAACUUGCUAGAAUAUUUCUUUCCAUCUGGACCAUCCUCCACAUCUAGUUUCACAGUUGACCUAGGAUUUGUCCUUAAAAUCUCAUCAACAUAUUACCAUAGCUUACCAUAAUGUUCAACAAGGCUACCUUCAACAAGAUUUAAUGCAUACUUCUUUGUUCUCCUACAUUAGCCCAUACUAACUUGGAUACUAAACUUGGUCAUUACCUUUACCCUAAGCUUCCUUACACUCAUUUUAUGACUUUGUACAAUCUCUUUGGUAUAGUGACUCCCAAUCCAUGCAUAUGUCACCAAUAAUCCAAACUUGAAGUUCCUAGCACAAUUAUGAUAAGCUUUUUGUGACUUGAUUUGGAAAGUCUCUCCAUCAUUCAUCCAAGAAGCCCAUAAUAUAAAUGUGCAAGCACCCUUGCUACAUCUCACCAAAAGUCUUUUCCUAUCAUAUUUUUUCAAAACACAAUUGAUAUCCAUUAGCCACAACAUAGUUGCACAACCUUGACUUUACUUGCCCUGGACCCUUAGAUCUCAUUCCUAGAAUUGGUUUUUGUUUUUUCCAGUGUAAUAGCUCAUUAAAUAUGGAAAUAGUUUGGAUGUUAGGUUCAACUUCUCUCCCAUUAUCAUCAUCUACAAUGUUGUUAUCCUCCUCAUCAUCAACACACAACUUACUCACGAAAGGAUCAUUUGAUGUCCUAUUCAUAUGCACUGCAUCCUUAUUAAAUUCAAAGACAACAUUCCUAAGUUCAUCUAUGUUAUCUUCAUCUAUGUUAGCGGCGCAGCUUUUUGCCCGUUUGCCUUCAAUCGAUAUGUAUUGAACAAAAAUGUUUGAAUGUCUAUCAAUACAAGGCUCAUGUUCAUCAUCAAACCACCCACCAACACCAACCCCAAUAUGAUCCACAUAAACCGAAAUUACACCAUCUGUUCCAUCAACAUCAAAAAUAAAAGCAGCAUAGUCCACAUCAUCUGAAAAUGGGAUUAAGCUCUUCCAUCAGGGAAUUGCCUGGUUUACAGUAGUAAAACUUUUUACACUCUUCAUGCAUGAAAUGUUCACAGAAGGUCACAAGCUCAGAAUAAGUCAUAGAAGAAAAGUCGACAUCAGUGAACAUGGUUUUCACACCACCAGUGUAAGAGAAAGGAUUUCGAUUAAAUACCCCUUGGUAGUUGAGUUCCACCAUCACAAACACUCCAUUAGGUUCCGAUUGUGCCAUUUUUGCGACUUCUUUGGCUCUUCAGCUCGAUCACAAAAAUGCUUCACAAAACCUAAAUCAAUUUCUUUUAAAACUAAAUAAUGAAGACGAGUGAAGUUCGAUAGCUGAAGACAAAAGGCUUAAAGCUUCGUAUAUCAUCUAUUGAUGUGGCAUAUCUCACAUGGCAUCAGAUUAGCUAAAAAAGAUAUAUUAAUUGACAUAUAUAAAAUGUCAACCAGGAAACCGUUUACAAGUAUGGAAAUGACUAAAUUAAUAAGUCAGAUACCAUUUUAAUGGUCUAAUGUACCCAAAAAACUUUAAUGACCAAAUUAGCCAAAUGUAAAAAGUUUCAUGUGCUACAGUGACAUUAUCCCUGAUGGGUUUUGAGCAUUCUAACACUCCUAUGGUGUACAUGCAACCCUAGAAACCUUGGAUCUAUGUUUGACUAAUAUACAUGCAAAUAAUUAUUUUCCAAGGUUCUUAUCCUAUCUAGCAUGGCAUGGGAACUUGAAUCAAAUAGAGCUAGUAGAAUUACUUACCUUGUAGUUGUUUAAAGCUUCGUAUAUCAUCUAUUGAUGUGGCAUAUCUCACGUGGCAUCGGAUUAGCUAAAAAAUAUAUAUUAAUUGACAUAUAUAAAAUGUCAACCAGGAAACCGUUUACAAGUAUGGAAAAUGACUAAAUUAAUAAGUCACAUACUAGUUUAAUGGUCUAAUGUACCAAAAAAACUUUAAUGACCAAAUUAGCCAAAUGUAAAAAGUUUCAUGUGCUACAGUGACAAUAUCCCUGAUGGGUUUUGAGCAUUCUAACACUCCUAUGGUGUACAUGCAACCCUAGAAACCUUGGAUCUAUGUUUGACUAAGAUACAUGCAAAUAAUUAUUUUUCCAAGGAUCUUAUCCUAUCUAGCAUGGCAUGGGGAACUUGAAUCAAAUAGAGCUAGUAGAAUUACUUACCUUGUAGUUGUAGUUGAUUGCUUGGAGUUUUAGAGCCUAGCACCAAUAGUGUGGAUGCCUCAAAUGUAAAUCACAAAUCACUACAAACUUGGAACUUUGAGAGAAUAGUAACCACCUUUCUUGAAAUCGGCCCUCUUACUUUACUCACCACAACUAGUAUGAUUUCAAGAACCAAAGCCUCCUUUAUAUAGUGUGGUGGAUUAGGGUUACAUCCAUGUAAACCCUAAUACCCAUGUCUUUUCAUUUCCAUGAGAUCCAUGGGUUAAAGCUCCAUGGAGUAUCCAUGGACUUUCCAAGCAAGCCUAGCCCAUUCCAAAUAAGCAUUAGCCCACACUAUAUAAAUAUAAGAGCCCAUAUUUAAUUAGUAAUACUUUUGAUCUCUAAAUUAAUUUUAGAUUAAUUAUAGAUCAAUACUAAUUAAAUAAUAUGGUUUUAUAUUAAUAUAUUAGAACUUAUAAUAUAUUAAUAAAUCAUAACUUAUACUAUUCUCAAAAGAUUAUCCAUAAAUUGUUCGGGUGAAGUGCAACCCAAAUGGACCAUGACGGGUCGGGUCAAGUACAUACCAAAUAUAGUUAUGGACUUAGACACUAUAUCCAACAAUCCCUACAUAAAGUCAUAUGUAGUCAAGGAUCAGAUAGAUAAUCGAACAUAUGACUCACCUAAGAGCGAACAAUCAGAAAAGAACAUCACAAUCAAGCCUUAGAUCAAGAGUUAUCAGUCUAUCCAACUUAAACUAGAUAGACCUAAGAUAUUAUUACCACCUAACCAUGUGACAUAAACAUUUAACAGAUACUAGCAUAUUUAUACACUUAGCAACUAUCCUUCCCUAGUUACCCUGUCAUUGAUCACUUCUCAAUCAAGUGAUCAUCUGGUCAGUCAUGCAUAAUCAUGAUAAUUGACCUACCCCAAUUUCCCUAACUAAACAUAACUCAUAACAAUAUCAUACAAUAAAUAGGAAAGACCUCACAAGAAUAGCAUACCCAGACACCAAGUGUUCUAAACUGCACAUGCAUAUCCUAGCCAACUAGCAUAUUUGUACUCUAACAGUAUCUCCAUCCUAUCAUGCACAGGAUAUAUAAUGAGAUAUGUGGCAUACUAUGAAACUCACCUGAACUGAAGAACCGGAGAAGCACAACAACACUCUUACACAUUUCACUACUCGAUCAUGUGAACCAAUUAACACCAAAAUAGAUAAAUCCUCAAUCAAUAAUCCAAAUCCUCCAAGUUUGACCCUAAGUCAAACUGGUCAAAAGUCAAUAGUCGAUGUAACGCCCAUGUUUCUUUCCAGACAUUAACUAAAUAAUUAGGGUCAACAAUCACCACAACGUGGUAACCUCUUGGCCACAUCCUGGGAAUUUCCAUACAAAAUAGUUACGAAGCUUAGGAUCACCAUGUCGUUGCAAGCCUAUUGCCACGUCGUGGAAAUUCACAGGAAGUCAUAUUCUUCAUUAUGAGCUUAAUGCUUACAGAUCUAAGCUCAAACUUUCAUAUUUGAUUCUUCUUGAUGAAUUAAUGGAUCUUAAACCAUAAGUCUAUUAAGUCUUUAAUAUGACCAAAACUAGAGCAUGGAGAAAAGGGAGCUAUGAAUUAACGCUUUUUCCAUCAAACAAGACCAAAAGAUGGUCACCAAACAAUUCUAAAGUUCUGGAGUUGGCCAAAACUCCAAGAAAAUGCCUUCAAGGGACUUCAAAGCAUGAUAUGAGAGAAAAGGAUGAUAAAGGUGGAAGCUUUAUACCUUCCCAAAAUCCACAAGACAUAGGAGAUGCAAGAUCUGAAGUAGAUACACCAUUCAAACUAGCAAACACACUGUCGUUUCCUUCCCAAAGUGCAACCCAAGGCUUCAAACUUCAAGAACUCCAAGAACUCAUCAAUAUCACUCAAAUAGGGCUAGGGUUUCGAAAUAGGAGGAUGGAGACUGAGGGAAAUGAGCUAACCCUAGAGUUAAGGCCAUUAAAUAUGGGAGAAAAUAUAAAAAAAAAAAUUAUGUGCUUGGGCUACAGCACUCACAACGUCGUGGCAACCCUCUAGUCAUGUCGUGGUGCUCUUCAAAAUGUGCGUUCCCGAAAAUAUGUGUCACGUCGUGGUCAUCCAUGCACCAUACCAAGGCAUAGAUUUUUCUCCUAAAACCCCAUCUUUGAUCCUAUUAGCUCUUUAGUUAAACUAUUAUAGAAAAUAGGUGUUAUAGCCACCAUUCCGAGUUCCUUCUGUGACUGCUAAAUUAGUGUUUGGCGGGUUGGGGAGCCCGACUUCUUUCUCUUAUAUCUUCACAUAUAUAUAUAUAUAUAUAUAUAUAUAUAUAUAUAUAACAUUUUUUUUUCAAAAGUGUAAUACUAUCAAGGGAAAUUGACUUAUCAGGGUAAUUACUGUUUUGUUUUGUUCACAUCGGGGUAACUCUUUUUUUAGUACACAUCUAGGUAACAAACUUUUUGUAAGUGUUCACAUGUGACCAUUAUAAUUGGUUGUAGCAAGUUACAACCGAACGUAAUUGUCAUAUAUGAACACUUCCAACAAGCUCGUUACCUCGAUGCAUACAAAAAAAUGAAGUUACACAUAUGUGAACAAAACGAAAAGGUAAUUACCCUGAUAAGCCAAUUUCCCUUUUUAUUAAGGUGGCAAAUCAUAAUGUUUGUAAUAUUAAUAUAUUCAUUUAAAUUUCUUUAAAACAACAUUUGUAACACCCGGAAUCUAGAAGAUUAAUUAUGGAAACAAAUUCCCUUACCUAAGUAAAAACACGAUGAGUUGAUGGUGGGAAACUCGAUGUGUUGGAGGUUUUUGGGACACACGUUUUUAUGAACCAACUCGGUGAGUUGGUGAAGGAAAAUCGGCGAGUUGGACACUGACUGAGAAACCCUAAUUUUUAGGGUGUUACACCCUAUUUAAAGACCUUAAGUUCUUUAGCUGGCCUCCUUACCGGCCUCCUCUAUCCAGAAACCCUAAAACUGAGCCUUGUCUUCCAUUUAUGAGUGUGAAAGCUUGGGGAGAGCCUUGAGAGUUCAUUUUUGGUGCUUUUUGAAGGAGCUAAGGAAUUAGGAGUUGCUUGGCUUGAAGAAGAAGUCUUGGAUCCAGAAUCUCUGCCUCAUUUGCCAAGUUUUUGAGGAAUCGUGUUCUUACCUUGCUUAUUUGUUGCUUAGAUCUCUUCUUGGGUUAGAGUUUAUGAUUUUUAGCCAUUUUGGGUGAAUGUUGGGGAUUAGGAGGUCCCAAGCAAUUAUUAUUUCAGAUAUAAGGGCUAGCGGCGCUGCUUGUUGCCCGUUCGCCUUCAAUCGAUAUGUAUUGAACUUUCAUUGGAGUAUAUUUUCUUAAUAUAAAUAUAUAAUAGAUAUAAGGUCUACAUGAGCUCUUUAGGCAUAAAGGUGCCAACUUUAUGGAUUUAAUGGCUUCAUGUAUUCAUUAAGUCUUUCAGUUAGCCCUUUUUGAGCUUUUGAUCACCUCCUAGUCAUGCUUAAGUGUAAAGUUGGAAACUUUACACGGCCAUCUAGCCUUAUGGGGACAGAUCUGCAUUAUGGGUUUUAUCUUUGAUGAUUAAGUGAUUAAUGAUUAAGCCUUCACUCUUUUAAGUUUAGGGUUUGGGUUUGGACCCAUUAGGUGAUUCCUAGGGGUAAAGUUGGAAAAUUUACCCUUCUUGAUCUCAUUUUGGUCGAGAGCAGAGCUUUGGAGCCUUUGGACUCGAUGAAGGUACCUUAAUGCAUUAAGAUGUUGGUUCUUGAGAGAACUCGGCGAGUUGACUUGGUUUCCCCGAUUUGUGUAGUUGAUGGAGAAACUCGACGAGUUGGGUUAACUUGGACCGUUGACUUUGACUUUCGAUUUAUGUCUUUGAACAAGUUUGUCCCAAUGGGUACUUGAGGUAAUCUGAAUUGUAAUUAAGGGAAUUAUGAGAUUAGGAUAAGGCCCAUAUGGGGUUGGUCCCAAUUUGGAAAAUUGGGCCAUUACUGGGCCUUUGCGGAUCUUUUGGUUUUGGACUUUUUGGUUAAUGGAAUUUGGGCCUCAGUUUUGGUUCAUGACGCGUUAGGGUUAAAAUGGUCAUUUUCCCCCAAGUAUGGAUGGAGGGCUUUAGAAUGGAACCCAAUUGCUAAUUAGGUGUUAUUUUGAUCUCAUAGCUCGGAGGUCUCAUCAGGGCAGCAGCUAGGGACUUCUUUCUGUGAGUUUCUGCGUUCGAGGUGAGUCUCCUUACUUUUCUAUGGUUUGAAGGCAAUAAUGACGGCCCAUUUGGUUUAUGUAUUAUAGGAAGACCUGGGGGAUAAACCUUGGCAGUUUGUAUGAAAGACCAGGAGGCGGCUCCUGGCAAACUGUAUGCAAGACCAGGGUCUGAACUCUAGCAGUUGACUAGUUAAGUAGUGUAGAUUUUAUACUAUUUGUCUUUGUGACACUUUCAUGGAAGACUCGAAGGUGGAUCCUGGCACUUGUCUGUAAGACCUAGGUUUUUGGCCCCCGGCCUGACAAGGAAGACCACAAGGCGGCUCAUGUCAUAAUGGCAAGACUAUGGAUGGCACAUAUCACCUUUACUAAUUGGGGUAUAUGUAUGCUAAGUAAGACUCAGUGAUAUUAAUGUUAUUUAUAGUUUUGAGUUGAGUUUUCUCCUGCGAUUGAGGUGCAACAGUUGGUGCGAGAGUUUCUGGAUCUCUGUCAGACUACUGAGACUGUGGCAGAUUGUGGAAGGGUGGAAGUGAUGUAAGACUGAGGGGUGGCCCGUAGCAUUCACUAGUUAGAAGUUGGUAUAAAAAUGUUGUAAGACUGUGGGGUGGCACGUAGCAUUCACUAGCGAUCAGAUAGUGUGGGAAGUGUUGUAAGACAGAGGGGUGGCCCGUAGCAUUCACCAGUCCCUAUACAGCGGUGAGAGUGUGGCAAAUUUGUGAUUUGCUCACGGUUUUCUUCGGAUGAUUUUGGCCAGGAUGGAUCAGUUCGCAAGGCUAUGGGAAGGACACAACAUGUUUGGAAUCAAGAUAUGGGAGGUCGUGGGAGACCGGGUUUGAGGUAAGACUAUAGUUGGUCUGUAACGUUCAACCUAGUAUCAGAUUAUUGACGAGACGGUUUGGGUAGUUAUUGCCAGUGAGGCUUUUUUUCAAAAGUUGCGAUGGGCGAUUGUGUGGAGUUUCAAAAGCAGCUACGAGGCAACAAGCUGUUUUGGGCAGUAUUAGUGAUUUUUGGGCAGUAUUUUCGGGUAGUACUAGUCAUUUGGAAUUUGUGUGUGAAUAUGUAAUUUUUCAAACAAUUUUUUUUUCAUUUAUAAAACUCAUAAAAACUCAUAUAUUUCAUUUCAUAAAAUCACAAGUGUCUCAAGUCAACAUAAAUCCACAAGAAAAAUCAAAUCCUAGAAUCCUCAACAUAAUCUCGAACAGGUGUGUACAAUCACGUCGGUGCCUUCCCGCGAUCCUCGGAGGUACUUGAAACACAUAUCACAUAGCACGGUAAGCAUAAAGCUUAGUGAGUUCCUCAAAAUACCAUGCACACACAUAAUUAGCCACUCGAGGCUAUCGCUCUGUAAGACCCUCCGGUUAAUGUGUCUUAGCGAGACCCACCAGUCCUACAAAUCGUCAGACCCUCCGGUCCGGUCUAAGUGAGAACCCUCCGGUCUCACUACUCGUUGGACCCUCCGGUCUAGUCUAAGUGAGGACCCUCCGGUCUCAUAGUUCGUUGGACCCUCCGGUCCGGUCUAAGUAUCUCAUAAUAUAGUACACAGUAUAUAUCACACAGAAAUACAUAACUCAAGCAAGCACAUAAGACCCUCUGGUCACACAUAAUGACCACACUAGGUAAGGUAUAAUGAGAAGACUCACCUCCUAAGAACUCGGAUAAUCUCAAACUCAAAUCACAGGUUUAGCCUCCGCCUAAUAUACACAAUAAUUAUCCCUAAUUAAUAACGGCUCUCACAAGGCUGAACUAACCCUUCCAUACACUCACAGAAGGGUAAAAGACCAUUUUACUCCUCCAUGGGCUUAAUAGACCACAUGUUGACCAAACCCUAAAAGUCAACCGAAAGCCAACAGCAAGGAGUACGCUGUGCGUACCAACUCCCUACGUUGGGCAUACUCGGCUGCCAUGCAGGCAUCGUGGAGACUCGACCUCUACGUUGUGCGUACUGGGAUUAUGCCCAGCGUACAUCCUAGUUUCACUCUCCUCACAAUUUUGGUCUUAAACAGUUAAUACAUUGGCUCAUAAUUCAGAUCUGGACUCCCUAAUGUCUCUUAAUCCAUAAAGUUGGUGACUUUAAGCCUUUGCGUGGCUAAAUAGGUCACAAACACUGAAAACUCCCAUCCCCUUUCCUCAUGAAACUCAUAACUCAUGCAUGGCUUACUCCUAAUGUCCAAGAUUAGAUUUUUAUGACUUUACUCCACAAAAUACACUGAAAAGGGAUAGAUCAAGGCCUCUAGAGUGCAUUAUCUCAUAAAGUCUCCAUCUUUUGGGAAAAAACCCUAAAGUAAUUCAUAUGAAUGCACCAAACAAACAAAUGAGAAAGCUUGAAGAUUUAUACCUUUAUGUGAAACCUUCUUCACAGCUAAGCUCAGAUCCAACUCCUGGGGCUCUCACUCCUUCUUCUCUAAAGCUUCCUCUCUACUUCAAGAACACAAGAUUACACCAACAAGCUCUCAAAUGCACUCUCCAGCUAUAAUGACGGAGAUUUAGGGUUAGGAGGGGUUGGUGUUUGGGAAUGGUGGCCAGGAAUGAGGCCAUCAUGUCCUUUAAAUAGUGAGCUCAUUAAAAUUUAGGGUUUCAUUAUGGGCCUAGCAUGCCCAGCGUACCCACUGGUACGUCGCGCGUACUAGGUGGCCUCCACAUCACUAACACGCAUUGGAGUAUGCUGAGCGUACACUCAAGUACGCCCCGAAUACUCGUUUACCACCUUUUCUCUAAUAAGGCCAAAAUGGACAAAUGCUCAAUAGAUCAAGGUUUACAAGGUAUACCUGGACUUGGGAUGUUACAUCGUGUGUGAGUCUCUUGUAGUUCGGGGAAUAUAAUAAGUUGCUUGUAGUGGAUUAAAUAAUCUCAGAGUGGUUGAUUUGAUUCUAUUGCGCAGUUCUCGUCUGAGUCUAACCAUUGCAGGGAUGAAUCUUCUACUCAAAGGAUUAUCUGAGCCUAUUGUCGAGUAUAAGUGUUCUGUAGCUGCAAAUGAUCUGUUUUUUGGUUCCUUUAAAAGCAUUAAGAUAUUGGUUUUAUAGUGGUUCAGAGAGGGGGAGGGGGUGAUCAGCCAGGAAGUCAAAUCAAAUUGAGAUUUCAGGUAUCAGGAAAGGUAAAGGUGGGUUUUUCUGCAAGGGAUUAAGGUUCGUUCUGCUAGGGUUGGUUUCAGUUGCUAUGGGAAGGUGGUAGUAUUAUGGGGUUGUGAAGAUGAGUCCUUAUGGGGACAGUGUUAUCUGGUGCUAUCUGUCAUGGAGUUCGGCAAUGUCCAGGGUUUUCCAGGUUCAAGUUUAAUGGUUAGGGAUCUUCUAUUUUGGAUUUGUCAUCGGUAUGGGUGGGCGGUUAUCUAAGCGGGGUGACUUCCUUAGUCUUUUGGGGUUCAAGGAGUUUAGUCAGGAUCAUCAGUUCGGUACACGAGAUUUUAGGGAAUGAUUUCGAGGAUGAAAUCUAAUUUAAGUGGGGGAGAGUUGUAACAUCUGGAAUUUACAAGAAUAAUUGUGGAAAUAAAUUCCCUUUCUAGGGACCAACACGGCGAGUUGAUCGUGGGAAACUCGACGUAUUGGAGGCUUUUGGGAUGAGCGUUUUUAUAAACCAAUUCAAUGAGUUGGUGAAGGGAACUCGGCGAGUUGGACGCUAAUCGAAAAACCCUAAUUUUUAGGUUGUUGUACCCUAUCUAAAGGCCUUAAGUUCUUUGGUUGGCCUCCUUACCAGCCUCCUCUGUCCAAAAACCCUAAAAUCGAGCCUUAUCUUCCAUUGUUGAGUGUGAAAGCUUGGGGAGAGCCUUGAGAGUUUAUUUUUGGUGCUAGUUGAAGGAGCUAAGGAAUUAGGAGUUCCUUUCCUUGAAGAAGAAAUCUUAGAUCCAGAAUCUCUGCCUCAUUUGCCAAGUUUUUGAGGUAUCAAGUUCUCACCUUGCCUGUUUGUUUCAUAGAUCUCUUCUUGGGUUAGAGUUAAUGCUUUUUAGCCAUGGUUGGGUGGAUUUUGGGGAUUAGGACAUCCCAAACGAUUAUUAUUUCAGAUCUAAGGUAUAUAUGAGCUCUUUUGGCAUAAAGGUGCCAACUUUAUUGAUUUAAGGGCUUCAUAGAGUCAUUAAUUCUUUCAUUUAGCCGUUUUUGAGAUUUUGUGCUCGUCCUAGUCAUGCUUAAGCGUAAAGUUGGAAACUUUACAUGGCCAUCUAGCCUUAUGGGUUCAGAUCUGCAUUAUGGGGUUUUGUCUUUGCUGAUUAAGUGCUUAAUGAUUAAGCUAUCACUCUUUUAAUUCUAAGGUUUGGGUUUGGACCCAUUUAGGUGGUUCCUAGGGGUAAAGUUGGAAACUUUAACCUUCGGGGUCUUAUUUUGGUCAAUAGCUGAGUUUGGAGCUCUUGGAUUCGAUGAAGGUAGCUUAACGCAUUAAGCUGUUGGACUUUUAGAGCUCAUAUCGUGAGUUCGAUCUUAUCCAUCCGCUGAAUCGACUUCUGACAGCCCGACUCUGGAACCCAUCCAUCACUGGCUCACGUCGUGAGCUUCAUGCUCACGUCAUGAGUCCUCUUAUAGUGUGGGGUUGAGUCUUUUACUCGAAGGAUUAUUUGAUCUUUGUUGCGUGUGGCUAUAUUAAUGAGGAAGCUAGUUGACAUUGGUGGGAUUCCUUUAGCAGUUGAGGGUUUGGUGAGGUCGGGAACCUAGGAAAGCCUAGGAUAUGCUUUAGUGGGUUAGUGGUACGGUUUAGUGAGUUUUGGUGCAUUGUGCUGAAGAAGUGACUUAGAGGAUUCGAGAGGAUUACUGAGGAAAGUAUGGAUAGGUGGGCUUUAGAAUGGAACCCAAUUGCUAGUUGGGUGUUAUUGUGAUCUGAUAGCUCGGAGGUGUCGUCAGGGCACUAAUGUCGGCCCAUUUGGUUUAUGUAUUAUAGGAAGACCCAGGGGAUAACCCUGGGCAGUUUGUAUGAAAGACCAGGAGGCGGCUCCUGGCAAACUGUAUGCAAAACCAGAAUCUGAACUGUGGUAGUUAACUAGUUAACUAGUGUAGAUUGUAUGCUAGUUGUCUUUGUGAUGCUUGCAUGGAAGACUCGGAGGUGGCUCAUGGCACUUUUUUGUAAGACCGCAGGUUUUGGCCCCCGCCCUGACAAGGAAGACCACGAGGCGGCUCGUGACAUAAUGGAAAGACUAUGGAUGACACAUAGCACCUUUACUGAUUGUAGUAUAUGUAUGCUAAGUAUGGCUUGUUGAUAUGAAUGUUAUUUAUGGUUCAAUCGGUAUGUUUGGUAUGUGGUAUUUGGGGAACUCAAGAAGCUAUGUGCUUACAUUUUGUGCUUUAUGGUUUCAUGUAAUUCCAUUUUGAAAGGAAAGGGUUCGGCUUAAUCGCAACGCAUACACCCAUGUUUUCCGCAAUGUGUGAUAUUUAGGAAUGAACUCUGAUAAUUGUUUUAUUUUGAAACUCUUCUAGAUGUCGGAUUAAAGGUUAAUGAAUGUUUUGGGCAUAAUAAAAACGAAAUUUUUACCCCUGAUUUUCGGGAUGUUACAACAUUUAUUACCAUUUAUUGACAUUUAAAUUGGCCACGACAUGUUUGAAACCAUUUGUGAUAGCAUAAUUAUCAAAUCAAAUAACUCUAUAUAUUGAGACAAGAGCAAUGUUAUCCAUGUGGAUAAAAUGUAUUUCUAUUUUUUGUAUUUUAAAUUCAUGUAAUACAUGGAACAAAAUUGAAGAUGAUAUUCUAUUUCAUGUUAUUGGUCUCAAUAUCUGACACUUUUAGUAUCUAGUAAAUUUUAAUUUUCAUAUGUAAUAUCUUAAACAAUAAAAUUCUAUAAAAUGACGAUGUAUUUUUUCCAUGUCAAAUGUGAUUUUUUUUUUGUAUCAAAGUAGUGUAUUUUAAAAAGAUAUUUACCAAGUUGGAUUGAGUGACAAGUGGAUUGAGUUAACUGAAAAAAAAAAUUAUUUUUCAUGGGUUAGAAAAGAUGAAAAAAAAAAGUUGAUAUAGAACUCACACCACAUGAAUGAUUUGACACCGUUCUACUCCUACGACCUUUACCCCCAACAUCGAAUUCAUUAUGAUUGUUAGCCUAUCUUACGAGACAGACAUGACCUCCUACUACCAUGUAUACUAAGUCCCACUAUUUAUAACUCUACCCUAUAAAACUCGACGGAGCGCUGGGGUGAAGGGUUACGGGAUCCUUUCCCGCUCACCGGAACANNNNNNNNNNNNNNNNNNNNNNNNNGGGGGGGGGGGGGGGGGAAGGCUGCUGCACUCUCUCUCUCUCUCUUCUUCCUAUUGGCUGGUUUUUUUCCCAAGCGAACUGUUUGAAAUAAAUAACAAAAUUAAUUUUUUUUUCAAUACAACUAUUGAAAAACAACAAUGAAUUUAUAUAUAUAUAAUUUUGUUUUUACCUCUAUAACAUCUAUAAAUAUACACAUACUUUAACCUUUCAAACUCACACCUCCUUCUAUGAAUUUCUCUGUACUUUCUUCAAAAAAAGGAAUCCAUACAACCAAACCCCAAACUUCGAUAGAAGGAAAAAAACCAAUGUUUCAAAUUUAAGCACCCCAACUCGAAACAUUUUUGAUAUCGAUUCAUCUCAAGGGGUUUAUCGUCCACAACUCGAUGCUCACAUUUAAUCUUCACUACAAUCACAAUACCAAAAUAUUAGACAAUUUUACCCGAUGCAAGUUCCAAAUGUUACUCCAAAUAUGCUAUUAAACUUUGUUGUUUUUCCUGAUCAACUUUCGCCAAAUCAACCCCAAACUCAAAUCCCACUCUUUCAAUCUCAAACCCAAACCCAACCUAAGCCCAAACACAAUAUCAACAACAAUACCAAAUCUUCGAUGAGUCGGAUGAAGAGAUUGUACGGGAAACUCAACCCACAACCCCCAACCCCACAAAGUAAAACAACAAGUGAGAGAGGGUUCCAUACAACCGGGACGACAGAAGCCGCAACCAUGGACUAAACGAGAAGAGAUAAUUGGGGUAAAAGCUUGGGUUGACAUUUCAGAUGAUUCAGCGACAGGAAAAUGCACAACCUGAGGAUCAUUUUUGGUUUCACAUUCUUGAGAGGUUUCAUAAGGAGAUGGGAAAAAGUGACGAGUAUCGUACCAAUCAUCAAUUGAAUUCAAAGUUUCGAGAAAUAGCGUGGGCCGUUUCAAAAAUGAGCGGGUGUACAACAACCUAAAAACCUAAUGGAAAAGCAGCCAAGGAGAUGAAGAAAUACUUCAGGAAGUUUUGCAUUUUUUCGAGAGGAAGUGGGAAAGUCAUUCAAGUGCCACGAUUGUUGGAAAAUAUUGAUUAAAAGUCGUAGGUGGAAAAAAUACGAGCAAGAGUUUAUACGUCGAGUACAACAAUCAAAACGAACAAAAAUGAGCUCUAGUGGUUACACAACUUCCUCCGAUGCUCGGGUCGGUCUAGAUUUAAAUGACGAGGACGCACUCGAGCUAGAAGAAAUUGUCCGACCGAUAGGUAGGGACAAAGCAAAAAUGAAGGGAAAUGAGACUUCUUGGGGUGAAUCGAAUUUCAGCAUGGACGCGGACCAAGUGCGAAAAAUGGUGGAGAUAUUUGAUCGAUAUAAUCUUAAUUUUGCUGAAAGUUUUGGCAUUCGACAAAGACAAAGAAGGAGAAAAAAAGAAGGAGAACGCAUAGAAACAAGAAAUGGAGGAGAUGAUGUUAUUGAUGAAAAAUACCGACCAUCUUUCGGGACUAGCUUCGGAGCUCGUUUUGAAAAAAAAAGGUGCGGAUUAUGCAAAAAUAUUUUCCCUAAGAGUGUUGUUUGUUUUUUUUUUCUAGUUAUUUAAAUCUUAGGUUUUUAUGUAAUUUUUAUUAUAAUUAACAAUGGCGGAGUUACUAUAUCAUUAUAAAUAAUAUUUUGUUUCUUAUAAUGAUAAUCUUUCCUAAUAAAUAAAGAACUUUUUGUCACAUGUCAAACUCUCAUUGAUUUGACCACAUGUCAUUUUGUGGUUAUUUUCAAUUAAUUUUUUUUUACACAUGUCAUUUUGGGGUUUUUUCAUUUUAUUAAUUUUCACAUAAUAUUUAAAUGUAAUAAUUACAAUAAAUAUAAUAAUAAAAUGCAUAUCAAUUUUAUUAAUUGACUUCCUUUUAAUUUUAAAAUUUCUAAAUUAAAGUUUCAUUAGUUUCCUUUAUUUAUUUAUCUAAAUUAUUUGUUUAAUUUAAAAGAAAAACAAACAAUUUAAUUUUAAUAAUUAAAUGUUUUUCUAUUGUUUUCUUAUAAAUUCAAACUUGUCAAAUGUUUAAAAUUUUAUAUGUUUUUCUUUAAAAUGAACUCAUGUAAUACAUGAGUGUUACACCUAGUGAUAGAUUAUAUCACGAGUACAAUUCAUUUAAUGAAACAUAUGUACGUAUAAUUAGAGAAAAUUUUUAAUAUUAGCAUGUUAAUCCUCUCUAAAAAAUAAAAAUAAUUUUGCCACAUAUCACUCUUUUAUUAAUUUGGACACAUGUCAUUUUUUGGUAUUUUUGAUUAAAUGUUUUUUCCAUUUGUCAAUUUUUUAUUUUUUAAUAUUUUCUUAAUUAACACAUCAUAUAUACACCUCAAUUAAUAAUUACCUUAAUUGAAAAUAACCAAUAAAUUACAAUAUUAAUAGUCAUAUAGUAUUUAAUAUGUUUCCUUUUAAAUUUAAAUUUUAAAAUUUUAAUUUCAAAUCUAAAAUUUCAAAUUUGAAUAAAAUUUGUUUGAACUUUUAUAUUUAAUUUUUGUUUUAUCAAACUCGUAUAACAUACGGGUCUCACACCUAAUGGAGAAUUAUAAAUCAACGUUUAUUGUCGGUCUAAACUUUUGAAAUGUCAUUUUUGCAAUGAUCGGUAUAACUUCUCCUUAAAGGAAUUUUUAUAGUCAUUUUCUCUUUCAAGAUUGUAGACUCUUUUACAUUAUUUUGAUAAAAGAUAUAUUUGAAUAUAUUUUUACGACGUCGGCUUUCCUUAUUCUUAAAUCCUGGCUCCGUUCCUUUUAAUUAAUGUAGUGGUUUUUAUUUUUAAUUAUAUAUAUAUAUAUAUAUAUUACUUAUUCAUUUAUAAAAUUAUAAAUCAUAAAAUCAAUUAUUUUUACUUAAAAAAGAGUGAUACACCUUUACAAAAUUAUAAACCAUAAAAAUCAAUUAUUUUUACUUAAAAAAUAGUGAAAAAACCUUCCCACAUACACCUUGGUUUCUAACUAAGAAAAAAAAUGUAGGAAAAAGGAUAAAAUGAUAAAGAAAAAUAAUAAAAAAAAAAAUAAAAACCUUCCCGUACCCACCCUCCGGCAUAAGAAGGUGCGUCCCUACGAGUACAAGAUACACAGGUGUAGAUACAUAUGUAAAAAGCUAGUAAUUAACCAACUAAUUAUUAAUUAUUAAAUAAAAUAGGGAUAUAAUAUUAAUGAUAAACACAUUAAAAUAUUCCAAAUGCUCAUGAAGUCAACAUGAGAAAUUAUAUUGCAAUAAAUUUCUUGUUGGGUGAGAAAUUCACAAGUAAAAUUUGUAUAGUAAAUAACAAACCGAAAGUUCCAGAAACAGGUCAAAACUUAAAACCCUAAAUGAGCUUACAAAUUUCCAUUGGCCACAUACCCCACCACAAAGGCACAAACAAUCAAUGAAACAAGUGUAGAUGUAGAGGCCUUUUUCACCACAAUCACCCUUCAUCGGCCAUUUCGAAGGCCACGUGAAAUGUCACUAACGUGGCCCUCUAAAUAUCCACUACUUUGUCUUUAACCCCUCCCCCCUCCCUUAUAAAACACUCCAUCCUCCUCCUUAAUCACCAUCACCAACAACCUUCUCUCCUUCCUCAAAAGUACCACCAUCUUUUCCGACAUGGCAGCUUCUUCAAUCUUCAUGGCAACUCCCAUCACACUCCUCAAAAAAACUCCCACCUUCUCCGUCAAAUGCAUGUCACAAACACCUCAAAGCGGUGAACCGGAGAUUUCAAAAUCAGCAACCACCCCAACACCACCACAGAUCAACAUUCCUCCUCCUCCGCCACCUGCUCCAAAGGUCAGCACGAAAUUCUCUGACGUGUUGGCGUUUAGUGGACCUGCACCGGAGAGGAUCAACGGAAGGUUGGCGAUGAUAGGGUUUGUGUCGGCGAUGGCUGUGGAAGUGAGCAGCGGUCAAGACGUGUUUACCCAGAUCGGCAACGGCGGAGUUGCGGUGUUUGUGGGGACUAGCGUCGUGUUGACGUU
rnacentral:lncRNA from 1 species